rnacentral:lncRNA from 1 species
UCUGGUUCAAGAGAGAGAGAGUGAGCCACAUAAUCUUGUUUUCUUACUCUAGCAAACCAAGAACAACAAUCAAGAGAGAAAAAUCUGAAUUAGUGAGAGAGUUCCUACAACUCCAAGUGUUUGAUCCAAGCUUGAAGACUUACUUUGGUGAAGUGAUUUUGGUGAUUCAAGCUCACUAUAAGAGAGGUAUAUGUUCUUUAAAUCCUUGUUUUUGAUGAUAGAUCAUGCACUUGAAAGUGUUAAUAGCAAAGAUACAAGUUGUUUGGUUGAGAUGUUGAGUUAGUUUCUUGAAGUAAACAAGUAGUAGCUAGGUUUCUUAGUAUGUAUACCAAGUGUUUGAUGAAAUGUUUGAUUCUUAUUCAUGUUUGUUUAUGAGGUAUUAUUAUGUUUUAAACCUCUUUUGAGCUAGAACUACCACUUGAUAUGAUGAUUGAGUAGAAAACAUGUAAGGAUGAAGAUUGAACAAAUGUUGAAAAGUGUGGCUGGUUGCUUUGUCUAGGCUGGCCGGUUCUUGUAGGAGGGAUUUUCCCUCAAUCUUGUUGUUAAAUUUGUCCUAAUCAAGCCUAAUAAACUAGGUUAAAUAUUGGUUAAGCCUAUGAGCAAGUUGGAAUGGAGUUGAAGCAAGUAAAGUGGUGAUUUUGAACCAUUAGUAGACUGUUUUAGGACUCUUGUAGUUAUGGGAUCAUUAUGGCUACCUUAAAUCAUGUUGUAUGUUAUAUUGUGAACUCCAUUGAUUCUAAGUGACUUGAAUCCUUGUAUAUGAUCACUUGAGGAGUGAAUUGGGUGAAUUUGAAUCAAAACUAAUGAAGUUAGCCCUAGAACUAGAGUAGUUUGGUAUAGGAUUAAUGUUGAUCCAGGGUUGGAAAAACAGCCACCUUGUCUGAAUUACUGUUGUUGAUAGGAGAUGAACCACGGUGUGAGCUUGGUACCGUUGGAAAGCCCUUCGAGUCUAGUUUCCAACGCCACUGACGGCACCUAAUUUCGACUUUUCUACAGUGAGUUAUGACCGUUUUCCUAAGACUGCCAGGGCAUGACUGUGCAACCCGAGAAGAAAUCCUUAAGCAUAAUUGGAACUUUUCUUUUGCCAAACUUUCAUGCACCUACUAAACUUGUUUUCUCAUGAACUUUUACCAUGGUUUGGACCUUGUUUGCAUGACGGAUUAAGUAGCUUAGACUACUCACUUGGUCUCUUAUUAAGCCUAACCUAGUGGGGCAUGAAUCUAAUUGUUAACGAUUUCACUCGUUGCCCUAGGUUUGGGAAACGAAGGUGACCGUAACUAAGACGUUUGACAUCGAUUGCUUCUUUUGAUUGACAGGUGAGUGUUCCACUACCUGCUACCUGCUUAUGUGAAAUAUUUGAAUACUUGAUUUACGACUGUUUGAGCCAAACCCUGAUUUGAUAAAAGUGGAGGCGAGGUGUACUUUAUCGCACUCGUCCUCCUUCAUUUUCACUGAGGCUCUGUAUACUGUUAUUGUGAAAUGUGAAUUCUCUAUAUGUGACUGUGCUUGAGUUGUUUGGGUGAAUCCCAUCAACUACUACUACUGUUUGGGUACCCAACCUCAUAGGUGAGUCGGUUCUAUCGAGCCAGCAAGGGCUUGGUCGAGAAGGCCGAUAAACCUUGAGGACUGUUUACUGUUCACUGAAACCGGUAUACUCGAGUAUUACCUAACUACUGUUUAUGAAGUGCGGGCCCGGUGGGGGGUUGAUUGGUGGACGGAGGCAGGUGAAAGUGGUGUUCUACGGACUAAAUAUUCUGUGUAUACAAGUGUUGACGGAGUGUCAACGAAGACAUUUAUGAUCAAGCUCAAGGGAAUUUUGGCUUUUGAAAGCCACCCGUAUCCUUGAAUUGAAUUGUGGAUUAAUUGUUAUUGUAUCAUCAGGUAUUUACUUGAUUAUCUAUGCCUUAAUUUGACUAUGUGUUUACUUGUUUACUUGGAACCUCACUGAGCUUUAGCUCACCCCACUCCCUUUGUUUUCCUUAACAGAUCGGGGAUGGACUAACGGUCAAGAGCUUUCUUAGCUUUGUUUUGCUUGAACUUGUAACUUUUGUUAAGAUGACUUUACCUUUUACUUUUGUAAGCUUGAAUUUCUAAGUUUGACUUAUGUUAUGUAAUUCGUAGUAUGAAUGGUAAGUGUGACUCUUAGCUUGCCGUAUUAAGUUUGGAAAGUUGAUUGAUAGUUAUGUGUUAUUAGGGUUGUAUAAUUUAAUUUGAAGUUAUUUUCCCAGUUAUUUUGAGUUGCUAGUUCUUUGAUCGACUGAGUCCCGGCGAGAGCUGGGCAGGCAGUCCGCUGAUACCCUAGGGUUCGCCUAGGGAGAGGUGGGGCUGUCACAGUUGGUAUCAGAGCCUAGGUUUGAAUUAGCCUGGGCGAAUUAGAAAUUUCCGACUUAAGGAUUAUAUUUCAUUAUUUUCCCUUAAGAGUACUAAAGUUUAUCUACACUUUUGUGUAGGAUGGACGGACCUAGCGGCCAUAGUGAUAGUCCUGUUGGUGAGAAGCCCAAGGAGCCUUCCCGUGAUUAAGUAUCAAAUCCGGCCUGGAGGAUCUAGAGUUUAUUGGAGCCCGUCAAACCGCUAUAGGCGUUGCGAGUGCCGUCAUAUUUAUGCUACCCUAAUGAAGUGUAUUGGCGGUGGUAAAAGAGCGUAAGGAGCUUGCCAGGGAUAAUGCUAGGCUUGAAGCCGAAGUGAAGCAACUAAAGGAAGCCAAUAAGAUGCAAGCCGAGCGAUUAAGAGCUCGAGUAUGAUAAUGUUGAGGGCCAAGAGAGGAUUGACGAUCUUUGCGCACAGUUGGAGGAAACUCAAGAACGCAUGGUGACUAGGACAAUGAAGGUGAGGACUAGGGCGGAGUCCAUUCUGAAUGUUUGUGACGACCUUCUAGGAGAAGCAAGUGAUGAGGCUUCUUAUAUGGAUAUUGGUCAGAAGAUGAACCUACUGAGAGUGGGGGUCAGCUAGUCCCGCCACUGACUAGGUCUUCACCAUUUGGCUAGGAUAGUGGAUGAUUUUGACAUUGUACAUAGACAGGUUAGGGGAUGUGGUGACCUGGUGGUUGUAUAGCUCCUUUUGACUACUUGUGUUAGGUUUUGCUUGAUAUGACUAUAUCUGUACUUUUGAGGGCUCGUACUUUCUAUUGUGGUCUCGUUAUCUUGUAAAUGACUACUAUGAGCCUUUUAAUGUAUAAUACUUUGACUGUUGACCUUGAUCUUUGACUGUUGACUGUUGACUGUUGACUGUUGACUUACUUUUGACUUUGACUUUAUUCCGUCAUUAAUUUUAACUGCGGUGCAUUUCACUUGCUUAUCGUGAUUCCAAUCUUGAUUUCUUAUUGACUUUUCAUUAUAGUAAUCAUCUUUCGUAUAUCAUAUUCGCUCACCCGGUUAGUUGUCAUACUUGGGCACUAGGCCACUGAGUAAUAAUGGAGACGAGACAAAGACGUACUCGGGGCCGUGGACGAGAACCCAGGCAAGUCCAAGAUCAAGGGGAGGAACAAGGUUCGGUGGCGAAUCAAAACCAGGAACCCCGAGGUGAUGGAGGGGACCAAGUAGCAACAGCUAUUAAUCGAAUGACUGAUUUGUUGGCCCGCUUGGUUGACCAGCAGGGUCAAGUACCUGGUAACCAACAAAGGGACCCCGAAGUAGGCGAGGAUAGGGCCCUGGAGCGGUUUCAAAAGUUUGCUCCUCCAAAAUUUCUUGGAGGACCUGAACCUGAAGUUGCCGAGAAUUGGUUCGAGCGAAUGGAGGAUAUAUUCGCCGCGUUGCAUUACUCUGAAGAGAGGCAAGUUACCUUCGCCGUUUUCCAGCUGGAAGGCGCGGCCCGUUCCUGGUGGAACGUAGUAAGGGCCAAGUGGGAAAGGGAGCAAACCCCACGUACCUGGUUAAACUUCACGAGGGAAUUCAAUGAGAAAUUCCUUCCACCCUUAAUUCAGGAGAAAAGGGAGGAUGAGUUCAUUAAACUGCGCCAAGGCACUUCAAGUGUGGCAGAGUAUGAACGCAGUUCACCCGACUUUCCAAGUUUGCCCCAGAAUUGGUGUAAGUGAGCAAAAGCGUAUAAGGCGGUUUAUACAAGGUUUGAAUGUAGAAAUCCAAAAGGAUUUAGCUGCCGCUCAAAUUGACACCUUUAAGGAUGCGCUUGAAAAGGCUCAACGUGUGGAGCAGGCCCGAUCUCAAGUUCGGACCUUUCAGGCUAAGAGCGUGGUGCAUCUACCAGUACUCCUGGCCGAAGUGAUCAGAAUGUGCCACCUCCGAAGUUUGGAAGGGUACGAGUGGAGCCCGAAUUGCGGGGACACCAAGAGGUGGAGCUUCAUCUAGAGGAGCUCAAGGGGAAGGGGACAGGGACAACAGAGAACUGUCUCCCUAGGAGUUCCCGCACCCACCACACGUGUAAGCUGUGGAUAUUGUGGUAAGCCAAAUCAUACCGAAGACAAUUGCUGGAAAAAGUUGAAAAAGUGCCUUGUUUGUGGAAGUUCUGAACACCAGAUUGCCACUUGCCCUGUUAAGAAUCGUGACGGGAACGGGGUACCCAGUCGGAAAAGUCAAACCCUAAGCAACCUACCGCCAGUGCUAGUCGACCCAAAACCUCUGCUAGGGUUUUUGCUUUGGACCACCGAGUUCCGGAUUCCUCGGAAGUAGUGGAAGGUACGAUCCCUAUAUUCCACCGCUUAGCUAAACUUUUGAUUGACCCUGGGGCAACCCAUUCUUUUGUGAAUCCUGCCUUUAUGUGUGGUAUUGCUGUGAAUCCUGUUAAGUUGCCAUAUGAUUUAGAAGUGAAAACACCCACUGGGAUCAAAGCCUGAUUACCAAUAUGGUCUAUAAAAAUUGAGAUUUGGGUAGGAGAACGGAAGUUAGUGGGUGACUUGAUAAGUUUAGACCUUAAGGGAUACGAUGUAAUUAUAGGCAUGGAUUUGCUAGCCCGUUAUAACGCCCAAUUGAACUGUAAAACAAAGGUGGUAGAAUUCUCGAUACCCGGAGAGGCAACUUUAUGGUUGGACGUGAGAGGUAGGUUAGCCUCGUCUGCACUUGUUUCGGGAAUCCGAGCCAGAAAGUUGUUGAGUAAGGGGGCGCAAGGCUACUUAGCCUUCUUAAUUAAUACUCCUGGAGAUAAAGUGAAACUGGAGGAUGUUUUAGUAGUGAAUGAAUUUCCUGAUGUCUUUCCCGAUGAGUUGAAAUCGAUGCCAUCAGAAAGGGAAAUAGAAUUUAAGAUCGAUUUAGUACCUGGAACUGCUCCCAUUGCAAAAACGCCAUACCGAAUGGCCCCCGCCGAACUUAAAGAGUUGAAACUGCAGUUACAAGAUCUGUUAGAACGAGGGUUUAUUCGAGAAAGUGAGUCACCGUGGGGCACCAGUGUUUAUUUGUUAAGAAAAAGGAUGGUAGUUUAAGACUGUGCAUUGACUAUCGUGGCCUAAAUGAUGUUACGGUGAAAAAUAAAUAUCCCUUACCACACAUUGAUGAAUUGUUUGACCAACUACAAGGGCAGUAGUUUUCUCUAAGUUGGACUUGAGGCAAGGCUACUACCAGUUACGAAUUAGGCAAGAGGAUAUACCGAAGACUGCCUUUAAUUCCAGAUAUGGUCAUUUUGAGUUCGCUGUGAUGCCUUUGGUUUAACGAAUGCCCCUGCUGCAUUUAUGGAUUUAAUGCAUCGAGUCUUUAAACCCUACUUGGAUCAAUUUGUUGUAGUAUUUAUCGAUGAUAUUUUGGUGUAUUCCAAGACUCGAGAGGAACACGAACGGCAUUUGAGGAUAGUUUUGCAGACCUUAAGGGAACAUCAGUUAUUUGCCAAGUUUAGCAAAUGCGAGUUUUGGUUGGAGCAAAUUUCUUUUCUAGGGCAUAUAAUAUCUAAAGAUGGAAUUUCUGUGGAUCCAGUGAAAGUGGAGGCUGUAGCUGAGUGGAAACACCCGGAAACCCCGACUGAGGUCCGUAGUUUUCUAGGUUUAGCCGGGUAUUACCGUCGGUUUAUCAAAGAUUUCUCCAAGUUAGCCGGUCCUUUAACCGACUGACCAAAAGCAUGGUCAAUUUGUCUGGAAUUCUAAGUGUGAAUCUAGUUUUCGGGAAUUGAAGAAAAGGUUAACGUCGGCACCUGUUUUAGCUUUACCAAAUGGGAGAGAUAGUUUUAUUGUAUAUACGGAUGCCUCAAGGGAAGGUUUGGGAUGUGUUCUAAUGCAAAAUGGGAGUGUAAUUGCCUAUGCCUCUAGGAAGUUAAAACCCCAUGAGCGAAAUUACCCCACUCAUGAUUUAGAAUUGGCCGCUGUAGUUUUUGCAUUAAAGAAGUGGAGGCAUUACUUGUAUGGAGUGACUUUUGAGGUGUAUACCGACCAUAAGAGUUUGAAAUACCUAUUCUCUCAGAAGGAGUUAAACUUGAGACAGCGUCGGUGGGUGGAAUUUCUUGAGGAUUAUGACUGUACAAUUAACUAUCACCCAGGCAAGGCUAAUGUUGUAGUGGACGCUUUAAGCCGACAAGUGCAAAUAGCUGGAUUGAUGGCUAAGGAAUGGAAUUUGCUGGAGGAAGUGAGUGAAUGGAACCCGCGAUUAGACCGACAGAGGGUAAUUUUCUGCAAUAUUACAGUAAGAUCUGAAUUGUUGGACCGCAUUAAAGAAGCUCAAAGGAAUGACGGAUGGUGCAAAAGUGGAUAGGAGAAGUACAAAAAAAGGAGUUACAAGACUUUAACAUAAGCUCUGAAGGUAUCUUGAAAUUUCAAGAUCGAAUAGUGGUACCACAAGAUGAGGUGAUAAAAAGGGAUAUUUUGGAAGAGGCACAUCGGUCCAAGUAUACAGUACAUCCUGGAAGUAACAAAAUGUACCAAGAUUUGAAAAGGUUAUAUUGGUGGGAUAAGAUAAAGAAAGAAAUUGCUCAGUUUGUCCAAAAAUGUUUGGUUGUGUGCAACAAGUGAAAGUUGAGCAUCAAAAGCCUUCAGGUCUUCUGCAACCUCUGGAGAUCCCUGGGUGGAAAUGGGAACAUAUUACUAUGGAUUUUGUAUCGGGAUUACCCCGUACCCAGAAAGGUCACGACACCGUUUGGGUAAUAGUAGACAGGUUGACCAAGUCUGCUCAUUUCUUACCCAUAAAUAUGAAAUAUUCUAUGGAGAAAUUGGCCCAACUUUACAUGGAUGAGAUAGUGAGGUUACAUGGGAUCCCUGUAAGCAUUGUGUCUGAUAGAGACCCACGAUUUGUGUCUCGUUUUUGGCAACAAUUACAAGGAACUUUAGGGACCAAGCUGAAUUUUAGUACUACCUAUCAUCCCCAAACUGAUGGACAAUCGAGAGGACCAUUCAAACACUUGAAAAUAUGUUGAGGACCUGUAUUCUAGAUUUUGGUGGAAGUUGGGGACAAUACAUGGCUCUGGUUGAAUUUGCAUACAAUAAUAGUUACCAUUCUUCAAUACAAAUGGCACCGUAUGAAGCUCUCUAUGGAAGAAAGUGCCGAUCACCAAUAUUUUGGGAUGAAGUAGGAGAGAGAAGAGUUUUAGACCCAGUUGCAGUACCAUGGAUCGAGAAUGCGUAUGAGAAAGUGAAAGUGAUACGUCAGAGGCUUCAGACAGCGCAAAGUCGACAAAAGAGCUACGCUGAUAAUCGACGAAAGGACUUGGAGUUUGAGGUUGGGGACAAGGUAUUCUUGAAGGUUACGCCACUUCAAAGUCUCACGGCAGGAAAAGGAAAGAAGCUCCAUCCAAGAUACGUAGGACCCUUCAAAAUCCUUCAACGAGUUGGAAACGUGGCAUAUCGAUUGGAGUUACCAACAAGUCUAUCCAGGGUUCAUGAUGUAUUUCACGUGUCCAUGUUGAAAAAGUACCAUCCAGAUCCCACUCAUAUACUGAAACCAGAGGAAAUUGACAUUGAUGAAUCUCUAACCUACGAGGAAAGACCAGUGCAAAUCUUAGAUCGAAAAGUGAAGGAAUUGAGGACUAAGCAAAUACCCUUGGUAAAGGUCUUGUGGAGAAACCAUGAGGUGGAGGAAGCUACUUGGGAAGUGGAAGAGGACAUUCGCACCAAAUACCCUAAGCUAUUCAAUGAUGAAGGUGAGAAUUUCGAGGACGAAAUUCUUUAAGGGGGAGAGAGGGUGAGAACCCUCAUUUUUAAAACACAAUUUCCUCAAAUUAAUUGCCUUAUUCUAGGAUUUAAAUCAUAUAUUAUAUGCCAUUACAUUUGCUUUUCUAGGUGUUACAAUAAUUUUCAUGCAUUACACUUCAUUCCUUUUACUUGUAGUAAAGCAUUUUUUUUUAGAGUUAAUUUUAAAUAUACACCACUUACAUUUUACCAAGUGUCUUUAUAUUAGUGGUAGAAAUCUUACAUGUAGGAUUAUAGGUGCUAAAAUAUGAUUGGUGCACUUGGAAAGAUUAGUUAGGAGUGUUAAAGUAUUAUUGGUGCACUUGGAAAGGUUAGUUAGAGGUGUUAAAAUAUUAUUGGUGCAUUUGGAAAGAUUAGUUAGAGGUGUUAAAGAAUGAUUGGUGCAUUUGGAAAGGUUAAGACACCAUUAGUCAAAGAUUAAGAAAGAAUUGGACAAGUAAGUGGACAUGUGGCUAAACUUUAGCCAAGUAUCUUAUUGGAACCAAGAUUAGAAGACUAUAUAAACAGCCAAAGCCUUCUUUUUUUCUUGAGUGCUGGCCGAAAUUCUGGUUCAAGAGAGAGAGAAAAAGUGAGCCACAUAAUCUUGUUUUCUUACUUUAGCAAACCAAUAACAACAAUCAAGAGAGAAAAAUCUGAAUUAGUGAGAAAGUUCCUACAACUCCAAGUGUUUGAUCCAAGCUUGAAGACUUACUUUGGUAAAGUGAUUUUGGUGGUGCAAGCUCACUAUAAGAGAGGUAUAUGUCCUUUAAAUCUUGGUUUUUGAUGAUAGAACAUGCACUUGAAUUGUUAAUAGCAAAGAUAUAAGUUGUUUGGUUGAGAUGUUGAGUUAGUUUCUUGAAGUAAACAAGUAGUAGCUAGGUUUCUUAGUAUGUAUACCAAGUGUUUGAUGAAAUGUUUGAUUCUUAUUCAUGUUUGUUUAUGAGGUAUUAUUAUGUUUUAAACCUCUUUUGAGCUAGAACUACCACUUGAUAUGAUGAUUGAGUAGAAAACAUGUAAGGAUGAAGAUUGAACAAAUGUUGAAAAGGGUGGGCUGGUUGCUUUGUCUAGGCUGGCCGGUUCUUGUAGGAGGGAUUUUCCCUCAAUCUUGUUGUUAAAUUUUGUCCUCAUCAAGCCUAAUAAACUAGGUUAACUAUUGGUUAAGCCUAUGAGCAAGUUGGAAUGGAGUUGAAGCAAGUAAAGUGGUGAUUUUGAACCAUUAGUAGACUGUUUUAGGAUUCUUGUAGUUAUGGGAUCAUUAUGGCUACCUUAAAUCAUGUUGUAUGUUAUAUUGUAAACUCCAUUGAUUCUAAGUGACUUGAAUCCUUGUAUAUGAUCACUUGAGGAGUGAAUUGGGUGAAUUUGAAUCAAAACUAAUGAAGUUAGCCCUAAAACUAGAGUAGUUUGGUAUAGGAUUAAUGUUGAUCCAGGGUUGGAUAAACAGCCACCUUGUCUGAAUUACUUUUGUUGAUAGGAGACGAACCACGGUGUGAGAUUGGUACCGUUGGAAAGCCCUUCGAGUCAAGUUUCCAACGCCACUGACAGCACCUAAUUUUGACUUUUCUACAGUGAGUUAUGACCGUUUUCCUAAGACUGCCAGGGCAUGACUGUGCAACCCGAGAAGAAAUCCUUAAGCAUAAUUGGAACUUUCUUUUGCCAAACUUUCAUGCACCUACUAAACUGUUUUCUCAUUAACUUUUUACCAUGGAUUGGGCCUUGUUUGCAUGAUGGAUUAAGUAGCUUAGACUACUCACUUGUCUCUUAUUGAGCCUAACCUAGUGGGACAUGAAUCUAAGUGUUAACGAUUUCACUCGUUGCCCUAGGUUUGGGAAUGAACCGUGCAUGUCAUAAGUGUAAGGAUCAUUAUCAUGGGACUUGAGGAAGUUAGGUAUGUAUGUCGGGUAGGAAUCUUUAAUAUGGACAAUUUACGCUUGGGACCGGCCGGCUCGAGUUGUGAAUUAUCUUAGAUGGGAUUCUUGCGCCCGGAUACGAAAGAGAUGAAAGCCUAGGUUAGAAAGGAUUGGGUGAACUAGAAAUGUGAUUCUAUGGAACUUCGUGUGGUUUGUUCGGGUGUGGUUAAGCGUGAUUAACCUUGAUUAAGAUAUAAAUGGUGUUGCUCUUGUAGACUAUGGAUGGAGCCCUAGAGAGGGAAAAGUUUUUCGUGAGUUCUUUUGUACUCGUGACCUAGUCUGUCUAUAGUACUUUUGGAGGACCCUUUUGUUUCAUGGGAUGACUUUGUAUGUACUUGAUUGACUGUUCUGUAUAAUUGCUUGAUCUGGUUAUGUGUUCUCUGUAUAUGUGUUAUGUGUUUAAAUGCUCCACGAGAUAGUGGUUCUAGUUACUUGUUCUUGUUUAAUUGUUCCUGUCUAGUGCUACGAAAAGGAGGGUUAUGUGCCCAUUAACAGUAUAUUUAUUUUGUGAUCUAGAUUGACUUAGAUUGAUGGAAGGCACUCGUAGUGGUCGAGGCCGUGGACGUGGGGGUAGGCAACCCACGCCUGAAAGGGGCACUGGAGAAACCUCAUCUGGCCCUAACCCUGAAUCUAGGGUUGAUCCUAACAUCCAAAUAGCGGCUGCCAUGCAGCAAAUGACUAAUUUACUAGCCCAAGUGGUGCACCAACAGGGUCAAAACCCUUAUUCUAACCCUGGAAACCCUGGCAACCACGUCGAGAGCGACGACAGGGAACUUGAAAGAUUCCAGAAGUUUUCUCCACCGAAGUUCGUUGGGGGGCCCGAUCCGGAUGUCGCCGAAAGGUGGCUCGAGAAAAUGGUAGACAUAUUCGCUGCCCUGCACUACACCGAAGAACGGCAGGUGACUUUUGCCGUUUUCCAGCUGGAAGGGGCGGCCCGUUCCUGGUGGAAUGUUAUUCGGCAGAAAUGGGAACGGGAGCAGACGCCCCGGACCUGGGUGAAUUUUAUGAGAGAAUUCAACGCGAAAUUUUUUCCUCCUCUAGUUCAGGAGAGGAAAGAAGAUGAAUUUAUUCGGUUUCGUCAAGGGGCCCAAUCUGUAGCGGAGUAUGAGAGCCAAUUCACCCGCCUAUCCAAAUUUGCGCCUGAACUCAUCAUGACUGAGCAACGAAGAAGAUGGCGAUUUGUCCGGAGCCUGAACGUAGAAAUCCAGAAGGACCUCGCGGCAGCUGUAGACACCAAAUUUUAGUGUAUUUUUACUUACUAUUAUUUUUAUUUUUCAUGUUAGUUUUUAUUUACUUUUAGUCUUUUAUUUUUAUUUUUAAGUCAUUUUAGCAUAGAAUUUUUUGGAAAAAGAAGGAAGAAUUAUUAGCAUUUUGUUUUUAUCUUUUAUUCCUAGUUUUGUUCAUUUUAUCUGAUUUUAUUUUUAAGUUGUUGUUAAAAAAAAAAAAGGGAAACCCGAUAGCGGGUUUUGGGUUGUUUAAGAGAUUCUGAAAAGAAAAAACAAUGGACGAGCUCACGCACAACGAAAAUUCUAGCUUACUUCCUGUUUUUGUUCCGUCAUUUCUCCACCUUUAGAUCAUGCUAACCUGGCUUUCAUCAACGAGGCAAAAGGAAUCUCAGGAAAAAGCCCUGGGAACAUGAAUUCAGCAGCACCAUUGAUGUUAGGUUCUAGGGAUAUUCAGUGCAUAUAAAAGCUAAGAGGAGGACUAAAGGAGGGGGGAGGUUUUAUGACGACUGAGGGUGAAAAAAGAAUAGGAGAGAGCUGGGGUUUCAGGAGUGAGGCUGGUGACGACUAAGGAACCAGAAACCAGAAAGAGUGAAGAGAGCCGAGAGAGGGCGGGACAAAAAGAGAGUUCGGUGACGGCGAAAAAGAAAAAAAACAAGAGGGAGACCGAAAGGAAAAAGGGCAAGAAAGCUACGGAGAGGUUUGAGAGAGCAAAAGGUGACGGCUGGAGAAAACUGAGAGGGGUCGGCUGUGAGAAGAGGCUAGGGUUUGGAGAGAGGUUCUAGAGGAGAGAGAAGAAAGAUUGACGGCGGGGUUGGAGAGGAAGCAACAAAAAGAAAAGGAGAGCAGGAGGAGGUCUUAGCAGAGAGCUCUAGAGGUUUAGCAGACGGCAGAAAUCUGAUAAGAAGGAGAGGAGAGACUGAGUUGACGGCUGGACUGAAAGAUAGGAUAAGAAGAGAGGGGGAGAGAAGGAGCGAGGGAAAUUGAGAAGAGGGUUUCGGAUGGCCAUGUUCAGUCAAAUCUCGAUCAUAUCUCCAAUUCACAGUAAUUCUCCUCGGUAGCUUGAUUUCGUGCACUUUGCCUAGGAAUUGGCGUGGUUGUUUCAAGCUCAUAAGUGGCAAAGGUGAUUCAUUUUACUUGAACUGGUUCUGAACAUAUCGAAAUUCUUGAAAUCUUAUCUUUUUUUUUGGGAUCUGAUCUUCGAUCCUUUGUUGCUGUGAUUCGUUCCCUUUUGUAUGAACUGUUAGCUUAGAUAUUGUCUGUAUACCCCUGUGCUUGAACUUUGUGUUGUCAUAGCCCAAGAAACACAGGGUAUAGGAGUCUUUCCAAGUUCAUUUAAUUGAUAUUUGAUCCUAAAAUUGCUGAAAAAAAAGAAGAAAGUUGUGGAAUUUUUCUUUUCAGAUUCGCAAGCUAUCUUCGUCUGAAUUUUUUUGUGUGUGUUUUAAGAUAAGGAUUGCAGCCAGGAUGACAGGGGUCAUUUUCCUUGGGUUGUUUGAGCUCUUGGGUUGCUUGAAGUUCUAGAUUUGCUUGUUGUUUGAUUAGUUUUCCAUGUACAUGUCUAGCGCAAGAUCCUUUCUUUCUGACUUUGCUACAUUUUUUCCUUUUCCUUUCGGUCAAUUCCAGUUCUUUGUUUGAAUCCUGUAGCCAAAUUUUUGUGUUGGAUUUAGUUGGUGUUUGAUGGUUAAAAUCGUGAUGUUUUGGUGGAUUCGUUGGCAUGAUAAGAUGGCCAAGACAAUUGCAGUAAGAAAGAUGUGAAGUAGUUGAAAAAUAGUCUCAGUCUGCAGAAUUGUUUUUCGUUGCAUGCAUGGGAUAUUUUCUGAGAAUUAUAUUUUAACCCCUAUCUUUUCAACUAAUUCUUCUAAGUCCCAGGAGUUUUGGAAAAUAAAUCAAUUUUGUCUCCUUGGUUUCUAGUAAUACUACAAAGGCCCAAUUACAUUCCAAUCUCAUGCAAUUAAGUCCUAAGUUGAUUACAAUUUGAACCGUUAUUUGGCUCUUUAUUAUUUUGGGACCUUUAAAGUUCCUACAAUGUUUCAAUUGGCCUUGAUUGAUUGAUUAAUGGUUGCUAUUGGGUCUUUAGUCAUUUUGCUAUUUUAGAAAUUUGAUCAAUGAUUCACUUUUGCUUGGAAAUUAUGCAUUAUUUGAUCAUUUUUAAGUUACAAUUGAAGAAGGAUUCGAUGAUUUUGUGGAUUCAAAUUGGCUUAUUUACAUUUUACCACUAAAUUGGUGCAUUAAUUCAUUGUUUUGAUGGUUUUUAGCCCAUGUUAUUCCUUUCUUUGGUGACUUUAGCCCAAGUUAAGUCGUGUUUACUUUACUAACAUCAUAAACGGGGAGGUAUAAUUUCUUUUAUCCCUUUUUGUUUCUCUCCUAUGUGAUUCAACGUGCUAAGUGAGAAUUGCAUGUCUACUUUGCUUUCCUUGCCUUUCUUUAAUUCCUUUCAUUUAUUUUAUUUACUUUUGCUUUUAUUAAGUUAUUCUUUUAUGGGGUAUGUGUACACCUCUUGGCUUGUAAUAGAUAGAGCUUGGAGAGAAAUUUUGUCCAUUUUUCCCCUUCCCCGUUUUGUUUUAGUUAGCAAAUGUAAUAGGUUCAUUGCUUGCUUUUGUUGCUGUGAGAACCCGAAUUUUUGCAUUUUCUAGGUUUUAUUAUUUUUCAUGGCUUGUUUUCUGCAUUUUCGUGCUUAGGAAAAAUUUCUAGAUAAUUUUAAGGAGCAGAUAUAAUUUUUAGAUGAUUUUUCUAGUAUCGAAUAGGUUUUUGAGAAAUUAAGAGCGUAUACCGGACGUGGGACCCACUAGUGCGAAAAGUUCGGAAAAAUUCGGCCAACUAGGUUAAGUUUCGGAUACUGGGUUUAAUUUACCGGGUGUUAAGAGAUAAUUAGAGGAAGCUAUUUGGAUUGAUGUGAGAGGGAACAAAGUGAUAGACUUGCAUUAAAUAAGUGACAAGUGUCACCAUUUGAUUGGAGGAACUUGUAAGACCACUAUUCAUUUUCUUACCAUUGACCAAAUAAAUCAAAAAUUCACCAAAAAUUCCUCAUUGAUAUGAGAGGGAACAAAGUGAUAGACUUGCAUUAAAUAAAUGACAAGUGUCACCAUUUGAUUGGAGGAACUUGUAAGACCACUAUUCAUUUUCUUACCAUUGACCAAAUAAAUCAAAAAUUCACCAAAAAUUCCUCAUUUUUGUCUUCCUCUUGGCCGAACCUCUUCCUACAAGAAAAGAAAGAAAAGCUUCCAAGUUUCUUGCUCCAAUCUUGCCCAAUCUCACAAACUAACCGUUUCAUCUUGAAUUACUUCCAUAAAACCUUUUCAAUUAGUGUUAGUGAGUUGAUUUGUGGAGUUAUUUGGAAAGCUAAGAGGACCUAUUGCUCUCUCUCUCUUGUUUCUAAGGUGAGUUGUGAAGAACCACCCUCCUCCCUUAAUUGAUGCUUAAAUCAUGAUUAGUGGUAGUAUGAGAUGCAAUAUUAUGGAUUAUUUCUUGAUUUGUGGUUGAAGUGAUGAAGUUUUAUUAUUUUUGGGGAUUUUUCUGUUUUAAUAUAAGCAUGAUUGUGUGGCUAUCUAUGAUGAUUGGAAAUGGUAUAUAAUGACUCUAGGAGGUGGAAAAAGUGAUUAAUUGCAACCAAUUUCUGGUUUGGAAGAAAUUUCAGAAAAUUAGGGUUCUUGUGGGAGCAUUCUGGCCGAAUUUUUAGCUCCUAGUUAGAGGCCGAAUUGGCCUUAGAUUAAAACAUGAAAGUUGUAGGUAAUGACAUUUUAGAGGUGCCUACAAAAUUUCAGGUCAAUCGGAGUAGUGUAGAAUGAGAAAAGUCAAAAUUACCCUUGCUGUCCUGGUUUUAUCCGAAUGUAAGAAUUGCGCCUGUAAUUGGUUGUUUUGGCUGGAAUUGCUUCCGAAUUGGUUGUUGAGGCCUUCUGAUGAAAUUUAUCCCUGUUUCUUAGCUUUCAGCUGGUUUUGGAAUUUCUGGAUUUGGACUUGGAGAGCCUGAGUUAUGAUGUUUCCGCUAGAAUGCAUUUUGGUGAAUCUGUUUUACGUUUUUGAUGUAGUAUCUUACAUUUUCGACCUAUUUGCACUCAAAACUGGGUUGAGUGACCUUCUGUGAUGUUGUAGCCCUGUUGUUUAGCUUCGAAAUGGUGGGUCUUGUACCCUCAUCCAAUAAUCGUAGUGAAAUUGGUGCCAUUACCGCAAAAUGAGGUCAAAAACUGUUUUUUCAGGGCUAAAGGUAAUUCCAUUUCCGGAUUUUUCUGGUUUCCUCUAAUGCUUAUAUAUGCUUAUGGAACCCUAUUGUGAUCAUGUUGGCAUUGGUUUAUGACUUGUAAUCGAGUCUUCUUGUGCUUAUUGGAAUAUUCUAGGGCUUGACUUUUAUUUCCGGUCAUUUUCCUAGCUAACUUUUGUACUUGGAUAACCUUGAGCCUAUUGAACGGCUGUGGUGAUGAAUGUAUAUUGAGUAUGACUUUGGGAGUUGAUUGAGGAAAAUAAUGAAGCCGUGAUGGCUGGAAAAGGAAGAAAUUUAGGGGAAGUGCUGUCCAAUUUUUCUAGGCCGAUUGGUUCCUUUAAGUUUGAAUUGGCAUGUGAUAGAAAUGAAGGGCUUUUGGGUUGUUGAACCUAGGUCUUCAUGUUACCUUUUUGUUCCCAAAAAUCAUGUUUUGUACCCUUGCAUUAGUAAUUAUUUGGCGAGGCAUACGACUAGUAGUCGAGCCUCACAUGUGCAUUUUGUUUACUCGAUUCUGGAUGUGAAACCUUCAAUUGAUUUACUUUGAUUAUUUUAGGGUUUCUUGGCGAUUAAAGCCAAUCCGAAGUGAAAAUUUUUGAGGUAUCUGUACUUGAACCGGUGAGUGUACCACUCCCCUCCAUUACUGUUUAACUUGAUUUCUGCUCUGCAAUCUGUUUAAUUUGUUUGAGACGAGGGUGUACUUUAUCACACUCGUUCUCUUGUCUGUUCAUAUGCCAAUUUUGGUGUCAAUCUGAAUCUGAAUCUGUAUCUGAUAUCUGUAUCUGUAUCUGUUCGGACGUCGUUUGGAAACUUGUAACCAACGACCUUUCUGUGACCUAUGAGCUCAAAUCCUGUGGCUAAAUUAUUCGAGUCGGGCCGGCAAGGGCCUGGACGAUUAGAUAACGAACCACGGUAGUCUGUUUUGGGAUCUUUGGGUAUUGAGACCCUUGAUUCCGGUAUACUCGAGUAUUACCAUUUCUGUUUCUGUUGAGGUGAGCGGGCUCGGUAAAGGGGUGUUUGGUGGACGGAAUUUGGUGUAAAGUGGAGUCUACAGACGCAUUGGUUCUAUAUACAUUGACUGAGAGUCAACCGGCUUGGAUCAAGUACUGUGCUGGAAAGCUGGCUCCUGAGAGCCACCUGUAUCCUUCCUAUUUGAAUCCUUGUGUCUACCUGUCUUACUUUAUAGCGAGCAUGUGUAUCUGAUUUGUAUAACGUGAAAUGCCUGAUUUUUCUGCUACAUGUUUGGCACCUCAUUGGGCGUAAGCUCACCCCCUCCUCGUUAUCUUUGUUUUCCUUACAGGAACCUCUUUUGGAAAUCAUGAUUUUGAGAAGCGAGUUGAGCUAGUUAGAUAAUCUUUUGUUCUUUUGUAUAGCUCCUCGAGAGUGAGCAAACUCCAAAUGUAUUUCAUUUCACUGGUUCCACUUGUAUUGUAAACCUAGCGACAUGUAUAUAUGAAAGUGUUUUCCCCAUGUGAUUUUGGUAAGUUACUUGUAAGCUUGGCGGUCUUCAAUCGUUCAAUUCUUUUGGGUCCUAUCUCGCGUAAUGUCGGAUUUGUGUAAUUCGACUCCGUAGUCCUGGCGAGAGCUGGGCAGGCGGUCCGCUGAACCCUUUGGUUCGCCUUAGGGUGAGAUGGGGCUGUCACAGGUGGUAUCAGAGCCACUUCGCGUGGUCUCUGCGCGGAGAGAGCUUGGGCCAAGUGGUGUUAUGGCCCUGCUUUCGUGAAAGCGUCAAAAGGUAUAUGUGCUCGUUUAAGCGUAAGUGAUGAACUGUGCAUGUCAUAAGUGUAAGGAUCAUUACCAUGGGACUUGAGGAAGUUAGGAAUGUAUGUCGGGUAGAAAUCUUUAAUAUGGAUGAUUUACGCUUGGGACCGGCCGGCUCGAGUUGUUAAUUAUCUUAGAUGGGAUUCUUGCGCCCGGAUACGAAAGAGAUGAGAGCCUAGGUUAGAAAGGACUUGGGCGAACUAGCAAUGUGAUUCGAUGGAACUUCGCGCAGUCUGUUCGGGUGUUGUUAAGCAUGAUCGACCUUGAUUAAGAUAUCAAUGGUGUUGUUCUCGUAGAUUAAGGACGGAGCCCUAGAGAGGAAAAGCUUUUCGUUAGUUAUUCUUGUACUUGAUACCUGGUCUGUCUAUAGUACUUUUGGAUAACCCCGCUACUUUCAUGGAUUUGUAUUUAAUUGAUUGCUACUGUAUGGCUUGUUUGAUACAGUUAUGUUAUAUAUGGAUACUUUUGAUCUGUGCGCACCUUUUGCUACUUGCUUUUGCCUACCUAUGUUUAAUAUUAUAUUCCCGCUUCGACCCUAGAUUUAUUAGACCAAUGGAAGGCACUCGUAGUGGACGGGGCCGCGGGCGUGGAAUUAGGCAACCUACAUCUGAGAGGCGCACUGGAGAAACCUCAUAUGAACCAAACUCUGAACCUAGGGUUGACCCCAACGUCCAAAUAGCCGCUGCUAUGCAGCAAAUGACUGAUUUGCUAGCCCAAGUGGUGCACCAACAGGGUCAAAACCCUAACCCCAACCCUGGGAACCCUGGUAAUCACAUAGAGGGCGAGGAUAGAGCCCUUGAGAGAUUUCAAAAGUUCUCCCCACCUAAAUUUCUUGGAGGCCCUGAUCCUGACGUAGCUGAGAAGUGGCUGGAGAAGAUGAUCGAUAUUUUUGCUGCCUUACACUAUACCGAGGAGAGAUAGGUAACAUUUAUUGUCUUUCAACUAGAGGGAGCCGCCCGUUCCUGGUGGAAUGUCAUUCGAAUGAAGUGGGAAAGAGAACAAACCCCGAGGACGUUGGCGAACUUUAUGAGAGAAUUUAAUGCCAAGUUUUUCCCUCCUCUAAUCCAAGAAAAAAAGGAAGAUGAAUUCAUUCGGUUUCGCCAAGGAACUCAGACCGUAGCCGAGUAUGAGAGUCAAUUCACUCGGUUGUCUAAGUUUGCGUCCGAAUUGAUUGUAACCGAACAAAGACGGAUAAGGCGAUUCAUCCAAGGAUUAAAUGUUGAAAUUCAGAAAGAUCUGGCAGUAGCCCAACUUAAUGCCUUUAGUGAUGCGGUGGAGAAGGCCCAGCGAGUUGAAACUGCGAGGUUACAAGUUAGGAACUUCCAAGCCAAAAAAAGGGGCUUUCCUAGGAGCAGUUCGGAACAGGAAGAUAAGAGCACACCCCCUAAGAGUGGAAAAGGAAAUGGGGGAGUACGACAACCGGGGGUGGCCAGUGGUGUCUCACUGGGAGGAUCGGCCACUGCUACUCGAGGUCCCUGUGGAUAUUGCGGAGGGCCAAAUCACACGGAGGCAAAUUGUUGGAAGAAAGAAGGAAAAUGCCUGCGCUGUGGUAGCGCCGAACAUCGAAUUGCUAACUGUCCAGCUCGACUGUGCGAGCGGAGAGGGACUCAGCCACCAACCAAGCCCAAUUCUCAGCAACUAUGUGACGACCCCACUUCUCCCAAGGGCGAACCCAAGGGUAUCGACGGGCCGCCUGCCUAGCUCGCGCCAGGUCUCAAAACUUAAAACAAUCAAAGCCAGAAAAUCCAAAAGAGUACUAUAUACAAUCCCAAAAGAGUUAUAAUUACAUUCUCCAAAAGUACCUGCUUACACUAUUACAUCCUUAUAACUACCACCAAAACCACAAUGUAGACCCUAAGGAGGGUCCUUAUACAAACCACCAAAACUAAAACAAAAACAAACAUACUAGAUGUCCAACUAUUACAAGCAAACCUAACUAUACUAGUGCACGUGCCAAAAAUCCCCGUGUCGGCCCCUGCUAAGGAAAACAAAAGGAAAGGGGUAAGCUAUAUGCUUAGUAAGUAAACAGGGGCGAAAGCGUAAAUGUCACAUAACAAUAGUUACACAGUAAGAGUAACGCAAAACAGAAAGAUAACAUCACAUAAUAAGGAUACGGGUGGCUCCAAAGCCAAUUCAUGUGCCAUGCGUGAACUCCUGCCGACACUCCGUCGACCGCAAUUAAUGGUCCGUAGAACUUCACUUGUACACCCACCGACACCUUAUCACCCUCACUGGCCAGUCACCUCACAAACUUGCCCAGACGAACGAAAUCACAAACUUGAGCUUGAGUCACAAGCUCGGGUCACAAAAUUGGUCCACAUACUCGGUGAACCGGGUUCACAAACUUGGUGACCUCAAACCAGGUUGGACUGACUUCGACCAAGCCCUAACCGGCUCGAAUAGUCCAUCUAGGCAUUAAGACCGCCCCACAAACACACAAACUUCACAAAAUUAUUCAAAAGUCACCCCGAGCCACAAGCUCAAGGGUUUUAGUUUCAAAAUGAUUCAUGUACAUAUGUCAUGUACAAAUAUGUGCACAAAUUUCGGGUUUAGGUUGAGUGCGAUAAAGUACACCUUCGCCUAGAUACCCUUUUUAUGUAUAUCAAAACACAUAAACAAAUAACACACAAGAGCGGCCCGAAUACUUACACAAUGAACAAAAGAGCAAAAUUCGAAUUUGGAGUCGCGAAGAAUAGCUAGUAGGCCCCACCGGCCCAACCUAGCUCACCACCGUCUGAAAUAGAAGAUUGCGUCACAUAAUAUCAUAAACGGCUACAAACAUACAUAAAACAAUCAAAACGGCAAAAUCGGCACAUGCAAGUGCGGAAACGGCAAAACGGCCGCACGCGUCCGCGCGGAACGGCAAACGGAAAUGGCCAAAUCUGCCUUCUUAAGCCGGUUUGGUCAAAAGUGAGGCUAGGAAUGUCAGAUUAAGGUACAUGAGGUUCCGUUACGAAGCUAAGAGAAAAGUAUAUAACUUUCAUGAAGACACGUAAUUCAGGAUCUGAACAGAGGUAGGUCGAAAGUGCAGAAAACCGUUCCAGGAAUUUGCACUUUAGAGUAACGAACAGGGUAUGUUUUCUGGACUAUAACUCCCAGCUCACAAAUCCAAAUCAAGAAAUUCCAAAGGAAUUAGAAAGCUGAGACAUAAGGAUAAAACUUUGAUGUUUUGGCCAAGACCUGAAUCCACUCAGAACAGAACGAAAUUUGAGUGUCAAAGUACCCGUCAGAACUGUCCAGAUACAAGGCAGUUCUGACGAUCGAUUUUGUUUUGGUCAUAACAGGAGCUCGGAACUCGGAUUUCAACGCACUUUAUACCGUUUCGAAGCCAAAACCAAGAUCUACAUUUUUUAUGAAGGAGUCAAAACCCAGAUCGUACGGGAUCAAAACCGAAAAGUCAAAGGCAGAAGCGAAACUAAAAACGCACAGAAUCAGAGGGUCAAAACAGGCUUGAGCAUUUCGUCGAUAACUCAGGCUACGCUAAUCCGAUUGACCUGAAAUUUUGCAGGAAUAUGCAGGACUUACAAGGCUACAACUUUCAUGUUUUGAGGAAUGUCUGAAUACGUACGCAACAUCAAGAAAAAUAAAGCCAAAGUUAAGAUCCUGAACUGUCCUGUUUUUUCCAGUUUCGCCGGUUUUGCGCGCCGCAACCGCACGGUCCCCUUCUAUUGUUCUUAUGCGCAUUUUUCUAACCAAAACGAUACCCAAAGCCCAUACCUAUAUCAGUCUAGGAGUGGUCUAAAAUUCUUUCACAAAUUAUCCCAAAAUCACCAAAUACUAACCAUAAUCCAUAAGCUAAUUUUAUUAGCACCAUAGAACUUAUUUUCCCAUCCAACUACACAAACUCAAACUCAAUAGCCAUAAGCUCAACUAAUCUAACCUAAUGGAGUCUAGGGUUUCUUAACCCAAACCAGAUUUUUUCUGGAAACCAACCAAUCAAGUGAAGCAAAUCAUCAAACACAACCACUACACAUCAAUUUCUCAAUUCAAGCAACUAAGGAAAACAUUAAAGCAAGAAGCCCCAAUUCCUCUUUCUCUUGACCGAAAUUUUCAGCAACAUAAAUCACAAAAAUUAACCAAAGUACUCCAUAAAAACAAGUGAUAGGCAUAAGAGGUACCACAAUCAAGCACAACUAAGAUCCUAUACAAAAAUAACCACUAGUUCAUCAAGCAAUAAUCAACUUAAGUCUUCAAAUAGACUUUCUUACCUCAAGAUUAAGGAUGUAUGAUGACUAAUGACCUUAAGCCAAUUCCAAAGUAGAUUCUUUAUGCUUCAAAAUGAAGAUUUAUGGAAGGAAAUUGAUUGAACUUCACAAACUUUCCUUGGUUUCUCCCUUCAAGGUGGCCGGCCCUCUCUCUCCAAGUUACUCUUCAAUUUUUGUUUUGUUUGUCGUACAAAUGACUUAAUUAUGGCCCUUGAGACUAAUAUGUGGUGCAAGACCACUUAGGAGAGAUAUUUUUAAGGCUAACCAAUCACAUAAAAGCUCCUCAAUUGCACUUUUAACCCUUGCACUCCAACUCUCUCUUUCUUAUACAUUUGCCCUCAAACAUUUGAUAAUCUUUCAAUUUACUCCAUAGGUUAUAACUUAAUCUAGUUUAAAACACAUAAUCCCACUUAAGUACUUCACUAAUCACUUUCCUCUCUUAAUCAUUUAUACUUAAGCAUACUUUCUCCAUAAAUAAAACAAUUAAACAACAACUUUAUAAUAUUGGCAAAAUUAGGGUUUUUAAACCCAACUUAGGCUUUCUAAUAAUUUAUAACACUAGAGGUUUACUAAUCUAAGGUUUGCUAACCAUUUUCAAACUUGUUCAACCUCGGUAAACAAUAGCGAAUCCUAUUUUUUUAUACUUGUGCCGAAACACACACUAGAAUACCACAUAGAAACCAUAGCUCGAGCUUAUGAAUAAUACAUAAACUAGGGUUUCCUUCUUACCCUAAAACCCCAAUUAGCCGCACAAAAUAAUGGAAAACCCUAAUAUCAACUUACGAACGGACUGGGGCCUCACAAUCUCCCCCGCUUAGGACAAUUUCGUCCUCGAAAUUACUUCUCUGAUCAAAGCGUACCUUCGAAAUCCGCCGAAGGGUCAGUCAUUGCGUAUUGACCAAUUGCAUACACUCUUGCUGGCCCUUUGGGUCGAUUUUCCCCUGCGUUUGAUGGCUUCGUUGUGGUCCCUUCUGUUGGUGGUUUGGUUCCUUCCUUCUGCAUCUUAGGGCACCGGGCAAUCAAAUGUUCAGUGCUGCCACAUUUGAAGCAUUUUCGUACCGAACUAUUUUUCCAGCAAUUUUCAUCGGUGUGAUUGCCCCCACAGAAACCACAGGUUGGCUUAGCGGCCGUACUUGACCCUCCACGCUGAGCACUCUUCUGAGGCUCUUGCACUAUUUGACCUCGCCCAAAGCUAUUCAGGGUUCUUGUAGGUCGUGGACCAUCUGUGCCUUUACUCGUCUUAGCAGGUGGCUCGUUUCGGGAACUUUGUCCAAUCGUGGAGUCAUUCGAGCUGGGUUGCCUCCUUUUCCGGUCAUGGAAAGCUUUCACCUGUCCCCUAGCAGUCUCAAUCCGCUGUGCUUUUUCUAGCGCCUGGCUAAUGGUGUCCAGCUGUGCAGCCGCUAGUGCUUCUUGGAUCUCUACGUUUAAGCCUUGAGUAAAGCGGCGAAUUCGCUUGCGCUCUGUUAGUACCAGCUCCGGGGCGAAGCGAGAGAGUUUGGUAAAUUGUGUCUCAUACUCCGCCACACUAGACGCCCCUUGACGCAGGCGGAUAAAAUCAUCUUCCCGUUUUUCUUGCACAAUGGGUGGUAAAUAUUUUUCAUUAAACUCCCGUGUGAAGUUGGUCCAGGUCCAAGGGGUUUGUUCGCGCUCCCACUUGGUUUUCACCACGUUCCACCAGCGGCCCCUUCAAAUUGAAAAACAGUAAAGGAUAUCUGCCGUUCCUCUGAGUACCUAAGCGCGGCAAAAAUAUCUAGCAUACGGUCCAUCCAACCCUCCGCUAAGUCAGGAUCGGGUCCACCUACAAACUUAGGAGGUGCAAAUUUCUGGAACCGUUCCAAAGCACGGUCCUCUCCCUCUUGAUUAACCGGAUUAUGUCCCGGAUUAUGUCCAGGAUUCCCCAUACUGCUCCCCUGGCCUUGUUGAUUUGACAUUAGCUCUAAUAGAUCGGCCAUCCGCUGAAUGGCUGUAGCGACUUGAUCUGGUUCAUGUCCUUGUCCCCUUUCAGGGCUUCGUGCUUGCCCUCUACCUCCACCUCGAGUACCGAAGGCCAUUUAAGUGCAAAAGUCUAUAGAUCGGAACAUUACGGAUACUUAUUAUCCAGACUAUGAGCAAAAGUACGGACGUAAAGCAUAUACACAGAAGACACACAAAAGAUACGUUCAAAAGGCUUUUCAAAUAUAUACAUAUAUUUACAAAGUCACACCAAAAGAUUUACAGAUUACCAACCUCCAGUCGGUACAAAAGCCAAUGUACACAUGAGCAUCGGCUCCAAAAAUCUAAUCAGUCAACCAGAUAACAAAAGAAGGCAGUCAUGCUAGUUCUAACAAAAGUCAUACACUAGCGAAACAAAAGUAUAAAAGUGACCCUAAUCGCCUCCCCUAGGGCCCAGGUUCCCAACGGAGUAUAAAGUGUAAGGCUCUCCAGGUCUCUGCCGAUAGCGGAUCACCCGCUUACGCAGCACUCGAUCCUCUACGCCUCUCAUACUCGGAAAUCUCGGUCCCACACCACGGGGUCCCACACCACUCGAACUACCCGGAUACAUACUUACACAACAUUAAGUCGUCAAUCAACCGGCAUUUCAACUUAAAACAUAUCAUUCAACUUAAAAGGGUCACAUAUGCCUAGUGCCUACCGCGUAUGUCCUACUUGCCCAAGUCCUCUAAUCUAGGCGCUCUGAUACCACCUGUGACGACCCCACUUCUCCCAAGGGCGAACCCAAGGGUAUCGGCGGCCGCCUACCUAGCUCGCGCCAGGGUUCAAAACUUAAAACAAUCAAAGUCAGAAAAUCCAAAAGAGUACUAUAUACAAUCCCAAAAGAGUUAUAAUUACAUUCUCCAAAAGUACCUGCUUACACUAUUACAUCCUUAUAACUACCACCAAAACCACAAUGUAGACCCUAAGGAGGGUCCUUAUACAAACCACCAAAACUAAAACAAAAACAAACAAAUUACAUGUCCAACUAUUACAAGCAAACCUAACUAUACUAGUGCACGUACCAAAAGUCCCCGCGUCGGCCCCUGCUAAGGAAAACAAAAGGAAAGGGGUAAGCUAUAUGCUUAGUAAGUAAACAGGGGCGAAAGCGUAAAUGUCACAUAACAAUAGUUACACAGUAAGAGUAACGCAAAACAGAAAGAUAACAUCACAUAAUAAGGAUACGGGUGGCUCCAAAGCCAAUUCAUGUGCCAUGCGUGAACUCCUGCCGACACUCCAUCGACCGCAAUUAAUGGUCCGUAGAACUUCACUUGUACACCCACCGACACCUUAUCACCCUCACUGGCCAGUCACCUCACAAACUUGCCCAGGCGAACGAAAUCACAAACUUGAGCUUGAGUCACAAGCUCGGGUCACAAAAUUGGUCCACAUACUCGGUGAACCGGGUUCACAAACUUGGUGACCUCAAACCAGGUUGGACUGACUUCGACCAAGCCCUAACCGGCUCGAAUAGUCCAUCUAGGUAUUAAGACCGCCCCACAAACACACAAACUUCACAAAAUUAUUCAAAAGUCACCCCGAGCCACAAGCUCAAGGGUUUUAGUUUCAAAAUGAUUCAUGUAUAUAUGUCAUGUACAAAUAUGUGCACAAAUUUCGGGUUUAGGUUGAGUGCGAUAAAGUACACCUUCGCCUAGAUACCCUUUUUAUGUAUAUCAAAACACAUAAACAAAUAACACACAAGAGCGGCCCGAAUACUUACACAAUGAACAAAAGAGCAAAAUUCGAAAUUGGAGUCGCGAAGAAUAGCUAGUAGGCCCCACCGGCUCCACCUAGCUCACCACCGUCUGAAAUAGAAGAUUGCGUCACAUAAUAUCAUAAACGGCUACAAACAUACAUAAAACAAUCAAAACGGCAAAAUCGGCACAUGCAAGUGCGGAAACGGCAAAACGGCCGCACGCGUCCGCGCGGAACGGCAAACGGAAAUGGCCAAAUCUGCCUUCUUAAGCCGGUUUGGUCAAAAGUGAGGCUAGGAAUGUCAGAUUAAGGUACAUGAGGUACCGUUACGAAGCUAAGAGAAAAGUAUAUAACUUUCAUGAAGACACUUAAUUCCGGAUCUGAACAGAGGUAGGUCGAAAGUGCAGAAAACCGUUCCAGGAAUUUGCACUUUAGAGUAACGAACAGGGUAUGUUUGCUGGACUAUAACUCCCAGCUCACAAAUCCAAAUCAGGAAAUUCCAAAGGAAUUAGAAAGCUGAGACAUAAGGAUAAAACUUUGAUGUUUUGGCCAAGACCUGAAUCCACUCAGAACAGAACGAAAUUUGAGUGUCAAAGUACCCGUCAGAACUGUCCAGAUACAAGGCAGUUCUGAUGAUCGAUUUUGUUUUGGUCAUAACAGGAGCUCGGAACUCGGAUUUCAACGCACUUUAUACCGUUUCGAAGCCAAAACCAAGAUCUACAUUUUUUAUGAAGGAGUCAAAACCCAGAUCGUACGGGAUCAAAACCGAAAAGUCACGGGCAGAAGCGAAACUAAAAACGCACAGAAUCAGAGGGUCAAAACAGGCUUGAGCAUUUCGUCGAUAACUCAGGCUACGCUAAUCCGAUUGACCUGAAAUUUUGUAGGAAUAUGCAGGACUUACAAGGCUACAACUUUCAUGUUUUGAGGAAUGUCUGAGUCCUUACGAAACAUCAAGAAAAAUAAAGCCAAAGUUCAGAUCCUGAACUGUCCUGUUUUUUCCAGUUUCGCCGGUUUUGCGCGCCGCAACCGCACGGUCCCCUUCUAUUGUUCUUAUGCGCAUUUUUCUAACCAAAACGAUACCCAAAACCCAUACCUAUAUCAGUCUAGGAGUGGUCUAAAAUUCUUUCACAAAUUAUCCCAAAAUCACCAAAUACUAACCAUAAUCCAUAAGCUAAUUUUAUUAGCACCAUAGAACUUAUUUUCCCAUCCAACUACACAAACUCAAACUCAAUAGCCAUAAGCUCAACUAAUCUAACCUAAUGGAGUCUAGGGUUUCUUAACCCAAACCAGAUUUUUGCUGGAAACCAACCAAUCAAGUGAAGCAAAUCAUCAAACACAACCACUACACAUCAAUUUCUCAAUUCAAGCAACUAAGGAAAACAUUAAAGCAAGAAGCCCCAAUUCCUCUUUCUCUUGACCGAAAUUUUCGGCAACAUAAAUCACAAAAAUUAACCAAAGUACUCCAUAAAAACAAGUGAUAGGCAUAAGAGGUACCACAAUCAAGCACAACUAAGAUCCUAUACAAAAAUAACCACUAGUUCAUCAAGCAAUAAUCAACUUAAGUCUUCAAAUAGACUUUCUUACCUCAAGAUUAAGGAUGUAUGAUGACUAAUGACCUUAAGCCAACUCCAAAGUAGAUUCUUUAUGCUUCAAAAUGAAGAUUUAUGGAAGGAAAUUGAUUGAACUUCACAAACUUUCCUUGGUUUCUCCCUUCAAGGUGGCCGGCCCUCUCUCUCCAAGUUACUCUUCAAUUUUUGUUUUGUUUGUCUUACAAAUGACUUAAUUAUGGCCCUUGAGACUAAUAUGUGGUGCAAGACCACUUAGGAGAGAUAUUUUUAAGGCUAACCAAUCACAUAAAAGCUCCUCAAUUGCACUUUUAACCCUUGCACUCCAACUCUCUCUCUCUUAUACAUUUGCCCUCAAACAUUUGAUAAUCUUUCAAUUUACUCCAUAGGUUAUAACUUAAUCUAGUUUAAAACACAUAAUCCCACUUAAGUACUUCACUAAUCACUUUCCUCUCUUAAUCAUUUAUACUUAAGCAUACUUUCUCCAUAAAUAAAACAAUUAAACAACAACUUUAUAAUAUUGGCAAAAUUAGGGUUUUUAAACCCAACUUAGGCUUUCUAAUAAUUUAUAACACUAGAGGUUUACUAAUCUAAGGUUUGCCAAAUAUUUUCAAACUUGUUCAACCUCGGUAAACGAUAGCGAAUCCUAUUUUUUUAUACUUGUGCCGAAACACACACUAGAAUACCACAUAGAAACUAUAGCUCGAGUUUACGAAUAAUACAUAAACUAGGGUUUCCUUCUUACCCUAAAACCCCAAUUAGCCGCACAAAAUAAUGGAAAACCCUAAUAUCAACUUACGAACGGACUGGGGCCUCACACACUAGCCAAGAGCAACCCUGGACAGACGAAAAGAGAAGGGACGGGAUCGAAGGCACCAGCUCGAGUAUAUUCUCUAGAGCAGCAUCAGGUCCCUGACUCGUCUGUGGACGUAGAAGGUACAAUCCGUUAGGUACCUUGGAUUUUGAAAAAAAAAAUUCCGUUCAUAAGAAAAUUUCGAGGGCGAAAUUCUUUUAAGGGGGAGAGAGUGUGAGAACCCGUAUUUUUGCAUUUUCUAGGUUUUAUUAUUUUUCAUGGCUUGUUUUCUGCAUUUUCGUGCUUAGGAAAAAUUUCUAGAUAAUUUUAAGGAGCAGAUAUAAUUUUUAGAUGAUUUUUCUAGUAUCGAAUAGGUUUUGAGAAAUUAAGAGCGUAUACCGGACGUGGGACCCACUAGUGCGAAAAGUUCGGAAAAAUUCAGCCAACUAGGUUAUGUUUUGGAUACUGGGUUUAAUUUACCGGGUGUUAAGAGAUAAUUAGAGGAAGCUAUUUGGAUUGAUGUGAGAGGGAACAAAGUGAUAGACUUGCAUUAAAUAAGUGACAAGUGUCACCAUUUGAUUGGAGGAACUUGUAAGACCACUAUUCAUUUUCUUACCAUUGACCAAAUAAAUCAAAAAUUCACCAAAAAUUCCUCAUUUUUGUCUUCCUCUUGGCCGAACCUCUUCCUACAAGAAAAGAAAGAAAAGCUUCCAAGUUUCUUGCUCCAAUCUUGCCCAAUCUCACAAACUAACCGUUUCAUCUUGAAUUCCUUCCAUAAAACCUCUUCAAUUAGUGUUAGUGAGGUGUUUUGUGGAGUUGUUUGGAAGGCUAAAGGGAUUAGUUGCUCUCUCUCUUGUUUUACCCAGGUGAGUAGUGGAUGAACCCCUCUCCUCCCUUAAUUGAUGCUUAAAUCAUGAUUAGUGGUGGUAUGAGAUGCAAUAUUAUGGAUUAUUUCUUGAUUUGUGGUUGAAGUGAUGAAGUUUUAUUACUUUUGGGGAUUUUUCUGUUUUAAUAUAAGCAUGAUUGUGUGGCUAUCUAUGAUGAUUGGAAAUGGUAUAUAAUGACUCUAGGAGGUGGAAAAAGUGAUUAAUUGCAACCAACGACCUGUUCUGUAUCUGUAUCUGUAUCUGUUCGGACGUUGUUUGGAAACUUGUAACCAACGACCUUUCUGUGACCUAUGAGCUCAAAUCCUGUGGCUAAGUUAUUCGAGUCGGGCCGGCAAGGGCCUGGACGAUUAGAUAACGAACCACGGUAGUCUGUUUUGGGAUCUUUGGGUAUUGAGACCCUUGAUUCCGGUAUACUCGAGUAUUACCAUUUCUGUUUCUGUUGAGGUGAGCGGGCCCGGUAAAGGGGUGUUUGGUGGACGGAAUUUGGUGUAAAGUGGGGUCUACGGACGCAUUGGUUCUAUAUACGUUGACUGAGAGUCAACCGGCUUGGAUCAAGUACUGCGCUGGAAAGCUGGCUCCUGAGAGCCACCUGUAUCCUUCCUAUUUGAGUCCUUGUGUUUACCUGUCUUAGUUUAUAGCGAGCAUGUGUAUCUGAUUUGUAUAACGUGAAAUGCCUGAUUUUUCUGCUACAUGUUUGGUACCUCAUUGGGCGUAAGCUCACCCCCUCCUCGUUAUCUUUGUUUUCCUUACAGGAACCUCUUUUGGAAAUCAUGAUUUUGAGAAGCGAGUUGAGCUAGUUAGAUAAUCUUUUGUUCUUUUGUAAAGCUCCUUGAGAGUGAGCAAACUCCAAAUGUAUUUCAUUUCACUGGUUCCACUUGUAUUGUAAACCUAGCGACAUGUAUAUAUGAAAGUGUUUUCCCCAUGUGAUUUUGGUAAGUUACUUGUAAGCUUGGCGGUCUUCAAUCGUUCAAUUCUUUUGGGUCCUAUCUCGCGUAAUAUCGGAUUUGUGUAAUUCGACUCCGUAGUCCUGGCGAGAGCUGGGCAGGCGGUCCGCUGAACCCUUUGGUUCGCCUUAGGGUGAGGUGGGGCUGUCACAGUUGCUAUGUGUUAAUUUGCUUUAUUAGGCUCUUGCAUUUAGUCGAGCAUGCUAAGUGUUAUGUGCUACGUGUUUAUAGGCGAUUGGCAUGUCUACUUGUUUUCUAUAAUCAUAGAUGAAUAUGGUGGAUGAAUGCACGUCACCACACUAGUCCAACGCUAGUUGUGGCUCAUUGUCUCGUUUUUCACUAGUCCAACGCUAGUAGGAAUUCAUAGAUAUGGGCUAGUCCAACGCUAGACCCUUAGGGAUCUAUCUCGUUAGUACAUACUUGCAUGUCUCACUACAUUUCAUGCAUUUUUUUUAGUUUUUUUUAGCAUUUGGCAUGUCCCUCCAACCCUUUCCCUUUCAUUUUAGGUUUUUGCAUCCUCAUGCUAGUUAUAGGGUACAUUUGCUUGAGAGUCCCCUUUCGGUAAGGGAAACGAGCGAGUGUGGCUACAAAAUAGCCUUAGCACGCUAGUUCUUCCUUCUAAUCAAAGGGAAAAUUAAAAUCACAAAGUUAGGAGUCAUUCCCGUACCCGACUUGAUGCAUUCCUCUAGGUUCAUACACUCUCAUUUUUAUCAUAUCACUUCCUCACCUUCUUUAUCCACAUUCUCUUACUACUUAUAUUUUUCUCAAUCCACAUGCCAUGUUUGCACAUUUUUCUUCUUUCCCUAUCACUUAUUUAUUUUCUACCUCACAAAUUGCACCCAAUUGCACUACCGUUAUACCUUAUUUUCAUCCACUUGCACACAAACACCUUUAUUUUCUCAAUGGGCACACGUGCACUUUUCUUACAUUUGCACACAUGCACUUUCCUUAAAUUUGCACACUUGUACUUACAUUUGUAUUUUUAUUUUAUUUUGCAUUCUUUUUACAUUUUCACACUUGCACUCAUAUUUGGGUCUUUAUUUGUAUUAUCCGUGACCUCUAUGAGAGUUUUUCUUAUUGGCCAUCACAACUCAUGUGGUUGGGACCAAAAAGCCUCAUAAGAGACAUUUUAGAUUUAGGAUUGCAUUUUUUUCAUAUCCAUUAGUCACAACCAACAUGCAACACAUAUUUUGGGUAGAAGAAAUAGGAAAAGUGGGGCUAAGUCACGCAACUAUCUUUGGCUAGGGUAAGGGAGUGCCUUAGGCUUUGCCUUUGCCUUCUCCCUUAUCAAAUGUGACCACCGAUCCCUUUCUUAGGUUACGUAGACCUAAAAAUUCUUUAAAAAGGGUUUGUUUACUUUUCUUUUCCAAAAAAUCACUUUUGGGUGACUUGGUACACCCUAACUCUAUACCAAGUGGCGACUCCUUUUCCAUCUAAAACCCUUUGUUUGGCCAAACCGUCGCAUUUCACAAUCCCACGCCCAUUUAUUUUCACUUUCACACACGUUCACCCACAUAUCCUACACACUACUUUCACACCAUCAAAAAGUGGGGCACGACAGCAGCCCAAAUUAACACCUUCAGCGAUGCAGUGGAGAAGGCGCAGCGAGUAGAGAAUGCUAGGCAACAGGUGAGAAACUUCCAGGCGAAAAAGCGAGGAUUUCCUGGGAGUAGUUCAGGGCAGGGGGAUGAGGGUACUCCUCCUAAGUUUGGGCGGGGAAUGGGAGGAGAAAGGAUGCUGAAAGUGUCACGAGAGGGCCCGUCACGAGGCGGCCAAGUGGGGAGAGGCCAGAGAGGAGGCUCGGCUUCUGCAGCACGCGGACCCUACGGGUAUUGCGGAAAGUCAAACCACGCGGAGGACAAUUGCUGGAAGAAAGAGGAAAAAUGUUUGCGCUGUGGAAGUGCAAACCAUCAGCUCGCCACUUGUCCAGUCCUAUCACGAGAUGGAAAGGGGAGUCAGCAAUCGACGAAGACUAAUUCCGAACCGGCCAAGGUGGAAGGGACCAAACCUAAGGUAGCGGCUCGAGUGUAUUCACUGGAGCCACAACAGGUCCCCGAUUCUUCUGAAAUUGAGGAAGGUAAGAUUCUGGUAUUCCACCGUUUGCUCACUAUUUGCUAUUUGGGAAGGAAGGAUUCAAUGAGCCUGGCUAGUGAAGGGGUACAGAUUGGUUAGUUAAGCAUGAUACUCAACUCGACUGUGAGACGGAAGAAGUAAAAUUUUUGUAUCCCGAAGAAGACGAUGAUAAGGAAUUUCGAGGAUGAAAUUCUUUUUCAGGGGGAGAGAGUGUGAGAACCCGUAAAUUUCUUAAUUUCUAGGCCUUAUUUUAUUUAUUUGCACACCUUUUAUGCAUUUUCUUUAUUAGAAAAAUUUUUUAAAUAAUUUUUAUGAGUAAAUAUAGUUUUUAGAUGAUUUUUCUAGUAUCGGUUAGUUUUUGAGAAAUUAAGAGCGUAUACCGGACGUGGGACCCGCUAGUGCGGAAAGUUCGGAAAAAUUCGGCCAACUAGGUUAAGUUUCGGAUACUGGGUUUAAAUUAUCGGGUGCUAAGAGAUAAUUAGAAGUUACUAAGUGGAUUGAUGUGAGAGGGAACAAAGAGAUAUGUAUGCAUGAAAUAGGGUGACAAGUGUCACCAUAAGAUUAAUUCUUAAGUUUGACUACUAUUCAUAACUUUACCAUUUAAUUAAAAUUGGCCAAAAAUCAUCUUCAUUUCUUACCUCUCUUGGCCAAACCUCUUGCUCAAAGAAAGAAAAAAAUCCUCCAACUUCCUACUUCAUAAUCUUGCUUCAAUCUUCAAUUUCCACCAGUUAAUUUUGGGUUUGCUCCAUAAAACCUCUCCACUUAGUGUUUGUAAGGUGUUUGGUGAAGUUGUUUGGAAAGCUAAGGUGACUAGUUGCUCUCUCUCUUGUGUUGCUAAGGUGAGUUGUGAAGGAACCUCUCUCCUCCACCUAAUGAUGUUUAAUCCAUGAUUUGUGGUAGUCUAAGAUGUAAAAUUGUGGAUUAUAUCUUGAUUUUUGGUUGAAUUGGUGAAGUUUUAUAAUUAUUGGUGACUUUUCUGUUUUCAUAUGAUUAUUAUGAUGUGGUCAUGUAUGAUGAUUGGGAAUGAUAUUUAAGGAAGCUAGAAGGUGGAAAAAGUGGUUAAUUGCAGGAAAUUUCUGUUUUGGAAAAAAAAUUGGAAAGUUAGGGUUUCAUUUUCCUUCAUUCUGCCUGAUACUGUUCAUCAUAGUUAGAAGCCGAAUUAGCCUUGGGUUAAAACAUGAAAGUUGUAGGGAAUGAUAUUUUAGAGUUGUCUACAAAAUUUCAGGCCAAUCGGAGUAGUGUAACCUCUGAAAAGACUGAAAUACCCUGCUGCCCUGGUUUCACCCGAACUUGAGAAUUGCUUCUGUAAUUGGUUUUUUUGGCUGGGAAUACUUCCGAACUGGUUGUUGAGGUCUUCUGAGGAAAUGUAUCUUGAUGUCUUAGCUUUUGGAUGGCUUUGGAAUCACUUGAUUUGGACUUAGGUAGCCUGAAUUACAGUUCGCUAACCAGAAUACAGUUUGUUCACCCGUUUUUGCGGUUCUGUUUUAGUAUCCUGUAUUUUUGACCUAGUUUCACUAUGAACUGGACUGAGUGACCUUCUGUAACAUUGUAGCCCUAUUUGUUAGCUUUGAAACGGUUUAUCUUGCACCUCCAUCCGAUAAUCGUAGUGCCAAUGGUGCCAAAACCGCAAAAUGAUGUCAAAAACUGGUUUUAGGGUUUAAAGUUUAAUUCCAUUUCCAGAUUUCCCUGGUUUACUCUAGUGCUUAUACAUUCUUAUGGAGCCCUAUUUUGGUAGUAUGCGGAACUGGUUUAUGACUUGUAAUCGAGUCUUAUUGUGCUUGUUUGAAUAUUUUAGGGCGUGACGGUGAUUAAAGACGAUCUUUGGGCGAAAGUUUAUGAAAUUUCACUUGCUUGCCUGGUGAGUGUACUACUCACUUGUUUGUUUAUAAUGUGGCUUUGCUAUUCUUUAACUUGAUGCCUUGAGGGUCUAUUUGCCAUUGAAACUGAUUAAAGUGAAGGUGUACUUGAUCGUCCUCACCUCUUUUGGUACUGUAUACGACUGUUUACUGUUUCACUGUGGUAUUUAAAUGAUACCUGAUAUACUGGAUUUGGUGUCGUUUGGACCAGUAUCCAACGGCCAUUACUGUUACUACUGAGCUCAACCCCAUUGGUAGUCAAUUGAAUCGAGCCGGCGAGGGCUUGGUCGUGAAAAUUGACGAGCCAUGGGGACUGUUAUAUGGAAUCUUGUAGUAGUGAGACUCUUGAUUCCGGUAUACUCGAGUAUUACCAAAUUUCUACUGUUUGCAGUUCGGGCCCGGUAGGGGUAUGUUGGGUGGAAGGAAUGGAAGUAAAGUGGAGCCUACGGUUGGUUACUCUUAAACAUUGACAGAGGGUCAAUGAGAUCCGAUCAAGAAUGUAAGCGAGGAACGGGACUCUUGAAAGCCGUCCGUAUCCUUUUAUCAACUCUAUUAAUGUGUGCUCUUGGUUUACUUUUGAUGAUUUGAAAUGAAAAGCUUUAUGCUUAUAUGAACUUGGUUGCUUGAGUGAUAGUAUCACACUGGGCGUAAGCUCACUCUAUUCCGUUUGUUUUCCUUACAGGAAAUUGAAUACUUUUGGAAAGGCGAUGAAUAUGGAUUGCCGAGUUGAGCUUAUGUAUAUAUAUAUUUUGAAUAGCUCCUUUUGGGCAAAACCCUAAACUCAUUUUGACCCAACCCAUCGUUGAAUUGUAAUUUGCAACCGUACAUGUAUAAACUUAUGGGAUAAGUUUGUAUGCCAUUUUGGUAUGUAAAUAUUGAAUUUCAAGAUGUGUAUGUUUGCGUGAUGCUUGGCCGGAUUUUGACGUGGCCGGUACUAUUCAUAGCCGGCUCCCUUUUUUUCAUUUUUUUUUCUUUUGUGAUUGUGACUUAUUUAAGCACGCUUGUAUGUUCCGGAACGUCUUAGAUCGUGUUUGCCUGCACUGUUAGUCCUGGCGAGAGUUGGGCAGGCAGUCCGCUAACCUCUUUGGUUCACCUUAGGGGAAAGGUGGGACUGUCACAUCAUGCACAUACUUAUCACCAAUAUCCAACAAGAAUUUGUCUAUGCAAAGAUCCCAACCACUGGGGACCAACAGAAAUGAAUUAGGCCAAAACACAAAAACAGAAAACAUUACAAAGAGAGCCCUAUCAUAAAAACUUGAAACACCUAACUAAAACGUGCAAGGAAUCAUUCUAAAUUCUAAACUAUGAAACAAACAAGAUGCUAGGCAUCUGUACAAGAAGAUUUGAGGCCAACAUAGACAAGAUAACACAAAGUGAAUAACUAGGAGCCUAAUACUCAUUUGACUCCAUAAAACCCUCAUAAACACAUGACUAAAUGCAGAGGAGAUUUAAGGUUGGGGGGUCAAAACAUGGAUCUAGGAACAAACAAAUUCUAAGUGAAACUAUCCAAGAGCAACCAUCAAAACAUGAAAAUCAAAGAAAACAGACCAUAAAACAGCAAAGAUAAAAAAGUAAACAACAAAGGAAUCAACUUGGACCUUAGAUGAAAGCAAAGAGGAAGAUCACAGUAGGUGGCUUGUUGUAGAACCAUGCCUUUCAACGAUGGUUGAAGCCGAUGGUAGAGGCAUUGUUUCUUCCUUCUGUUUGCUACCUUUCCUUUUCUUUUGCUGAGAUUCAGUCUCGCUCAACCUCACCAGCCUUUUCUCUAGCUCACUUUUCGUUUUGCCGCUCACCAGAUUCUCUCCUUUUUCCUAUCCCUUUCGAUGUUUUUCUUUUUCCGCCAUCAUAUACUUGGAUCUUGGCUGCGUUUCUUUUCCCAGCUUCCUUCUUUCUUGCCCUCAGCCCCGAACUCCUAUUUGUCAUCAACCGUCACCAUCCUCUCUUCAGCCGUCUAAACACUCUCCGCCGUCCCUUGCCAAGGUUUUUUUUUUUCUCUAUUCUUUUUCUCAUCUAGCCCCGCCGUCAACUCUCCUCUUACUUCAUCAGCAGUCAUCCCUCCCCUUUACCUUUCAGCCGUCACCCCACCUUCAGUCAUCACCAGAUUUUCCUUUCCCUUUUAGCCGUCACACUCCCUAUUCUCCCCCUCCAGCCGUCACUCUAUCUGUUUUCUAUUCUCUCUUGCCGCCACCCUGAUUCUCUUUCACUCCCUCGGCUCUUAACUCUCUCCCCAAACCCUUUUCUUUUUCCUCUGUUUUUUCCAUUCAGCCCAACCGUCAACUAGAGCCUCCCCCCUCUCUUGGCCUGUAUUUUGAUCCUUUUAUAGCUAUAGAAUCCCCCAAAACCUAGAACUAAGGGAGGAGAUUGGAGCUGCAUUUUUGGCAAGAAUUUGAGCCCUUAGAUGGGCAGUGAUUCUGGACUUUACCACUAAGAUGCGUUGGUAUUGUACUGAAGGGUUUAAAGGGAAAACAAAGUGAGAAAAUGGGUGGAAAAAAAAUGGGAUCGAAACGGGCAUCUCCAAAAUUUUCGUACUAUGCAUAUAUGGUUUCUGAUAUGAAACAUGAAGAAGGGUUUGGAUCGUGUGUGGCUCAAGGUGCGUGAGCUUGCUCUUUUUUUUUAAUCAAUUUUUAACUUAAUUAACAACAAAUAAUGAAAUAAUUGUAACAACAAAAAAAAAACAAGAUUAACCAAAUCAAAUGAAAUGCUAAGAAAUUUGUUUAUUUUGAUUGAUGAUUUUUCCUUUUAUUUUACUAAUUUAAUGCAAAAUAUACCUUAAAAAUAAAAAUGACAAUAAAAAAUAAAAAUAAGUAUUAACUAUGCUCUUAAUUAAUAAAAAUAAAAAAUAAAAAAUAAAUAUUAAAUGUUAAAAUAAAAAUUUGGUGUCUACAGCUUGCCCCUCUUUGUCUGAGUUUCGAAGAAACUCGAGACAAAGACGUAGACACCAAAUGCUUACCUGUGAAUUGCAACAUAUAAAAUCAAUGGGAUGAAAACCCAAGUUUGUCUUCACUUGGUCAGUGGGAUGUAUACCCAAGCCUGCCUUCAAUUGUUUAAUUGGUCAGUGGGAUCAACACCCGAACCUGCCUUGAAUUGGUCAGUGAGAUAAUAUCUGAACCAACCGUACUAUUGAUCAGUGAGAUAAUACCCGAAUCUGCCAUAGCAUCGGCCAGUGGAUAAUAUCUGAACCUGCCUUCAAUUGGUCAGUAGGAUCCACACCCGAGCCUGCCUUCAAUUGUUUAAUUGGUCAGUGUGAUCAACCCGACCCUGCCUUGAAUUGGUCAGUGAGAUAAUAUCUGAACCAACCGUACUAUUGAUCAGUGGGAUAACAACCCGAGCCUGCCAUAACAUCGGCCAGUGGAUAAUAUCCGAACUGCCAUUCCAUUGGUUAGUGGGAUCCAUACCCGAGCCUACCAUCCAUUGGUCAGUGGGAUCAACACCCGAACCUGCCUUCAAUUGGUCAGUGAGAUAAUAUCUAAACCAACUGUACUAUUGAUUAGUGGGAUAACAACCCGAGCCUGCCAUAGCAUCGGCCAGUGGAUAAUAUCCGAACUGCCAUUCCAUUGGUUAGUGGGAUCCAUACCCGAGCCUACCAUCCAUUGGUCAGUGGGAUCCAUACCCGGGUUUAAUUGGUCAGUGGGAUCAACACCCAAACCUGCCUUCAAUUGGUUAGUGGGAUCCAUACCCGAGCUUGCAUUUCAAUUGGUCAAGAAAUUAAAUGUGAUUUUCAAGAAGGGGGAAUAAAAGGGUGCGCGGCUGAUGCUGAGACAUAACCAACAAGAAUUAAAUUUGAUUUUUCAAAAAACAAGAAAUUGAAUUUGAUUUUUUGAUUUUUGAUUUUUUUGAUUCUUUUUUUUGAUUUUUUUUUCUAUUUUUUUUUCGAGAGAAUCCUUUUAAAAAUUGUGAUAGCCCCACCUUCCCCUAAGGCGAACCAAAGGGGUUAGCGGACUGCCUGCCCAACUCUCGCCAGGACUAACGAUUUAGUUCACCUCGAUCUAAGACGUGCCGGAACAUACUAACGCGCGUAAACGAGUCACAAUGUCCAAAUAAAAAAAAUGAAACCGGAGUCGGCCAUGAAUAGUAACCGACACGUCAAAAUCCAACCGAACAUCAAGCAAAUAUUUACAUGUUGAAAUUAAGCAUAUACAAUCUAAAGUGGCAUACAAAAAUUAUUCCAAAGUGGAUACAUGUACGGUUUGCCAAAUCAAAAGAGAAACGGAUCCAAAAGUACAUUUAGGGUUUCAAUCAAGGAGCUAUACAAAAGAUAUGUCCAACUAGCUCAAUUCGGCAACCAACUAUCAAAAGUCAUUCCAAAAGUGUUUAUUUCCUGUAAGGAAAACAAAAGGAAUAGGGUGAGCUUACGCCCAGUGAGAUAAUACCACUCAAGCAACCAAGUUCAUAUAAGCAUGAGAUUUGCAUUCCACAAGAAAGUAAGCCAUGAUCAUAUGUCAAUAACUUGAUAAAAGGAUACGGACGGCUCUCAAGAGCCCCUUUCCUCGUUUGUAUACUUGAUCGGGCUUCAUUGACCCUCCGUCAAUGUUUAAGAGUAACUAACCGUAGGCUCCACUUUACUUCCAUUCCGCCCACCUAACAUUCUCCUACCGGGCCCGAACUCCAAAUACUUGCAAUGUGGUAUUACUCGAGUAUACCGGAAUCGAGAGUCUCUCAUACUACAAGAUUCCAUAUAACAGUCCCCAAGGUUCAUUAAUUGGCACGACCAAGCCCUCACCGGCUCGAUUCAAUCAACUACCAAUGGGAUUGAGCUCAAUGGUAACAAUCAUGGUCGUUGGAUACUUGUCCAAACGACACCAAGUCAAGUACUUUCAUUUCAUGUAACAUUCCAAUAACAUGAUAAAAAAAAUGAUAUAAGGCAUAAAAGGGAGAGUGAUCAAGUACACCCUCACUUAAGUCAAUAUCGAAGGUGCAAUAAACAUUCAACACAUCCAGUUCAAAUAUCAAAGCCAUAGAGUAACACACAAGUGAGUAGUACAUUCACCAAGCUUGAAAAUGAUAUUUCAUGCACCUCCGUCAAAGGAGCGUCGUGAACCACCGUCACGCCCUAAAACAUGCAAACAAGUACACUGAGACUCGAUAAUGAAUCAUAAACCAAUGCCAAAUACUCCCAAAAUAGGGUUCCAUAAGCAUACAUAAGCAUUAGAAGAAACCAGAAAAAUCCGGAAAUGGAAUUGCUUCAAUUCAAAGAAACAGUUUUUGAUGUCAUUAUGCGGUUUUGGCACCAUAGGUACUACGAUUAUCGGAUGGAGGUGUAAGAUACACCGUUUCGAAGCUAAGAGAUAGGGCUACAAAGUUUCAGAAGGCUACUCUAUCCAGUUUCGAGUGUAACCAGGUCAAAUAUGCGAUAUACUACACCAGAACCGCAAAACAGGUUCACAAACCGCAUUCUGGUUCAAACAUCAUAAGUCAGGCUACCUAAGUCCAAAUCUAGUGAUUCCAAAGCCAUCCAAAAGCUAAUAUACAAGGCUACAUUUCAUCAGAAGACCUCAACAACCAAUUCUGAAGCAUUCCCAACCAAAUUAACCAAUUACAUAUGCAACUAUCAAAUUCGGGUAAAACCAGGGCAGCAAGGGUAUUUCCAUCUUUUCUCAAGCUACGCUACUCCGAUUGACCUGAAAUUUUACCGGCAUCUCUAAAAUAGUAUUCCCUACAACUUUUAUGUUUUAACCCAAAGCCAAUUCAGCCUCUAACUAUGUGCUACAGUGCCAGGCAGAAUGUACAAUCAUAAAACCCUAACUUUCCAAAUUUCUUCCAAAACUAAAAUUGCUUGCAAUUAACCACUUUUUCCACCUUCUAGAUUCCUUAAAUACCAUUUCCAAUCAUCACACAUGACCACAUAAUCAUAUUCAUAUGAAAACAGAAAAAUCACCAAUAAGUAUAAGACAUCACCAAUUCAACCAAAAAUCAAGAUAUAAUCCAUAAAAUUGCAUCUUAUACUACCCCCAAUCAUGAAUUAAGCUUCAUUAGAGGGAGGAGAGGGAUUCUUCACAACUCACCUUAGCAACACAAGAGAGAGAGCAACUAGUCACCUUAGCUUUCCAAACAACUUCACCAAUCACCUCACCAACACUAAGUGAUGAGGUUUUAUGGAACAAAAGCAAGUUUAAGUGGUUGUUUUGAUGGAUUUGAGCUAAAUGGAAGCAAGAACCUGGAGAGUUUUCUUUCUUUCUUUCUUGAAGUUGGCCGGCCAAGAUGAAGAGGAAAUGGUGAAUUUUUGGUAAAUUUUUGAAUUUAUUUGGUCAAUUGGUAAGACAAUGAAUAGUAGUCAUAAAGUACCACUAAUCAUUUGCUGACACUUGUCACUAUAAUUAAUGCAUCUCUAUCUCUUUGUUUUCUCUCACAACAAUCCAACCAGCAACCUCUAACUAUCUCUUAGCACCCGAUAAUUUAAACCCAGUAUCCAAAACUUAACCUAGUUGGCCGAAUUUUUCCGAAUUUUUUGACCUAGUGGGUCCUACGUUCGGUAUGUGCUCUUAAUUUCUCAAAAACUAUUCGAUACUAGAAAAAUCAUCUAAAAACUAUAUUUACGCAUAAAAAUUAUUGGAAAAAAAAUUUCCUAAUAAAGAAAAUGCGGAAAACAUGCCAAUAACGAUAAUAAACCCUAGAAAAAUGAGAAAAUUACAGGUUCUCAGACUCUCUCCCCCUUAAAAGAAUUUCGCCCUCGAAAUUUCUCACCUUAACUCACGAAAAGUUUAGGGUAUUUCUUUUGUAUCUCUUCUUCCACCUCCCAGGUAGCUUCCUCUACCCCAUGGUUUCUCCAUAGUAUCUUAACCAACGGAAUCUGCUUGUUCCUUAGCUCUUUGACUUUCUGAUCAAGCACUUGGAUAGGUUUCUCUUCAUAAGCAAGCGACUCGUCUACGUCGAUCUCCUCUGGUUGUAAGAUAUGGGAUGGGUCGGGAUAGUAUUUCUUGAGCAUCGAGACGUGGAAGACGUCGUGAAUUCGAGAGAGACUGGACGGCAACUCCAGUCGAUAUGCUAUCGUUCCUACCCUCUGGAGGAUCUUGUAGGGUCCAACAAACCUCGGUUGGAGCUUCUUUCCUUUGCCUGCUGUGAUGCUCCGUAAGGGUGUGAUCUUGAGAAAUACGUGGUCUCUAACUUCGAACUCCAAGUCUUUUCUUCGAUUGUCGGCGUAACUCUUCUGUCGGCUUUGAGCUGUUUGGAGUCGUUGCCGUAUCAACUUGACCUUUUCUCGAGCCUCUUCUAUCCAUGGAAUAGUUGCCGGGUCUAGUGCCUUUCUUUCACCAACUUCAUCCCAGUAGAUCGGUGACCGGCAUUUUGGUCCAUAUAGUGCCUCGUAUGGAGCCAUUUGAAUCGACGAAUGGUAGCUGUUGUUAUACGCAAACUCUACUAAGGUCAUGUGUUGACCCCAGUUGCCUCCAAAAUCCAGAAUGCAAGUCCGUAGCAUGUCCUCGAGAGUUUGGAUCAUCCGCUCCGAUCGUCCAUCCGUCUGAGGGUGAUAAGUCGUGCUCAAGUUGAGUUUAGUCCCCAGGUUUUCUUGGAACUUCUGCCAAAACCGAGAUACGAACCGGGGAUCUCUAUCAGAAACGAUGCUCACAGGAACGCCGUGUAGCCUUACAAUCUCAUCCAUGUAUAGUUGGGCCAACUUGUCCAUGGAGUACUUUAUGUUUACUGGCAAGAAAUGGGCCGAUUUGGUUAAUUGAUCGACGAUCACCCAAACGGCAUCGUGCCCUCUCUGCGUCCGCGGCAAACCUGAAACGAAGUCCAUGGUGAUGUUUUCCCACUUCCACUCGGGUAUCUCAAGGGGCUGUAACAAGCCCGAUGGUUUUUGAUGCUCUGCUUUCACCUGUUGGCAAACGAGAUGAUGUGAGACGGAUCUAGACGAACACCAAGUUGAGUGGAUUUGCGGAACUUUGACCCUGCUAGAAUCAUGAGCCACGAACUAAGGAGAAUCCUUAACCCAAGACUAGCCAGUUUAGUGAACCAAAGUAUAUUUAGAAGAACGCCACAAUCAAGGAGACUACUUGAUUGAUAAGUUCGAUGAACAACUUGAGAUUAAUUCUCAAGUAUUCAAAGGAAAUUCCCUUGAAGCAAGAGAGAGUGAAUAAACUCACAAUUAUGUUAUAAAAUCUGAAUUCUGUCCUCAAUGAAUGAAAACCUAGGCUAUAUAUAGCCUUACAUGACUCAAACCCUAGAAGAUCCAAUGGACGACCUUGCCCUUCAUUAAGGGUGAAAAUAUCUAACAACUAAUUAACUAAUCUAAGACUCAGAAUUCGGCCAAAGGUAAAGUGUUAUUGACCGAAAUUAUUUAAUGCUAACAAACAACUAAUAAUGAUAACUAAAAACCUAAUUAACAAGCUAGUACUCCGCGAACUAGUCUUUACUUGAAUUUUCCAAUUCCCCAUGUGCUUGAAUGGAAUGGGCCUUGGUCUCUAUAUUCUCAUCAUUCCCCUCCUCUUAAUGGCGAUUUGUCCCCAAAUCAGGACUCUUCUUACAAAACAAAAGUGAUGAGAGCAUGUGUAUAGUCACCAAGCAGCCUGCAUGUCGCCUCCUCAAGCGAAGAAAGAUCAGGACACCCUUGUGGGACACCAGGAAAACUCGUGGUGGUGGUAGAUACAUGUUGCGGACAGCAAGAGUUCCAUGAUAAUGGGCACACAAGUGACGUCUCAAGUCUAUGGGUGGACCGUGAGCGGACGCCCGGUGAACCAAGGUUUGGUUGGGCUGCGCGUUGUACGCAUCAAGACGUGCAAAAACGGCAUCUAAAGCCAUUGUAACCCGACUAGUGCUGGUUGGAGCAAGUAGAACUGGUACAGCAUAAGGGCUUAGACUCUCUUUAAUCCAACCCUUACUAAGUAAUUCCUCCACUUGUCGUUGUUGCUCCUUGGUUUCCUCAGGAUUGGUCCUAUAUGGUGCCUUGUUGGGAAGGGAAGAUCCAGGAAUGAAAUCAAUUUGAUGUUCAAUUCCCCUUAAUGGAGGCAAACCAGUAGGUAUAUCCUCAGGAAAGACGUCUUGAUACUCCUGCAAAAGGUUAGUAAUACUACUAGGCAAGGAAGCAUCAGGAGCAUCAGUGAAUAAGGACCCUUUGCAAAAUAAAAUAAAUAAAAUCUGGUGAGAGUGCAAGGCCUUUCUCACAUCUUUUACCUUGGCAAGCAUGCUGGAUUUUCUCUCCUGUGUGGGCUCUAAGGCCGAAUGAGAGUGAUCCAACUUACUUGAAGAAGGGUCGGCCAACACUAAUUUCUUAGCUUUGGCGUUGUCCUUCUUGGUGGUAGCAUGCAGGUCAUACUCUUUUUGUAGACUAACUUGAUCCUCAUGCACUUGUUGAGGUGUAAGAGGUGCAAGUGUAAUCUUUUUACAAUUAUGCAUAAAAGAGUAUUUGUUCAAAAAACCAUCAAAAGUGACUCUUUUGUCAAAUUGCCAAGGACGCCCUAAGAGUAUAUGUGCAGCUUGCAUUGGUACUACAUCACACAUAACAUCAUCUUCAUACCUACCAAUGCGAAAAGUAACCAAAACUUGUUUAAGAACACGUACCUCUCCACUGUUGUUUAACCACUGAAGCUUGUAGGGACGAGGGUGCUCACUAGUCGGCAAGUUUAGUUUCUCCACCAUCAAUGCACUAGCAACAUUAGUACAACUUCCGGGAUCGAUCACCAAACUGCAUACCUUGUUGGUCACAUGGCACCUAGUGUAAAAAAUGUUGUCACGUUGAAGCUCAUCUUUACUAGCUUGAGUAGCUAGUGCUCUUCUUGCUACCAAUCCAACCUUGUCUUGAGUUGGAACUUCUUCUAUCUCAUCUUCCUCUUCAACCAAGGGAGGCAUGUCUGUGUAUUCCUCUUCUUCAUCAUCAGUGACAAUGUCUCCAUUUGGUAGGACAAGCAUGGCCCUUGGGUUUGGACAUUGGCUUGCAAUAUGCCCAACUCCUUGACACCUCCAACAUUUGGUGUCACGACUCCUAGGUUUUGAAGUUUCGAUUGGUGGCUUGGAAAUAACCUUGGAGUCUGGUUUGGCAAAAGACGGCCGUGAGCUUGGACCUUGAUCAUGCUUCGGCCUUGGAGGGUUCCAAGUAUUCGAACCUCUCUCUUCCCUUCUAGGCUGGAAUGGACGAGUAAAUGUUUGUGGAGGAGGGUUAUAGUUUCUGGUUGCACCCCUCCUCUUGAGUCUUUGCUCAAUCUUGAUAGCCUUGUCAACCAUAUCAUCUAUCUCCACAUAGUAUUGAAGCUCAAGUUGAUCGGCUAUCUCAACCCUUAGACCACUGAGAAAUCUUGCCAUUGUAGCUUCUCGAUCUUCUUGAAUAUCAGCUCUCAACAUGGAGAUUUCCAUGUCCUUGUAGUAGUCCUCAACUGAGCGUUGGCCUUGCGUCAAGGUUUGAAGUUUUUUGUACAAGUCUCUAUGAUAGUGACUUGGUACAAAUCGCUUCUUCAUAAGUCUCUUGAGCUCAGUCCACGUGGUUAUAGGUGGUUCACCACACCUUCUCCUGCUGGUAACCACUUGCUCCCACCAAACUAUGGCAUAGUCGGUGAAUUCUACUAUGGCAAGUUUCAAUUUUUGGGCAUCGGUGUAGUCAUUACAAUCAAAUACUAGCUCUACCCGACUUUCCCAUUCAAGGUAUGUAUCCGGAUCGGAUUUGCCUUGGAAUGGAGGAAUCUUCAUCUUAAUCCCUUGGAUUGCAUCACCAAUUGCUCUUGUGUUCCUCUUCGGUCUCCCUUGUCUGUAGGUCUCACGGUCCGAAUCGGCGUUGGAGUCACUAGAUUCCUCCAGGGCGGAUUUUCCUUUAGAUUUCCUAGAUGAAGCCCUAGAUGAACUUAGGUGAUCAAUCUGCUCAUGGAUCGUUUCCAGUCGUUGGUCCAGUCUCCUCUGCAUUUCCUUCCACAUAGCAUCCAUUUUAAGUGAUAACUGAGCAAUGGUAAGUUCAUUUUCCUGAGACAUGGUGAACCUGCAAAACUUGACAAAUUGUUAGUAGAAAAGGUCUCACUUGCUCCCUUAAGUGUUUCACUCCUCUCGUGUUUUCACUCAAGUGUUUAUGUCCCUCUAAUGCUCUCACCAAUUCACUUCUCAAGCCACUUGAUAGGUACCUUUGAAGAAAUCAGAAAUUUUCUCAAGGAAAUUCAAUCAAACUUUAAUCAAAUAGCUCCCAAUUGUACUAAAGUAACAAGGAACAAAAGUAGAAACGGAAUGAAAUGAAGAAUGAAAUGAUAAGGAAUGAAACGAAGAAUGUCCAAAUACAAUGAUGGAGUUUCCCAAGUGUUUCCUUAAUUUUCCUAAUUGAUUUUUCUGGAAAACAAAUUAGGUGUUGUACUUUUUGGAAAGUUCCUUAAGGUCGGCUAAAUGGAAAUAGGAUUGGUUCCCAAAACAUUCCAGAUUUUGUACCCCCUUAACCUUCCUCAAAAUCAGCUAUACCAAAACAGAAUUGUUUCCAAAAAUUUUCCAGAUUUCCUUCUCCUUGUUCCUUUCCUAAAGUCGGCUGGUCAACCAAGUGCAAAACAGAAUUUGGUAGUUUCCUAUUCCAACCGAAACUAAUCUCAGAAAAUUCCAGAAUUCCCUCUUCUUAAAUCCCUCUCAUAGUUGGCUAGAACUUCCUGAAAAAUUUUCCAGAUUUGGUAACUUCCUAACCUCUAAAAUUUUCCAGAAUUUUGCUUCUAAAAACCUUCCAUAAAACUCGGCUAUACUCCCCUUCAAAGAACAAGCAAUUCAGCCCUCCCCUCUUUGCUCCACACAAGGACAGUUUUGACGCUUGGUGCUAAACAAUGGCUUCACAAGAUGACACAAGCAACGUCACCCAAGAAUACCCCAAGCGGCCUGCUCAAGAAACUCCCAAGAGGUUUACUCCUAAGCCAAGAAAGCCCCGUAUGGAUGCAAGGACGUACAAGAAACUGUUUAUACGUAGGGAGGUGCAAAUCUUCAAGAAUCAAGAUGGUCAAGAUCCUCAAAAAACUCAAUGGGUGAUACAAGUGAUCAAGGCUCAAGGUGUGCAAGAUUUUCAAGAGGAGGUUGGUCAAAACUUUUGAGUAGUCUUUUCUUGAUGCAAUUUUCUGGUUUGUUGGAACAAGUGCAACAAGACAGAAUUUGGCAAAUAAAAGUGCGGCUUCCUUCUUUGUUGUUUGCUACCCGAAUGCCUUUUCUCUUUUCCUUUUUCUGUUUGUUUUUUUUUUUGACUCUAAGAACACACAAUUACUCGGCUGUUUUUUUUGGGUAGAAUUCCAGAAUUUAAUGUCAAUCCAAUGUUCUCCUUCAAUCCUCCAAUUCUAGUCAAUUUUAUUUUGCAAUUCUGGUCGUGUCUUCCUUUGUGUCAAGUCCGAUUGUGUGUCUUCCGUCAAGGUUAAAAAAAAAAAAAAAAAAAAAAAAAGUACUGUAGCAUCGUACUGUUCAUCGCUACUGUAGCGAUACUGUUCACCGUGCCGCACUGUAGCGAUACUGUUCACCGCUACUGUAGCGACACUGUUCAUCCCGAAAAAAAAAAACUUUUGUUCAUAACUUGUGUUUCUUUUCUUAUUUUGGUGUCUUGUUAUAUUGUUCUUGAAGUUUUGUGUUGGUUUAGAGUAAAAAAAAAAAAAAAAUCCAACCACUAGGGUUUCCUUGGGCGCAAGUUUCUUGCCAAAUCUGUCCAAACUUUAGUUUAUUCCACCAAGUUGUUUUAAUUAAUUUCCUAAACUGAUUUUGUGGUUGAACUUGUUUGGGGUUGGAAUCUUGGAGAGGGACUACCAUAAUCUAGGGUUUCUUGAGUUUCUUGAAACUAAUCUUGAAGUCUUGAAACUUUGAUACAUGUCUUGAUAAUUUCUUGAAGUUCUUGGAUUACAUAUAACAUUCUCCGAGUUACUCCUUUGUAAACAAGCCCUCGAUUUGAGGACAAAUCGUCUUUCAAGAGGAGGGGAAUGAUGAGAACAUGAAGAUUUGCAUGGAUUCCUUUCAUUUUACAAGUCUGCACAUUCUAAUGAUGGUUGAUGGUGCAAUCGGGCUCGAGAAUCAUUGAAGAUCCAAAUUUUCCAAAUUUUAAUUGGCUUCCAAAUCUUGAUUGGUAUCUUGAUUGAUAUCUUGAUUGAUUUCCAAAUUGAGAGUUAAGUAAGUUGUUUGAAUUAGGGAAUAAAGGCUAAAGUCAUGUUGACCAUAGUUAAGCCAAUUUGAAUUAGUUAGUUUCCUAUUCUAGUUGAAUUAGAGUUUUAGGAAAGCAGUUAAUUGCUUCCAAAUUUGUUUAGGAAGUUAUGUCAAGUUUAGAAGUCAAGUCAAAUAAGGAAACUUGUAUUGUUUCCAAUUUAGAUUAGGGUUUUGAGUCUUGCAAGGCUAUAAAUAGCCAACUUUAUUUAACUAUUGAAAAACACAAUUAUGAGAUGAAUAAAAAUUGAGAGUUUUCUCUUUCUUGUUCCUUUGGGAGCGUUCCUUGAUACAAAGUGAGUUGUAUCUCCUUUGUUCAAGUUUCGGCUUAUCAAUUCAAGACCAUGUUGAAUUGUGGCGCCUUCUACACUUGCCUGAGGUUCACUAAUUCGUUUGGUUACGGGUUGAGAUAAUAUCAACAAGUUCGUAGUCACGGGGAUUAGAGGGGUCGUAAGGUCUUUCCAUCUUUGUAUCCAUAACCUGGUCAAGAUAGAUCCUUCCGCUGCCUGAUCGAUUCGGUUCUUCAAGACAGGUUCUUGUUGGGUCGAAUUCGUAUCACGAGACAUUUUUGCACGUACAAAGCGAUUUCAUUCUUCAUAUUAUCCCACCAAUAGGUUCCUUUUAGGUCUUGAUACAUCUUGCUACUACCCGGAUGGAUUGUAUACUUGGACCGAUGAGCUUCUUCUAGAAUCUUCAUUUUUAAUGAUUCAUCCUUCGGCACCACUAUUCGGUUCCAGUAUUUCAAAAUACCCUCAGGACUAAAAUUGAAAUCCAUUGUUUCUCCUUUCUCCACUUUCUCUCCCCACUUCCUUACUAUCAAAUCUUCUUUUUGCGCCCCUUUAAUGCGUUCCAGUAGAGUGGAGGUUACUUUAACAUUGCUAAAACUCACCUUAUGACUCCCAAGACAGGGUUUCCACUCACAUACGGAUUCUAAUAAAUCCCACUCUUUGAUCAUCAAUCAUGCUACUUGCACCUUACGACUUAAGGCAUCGGCUACCACAUUUGCCUUUCCCGGAUGGUAGUUAAUUGUGCAGUCGUAAUCUUCUAGAAAUUCCAUCCACUGUCGUUGCCUCAUGUUCAAUUCCUUCUAGGAGAAGAGGUACCUAAGACUCUUGUGGUCCGAGUAAACCUCAAAGGUAACCCCAUAUAGGUAGUGUCUCCAUUUCUUUAGAGCAAAAACAACUGCGGCUAACUCCAGAUCGUGGGUUGGGUAGUUCUGCUCGUGAGGUUUUAAUUUUCUCGAGGCAAAAGAUAUCACAUUACGGUCUUGCAUUAAAACGCAACCCAGGCCUUCUCGUGAUGCGUCAGUAUACACAGCAAAUCUGUCCACUCCAUUUGGCAAGACUAGCACUGGAGCUAUGGUCAAUCUUCUCUUUAGUUCCUGAAAACUUGUCUCGCAUCGGGCGUUCCAUACGAACCGACCAUGUUUCUUUGUCAAGUCGGUUAGGGGACCAGCCAACUUGGAAAAGUCCUUGAUGAAACGCCGGUAAUACCCAGCCAGCCCUAGAAAGCUGUGGAUCUCGGUGGGAUUUUUUGGUCUCUUCAAAUUAGUCACCGCCUCUACUUUCGCCGGGUCAACCGAGAUGCUUUCGUGGGAGAUUACGUGCCCUAGGAAAGCGAUUUUCUCCAACCAAAACUCGCACUUACUGAACUUGGUGUGCAACUGAUGCUCCCUUAGGGUCUGCAACACCACCCUCAAGUGCUGCUCAUGCUCCUCGCGAGUUUUGGAGUAGACCAAGAUGUCAUCAAUAAAAACAACGACAAAUUGGUCUAAAUAGGGCUUAAAAACCCUAUGCAUAAGGUCCAUGAAGGCGGCAAGAGCAUUGGUUAGUCCGAAGGGCAUAACUGCGAACUCAUAAUGCCCAUAUCUCGAGUUGAAAGUGGUUUUUGGAAUAUCCUCCUUCCUGAUUAAUAACUGGUAAUACCCUUGGCGGAGAUCCAGUUUCGAGAAAACCACCGCUCCCUGUAACUGAUCAAACAACUCAUCUAUGUGGGGCAGUGGAUACUUAUUUCUUACCCUAAUAUUAUUCAGGCCCCGAUAAUCGAUACACAUCCUCAACCCACCAUCCUUUUUCUUCACAAACAGCACAGGGACUCCCCAAGGAGACCCACUCUCUUGAAUGAAUCCCCGCUCUAAAAGAUCCUGUAAUUACAACUUUAGCUCCUUGAGCUCCGCAGGAGCCAUUCGGUAUGGUGUUUUCGAGAUAGGAGAGGUUCCCGGUAGCAGGUCUAUUUUGAAUUCAAUCUCUCUUUCCGGAGGUAGAGCUACUAACUCAUCAGCAAACACGUCCGGAAAUUCCUUCACUAUGGGCACGUCCUCCACUUUCAACUUAUCCGUGGGGGUGUUAAUCAAAAAGGCCAAAAAUCCUUGCGCCCCUCUACUUAGCAGUUUCCUAGCCCGAAUGCCCGAAAUCAAAGCAGAUGAGGCUAACCUGCCCCUUAUGUCCAACCUUAAGGUUGCCUCACCAGGAAUGCGGAAUUCUACCACUUUCGUUUUACAAUGCAGUUGGGCAUUAUAUUUGGCUAGCCAGUCCAUACCCAAGAUCACAUCAUACCCUUUAAUGGACAAGCUUAUCAAGUCUCCUAAAAAUCUCUUUUCUCCUACCCACACUUCACAAUCCCGAUAAACCAUACUAGUAACCAAACGUUGACUCCCCGUAGGUGUACUAACUUCUAGAUCAUAUGGUAAACUAGCAGGUUUUAUAUCGAUGCCACACAUGAAAUCAGGGUUAACAAAAGAAUGAGUGGCACCAGGAUCAAUUAAAACUUUGGCAAAGCGGUGGAAAAUAGGGAUCGUACCUUCUACGACCUCUGAGGAAUCUGGGACAUGAUGGGGCUCUAAGGAAUACACUCUAGCUGGCACCUUAGGUUUCAUCCCAUUCCCCUUAUCCAGUCCCGUAUUGGUCUUUGGCGCGGUUUGAGUUCCCUUUCCGUCUUGUUUUAAGAAUGGACAGGUAGCAAGCUUGUGGUCUGCGCUUCCGCAACGCAGACAUUUACCCCCUUUCUUCCAGCAAUUAUCUUCAAAAUGAUUCGGCUUUCCGCAGUACCCACAAGACCCAUGGAACGCCGAACCGGAACCCUUCUGGAAGUUUCCGCCUUGGUCUCUUCCGGCUGAGCCACCCUUGGACUGAGCCCCCUUGCCGGAACCCGACAGUCAUCCACCUCCAGCUCCUCGUCCGAACUUGGAGGAGGUACCUUUAUCUUCUUGCCUAGAGUUGCUUCCAGGAAAACCCCGCUUCUUCGCCUGGAAGUUCCGUACUUGGACCCUGGCGCUCUCUACUCGUUGGGCUUUCUCAACGACCUCGCUAAAAGCGUUAAUCUGGGCCACCACGAGGUCCUUCUGAAUUUCCACAUUCAGGCCCUGAAUAAAACGCCUGAUCCGCCGUUGUUCCGUCACAAUUAACUGAGGGGCAAACUUAGAUAAGCGCGUGAACUGGCUUUCAUACACCGCUACAGACUGAGCCCCUUGGCGGAGUCGAAUAAACUCAUCUUCCUUCCUCUCCUGAACUAGAGGAGGGAAAAAUUUCGCGUUAAACUCUCUCAUAAAAUUUACCCAAGUCCUGGGCGUUUGUUCCCGUUCCCAUUUUUGCCGAAUGACAUUCCACCAGGAACGGGCCGCCCCUUCCAGCUGAAAAACGGCAAAAGUCACCUGUCGUUCUUCGGUAUAGUGCAGGGCAGCGAAAGUUUCUAUCAUCUUCUCAAGCCACCUUUCGGCGACAUCCGGGUCGGGCCCCCCAAUAAACUUGGGUGGAGCAAACUUUUGAAAUCAUUCGAGAGCUCUGUCUUCGCUCUCGAUGUGGUUGCCAGGGUUUCCAGGAUUAGGGUGUGGGUUUUGGCCCUGUUGCUGCACCACUUGUGCUAGCAAGUUGGUCAUUUGCUGCAUAGCGGUAGCGAUUUGCAAGUUGGGGUCAGGAUUAGGUCCAAAAGAGGUUUCCUCAGUACCCCUGUCCGGUGUGGGUUGUCUAUUUCCGCGCCCACGUGCCCGUCCACUCCGUGUACCUUCCAUGAGUUCUACUUGGUCUAGGCAAAAGUACUAAACCAAAAUAAUAACAAUGCAUGUAAAUAAAACCCAAAAACUUUAACAAACAUAUAUAUACAUGCCAAACAAGGCACACAACACACAUAUCAACAACCAGUCAAGUCAAGUACAGUCAAGCCAAGUACACACAUGGACAAUCCCCAAGGGAAUGGUCUCAACAAAAGAAAUAUACACGUAGCUAAUCCUAACGUACAAAAUGAUUAGCUAAAGCUCUUUCCCCUAACCGCCUAUAUACAAAACAAAACUAUCCCAAAAGACACUAAGCGUCAUGACCUAGUUCGUCGACAGGCUAGUAGAUCCACCCGACGGGGUGGAUCCAACUCCAGCCUCAGGCUCCGCACAUGAGUCCUCGUCACUCACGCCCUCGACCACGUCGGCGCAGAGGUUCAGGAUCGAUGCGGCUCGAACCUUCACCUUUCGCGCUCGCUUAGUCUCGCGCUCACGGGUUUCCCUAAGCUGGGUGCACAGGUCAUCCACCCGAUCCUCAACCUCAAGUACAUCAUACUCCAGCCCCUUAAUGCGCUCGGCUUGUUUCUCAUUGGCCGCCCUAAGCUGGGUCACCUCGGCCUUCAACCUAGCGUUAUCUCGAGCUAAUUCCUUACGCUCAUCCGCCACGGCCAAUACUAAUGCGUUAGGAUAGGCAUACGUGUGUCGACACUCGCAACGUCGGAGGCGGUUAGCCGGGCUCCAACGAACAUCGACCCCUCCUAGCCGAAUCUGGUAUGGGAUCACUGGGAGCGCUCCACGAGGUUGCUCUCUAGCCGGGGGACUACUAGGCUCACCAUGACCGUCCAUCCUACGCCAAAAAAGUAAAUAAGCAUAAAUAAUCUUAAAGGACGUAAUCAAAAGAAUCCUCAAAUCAAGCAUUUCUAAUACAUCCAGGCCAAUUCAAACCUGGGCUCUGAUACCACCUGUGACAGCCCCACCUUCCCCUAAGGCGAACCAAAGGGGUUAGCGGACUGCCUGCCCAACUCUCGCCAGGACUAACGGUUCAGUUCACAUCGAUCUAAGACGUGCCGAAACAUACUAACGCGCGUAAACGAGUCACAAUGUCCAAAUAAAAAAAAAUGAAACCGGAGUCGGCCAUGAAUAGUAACCGACACGUCAAAAUCCAACCGAACAUCAAGCAAAUAUUUACAUGUUGAAAUUAAGCAUAUACAAUCCAAAGUGGCAUACAAAAAUUAUUCCAAAGUGGAUACAUGUACGGUUUGCCAAAUCAAAAGAGAAACGGACCCAAAAGUACAUUUAGGGUUUCAAUCAAGGACCUAUACAAAAGAUAUGCCCAACUAGCUCAAUUCGGCAGCCAAAUAUCAAAAGUCAUUCCAAAAGUGUUUAUUUCCUGUAAGGAAAACAAAAAGAAUAGGGUGAGCUUAUGCCCAGUGAGAUAAUACCACUCAAGCAACCAAGUUCAUAUAAGCAUGAGAUUUGCAUUCCACAAGAAAGUAAGCCAUGAUCAUAUUUCAAUAAAUUGAUAAAAGGAUACGGACGGCUUUCAAGAGCCCCUUUCCUCAUUUGUAUACUUGAUCGGACUUCAUUGACCCUCUGUCAAUGUUUAAGAGUAACCAACCGUAGGUUCCACUUUACUUCCAUUCCGUCCACCUAACAUUCCCCUACCGGGCCCGAACUCCAAACACUUGCAAUGUGGUAUUACUCGAGUAUACCGGAAUCGAGAGUCUCUCAUACUACAAGAUUCCAUAUAGCAGUCCCCAAGGUUCAUUAAUUGGCACGACCAAGCCCUCGUCGGCUCGAUUCAAUCAACUACCAAUGGGGUUGAGCUCAAUGGUAACAAUCAUGGUCGUUGGAUACUUGUCCAAACGACACCAGGUCAAGUACUUUCAUUUCAUGUAACAUUCCAUGUAACAUUCCAAUAACAUGAUAAAAAAAUGAUAUAAGGCAUAAAACGGAGAGUGAUCAAGUACACCCUCACUUAAGUCAAUAUCGAAGUUGCAAUAAACAUUCAACACAUCCAGUUCAAAUAUCAAAGCCAUAGAGUAACACACAAGUGAGUAGUACACUCACCAAGCUUGAAAAUGAUAUUUCAUGCACCUCCGUCAAAGGAGCAUCGUAAACCACCGUCACGCCCUAAAACAUGCAAACAAGUACACUGAGACUCGAUAAUGAAUCAUAAACCAAUGCCAAAUACUCCCAAAAUAGGGUUGCAUAAGCAUACAUAGGCAUUAGAAGAAACCAGAAAAAUCCGGAAAUGGAAUUGAACUUCAAUUCAAAGAAAUAGUUUUUGACGUCAUUAUGCGGUUUUGGCACCAUAGGCACUACGAUUAUCGGAUGGAGGUGUAGGAUACACCGUUUCGAAGCUAAGAGAUAGGGAUACAAAGUUACAGAAGGCUACUUUGUUCAGUUUCGAGUGUAACCAGGUCAAACAUGCGAUAUACUACACCAGAACCGCAAAAACAGGUUCACAAACCGCAUUUUGGUUCAAACAUCAUAAGUCAGGCUACCUAAGUCCAAAUCAGGUGAUUACAAGGCUACAUUUCAUCAGAAGACCUCAACAACCAAUUCUGAAGCAUUCCCAACCUAAUUAACCAAUUACAGACGCAACUAUCAAAUUCGGGUAAAACCAGGGCAGCAAGGGUAUUUCCAUCUUUUCUCGAGUUACGCUACUCCGAUUGACAUGAAAUUUUACAGGGAUCUCUAAAAUAGUAUUCCCUACAACUUUCAUGUUUUAACCCAAAACCAAUUCGGCCUCUAACUAUGUGCUACAGUACCGGGCAGAAUGUACAAUCAUAAAACCCUAACUUUCCAAAUUUCUUCCGAAACAGAAAUUGCUUGCAAUUAACCACUUUUUCCACCUUCUAGAUUCCUUAAAUACCAUUUCCAAUCAUCAUACAUGACCACAUAAUCAUAUUCAUAUGAAAACAGAAAAAUCACCAAUAAGUAUAAGACUUCACCAAUUCAACCAAAAAUCAAGAUAUAAUCCAUAAAAUUGCUUCUUAUACUACCACCAAUCAUGAAUUAAGCUUCGUUAGAGGGAGGAGACGGGUUCUUCACAACUCACCUUAGUAACACAAGAGAGAGAGCAACUAGUCACCUUAGCUUUCCAAACAACUUCACCAAUCACCUCACCAACACUAAGUGAAGAGGUUUUAUGGAACAAAAGCAAGUUUAAGUGGUUGUUUUGAUGGAUUUGAGCUAAAUGGAAGCAAGAAAUUGGAGAGUUUUCUUUCUUUCUUUCUUGAAGUUGGCUGGCCAAGAUGAAGAGAAAAUGGUGAAUUUUUGGUAAAUUUUUGGAUUUAUUUGGUCAAUUAGUAAGACAAUGAAUAGUAGUCAUAAAGUACCACUAAUCAUUUGGUAACACUUGUCACUAUAAUUAAUGCAUCUCUAUCUCUUUGUUUCCUCUCACAACAAUCCAACCAGCAACCUCCAAUUAUCUCUUAGCACCCGAUAGUAACUGACCCGUCAGAACCCAACCAAAUACCAAGCAAACAUUCACAUCUUGAAACUUAGCAUUUACAAGCCAAAGUGGCAUACAAAAGUAUUCAAAAGUGGAUACAUGUCUAGUUUGCCAAAUCAAAAGGAAACAGUCCCCAAAAGUACAUUUAGGAUUUUAAUACAUGAGCUAUACAAAAGAUAUGUUCAACUAGCUCAAUUUCGCAGCCAUUUGUCAAAUCCAGACCAAAAGUGUUUAUUUUCCUGUAAGGAAAACAAAAGGAACAGAAAGGGGUGAGCUUGCGCUCAAUGAGGUACCAAACAGAUAGCAAUAAAAUCAUGGCAUUUUACGUUUAGCAACUCAAGUACACAUGCCAGAUGUAAAGCAAUGGAACCAAUGAUUCAAAUCAGAAGGAUACGGGUGGCUCUCAGGAGCCAAAUUUCCAGCGCAGUACUUGAUCCAAACCGGUUGACUCUCCGUCAACGUAUAUAGAACCAACGCGUCCGUAGACCCCUCUUUACACCGAAUUCCGUCCACCAAACACCCCUUUACCGGGCCUGCUCACCGUAACCGAACAGAAAUGGUAAUACUCGAAUAUACCGGAAUCAAGGGUCUCAAUACCCAGAGAUCCCAAAACAGACUACCGUGAUUCGUUAUCUAAUCGUCCAGGCCCUUGCCGGCCCGACUCGAAUAACUUAGCUACAGGAUUUGAGCUCAUAGGUCACAGAAAGGUCGUUGGUUACAAGUUUCCAAACGACGUCCGAAUAGAUACAGAUACAGAUAUCAAAUACAGAUACAGAUUCAGAUUGACACCAAAAUUGGCAUAUGAACAGACAAGAGAACGAGUGUGAUAAAAUACACUCUCGUCUCAAACAAAUUAAACAGAUUGCAAAGCAGAAAUCAAGUUAAACAACAAUGGAGAGGAGUGGUACACUCACCGGCUCAACUUCAAAAGUUUUUACUUCAGAUUGGCCUUAAUCGCCAAGAAACCCUAAAAUAACCAAAAUAAACCAAUUGAAGGUUUCACAUCCAUAAUCGAGUAAACAAAAUGCACAUGAGGCUCAACUACUAGUCGUAUGCCUCGCCAAAUAAUUACUAAUGCAAGGGUACAAAACAUGAUUUUUGGGAACAAAAAGAUAGCAUAAAGACCUAGGUUCAACAACCCAAAAGCCCUUUUAUUUCUACCAAAAGGCAAAUCCAACUUAAAAGAACCAAACGGCCUAGAAAUCGGGCAGCACUUCCCCUAAAUUUCUUACUUUUCCAGCCAUUAAGGCUUCAUUAUUUCCUCGAAUCAGUCCCAACAUCUCACACAAAAUUCACCUCAUUUCCAAAAGCCAUUCACUAGGCUCAAAGUAAAGGUUAACUAGGAAAUGACCGGAAUAAAAGUAAGCCUUAAAACAUACAAACAAGUACAAUGAGACUCGAUAACUAAUCAUAAAUAAAUGCCAAAUAUGACCCUAAUAGGGUUCCAUAAGCAUAUACAAUCAUUAGAGAAAACCAGAAAAUUCGGAAAUGCAAUUAGCUUUGGCCCUGAAAAAACAGUUUUUGACUUCUUUUUGCGGUAAUGGCACCAAAUGCCCUAUGAUUAUCGGAUGAAGGUGUAAGACCCACCAUUUCGAAGCUAAAAGACAGGGCUACAACAUCACAGUCACUCAACCCAGUUUUGAGUGCAAAUAGGUCAAAAAUGCAAGAUACUACAUCAAAACGUAAAACAGAUUCACCAAAACGCAUUCUAGCGGAAAUAUCAUAACUCAGGCUCUACAAGUCCAAAUCCAGAAAUUCCAAAACUAGUUGAAAGCUAAGAAACAGGGAUAAAUUUCAUCAGAAGGCCUCAACAACUCAUUCGGAAGCAAUCCAGACCAAAACAACCAAUUACAGAAGCAAAUCCCAAUUUCGGGUAAAACCAGAACAACAAUAGUAAUUUCGACUUAUCUCAUUCUACACUACUCCGAUUGACCUGAAAUUUUGUAGGCACCUAUAAAAUAUCAUUCCCUUAAACUUUCAUGUUUUGAGCUAAGACCAAUUCGGCCUCUAUCUAUGACCUAAAAUUUCGGACAGAAUGAAGAACCAAGGAACCCUAAUUUUCCAGAUUUCUUCCAAAACAGAAAUUACUUGCAAUCUUCCACUUUUUCCACCUUCUAGAAUCAUUAUAUACCAUUUCCAAUCAUCAUAUAUAGCCACACAAUCAUGUUCAUAUUAAAACAGAAAAAACUCCAAAAUAAUAAAACUUCAUCACUACAACCACAAAUCAAGAAUUAAUCCAUAAACUUGCAUCUCAUACUACCACUAAGCAUGAUUUAAGCAUCAAUUAAGGGAGGAGGGUGGUUCUUUAUAACUUACCUUAGAAACAAGAGAGAGAGAGCUAUUGUUCACCUUAACUUUCCAAGAAACUCCACCAAACAACUCACAAACACUAAGUGAAGAGGUUUUAUGGAGUAAUUGCAAGAUCAAAUGGUUAGAUGGUUCACCUUGAGCAAGAUUGGAGCUAAAACUUGAAGAGUUUCUUGCUUCCUUUUGGAGAGAGAGGGCCGGCCACAUGAGGAGAGAAAAUGGAGAUAUUUUGGUGGUUUUUUUUGGAUUUAUUUCAUCAAUUAGUAAGACCAUGAAUAGUGGUCUUAAGGUUCAACCACUCAAAUGGUGACACUUGUCACCUUAUUUAAUGACUUGCCUAACUUUUUUGUCUCUCUUACACCUACGCACUUGGUACCUCUAAAUAUCUCAUAACACCCGAUAAAUUAAUUUCAGUAUCCAAAACUUAACCUAGUUGGCCGAAUUUUUCCGAACUUUUCGCACUAGUGGGUCCUACGUCCGGUAUAUGCUCUUAAUUUCUCAAAAUCCAUUCAAUACUAGAAAAAUCAUCUAAAAACUAUAUCUGCUCCUUAAAAUUAUAUAAAAAAAAUUUUCUAAUCACGAAAAUGCAGAAAACAAGCCAUGAAAAAUUCUAAAACCUAGAAAAUGAAAAUUACGGGUUCUCACAGAGUGAAAGCAGACAUUUGUCCUAAAAAAUGAGGACGAAGUCCGAAUGGAUUGCCUGCUUUGAUCAACACACAAAAUGAUGUGUAAAAGAGAUUGCAAUGUCUCGAUUAAUUUAUUCAGUGAACCUUAGACUUAAACUCUAAAGGGGAAAAAGCGGGUCCAAUGGAUAGGAUGAAAUUGAUGAUUUAUUCAAAAUCGACCGAAUUGCACUAAAAAUAGGUAGACUGGUCAACUAAAUUGAAUGAAAUUGAUGAUCUCUUCAAAAUCGACUCGAUUGCCUUAAAAAUGGGUAAAUUGGCCAAAUGAAUGAAAUGGAGUUAAUGAUUUAUUAAAAAAUGAUUAGAUUGUCCUAAAAUUGAAUGAAUUGACAAAAAAAAAUUGGAUGAAAUUAAUGGUUUAUUCAAAAAUCGAUUGAAUUAUCUACCCAUUGGUAGUUUCAAAAAAUCAUUGCAAUACAUUAGUCUAUGAGCCUUCUAAAAUCAAUAUUUGACCUCAAUCUAUUAAUCGUCUCAACGAUGAGGAAUUAUUUGUGAAUUUCUUCAAAUUAAUGUCCUUUACGCAAGGGAUUUUUACCAAUUUUUUAUAAAAUGACCAAAAAGUGAUUAUUAGCUGCUCAUAUUCCAAAGAUCACUCUAUGAAAAUGAUCGGAUCCUACCUUACCUUGUGCACUACACCUUUGGAUGGUACAGGAAAUACAAACGUGUAAGCCUCAUUGGAUUGUAUAUUCGAGACACAGGGCGGUUUGUUUAUAACACGGGAUUCCCUAAAUGGCACUCCCGUCUAAGGUGGAUGCAUGAUGCCAGUUUAUCAAAGCGACUAAACAUGCAGUACACCAAUGAAAUGUGUCCUAAAAGAACCCCUUUUUGUAUGCCGGGAUGAGCCUAAAAUGAAAUGUAUUUAUGCUGCCAAUGCGAAGCAUUGAAUUUAAACGUGUCAUAUCAAAUAGGGUAGGCUCCUAGAGAGUACCGUGCCAGGACUCUUAUUUCCUAGGGCUUAUGAAUGCAAUGGAGACAAAACCAAAAAAAGUUAGUUCAAUCAGACAAAUACACAUAACACAUUUGUAGCAAGGCAAUACAAAGAGAUAAAACAAUAAAAGGAAUAGAGGGGUUGGAUCCCUCCCCUCGUGAAUGGUGCCCCUAAUAAGGUAAGACAGACUCUACCCUAGGUAAACUACCAUGGAUGCAUGAGGUAUUAGCUCACUAAUGCAUUUAGACUCGACAGGUUUUAGGUCCCUGAGCCUUCAGACUUGGAAACCAAGGGUCAUCAAUCCCAAGGUUCUUUGUCGGUGGCUCGAGCGAUUCCCCAAACACCAUUAUGCACACAUCAUGUCACGGCUACAUGUUUGAGUGAAUCUAUCAAAAAUCCUCAAUCUUCAACUAAAAGCUAAAGGCUAUCAACCCAAAGCUUAAAGCGGAAGAUUGAGUGACCCCUUGGAUCAUGCUACGCACACAUCGUGUCGCGAUCUCACGUCCAAGUGGGUCGCCUAAUCCUAAUAGGGUGGAGUGGCGUGACAAGCCACUAAAACAAAAAUAAAUGAGGGAUAAAAAAUAAUAAAAGCGUAUGCACGUAUGCAAGUGCUUCGUUUGGAGAGGAGGGAUCAAGAACCAACGCGAGACUCUAGAGUAAUAUCCUCCCACCCAAAUGCAAUGCAAAGCUCGGGAUCACACAAAUGAAACCAUCCAUCCAUCAAAUCAAUCGUACGCAAAUAGGUGAGGGCGCGAAAUGCAAAAAAAUCCCAAAAAGAAAAAUGCAACUCUAAGCAUCCAAAUGCGAUACAUGAAACGGGUAGAAAAGGAAAAGAAUAACUAAAUCAAGUGCUCGGAUCCACUUAGGAAGUCCCCAGUGGAGUCACCAAGCUGUCGUGUCCCAUUUUUGAAAUAAAGAAAAAAGAAGUAAAGUUGUUUGAAAUCAUAAUGUGUAGUGUGCGUGAAAUAUGUGAAGUAUGUGAAUGUGAGAAAUAAAGGAAAAGGCCAUGGGACUUUUAAAUGCGACGAUUUGGCCAAAAUGAUAAUCUAAAAAGGUUUUUAAACAGAAAAGUAGGAGUCGCCAUUUGGUAUUGAGUUGGGGUGUGUCAAGUUACCCAAAAAGUAGUUUUUGGAAAAAUGAAGUAAAAACCUUUUUAGAUGACUCCUAGUCUACGAAAAUCUAAGAGACGAGUUCGAGGGUCACGGUUGAUAAAAGGGAAGGCAAAGACGAAGUCUAAGGCACCCUUUUACCCUAACCUAAGUUAGUUGUGUGAUUGAGUGAUAAUUUUUCUAAUUUCUACCAAAAAAUGUAUUGCAUUUUGGAUGUGUCUAACAUGAAUGCAAACCUAAAUCUAAUGAUUGGUUCGAAAGGAACAAAAUGUCUCUUUUGAGGCUCGAUUGGUCCUAAUCACAUGAAUUGUGAUAGCCAAUGGUGAAUCCUAAAAGAGGUCACGAAUAAAUGCAAAUGAAUGCUUGAGUAACAAUGAAAAAAAAUGAAAGUGUGCGAAAAUGUCUUUAAAUGUAAAAACGAGUGUCAGGUGCAAAUGUGCAAAGUGCAAAUGUGAAAUUGGGUUUGUAAAGUGCAAGGGUGCAAAUGAGUAUAAAAAAGUGCACGUGUGCAAAUGAGGGAGUGUAAAGUAAAGUGAGAGUAUGUGAAGUGAUAAUGGAUAAAGUGGUAGUGUGUAUAAAGUGAGAUAGUGUGUGAAGUGAUAGUGGGUUGAAAUGCAUGAACCCUAGAGGAAUGCAAGCAAGACGGGUACGGGAAGACCCUAAAUCAUGACUUUUGCUUUUCCUUUUGGUUAGAAAGAAAACAAGCGUGCUAAGGCUAUGUGUAGCCAAACUCGUCUGUUUCCCUUACCAGAAGGGUGACUCCUUAACCUAAUCAAGCAGAUGACCCUAAUAAGUAGAAUGAAAUGCAAAGUCCUAAAGAUUGUGUUUCAAAUGCAGGAAAAGGGUGAAGGUUCAUGCAAAAAUGUAAAAUUACUAAAAGGAAAAAUGAAUGGAAAUGUAGUGAAGGCAUGCAAGUAUGUACUAGCGAGGGGGUGGCCCUAUUGGGUCUAGCAUUGGACUAGCCCUUUACUAACGCUCUCUCACAAGCAUUGGACUUGUGAGCUCAAGGGGAAGACCAUGACUAGCAUUGGACUAGCCACGGUAACGUGCAUUCAUCCACAUAAUCAAAUAUAAUACUAAGGCAAAUAGACAAGCAAAACAUAUAGUUUCACAUAGCACGUAACACAUAAGCAUGCUUAUCUAGAUGCAAAAGUCUAGGGAAAGCAAUUAAACACAUAGACAUAUAGGCACACACAAACACAUAGCACAUAAGCCCUAUCUAUUACACUUGGGGGAAGCCUACUACAAUCUAAGAGGGGAAACGGAAUAAAAUAAAUAAAAUAAUAACCUAGCUAUUACAACUUUGGCAUUCAAGUGCCUUUCAAAUGAUCAAAAUUGAACUAAAAAUAAAUAUACAAACUAAAGCUAACAAAGAAAAUAAAUGAAAUAAAUAAUAAUAAAACAUUUAAGAGGCAUGCAAUUAAACACGUAAAAUCACAUAGGGCACGUAGGGUCAAAUAAAGUAAGAAAUAAGGGAUAGAGUGUACCUCCCUAGAGAUGGAGCCCUAAUGGAGUGAAAUCACUUAUUUAUUCUCCAAAAUAAUAAAAGAGUCAAGGCAUCACUUUAAUCAAGAAAUAAUCACAUGAAAUGGGGAUGAGCAUGAAAUUGAAUCAAUCCAAGGCGUUUAAAGGAAGGUGAACAAACCAUGUAAAAAUUAAAACAAGUAGUGACUUGAUUGCAAAAACUAAAGAAAUUUGAGGGGUCAAUUUGGUUGAUUUUUCCAAUUGUUUUGGGCCAUAGUGAAACGGGGGAACUUGGGGGGCCAAAGUGCAAUUUUUGAAAGUUUUUCAUGCAAGUUCAUGCAAAGUUAUGAAGCUUAUGCUUCUACAAUUCUUUCUGCAAUCUUUAACCAUUCAUUCGCUCAUGACUUCUUGCACAACUGCAGAAAUGGAGGAAAAAAUAGCAUGUCAUUUUGACAAAAAGAUACAAUCCAUCUCUCUAGCAUCAAGAACAUGAGCUAAACUUCCCAACUGUGAUAAACCAAGCUUCCAGGACAAGAGCAUGCAAGGCAGGAAAGAACAAAAGGAAAAACAAACAUGCAUAACUGAUAAGACAACCCCAACGAUUUGAGUUGAUAGGAUCCAAGAACAUAACAAAACAUCCAAACCUUGGGCGCGAAAUGCAGCAAGGUAACAUGAACUUGGAGCUAAUGCUUCAACAUGGUUAAAUUAUAGAAAAUGACUAACUAACUAACACUAGCACGCGCUUUGUAUGAUGAAAAAGAAGAGCAACCAUUAAAAUUUCAAUUCAUAGUAAAACCGAAAUCUCUUAAACCAGAUUCUGGGGAGAUCAACAAACUCCACAAAACGUAAGAAAACAGCUGCUGGGGCAAAUGAACAAAUAAGAGAAAGAACAAUGGAUCCAGUAUAACAAAAACCAGUGGGCAUGCAUAACCAAGGGAACCCCAAAUCCUAUCCAUUUUUCUUAUACAAACAUCGCAUACACUUUCUGCACUUUUAACCAUAGCUGCUCACAAUCCCAUUCCAACAUCAGGUCAUGCACAUACUUAUCACCAAUAUCCAACAAGAAUUUGUCUAUGCAAAGAUCCCAACCACUGGGGAUCCCAACAGAAAUGAAUCAGGCCAAAACACAAAAACAGAAAACAUUACAAAGAGAGCCCUAUCAUAAAAACUUGAAACACCUAACUAAAACCUGCGAGGAAUCGUUCUAAAUUCUGAACUAUGAAACAAACGAGAUGCUGGGCAUUUGUACAAGAAGAUUUGAGGCCAACAUAGACAAGAUAACACAAAGUGAAUAAUUAGGAGCCUAAUACUCAUUUGACUCCAUAAAACCCUCAUAAACACACGACUAAAUAUUCUGCAGAGGAGAUUUAAGGUUGGGGGUCAAAACAUGGAUCUAGGAACAGAAAUAUUCUAAGUGAAACCAUCCAAGAGCAACCUUCAAAACAUGAAAAUCAAAGAAAACAAACCAUAAAACAGCAAAGAUCAAACAAUUAAACAGCAAAGGAAUCAACUUGGACCUUAGGUGAAAGCAAAGAGGAAGAUCACAGCAGGUGGCUUGUUGUAGAACUGUGCCUUUCAACGAUGGUUGAAGCCGAUGGUAGAGGCAUUGUUUCUUCCUUCCGUUUGCUACCUUUCCUUUUCUUUUGCUGAGAUUUAGUCUCGCUCAGCCUCACUCAGCCUUUUCUCUAGCUCACUUUUUGUUUUGCCGCUCACCAGAUGCUCUUCUUUUUCCCAUCCCUUUCGAUGUUUUUCUUUUUCCACUGUCAUAUACUUGCAUCUUGGCUGCGUUUCUUUUCCCAACUUCCUUCUUUCUUGCCCUCAGCCCCAAACUCCUAUUUCUCAUCAGCCGUCACCAUCCUCUCUUCAGCCGUCUAAAAACUCUCUGCCGUUUUCUUUUUCUUCGCCAUCCAUUGCCUAGGUUUUUUUUCUUUUCUCUAUUCUUUUUCUCAUCUAGCCCCGCCGUCAACUCUCCUCUUGCUUCAUUAGUCGUCAUCCCCCCCUUUACCUUUCAGCCGUCACCCCACCUUCAGUCGUCACCAGAUUCUCCUUUCCCUUUUAGCCGUCACACUCCCUAUUCUCCCCCUCCAGCCGUCACUCUAUCUGUUUACUUUUCUCUCUCGCCGCCACCCUGAUUCUCUUUCACUCCCUCGGCUCUCAACUCUCUCCCCAAACCCUUUUCUUUUUCCUCUAUUUUUUCCAUUCAGCCCAACCGUCAACUAGAGCCUCCCCCCUCUCUUGGCCUGUCUUUUGAUCCUUUUAUAGCUAUAGAAUCCCCCAAAACCUAGAACUAAGGAAGGAGUUGGAGCUGCAUUUUUGGCAAGAAUUUGAGCCCUUAGAUGGGUAUUGAUUCUAGACUUUACCACUAAGAUGCGUCGGUAUUGUACUGAAGGGUAAUAAAUUGAGAAAAUGGGUGGAAAAAAAAUGGGAUCGAAACGGGCAUCUCCAAAAUUUUCGUACUUUGCGUAUAUGGUUUCUGAUAUGAAACAUGAAGAAGGGUUUGGAUCGUGUGUGGCUCAAGGUGCGUGAGCUUGCUCUUUCUUUUUUAAUCAAUUUUUAACUUAAUUAACAACAAAUAAUGAAAUAAUUUUAACAAAAAAAAACAAGAUUAACCAAAUCAAAUGAAAUACUAAGAAAAUUGUUGAUUUUGAUUGAUGAUUUUUCCUUUUAUUUUACUAAUUUAAUGCAAAAUAUACCUUAAGAAUAAAAAUGAGUAUUAACUAUGUUCUUAAUUAAUAAAAAUAAAAAAAACAAAUAUUAAAUGUUAAAAUAAAAAAUUGGUGUCUACAACCUUGUAGUCUGGUGGAGUCCGGCCAACGUCCCGAAGGGCGUGAAAUAAAAUGAAUGAACGAAUGAUAUUGUAAACAAGGGGUUUUUGCUUACAAAAAUGCAUUUUCAAAUGAUUGGAUUAAUAAGGGAAUGAAAGGAGAAUGAAUGAAUGGCUCCCUGUGAGCACGUAUCCUUUUAAUGAAUGUGUUAUUAUCGCUUUAUAUUAUAAAUGUUUCUUGACUGAUUGUUUGACAUAUUGUUUGAUUAUCGCUUUCAAUGGACUUAUUGUUUGAUUAUGUAUUCGGAACCUCACUGAGCUUUUAGCUCAUUUCUUUAGUUUUGUUUUCCUUAACAGGAGAAGGCGAGCAAGGACGAGAGCUCUGUAUAGACUAGCCUAGACUAGUUUCUUGAAUUUUGUAAUGGUUCUCACCCUAGCGCUUCGCUCAGGCUGGAUGUAUGAAGAAUUGAGAACCUUUGUAUAUUGAGUCUGUACUCCCUUUCGAGAUAGAAAUGUAUAUAAGUUUUGCUUUAAAUUUUGAUGUUUCUUUCUUGUGGUUAUAUUUCGAUUUUGCUUGAGAUAUGACUAAGUCCCGGCGAGAGCUGGGCAGGCGGUCCACCGAACCCUUUGGUUCACCUUAGGGUGAGGUGGGUCAGUCACAGGUGGUAUCAAAACCUGUUUCGCGUGGUCUCUGCGCAGAGUGAGCUUGGGCCAAGUGGUGAAUAAGUAUGAAGGGCUAAGUGCUCUUUUAAGCAUAAGCUAUGAAUCAUAAAGGUUAUAGGCCUUAAAUCUUUCUCAUGGUAUCUGAGGACCAUAGAUAGGUACGUCUGGUAGGAAUUUCGAUUGUAGUUAGUUUACUCUUGGGACUGGCCAACUCGAGAUGUGAAUUAUCUUAUUUCGGAUUCUCGUGCCCAAGUACUCCAGAGUUGAGACGAUACUAAGUACUUGAGACUUGCAUUUUGGGAACAUGAACAGGCUUUGUUUGGCUAGAAUGAGUACAAGAGGUCAAGAGACGUCUAGUUUGGAUAGAAAGUGACGUGAGAGACCGGACAAGGUUAUCUUAACUGAGACUUGGAUGACAUAUCGCCUUUUCUUUUGAUUUGCCCUUGUAUUGUUACUACAUGACUUUUGUUUGUGGUAUGUUAAUACCUAUAUGUGUAAUAUUGGCUGCUUUUGUUUAUCUGUCAAACUUGAUAUGUCUCUUUGUGUAUAUGGUGUGUUAUGUCAUGCAUAUGCCUCUUUGUGUAUUUGGUGUGUUAGAUCUUGUUAUUUUAGUCAAUUUACUUCAUUUAUUUAUUACAUUACCUUUUGGAAAAGAAAAGAAAAGAGAAAAAAAUGGAGAGGAGACGUAGUCGUGGACGUGGUCGUGGUCGUGGUUGUGGAACUAAGCGAGCCCAAGAACCAAGAGAAGAAAGGGAAACAUCAGCCGAGCAAUAACAUGGACCGAGGGUCGAAGCCGGAGACCAAAUGGCAAUAGUGAUACAACAAAGGACAAAUAUCUUGGCAUGACUGGUAGAUCAACAAGGCCAAAUGCUAGUGAAUCAACCCCAGAAUCCUGAGAUAGGCGAGGAUAGGGCUCUUGAGAGGUUUCAAAAAUUUGUACCUCUGAAAUUCAUUGGAGGGCCUGAUCUGGACACAGUUGAACAGUGGUUAGAGGCCAUAAUAAAUAUUUUCACAGCUUUGAACUAUACUGAGUAAAGACAAGUGAACUUUGCGAUGUUCCAAUUUGAAGGACCUGCCCGAGCAUGGUAGAAUGUUAUUAAAGUAAAGUGGGAAAGAGAAUAGACUGCAUGGACCUGGGCGAAUUUCAUAAGAGAAUUUAACGAGAAGUACCUCCCCCCUUUAGUCCAAGAAAAGAGAGAGGAGGAGUUUAUUGGGUUACGCCAGGGAACUCAAAGUGUGGCCGAAUAAGAAACAAAAUUCACAAAACUAUCCAAGUUUGCUUCUGAAUUGGUAGCCACGGAACGGCGAAGGGUAAGACAGUUCAUACAGGGAUUGGAUUUGGAAAUCUAGGAGGCAUUAGCGGCGGUGCAAGUGAAUACUUUUACAGAGGCUCUUGAGAAAGCUCAAAGAAUUGAGGAUCCAAAGGCACAGGUAAAUGCCUCCCAAACCCGGAAAAGGGGUGCAUCGGGUAGUGUAUUGGAGGAAUUUAGUGAAAUGAUAGCACCUUCUAAAGUGCAAAAAGUGAACCCUGUACCCCGCCUACCAUGGACAUUAGGGGCGUUAGAUGAAAAGUCUACAAAAGGAAGUCGAAUCGAACAUGGGGAGAUUUCUCAAGAAAUCCAAAGGGUGGCUUCUCACUUGGUCUGUGGAUACUGUGGAAAGGCAAAUCACAGCAAAAGCGAUUGUUGGAGGAAAGGGCGGAAGUGUUUGAUCUGUGGAAAUGGUGACCAUCAAGUUAGUAAUUGCCCAAGGAAACAGUCACGAGAGAGUAGUACUCAACAACUGUAUGGAACCAAAUCGAAACAAACUAAUGAAAGAAGAAACCGAAUAAAAGUACCCGCACAAGUAUAUGCCGUAGACUAGCAAUAAACUUCGAGGUCAUCUGAGGCAACGGAAGGUAAAAAUUUCGAGGACGAAAUUUCUUAAGGGGGAGAGAGUGUGAGAACCCGAAAAUUUUCACAUUUUCUAGGCAUUAUUUUAUUUUUGCCUACAUUUUUAUACUUGCCUUUAAAAUAUUAAAGUUUCUAUGCAUUUUUAUAAGCAAGUACAGUUUUAAAUCAUUUUCCUAGUAUAAGUUAGUGUACAUUAAAUUUGAAGUGCGUUAUAGACGUGGAACCCGCUAAUGCGAUAAAAUUUUGGUGAUUAAGAGAUUUUUGUGCUAAGUAUUAUUAUUUUACAAGGUGUUAGGAGAUUAUUAGAGGUUAGCUAAAUAGACUAACCAUUGGGAGUGAGAAGAUAAGCAUUAAACAUUCAAAGUGCCAAGUGUUACAAACCCAUUGGAAGGUGGACUUUGACCUAACUUUCACCUUUACUAAAAACUAAUGUUGACCCAAUUUUCUUCCAUUUUUCUUGGUCUUGGCCGACCCAUUUGAGGAGUAAAACAAGAGAGGAAAGUUCUUCAUUUUCUAGCCUCAAAUUUUGCUCAAAUCUUGAGUUUCAACCUCUCAAAUCACAAACUACACUAUACAAGUGCUCAACUAGGAAGGUUAAAGAUUUUGGUGGAGUUGUUUUGGAGGAGGAAAGUCUAAGCUACCAUUUUUUCUUGAGUUUCCAAGGUAUUUUGCCAAUAACUUCCUCUUUACUUCAAUCAAUUGCUAAUUAGUGGCUUAUAGUUGUUAUAGAUGUUGUUUUGUGGAAGAUUUCAUGAGUUGAGCUAGAGUUAUGUUAAAUUUCAGCUUUAAGGUUUUCAUCUUAUCCUGUUCUGCCCGGUUCUGUUCGUCCUUGGAGGAGGCUGAAUCAGCCUUUGUCCAAAACAUGAAAGUUGUUUGUAAUUGAGUUACCUAGUUACCUGUAAAAUUUUAGCUCAAUCAGAGCACUGUAUCAUGUUACAUGACCGAAAUACCCUUGACUGGCCAUGAGCCCUGUUUCGCGAACAGAUUUCUGUUUUCAUGGAGAUUUUCAUUUUUGACCCUGAAAAUGCAUGAUUUGGCUUUGGAGGUCUUCAUAAGAAAUGUAGGUAUAUGUCUUGGCUUUGAAACGCCAUAAGAUUCAUUUCAAUCUGAUAAGUGUAGCUUCAGUUGUGGUUGGUAUGCUGAAAGGUGUAUUUUAUCGCCUAUGAUUUGUAUGUGAAAUUGUGGUUGUUUUGGAAUGUCAGUUGGUGUUUGAUUGUAGGAUGGAAAGUAAAGAAAUUAAGGAGAAAUGCUAUCCAUUUAUUUUCUUGUAGUUUGUGUGCAUAAAAGUGAGAUUUGAAAUGUGAUUUGGUGAUGCGUUGGACUUACUUUGUUUGGACAUACUUAGGUCCACUAUAAUGGUGUUAUUCGAGCUAUAUUUAAUUUGAACUUCUACAUUUUCGCAUGGUGAAUGAGACAACCAUUUUAAGCAUGAUACUUAGCUACAAAUGUCAAGUUUUGAACUUCAAAUGGUUACUCAUUUCUUUCUGAAACAAAGAAGAAUUGCCUAGGGUUUCUCGGCUAUAAAACCUAAUUUUAUCAAGCGAGGCUUUAGGUGUGAAUUUAGGGUUUAUUUAUUUUCCUUUUCUCGGCCAUAAAAUCUAAAUGUACACUUUUUACUUUAAAAUUCACAUUUAUAUAUUGUACUAGUAAGUAUUCAAAUUUUCUUUGAAUCACUUAAACCUUUGAUGGUUGAAGCAUAAUGUGUUCUCUUGAUUAUAUUAGGCUUCCAUGGUGAUUGAAAGUGUUAUCCAGAAGGAUACUUUGGACGUUAUUUUGCGUAAAUAGGUGAGUGUUUCUUGUUUGUUAUGUUUUCUUGAUUAUAUGGCUUGUUAUGAAUGAUUGAUAACAUGUUAAAUGCGUUCUAUGAUUGCCAAAACGAGUUUUCUAGGCGAGUGUGUACUUUAUCGCACUCGACCUAAAUGAAUGUGAAAUUGCUAAUGAUUGAAUGAUUACAUGUGCAUGAAUGUAAGCCUGUUGGUUGAACUGGGCCUGCCCUUCAUUACCGAUCGACUCGAGCCAAAAGCAGACUCGGUCGAGCGAUUUGGUGACCCUGGGUGAAUGUUUGGUAUACUCGAGUAUUACCUUGUAGUCUGGUGGAGUCUGGCCAACGUCCAGAAGGGGGUGAAAUGAAAUGAAUGAACGAGUGAUAAUGUAAACGAGGGGUUUUUGCUUACAAAUAUGCAUUUUCAAAUGAUUGGAGGAAUAAGGGAAUGAAAGGAGAAUGAAUGAAUGAAUGGCUCCCUGUGAGCACGUAUCCUUUUAAUGAAUGUGUUAUUAUCGCUUUAUAUUAUAAAUGUUUCUUGACUGAUUGUUUGACUUAUUGUUUGAUUAUCACUUUCAAUGGACUUAUUGUUUGAUUAUGUGUUCGGAAUCUCACUGAGCUUUUAGCUCAUUCCUUUAGUUUUGUUUUCCUUAACAGGGGAAGGCGAGUAAGGACGAGAGCUCUGUAUAGACUAGCCUAGACUAGUUUCUUGAAUUUUGUAAUGGUUCUCACCCUAGCGCUUGGUUCGGACUGGAUGUAUGAAGAAUUGAGAACCUUUGUAUAUUGAGUCUGUACUCCCUUUCGAGAUAGAAAUGUAUAUAAGUUUUGCUUUAAGUUUUGAUGUUUCUUUCUUGUGGCUAUAUUUCGAUUUUGCUUGAGGUAUGACUGAGUCCCGGUGAGAGCUGGGUAGCCGGUCCGCCGAACCCUUUGGUUCGCCUUAGGGUGAGGUGGGGCUGUUACACAUUUGGCUGUGUAGCUCAUUCUGUGAGAACCCGUAAAUUUUCUCAUUUUCUAGGUUUUAUUCUAUUUAAUGGCUUGUUUUUCUGCAUUCUCUUUAUUAGGAAAAUUUUCUAGAUUGUGGACACCAAAUUUUUACUCUUUUAUUUAUUUACUAUUUUUGUUUUCAAUUAUCUCAAAAUUUUAUCUUAGACAUUUUUUAAGCAUUUUUGAACAUCAAAUCUUUUAAUUUAGUUUUAUUUGUUAAUUUUAUUCAUUUUUUGCUUACUUUAUUUUAUUUUAAGAUUUUUCGAAAAAAAAGAGAAUUGCUCACAAAAAAAUAUUCUUUAAAUUUUUAUAUUCAGAUUAGGAAGGUUUUGUUGUUUAUUUUGUAAAAAAAAAAAAAAAAGAGAUCUCAUGCACCCUCCUGCACUAGAUCCAAGCCCUUCCUCAACUUCAUAUCAGAAACCAAAUACGUGUACAGGACAGAAAAAUUGCAGCUGGCUUUUUCUUCCCAUUUCAUUCGUUCCUCUGAGCGAUUCUCAGGAUAAGUCCAACUCACUCCAUUCAUGAAUGGGAUCAAAGGGGCAAGAGCAGGCCACAAAAACGGAUUUUUGGGAUUUGAGAUCUCAGCCUUCCAUCGUAGGUUUAGGUUCGAGGCUCCUUUAAAUGCUUGAAAAGGCAGCUAGCAAAAGAAAAAAGGAAUCUGGGGAGGUGACGGCUAGGUUUUAGAAAAGGAACAAAAGGAAAAGGGGGAGGCUUAUGACGGCUGAGGUGUAGACACCAAAUUUUUGGUGUAAUUUCAUUUACUGUUUAUUUUUAGUUUUUUAUUUGUCGUGUUAGUUUUAUUCGAUUUUUAGUUUUUAGUUUAUAGUUUUAUUUUUAUUUGUAAGUUUUUAGCAUAGAAUUUCUUGAAAUGAAAAAAGAGAAAAAGGAAAAAUCAUGAAAAAAGAGAAAAAAAGAAAAAUCAUAAAAAAAGGAAAAAAAGGAAAAAGAAAAGAAAAAUAGCAAUUUUGUUUUAUUUAGCUUUAUUUUAGUCAUUUCUACUUAAUUUAUCUUUUAUUGUUGUUUGAUUCAUUUAGAAAAAAAAAAAAGAAAAGGUGAAAAAUGAAAAAAAGCUAUGAAAAAGAAAAAUGUAGAAAAAAGAUGGAAAAAUGGCCAUUUUUGUUGUUUCUAGUUGUUUAGUUUUUAAAUUAUUUUCAUUAUUAUUAUUAUUACCUGGUUUUUGUCAAUUUAUUAUUUUUAUUUUUAUUUUAUCAUUUUUGUAAUUAUCAAGUUGUUUUUAAAAAAAAAAAAAAAAAAGAAAAAAAAGGGGAAGGAUAGCCGCGGCAAGCUGCAUUUGUAGCAGCUUGCAAGGAAAGUUUCGUGCAGGCCCUUGGCUGCAAAAUACAGCAGAGAUUGCUGGGUUUUUAGGGUUGGUUGGGCUCCCAUAUAAAGAAAAAAAAACAAGCAGCCGCAAGGGGGAAAAAAAGAUUAGAAGGGAAGAUGACGGGAGGAGAGUUACGGGGAGAGUAACGAAGAAAGCAAAUGGACGACAAAGAAAUCAGAGGAGAGUUGGCUAAGAGGGAGAUAUGAGUGAAGGAGGUCGAGAGGGUACUGGAUAGAGAGGUUUUAGCAAAAACAACAAGCAAAAGAAAAUAGGGAGGAUACGGAUAGAGAGGCAACGGCAAGAAGGAAGAAACCAGAAAAGGGAGGCGCGGCUGUGAGGGUCUGAAAAAAACUUUUUGAGAGGCGAUAGCAAAAGGAAAAUAGAGAGGAACAGAGGAGAGGCUGAGAGAGACUGGAAUCCUAACAAAAAGAAAAGGAAGGGCAACAAACGGGAGGAGGAAACAAUGCUUCUGCCAUCAGCUUCAACCAUCAUUGAAAGGCAGUUCUACGGCAAGUCACUGGAUGCGAUUUCCUUCUUGUUUGUCAGCUAAGGUCCAAGUUAAUUCUUUUGUUUGUUUUACUUGUUUGGUUUAUUUCUUUGAUCUUUCAUGUUUUGAUGGCUGUUUUUUUUUUUUUUUUUUUUUGGAUGGUUUCACGUGAAUUCCUCUGUUCCUGGUUUUUUGUUUUGACCCCCCCAACCAUAGAUUUCUAGCUUUACUUGCUUUAUUUUGAUUUUUCUUGGUGCCUGAACCCAAAGGCUUUAUGUUGAAGAAUAAGAAGGGUAUUUGGGUAAGCCGUUUGUUUGAUUUCAAGUUGUGUUUGGCUGGGUUUGGUGCACGAAAAUCGGAUGAAACAAUCAACAAGCUCGAAGCUUCUGAUUUGUUACAAUGACUAGACAAAACUGAUUUUUCUUUGGAAACUGAAUUUCUGGUGUGGAUUGUUUGCUCCUUUGGGCCUGUGCGCUGUGUUAUUGACGCUUUAUAUAUGCUUGCUGCAUUUUAGAUCAACAAAGUGUAGUACCACAGCAAGCUAUAACAUAAACAGUGCUUGGUAAAUAGGUAAAGGCUCUCGGCUGUUAUGGCAGUUUGAGCAGAUUCGUUUUUUUUUCUUUCCUUUGCUGUUUCAAGUUCAUCAUGCUUGGAGCUUAUGAUUUCCUUGAUGUUCAGUUAGUAUGUUGUGAACACAAGCUUUGCAAGCUUACUCGGCCAUCUGCUAUUAUUUUGCUUCGUUGUCGUCGUAGAGCUGUCAAUGCUUAUAGUGACUUCUUGAUGUAUGUAGCUCUUUGCAUUUCUUGUUGUGUUCCUCCAUUUUCCCUUGUUGCUGGACAAUUUAAAUGUUUGGUUUCAAUUCUGCAACAAGAAUCUGCAUUUCAUUUAGUCAGUAGUUGGAGCUUUGAUAUUUGUUGAGCUCGUUUGGUAAGGAGAAAUGAAAAGAAAGCUGCGGCUACGGUCUUGGGUUACGGAAAGCCUUCAUCCAAGUGCAUCAGUUUCUUUUGGUAGCCGAAAUUUGCAGCAUGAAAUCUGAUUAUAUGGCCACUUUCUGCUUUGUUUCAUUUCAUUUUUGUGCAUGGUGAUUGACCUUGAAGAAACUAAUAAAUGUUGAACUUGAAGCCUUGCUUAAGCUUCUUGGGUUGCUAAUAAGAUACGCUUGCAGAAAACCAGCAACUAGAAAUGCAGAAGAAGGUUUCUUUGUAAGCAUCGUGCAUGAAAUUUUGCAUGAAAAAAAUAAUUUCUAAAAAUUUCACUUUGACCCCUCAAGUCCCUUCUCAUUUUACUAUGGCCCAAAUAAUGGAAAAUGGUAAUCGAAUUGAUCCUUCAAAUUUCUUUUCCAUUUCAAUUGGGAUUUUCAUUUAGUGAAUGUGGACUUGUUUGAUUAUUUGAAGGGCUCCAAUGGUUCAAUUUCAUAUCAAUUAGUGGUUCUUUGACUUUUGUUUUUGUGCUAUUUGAUUUACUAUUAAAUUGGUGCAUUAAUCCUCUGUUUAAUGGUUUUAGCCCAAAUUAGAACCUUUUCCAUUUAUUAGCUUCACAAGCGGGGGAAGGUAUGACUUUCUUUUAUCCUUUUUUGCCUCUCUCCUACGUGCUCCUACGUGUUACGUGAAUAUGCAUGUCUACUUUGCUUUCUUACUUCCUUGCAUUUAUUCCAUUUACUUUAACUUUUAUUUAAGUUAUUCUUUAUGGGGGUAUGUGUACACCUCUUGGCUUGUAAUAGAUAGGGCGUAGCAAGUAAUUUGGUCCAUUUCCCCUUUCCCCUUUGUUUUAGUUAGCAAAUGUAAUGGUUGCAUGCCUACGUGUUAAGUGUUUAAUCGCUUUAUUAGGCCCUUGCAUCUAGUCAAGCAUGCUAAGUGUUAUGUGCUACGUGUUUAUAAGUGAUUCGCAUGUCUACUCGCUUUUUAUAGUGUGGAUGAAUGGAAUGAAUGAAUGUACGUCACCACACUAGUCCAACGCUAGUUGUGGCUUCUUUUAUCGUUUCCACUAGUCCAACGCUAGUCGGAAUUCAUAGAAUGGGUUAGUCCAAUGCUAGACCCAAUAGGUUCUUUUUUCCUUUUUUUCAUUAAGUGCAUGAUCACCACAUAUCACGCAUUUUUCCUUAGUUUAUCAUUUGGUAUGUUCCUCAAACCCCUUCCCCUUCACUUUAGGACUUGCAUCCCAUACUAGCUAUAGGGUUCAUUUUGCUUGAGUGUCCCCUUCCGAUAAGGAAAACGAGCGAGUGUGGCUACUCGAUAGCCUUAGCACGCUAGUUUUGCCUUCUAAUCAAAGGGAAAAUAGAAGUCGGAAAGUUAGGAGUCAACCCCCGUACCCGACUUGUUGCAUUCCACUAGGUCAUACUUUCAUUUUUAUCACCUACAUACUCUUUUAACCACAUUUUUUCACAUUUCUCAAACCAUACUUUCCCACUACAUUUUUCCUAUCACGUGCUCAUUUUCACCUCACAAAUGGAAUUCUACUUUACCUUAUAUAUCUAUUAUAUUUUCACACACUUGCACACAAAAAACACUUGAAUUUUAUACAAUUUCACACGUGCACUUUCUUUACACACUCACACACUAAUACUUUGAUUUUUCACUCAAAUUCACACGUGCACUUUCUUUACACACUCACACACUAAUACUUUGAUUUUUCACUCAAAUUCACAUGUGCACUUUCUUUACACAUACGCACACAAAUACUUUGUUGUUUAUACCAUUUCAUACAUGAAUCUUUUCAUACACUUGCACACUGGCACUUGAGUCACCAUUUGCAUCAAUCGACCUCUAUGAGGUUUCCCUUUAUUGGCCGCCACAAUUCAUGUGGUUUGGGACCAAAAACCUCACGAGAGACAUCGUAGAAUUUAGGAUUGCAUUUUUUCGUUUUCGCAUUCAUAUAGGCAUAAUCCAACAUGCAAUACAUACCCUGGGUAGAAAGUCAGGAAAGUUAGGGUUAAGUUACGCAACUAGCCUUGGCUAGGUCAAAGGGGUGCCUUGGAGUCUAUCCUUGCCUUCCCCUUUGUCAAACGUGACUCCCGAACCUUUUUCUUUGUUUUACGUAGACUAGGAUUCGUUUUAAAAAGGGUUUAUUAUUACUUAAUUCAUUUUUAGGUGACUUGGUACACCUUAAAUCAUUACCAAGUGGCGACUCCAAACUUUUCAUUUCAAAACCCUUUUUAAAACUAUUUUUUGGGUCAAAUCGUCGCUUUCCAAAGUCCCAUUGAGACCCAUGUCUUUUCAACUCACAAAAAUCAUUUUCCAAUCAAAAUUGAAACAAUACAUCUUUCUCAAACAAAUUAUUUUUCUUAUCAAAAAAUGGGGCGCGACAGUUGGCGACUCCACUGGGGACUUCCUAAGUGGGUCCAAGCAUUUUUGACUUAACCAUUCGUUUCCUUUUUCUACCCUUUCUAUGCAUGGCAUGUGGAUAUUAGGAUUGCAUUUUUCAUUUUUUUUAGGACCUUUUGUCUUAUAUACGUAAUCAAACCAAUCCUUCGACUCACGAAUGUAUGUUUGAAUGAAUGUUUAUUUGUUAUCUCGCGCUUGCAUUGCAUUUUGGGCGGUAUGGGUCACCCUAGGGCCCCGCGUUGGUUCUUGAUCCCUCCCCUCCAAAACGUGCACUAUCAUACGCGCAUACGCUUUAUUAUUCAUCCCUCUCUUAUUUUUCUUUUAGUGGCUUGUCACGCCACUCCACCUUUUUAGGAUUAGGUGACCUAUUUGGACAUGUGAUCACGACACGAUGUGUGUGUAGCAUGAUCCAAUGGGUCACUCAAUCUUCCGCUUUAAGCUAUGGGUUGAGAGCCUUUUAGCUUUUAGUCGAAGGUUGAGCUUUUUUAUAGAUUCACUCAAACACGUAGCCGUGACACGAUGUGUGCGUAGCGGUGUUUGGGGAAUCGCUCGAGCCACCGACGAAGGGCCUUGGGAUUGAUGACCCUUGGCCACGAGUCUGAAGGCUUGAGGACCUGAGCUUAUCGAGUUAGAUGCAUUAGUGAACCCCAACCUCAUGCAUCCAUGUAGUUUACCUAAGGGUAGAGUCGGUCUUACCCUAUUAGGGACACCGUUCACGAGGGGAGGGAUCCCACCCUCUAUUGUUUUUCUGAUUAUACCUUUGUUGUGCAAAUGUGUUAUGUGUUUUAUCUGUUUGAACUAACUUUUCUUGAUUUUUUGCCUCCAUUUGCAUUCAUAUGCCUUAGCAAUAAGAGGCCUUUUGGCACUCUUCUAGUGACUUACCCACUAGAUAACUCACAUGUUUAAAUUUCAGUCAUUACACUUAAUAAAUAAAUUUCAUUUUAGACCUUUUCCCCCCGAUGCAUUGUUUAUAUCCUUUAGGCCAUUCUUGUCACAUGUUUACAUCGCUUUAAUAAAUGGCAUCAUGCAUAAACCCUAGAAGGGAAUGCCAUUUAGGCGAUCCCGUGCUAGGGGAUAAGCCACCUUGUGUCUCGGAUACUUAAUCCAAUGAGACUUGCACGUUUACAUUUUGUACCAUCCAAAGGGGUAGUGCACAAGGUAAGGUAGGAUCCAAUCAUUUUCAUAGAGUGAUUUUUGGAAUAUGAACGUCUAAUAAUCACUUUUUGGCCAUUUUAUCAAAGUUGGUAAAAAUCCCUUGCGUAAAGGACAUUAAUUUGAAGAAAUUCACAAAUGAUUCCUUAUCAUUGAGACAGUUAAUAAACUGAGGCCAAAUCGUGAUUUUAGAAGGCUCAUAGACUAUUUUUUUGAAACCAUCAAUGGCCGGACAAUUCAACCAAUCCAUUUUGUCAAUUCAUAAUCAAUUUUGAAUAAACCAUCUUUUGACCAAUUUACCCUUUUUAGGGUCAUUUGACCAAUUUACCCUUUUUAGGGUCGUUUGACCAAUUUACCCUUUUUAGGGUCAUCCGGUCGAUUUUGAAUAAAUCAUCAAUUCAUUUGACCAAAUUACCCUUUUUAGGGUCGUUUGACCAAUUUACCCUUAUUAGGGUCAUUCGGCCGAUUUUUGAAUAAAUCACUAAUUCAAUUGCAUUCAUUUGGCCAAUUUACCCAUUUUUAGGGCAAUCGAGCCGAUUUUGAAUAAAUCAAGUUGCGUUCAAUCUAUUUGAUCAAUUUACCCUUUUUAGGGUGAUCUGAUUAAUUUUGGAUAAGUUAAAUUUCAUUCAAUUCAUUUGACCUGUUUCCCUUUUUAGGGUAAUCCGGUCGAUUUUUAAUAAAUGGUCAAUUUCAUUCAACCCAUUUGACUAAUCAGGGUUUCAAUGUCAAUUUCAAAUUGGGAAAUUUAGCCGAUUUUUGAGAAAACCAUCCAUUGUAUCCAGCCAUUUGAUCAGUUGGAGUUUUGGCCCAUGCUCCACUAAGAAAAGUUGUCAAAACGAAUUCCAAUUUCUUCGAUAGGAAGUUCGUCAAGGUCAAACCCGUGCGUUUUCGCAAAUAUCGAUCAAAGGUGAUCAAUCCCUUCGGACGAGGUCCUCUUUUUGACAAAGUGUCUUUCGUCUCUCCAAUUGACCAAAUUCUUCAAAAUUAUUUUUCGCUCAAUUGAUCAGAUCCAUCAGGUAUUGUAUAGUGCCUACCCUAGAGGAUUGCAUCUUCAUUCUAGGCCUACCCUUGGCACAAAAAGGGUUCCCCCAUAGGACAUGCAUCCGAAUUUUCUGGAUAUCUACUAACUCUUGUCUUUUUCUUUUCCCUUUCUUUAUUUUCUUUGGAAUAACUAAGCGAGGAUUGAAUCUAAAGGCAAUUUUUCAAAAAUUCUCAGGUAAUAUUUAAACAUAGCUUCUCGUCGAAGCCCCAUCAUAACGUGAUCCCGUAGUCAAGUCCAAAGGAAUCGUGUAAACAUGAGUUCACAACCGGAACAGUCAGAUAGGUCUGCUACUACCGCUCAACCCGAGACUGUAAGUUUGGGGAUUCAGUUGACUGAGAUGCUUACCAAAUUCGGAGAGAUGGCGUCUGAGAUGGCCGCCCAAGGGAAGUUGAAUGAUGAGCUAAUUAGCAGCGGAAUUCAACCCGAACCUGUACCCGCCAGACAGCCUGAACAAGAGCCAUUUGUCCUACCUUCGGCCCAUGCCACUGUUACUCCAUCAUUUCCUAUUGCACUCGAAGAAACUUUCACCUAUCCCACCACAAAUUUGCCAUACACUUACCCUCCUCAUCCUUCAUCUUUUCUUACUCACAUGCGAGGUCCACAACCCCAACUUACUUCAAACAUACCACCAGAGCUACAUACUUUUUAUUACCCUGCUGCUGAGCCAUUCCUGCCGGACCAUACUUUUCAAACCAAGCCAGAAAUGGGGGAAUCUUCCGCUCCCGUUGAUCUGAAGUUGCUUAAGCGCCUUGAUCGUUUUGAUGAAUUUAUAAGGAAGAGUCAGGGGUUGAACAAGCAAGGAGUCCUGGAUUACGAUGAGCUUUGCCUUUUCCCGAAUGUGCAAUUGCCUGAGGGGUUCAAAACUCCGAAGUUUAACAAGUAUGAUGGGACGGGCAAUCCCAAGACACACCUCCGACUGUUCGCCAACAAGUUGGGUAGGCCAACAGAUGAUGAAAAUCUGCCUUUGAGGCUAUUCCCAGAAAGUCUGGAGGGGGAUGCACUCGACUGGUAUUCCAAGCUGAAACCUGAAGAAGCAAAGACCUGGCUGGACCUGUCCAAUGCGUUUGUAAAGCAGUACGAGUAUAAUUGCGAGCUGGCUCCAACACGAACCACGUUGGAAGGGACAAAGAGGAAGCCAUCUGAAGAUCACAAGACUUAUGCCAAGAGGUGGAGGAAAAUAGCUGCAAAAGUCGAGCCACCAAUGACGGAAGACGAAAUCAUACGUACUUUCAUUAAGGCACAUGAUCCGCCGUACUUUGAAGAAAUUUUUCGCAUGACUGGAUGCUCAUUUGCUGCAAUUGUUAAUAAGCUUGAGGAAUUUGAUGAUUUCGUGAAGGCUGGAAAAAUUGUUAAUGUGUCUGCCCUAAAAACUCAAGUGGAAGCUUUGCAAAGCCAAGGAGGUAAUGGGAAGAAGCAACAAUUCAAAAAGCAAGAGGGGGAAACUACCUUCACCUGGAGUCAAAACCCUGUCCCAAGACCCAGACCUCGACAAUACCCUACCUACUCAAACCCUUACCCUUACUCUUACUAUUUAAGCCCUCAUCCUGUUUAUCACACCAAUAUCACCCAUCCUCGACCUCGCCCAAAUUAUGCCAAUCCGCCUACAACCCCUUUCCAAAUAUUUCAACCUAGCUUUCAACAAACUCGUCCUCGACCCCCUUACCACCAAAGAUUUUCCCCACCAAAUAGACCCACCUACAACUAUCACCGACCCACUGAAACCUACAAUCAAAGCCGUACCCGAACCUUCGCCAACCUAGACAGGCCUUUGGACCAAUUGUAUGAGCAAUUGAAGGCUGCCAACAAAAUAGGCGUGAUUCCCCCUCCAACUUACCUUCAUGGCAUGCCGCUGGGUACAAUCCACAUGCUAUUUGUGCCUAUCAUUCGGGAGUACCUGGUCACUCAACCGUCGAUUGCAGGGCACUCAAGCACAAAGUCCAAGACAUGAUCGAGGCAGGGGAAAUAAUGCUAAGGAAAAGAGAUGAACAAGGGCCGAGCAUAAGUACAAAUCCUUUCCCUGAACACAAGGACACCUUCGAAGCAUCCACCUCCAAUGACAGAAUUUGAAAAUCCUGAAGGAGCUUUGCAUAAUUUGAAUGGCCGAGUAUCUUCCCUCUCGAAGGGAAUUUCGGUAAAUCUAGGGGUUGUUAUUUACUAAGGUUCACGAAAACCAUUUCUUGCAUAUGUGAAUAGCUUAAUGAAAAAAUCUUUUGCAACUAAGUUUUUGUCUUAUUUCCGUUUUGAUUAGUUUUUCCAUCAAAUGCAUAAUUUGUUUUUUCUGUUUAUUUGAUUAUUGUCCCGAAUUUUUUAAUUCUUUUAGAUGGCCAAAGAUGGAAUUAUUUGACCAUUUGAAUAUCACUGUUCUGGAUUCCGAUAAUACCAUUCAUUCAAAAAUUUCUUCGUGAAAAAUUCCUUUGUUGAAAAGGCCAAAAAUCCCUUCGUUUGAAAAGGCCACAAAUCCCUUCGUUGAAAAAUCCCUUCUUUGAGAAGGACAAAAAUCUCUUCUUUAAGAGACCCCUUCAUGAAAAAUCCCUUCAUUGAGAAAGCCUUCAUUGAGAAAUCCCUUUAUUAAGAAUUCGUUCAUUGAGGAAGCCUUCAUUGAAAAAUCUCUUCAUUGAGAAAAUCCCUUCUUUGCCAAGUUCGAAGCUGAUUGAUUAAAGCAGCGUCACCGACAAUUGAUUUUGAUGGAUGAAAAGCAGCUGAACGCCAUGUGCCAUGGCUAAUGUUAUCAAAGUGCGUGGCCUGUGUUCAUAACAAAAAGGUCUGCCUCCGAGCCUUUAGAGAAGGAGGACAAAGAGUUAAAGCGAGUUUUGCCAAUGCAAGAUGAAGUCAAAAAUGAACUUGAUCUAAACUGGUAAGGACAUUUGUCAUUAAAAAAGGUGCCACCGAGUAGAGCCCUUAUCCUUGAAGAAAUAGAUGGACAGACAUUCCUGCAACCUAUCAACUCAGAUAUGUGUAAGAAGUUUUAUUUUUGAUUAUGCAAAUUUCUUUUGGAAAUCAUGCAAGGGACGAGGUAAAAGUCAGGCCAUCUUCCUUUCCAAUCAAAACAUUUCAUCCCUAGUUAUCCCUUUUGAGCCAUCAGAGCAGUAAUUUUCGUUUGGCAGCCCCUGAGAGUUGCAAACCCCACACUGGGGCCAAGUUAUUUUGGAAAAGAGAUGAUCAAAAGAAAAGAAAACCCUACAUUGGGGCAAAUUUAUUUUGAAAGAGAAAGAAAAAGCAGAAAACCCUACACUGGGGCAAAUUUUUGAAAAAGUUCAAAAGAAGGGCAAAAGGCCAAAAGACAAAUCAAUCAAAAAAAGAUGAAAAGGAAAAGAGAACCCCAUACUGGGGCAAAUUUAGCUUUGAAGAAAAAUGCAAAAGUGAGGAAGAUGCAAUGGAAAAAGCAAAGAAAGAAAAUUCAAUCAAACUGGGGCAAAUUUCCCUCAAUUUCGUUCGAAAUUGAAGAUGAUUUCAAAUGAUGUAAUCUCAGGUUAUUUCACCUCUCAUAAGAACAAAUUGAGUUCAAGCCUUAACUUUUCUUGAAACACCCCACCUGACCUCAUUACAAAAGCCCAAAAGUCCUGGCCUUCGUUCUUUGCUGUAUUUCUAUCAAGAAAAUUUGCUAAUCAACUGGCAGGUGAUGUCCGUAAUGUUUUCGCCUAAUCUCAUAAGGGAAGUACAUUCUACUGAUGCCAGAAAUCUUCAAAUCAUGUUUCUAAGUCGAUCAUGGUCGAGAUAUUUCUUUGUUCUUUAGAAAAAAAAAAAAAAAAGGUGAGGGCAACCUUGGUGAAAACCCGAAAGGGCGCCAAGGUAGGUUUUGGCAGCAAGCAAGCAUGAAAAGGAACAGCUGAUGACUUGGUUCAUUUGGAUUUUCUCCUUAUUUUUGUCAUACCUCAGCCAACAUUGAAUUCCAGAACAAAGAUGUCCAGAGAAUCGAAUAUGACAUCCGUUGGCUAAAGCUGUGUCAUUUUGUAAAAAAUAUUCUUUUGUAAAUACAUUCUUAGGAAACUCGUUUUUUCCAAAUUACUUGCAUUCAUGGCAUUUUUUGUAGAAUUUAAGCACAAAUGGUUAUGUGUGCAUUCUGGUGCAUAUUCUUUCUUACAUGACAUGUGAAUUUUCUUGCAUACCCCAUUCUUUAUCAUUGAAUUUUGGUGAAUAACAAUCCCAGUGAUUUAUUUCAAAAGUAUGCUUGGAUUCAGUCAUCUUUUGGGAAUAGUUGAAAUUCAGCAAAGUCAGUUACGCAGACUUCACAGUAUGGCAAAGCACAUACCUGAUCAGUUUGUAAAUCGGAAAAGCCUUAGGGUGAGAAAUCCAACUCAAUCGACUGCCGCAGCAAAAGUUGAUAAAGGCGUCCAAAGACUCAUGUUUACACGAUUCUCAAAGGAAAACGGAUCAAAUGAUGGUGGCAAUUUCUUUGUUUUUCUCUCUUUUGCAGAAAAAUUGCAUACACAGAUGAAAAUAAGCACACCUCGCACUGGAACCGGUGUCGGAAAGAGUCCUCCGGUGAACAAAGGAAGAUUGAAAAUGUCGCAAGCAAAUUUCAUCAAAAAUGCAACAGCAUGGCGAUACAGAAUCAACUCUGGACUCACAUUGCAAAAAUUCAUCAUACUGGGGCAAAUUAAUUUUUUGGAAAGAUUUUCAAAAGUCAAAAAGAAGAGCAAAGGAAAAAUCAUCAAUCAAAAAUCAACACAAAUUUUAUCACGGCAGGCUCGGGUUUAAUCCCACUGACCGAUUGUCAGAGCUUAUCCGGGUCAGUCCCAUGGUCAAAAGCAUUUUCGGGUCAGUCCCAUGAUCAAAAGUUUAUCCGGGUCAGUCCCAUGGUCAAAAGCAUUUUCGGGUCAGUCCCAUGAUCAAAAGCUUAUUCGGGUCAGUCCCACGAUCAAAAGCAUUUUCGGGUCAGUCCCACGAUCAAAAGCAUUUUCGGGUCAGUCCCAUGAUCAAAAGCAUUUUCGGGUCAGUCCCAUGAUCAAAAGUUUUCCGGGUCAGUCCCAUGGUCAAAAGCAUUUCCGGGUCAGUCCCAUGAUCAAGAGCUUAUUCGGGUCAGUCCCAUGAUCAAAAGCAUUUUCGGGUCAGUCCCACGAUCAAAAGCCUGUUCGGGUCAGUCCUGCGAUUAAAAUCUUAUUCGGGUCAGUCCCACGAUCAAAAUCUUAUUCGGGUCAGUCCCACGAUUCAAAGCAUUUUCGGGUCAGUCCCACGAUUCAAAGCUUAUUCGGGUCAGUCCCGCGAUUCAAAGCCUGUUCGGGUCAGUCCCGCGAUUAAAAUCUUAUUCGGGUCAGUCCCACGAUUCAAAGCUUAUUCGGGUCAGUUCCACGAUUCAAAGUUUAUUCGGGUCAGUCCCGCGAUUCAAAGCCUGUUCGGGUCAGUCCCGCGAUUAAAAUCUUAUUCGGGUCAGUCCCACGAUCAAAAGCAUUUUCGGGUCAGUCCCACGAUUCAAAGCAUUUUUGGGUCAGUCCCGUGAUCAAAAGCAUUUUCGGGUCAGUCCCAUGAUCAAAAGCAUUUUCGGAUCAGUCCCAUGAUCAAAAGCUUAUUCGGGUCAGUCCCACGAUUCAAAGCUUAUUCGGGUCAGUCCCGCGAUUCAAAGAUUAUUCGGGUCAGUCCCGCGAUUAAAGCUUGUUCGGGCCCGUCCCAUGAUUUGAAUUUCCUUCUCUAGUCAGUCCCAAUUUUAAUUUUUCUGUUCGGAUCAGUCCCGUUUUACGUUUCUGUCUGGGUCUAUCCCAUUUAAAUUUCUGUCCAUGAUUUUACAUUUCUAUCCCGUGGGUCUAUCCCAUGAUUUUUAAAUUUUUGUUCGGGUCAGUCCCGCUUUAAUUUCCCGUCUAAGCCAAUUUCAUUUUAAACUUCGUCAAAAGGGGUCAGUCCCCAUUUUUAAAACGUCCACCGUUCGUGACGUUCGCCGCCGAAUAAAGCAGGUAAGUAUUUGGUGUCUACUUCUUUGUCUCAAGUUUUUCCAAAACUCAGACAAAGAGGGGCAAACUGUAGACACCAAAUUUUUGGUGUAAUUUCAUUUACUGUUUAUUUUUAGUUUUUUAUUUGUCGUGUUAGUUUUAUUCGAUUUUUAGUUUUUAGUUUAUAGUUUUAUUUUUAUUUGUAAGUUUUUAGCAUAGAAUUUCUUGAAAUGAAAAAAAAGAGAAAAAGGAAAAAUCAUGAAAAAAGAGAAAAAAAGAAAAAUCAUAAAAAGGAAAAAAAAGGAAAAAGAAAAGAAAAAUAGCAAUUUUGUUUUAUUUAGCUUUAUUUUAGUCAUUUCUACUUAAUUUAUCUUUUAUUGUUGUUUGAUUCAUUUAGAAAAAAGAGAAAAGGUGAAAAAUGAAAAAACUAUGAAAAAGAAAAAUGUAGAAAAAAGAUGGAAAAAUGGCCAUUUUUGUUGUUUCUAGUUGUUUAGUUUUUAAAUUAUUUUCAUUAUUAUUAUUAUUACCUGGUUUUUGUCAAUUUAUUAUUUUUAUUUUUAUUUUAUCAUUUUUGUAAUUAUCAAGUUGUUUUUAAAAAAAAAAAAAAAAAAGAAAAAAAAGGGGAAGGAUAGCCGCGGCAAGCUGCAUUUGUAGCAGCUUGCAAGGAAAGUUUCGUGCAGGCCCUUGGCUGCAAAAUACAGCAGAGAUUGCUGGGUUUUUAGGGUUGGUUGGGCUCCCAUAUAAAGAAAAAAAAACAAGCAGCCGCAAGGGGGAAAAAAAGAUUAGAAGGGAAGAUGACGGGAGGAGAGUUACGGGGAGAGUAACGAAGAAAGCAAAUGGACGACAAAGAAAUCAGAGGAGAGUUGGCUAAGAGGGAGAUAUGAGUGAAGGAGGUCGAGAGGGUACUGGAUAGAGAGGUUUUAGCAAAAACAACAAGCAAAAGAAAAUAGGGAGGAUACGGAUAGAGAGGCAACGGCAAGAAGGAAGAAACCAGAAAAGGGAGGCGCGGCUGUGAGGGUCUGAAAAAAACUUUUUGAGAGGCGAUAGCAAAAGGAAAAUAGAGAGGAACAGAGGAGAGGCUGAGAGAGACUGGAAUCCUAACAAAAAGAAAAGGAAGGGCAACAAACGGGAGGAGGAAACAAUGCUUCUGCCAUCAGCUUCAACCAUCAUUGAAAGGCAGUUCUACGGCAAGUCACUGGAUGCGAUUUCCUUCUUGUUUGUCAGCUAAGGUCCAAGUUAAUUCUUUUGUUUGUUUUACUUGUUUGGUUUAUUUCUUUGAUCUUUCAUGUUUUGAUGGCUGUUUUUUUUUUUUUUUUUUUUUGGAUGGUUUCACGUGAAUUCCUCUGUUCCUGGUUUUUUGUUUUGACCCCCCCAACCAUAGAUUUCUAGCUUUACUUGCUUUAUUUUGAUUUUUCUUGGUGCCUGAACCCAAAGGCUUUAUGUUGAAGAAUAAGAAGGGUAUUUGGGUAAGCCGUUUGUUUGAUUUCAAGUUGUGUUUGGCUGGGUUUGGUGCACGAAAAUCGGAUGAAACAAUCAACAAGCUCGAAGCUUCUGAUUUGUUACAAUGACUAGACAAAACUGAUUUUUCUUUGGAAACUGAAUUUCUGGUGUGGAUUGUUUGCUCCUUUGGGCCUGUGCGCUGUGUUAUUGACGCUUUAUAUAUGCUUGCUGCAUUUUAGAUCAACAAAGUGUAGUACCACAGCAAGCUAUAACAUAAACAGUGCUUGGUAAAUAGGUAAAGGCUCUCGGCUGUUAUGGCAGUUUGAGCAUAUUCGUUUUUUUUUCUUUCCUUUGCUGUUUCAAGUUCAUCAUGCUUGGAGCUUAUGAUUUCCUUGAUGUUCAGUUAGUAUGUUGUGAACACAAGCUUUGCAAGCUUACUCGGCCAUCUGCUAUUAUUUUGCUUCGUUGUCGUCGUAGAGCUGUCAAUGCUUAUAGUGACUUCUUGAUGUAUGUAGCUCUUUGCAUUUCUUGUUGUGUUCCUCCAUUUUCCCUUGCUGCUGGACAAUUUAAAUGUUUGGUUUCAAUUCUGCAACAAGAAUCUGCAUUUCAUUUAGUCAGUAGUUGGAGCUUUGAUAUUUGUUGAGCUCGUUUGGUAAGGAGAAAUGAAAAGAAAGCUGCGGCUACGGUCUUGGGUUACGGAAAGCCUUCAUCCAAGUGCAUCAGUUUCUUUUGGUAGCCGAAAUUUGCAGCAUGAAAUCUGAUUAUAUGGCCACUUUCUGCUUUGUUUCAUUUCAUUUUUGUGCAUGGUGAUUGACCUUGAAGAAACUAAUAAAUGUUGAACUUGAAGCCUUGCUUAAGCUUCUUGGGUUGCUAAUAAGAUACGCUUGCAGAAAACCAGCAACUAGAAAUGCAGAAGAAGGUUUCUUUGUAAGCAUCGUGCAUGAAAUUUUGCAUGAAAAAAAUAAUUUCUAAAAAUUUCACUUUGACCCCUCAAGUCCCUUCUCAUUUUACUAUGGCCCAAAUAAUGGAAAAUGGUAAUCGAAUUGAUCCUUCAAAUUUCUUUUCCAUUUCAAUUGGGAUUUUCAUUUAGUGAAUGUGGACUUGUUUGAUUAUUUGAAGGGCUCCAAUGGUUCAAUUUCAUAUCAAUUAGUGGUUCUUUGACUUUUGUUUUUGUGCUAUUUGAUUUACUAUUAAAUUGGUGCAUUAAUCCUCUGUUUAAUGGUUUUAGCCCAAAUUAGAACCUUUUCCAUUUAUUAGCUUCACAAGCGGGGGAAGGUAUGACUUUCUUUUAUCCUUUUUUGCCUCUCUCCUACGUGCUCCUACGUGUUACGUGAAUAUGCAUGUCUACUUUGCUUUCUUACUUCCUUGCAUUUAUUCCAUUUACUUUUACUUUUAUUUAAGUUAUUCUUUAUGGGGGUAUGUGUACACCUCUUGGCUUGUAAUAGAUAGGGCGUAGCAAGUAAUUUGGUCCAUUUCCCCUUUCCCCUUUGUUUUAGUUAGCAAAUGUAAUGGUUGCAUGCCUACGUGUUAAGUGUUUAAUCGCUUUAUUAGGCCCUUGCAUCUAGUCAAGUAUGCUAAGUGUUAUGUGCUACGUGUUUAUAAGUGAUUCGCAUGUCUACUCGCUUUUUAUAGUGUGGAUGAAUGGAAUGAAUGAAUGUACGUCACCACACUAGUCCAACGCUAGUUGUGGCUUCUUUUAUCGUUUCCACUAGUCCAACGCUAGUCGGAAUUCAUAGAAUGGGUUAGUCCAAUGCUAGACCCAAUAGGUUCUUUUUUCCUUUUUUUCAUUAAGUGCAUGAUCACCACAUAUCACGCAUUUUUCCUUAGUUUAUCAUUUGGUAUGUUCCUCAAACCCCUUCCCCUUCACUUUAGGACUUGCAUCCCAUACUAGCUAUAGGGUUCAUUUUGCUUGAGUGUCCCCUUCCGAUAAGGAAAACGAGCGAGUGUGGCUACUCGAUAGCCUUAGCACGCUAGUUUUGCCUUCUAAUCAAAGGGAAAAUAGAAGUCGGAAAGUUAGGAGUCAACCCCCGUACCCGACUUGUUGCAUUCCACUAGGUCAUACUUUCAUUUUUAUCACCUACAUACUCUUUUAACCACAUUUUUUCACAUUUCUCAAACCAUACUUUCCCACUACAUUUUUCCUAUCACGUGCUCAUUUUCACCUCACAAAUGGAAUUCUACUUUACCUUAUAUAUCUAUUAUAUUUUCACACACUUGCACACAAAAAACACUUGAAUUUUAUACAAUUUCACACGUGCACUUUCUUUACACACUCACACACUAAUACUUUGAUUUUUCACUCAAAUUCACACGUGCACUUUCUUUACACACUCACACACUAAUACUUUGAUUUUUCACUCAAAUUCACACGUGCACUUUCUUUACACAUACGCACACAAAUACUUUGUUGUUUAUACCAUUUCAUACAUGAAUCUUUUCAUACACUUGCACACUGGCACUUGAGUCACCAUUUGCAUCAAUCGACCUCUAUGAGGUUUCCCUUUAUUGGCCGCCACAAUUCAUGUGGUUUGGGACCAAAAACCUCACGAGAGACAUCGUAGAAUUUAGGAUUGCAUUUUUUCGUUUUCGCAUUCAUAUAGGCAUAAUCCAACAUGCAAUACAUACCCUGGGUAGAAAGUCAGGAAAGUUAGGGUUAAGUUACGCAACUAGCCUUGGCUAGGUCAAAGGGGUGCCUUGGAGUCUAUCCUUGCCUUCCCCUUUGUCAAACGUGACUCCCGAACCUUUUUCUUUGUUUUACGUAGACUAGGAGUCGUUUUAAAAAGGGUUUAUUAUUACUUAAUUCAUUUUUAGGUGACUUGGUACACCUUAAAUCAUUACCAAGUGGCGACUCCAAACUUUUCAUUUCAAAACCCUUUUUAAAACUAUUUUUUGGGUCAAAUCGUCGCUUUCCAAAGUCCCAUUGAGACCUAUGUCUUUUCAACUCACAAAAAUCAUUUUCCAAUCAAAAUUGAAACAAUACAUCUUUCUCAAACAAAUUAUUUUUCUUAUCAAAAAAUGGGGCGCGACAUGAGGGAGAGUAGGGAGUAAAAUCUGAGGGCUGACAGCUAGGGGGACCGGAGAGAAACAGAAAGGGAGGACCGAGAGGGGUUAAGUAAAAAAAGAGGACGGCGGAGUGAGAAAGAAAAAGAAACAAUCUGAAGGCCUCUGACGGCUGGAUUGAUGAAAAAUUGGAAAAAACCAGAGAAACCAGAGAGGCUAAGGGCGGCUGGGAGAGUUUUACGGCUAGGAGAAAAUCUGGAACAAAAGAAAUGGGGUGACGGCUGAGAGCAGAGGGUCUUGAGGGCCGAUGAAAGAAAGAGUGGACGGCUAUGCUGGAUAGAAAAGUGAGUGACGGCUGAAACAGAGGGCAGAGGGAGAGUGAAAAGGGUGAGUGAGAGAGCCGAGGGGAAAAACCAAGAGGUUCUGGGGAGAACUUGAGGGAUUUUGGUCCAAGCCAAACCAAAGUAAAGAACCACCAAGAAUUGAAGGUCUCGGCGAUGGGUUGCUGAUGCCGCUGCUGCCAUCAGAAUCCACCACCACCACCUGCAAACCCUCACCGCAAAAGGCUUGAAAGAAAGCAUUGUGAGCUACCCUUUCCCUUUAAAUUCAAGUUUCCUUUUAAAAGUUCAGAUUUUUGAAGCUUUCUAAGCGUGGAUUCCCUGAAUCUGUUUCAGAAGUUUGUUUUCGUUACUUAGUAUCUCGUCACUUCUGUUUUAUGUUCAUGGGAAAUCUAUUUUUUGUUGUUGUUUUUGUUUGGUGAAAAACCUAGGAACUAAAAGCUAUGUUUUGGAAUCUGUAUGGCCGAAAACCUGUGAACCAAAAGCUGUUAACUUUCGUGUGGUUUUUCCUGUCAUGAAUUGAAUGUGUAUGAUUCGUGCGCGGUGAAUUGUGUUCUGAAUAGCUUAGCAGUCUCAUGGUUUGAAUUUAGUUGCAUGUUCCAUUAAAUGGUAGCGUUCAUGGCUGUCUUCCUGCACAUAUGGAAGCUGAAACUGUACAGAAAGGAACCCAUGAGUGAGUUCAAGUUGCUGGUUUCAUAGCUUUCUUUCGUUUGCAUGUUUGAAGCAAUCAGAGGCUGGGGUAGGUUGCAUGAGAUAUUUUGGUUGUCAAAGUUUCUGAUUUGCAUCCUUGAAGAUCUUGUUGCUUGGGUUAAGAUUGUGUUGGGUUGAGAUAAUGUGCAUAAAAAUCUGUUACAAUAAUUUCGAAACUCUCGGUUUGUUGCGGCUAUGUUAUUAAAUUGAUUUUCGGGUAGCUGGGGUUUUGGUUUGGCUUGAUUAUGCUUUUGGGUCUGUUUGUUGUUGGAUGGUGAUGCCAUUGUGUGCGUUUGCUGCAAUUUAUUGUAGCAAAGUGUGGUAUCACAGCAGGCCAUAACACUGCCAUUGUUUUGCAAGCUUGAAGUUUUAGUUACUUCAGCUCUGUGUUGUUUGAGCCGCAAGGUUGCAGCAGAAAUGGUAGAAGAUAGCUUCAGCUUUGGCCGAAAGCUUUCAAUUGCAUGCAUGCAAAUCUUUCAAAAAUUGUGCUCCAACCUCACAUUUUUUCUCCUCAUGCUACAAAGGCCCAUUUAUGUUCUAAUGUCUUGCAAUUAGGUCCUAAAGUAAUUUCAAUUUGAACCAUUACUUGACCCUUUCUUUGCUCUUGGACCCUUGAAGUUCCCAAAAUGUGUUAAUUGGGCUUGGGUGAUUGGUUAAUAUUUGCAAUUGGGUCCUUGGUAGUUUUUCCAUUUUAGAAAUUUGAUCAAUGAUUUACUUUUCUUGGAAAUUAUGCAUUAUUUGAUUUCAUUUAAGUCGCAAUUGGGAGGGAUUUGGUGAUUUGUUUAUACUUUACUAUUUAAUUGGUGCCUUGACCCUUUUAUUGUUUUGAAGCUAAUAUUUUCUUCAUUUCAUUACCAUUGCAAGGGAGGUAACCUCUAUCCUCUUGAUUUUAUUUCUCCUACGUGCCACUAAGUGCUAUGUGUGAAUAUGCAUGCUUUAAUUCGCCUUUUUAAUGUUUAAUUGCAUGUUUCACUUUCUUUUUAUUUAGCCUUCUUUAAUCGGCAAGUCAUUUGAGGGCAUUUGAACCCCAAUUUGUAAUAGUUAGGUUUUGGCGCCUCUCUUGAAGAUAUGUCUUAGCUAGUCAAUGUAAUAGUUAGGAUUUGCUUUUAUAAGUCCUUUUCCCCCUUUUAGAUUGUAGUAGGGUUCCCCGAAUGUAAUAGUUAGGGCUUUAUUUGCUUUAUUUGCCUUGUGUGUUUUUACAUGCCUAUGUGUUAUGUGUUACUCGCUUUCCUAGGGUCUUGCAUCUAGACACCAUGCUUAUGUGUUAUGUGCUAUAUGUGAUUUAUGUGUUUAUUUGCUUUAUUAGGCUUUACAUGAUUUAUUUGAUUGUAAUGAAUGUGUGACGUUACCACACUAGUCCAACGCUAGUCGUGGCCCCCUUUCCCGUCACCACACUAGUCCAAUGCUAGUUGUGGCCCUUCAUUCCGUUUUUUCCACUAGUCCAAUGCUAGUAGGAAUUCAUAGAUAUGGGCUAGUCCAACGCUAGACCCUUAGGGGCCUCCUACGCUAGAUCAUGUUUGUGUGAAUCACUACAUUUCAUGCAUGUUUUUCACCUUUUAGGGUUUUUACCAUAUUGCAUGACACUUUCUUAUGUACAUCCUUUAUCCCAUAUCCCUCCCUAUAUGUAUAUCUCUUUCCCCAUAUUUUCCCUUAUAUGUAUAUUACUUACCCCUUUGUAUGAAACAUGACAUUAGACUUGUAUUUCAUCUAAGCAUUAGACCUAGGCUAGUACAUUUGCUUGAUUAGACUAGGAAAAACCCCUUGGAUAUGGGAUAUGGAUGAGUUUGGCUUUCUCAUCUUAGCACGCUUGUAUUCCCUCUAUUAAAGGGAACAUUGAAAGUCACAAGUGUAAGUCCCCGCACCCAUUAUGAUGCAUUCCUUUUGGUCAUACGCAUUUGUAUAUUAUUAUAUUCUUCACUUUUCCUUUCUUUCGAGUCUCAUGACUUGCAUUAUUCGUGACUUCUUCGAAGAGUCUUUAUUGGGCGUCACAAUUAAUGUGAUUGGUGCCAAAUAAGAUUUGAAGAUACAUUUUGACCCCCGAUACCCUCAUAGGUCUAGGGUUUGUAUUCAUAUAGAACAUCCAAAUGUGAUAAAUCUUUAGGUUAAAAUAAGAAAAUCUUUGACUAAAUCGCGCAACUAGCCUUGGCUAGGUUGAAAGGGUGCCUUGGAUUCUUAUCCUUGCCUUCCCUUUCUUCAAAUGUGACUCCCGAAUCUUUUUCUCUGAUUUUGUAGACUUGGAGUCGUUUGAAAAGGGUUUUCUACUUUUUUCCUUUAAAAUUCAUUUUUAGGUGACUUGGUACACCUGAACUCUAUACCAAGUGGCAACUCCAUUUUUCAUUCAAAAAACCCUUUUUAAACUACAUGUUGGGUCAAAUCGUCGCAUUUUCAAGUCCCAUUUAGACCCAUGCUUUUCCAUAAUCAAAAAUUCAUUUUCCAAUCAAAAAUCAAAUCAAAAGUCAUUUUUCCUAAACUCGUCUUUUAUUUAAAAAAUGGGGCGCGACAUAGAUAAUUUUUAUGAGUAAAUAUAGUUUUUAAAUUUUUCUAGUAUCGGGUAGGUUUUGAGAAAUUAAGAGCGUAUACCAGACGUGGGACCCGCUAGUGCGGAAAGUUUGGAAAAAUUCGGCCAGUUAGGUUAAGUUUUGGAUACUAGGUUUAAUUUACCGGGUGCUAUGAGAUAAUUAGAGGUUACCAAGUGGAUUGGUGUGAGAGGAACAAAGAGAUAGCUAUGCAUUAAAUGAAAGUGACAAGUGUCACUUAGAGGUUAAUUCUUACUUUUGACUACUGUUCACCCUUUUACCAUUUUACUAAAUAAACCAAAAAUUGGUCAAAAAUUCUCUUCAUUUCAAGCUAUUGUGGCCGGCUCUCUUCAAGCAAAAAGAAAGGAAAAGCUCUCAAUUUUCUAGUCUCCAAUCUUGCUCAAUCUUCAAUUCCAACCGUUUAAUCUUGUAUUUGCUCCAUAAAAACCCUUAAGUGAGUGGUUGUGAGGUGAUUAGUGAAGUGAUUUGGAGGAUUAAGGUGCUAAGUUGCUCCUUUUCUUCGGUUGUUAAGGUGAGUAACUAAGGGACGUUUCUUUCUUCUCAAUAAUGUUUGAUUAUUGACUUAUGAGAGAUGAAGUGAUGGAUUAAGGUGUUGUUUCAUGACUUUUGGUGGAAUUUGGUGCAUUUUUCUAUUUAAUUAUGAUUUUUCUGUUUUCAUAUGAUUAUUAUGGUGUGGCCUUAGAUGAUGGUUGGAAAUGAUCUAAAACGAAGCUAGAGGGUGUAAGUUGUGGCUAAUUGCGGAAAAUUUCCGCAUUUAAAGGAAAUUUCGGAAGUUAGGGUUUCAAUUAACCUCAUUCUGCCUGGUACUAUUACUCCUAGUUAGAGCCUGAAUUAGCCUUGGGUUAAAACAUGAAAGUUGUAGAGGAUGGUAUUUUAUAGUUGCCUGUAAAAGAUUAGGCUAAUCUGAGCAGCAUAGCCUAUAAAAAGACUGAAAUACCCCUACUGCUCUGUUUCUGUCCGAAACUGAAAAUCAGCUUUGGUAAUUGGUUAAUUUGAUUGGGAAGACUACGGAUUUAGUUGUUGAUGUCUUCUUAAGAAAUAUAUCCUGGUAUCUUAGCUUUCGGAUGGCUUUGAAAUCACUUUAAUUGGACUUGGGUAGCCUGAAUUAUGGUUAUUUAACCAGAAUGCGGUUUGUUAACCUGUUUUUACGGUUCUAGUAUAGUACAUUGAACUUUUGACCUAGUUGCACUACAAACUGGAUUGAGUGGCCUUCUUCAACAUUGUAUCCCUUUCUUUUAGAUUCGAAACGGUGUAUAUUGUACAUCCAUCCGAUAAUCAUAGUGUUAGUGGUGCCAAAACCGCUAAAUGAUGUUAAAAAAACUGUUUUAGGGGUUUAGAUCUAAACUUCCAUUUCCGGACUUCCCUAGUUUACUCUCGUACUUAUACGUUCUAAUGGAGCCUUCUUUUGGUAGUAUGUGGAAUUGGUUUAUGACUUGUAAUCGAGGUUUAUUGUGCUUAUUUGAAUGUUUUAGGACAUGACGGUGGUUCAAGACGCUCUUUGGGCGGAAGUGUAUGAAAUUUCACUUGCUUGCUUGGUGAGUGUACUACUCACUUGUUUGUUACUAUGUGGCUUUACUACUUGAAAUCGAUGAUUUGAUGGCUUAAUUGCAUUGUUGACCUAGAUUGAAGUGAGGGUGUACUUAAUCACUCUCACCCUUUUAUCGUAUAUGACUGUUUACUAUGUAAUUGAGUGAUACAUGCAAAUACUUGAUGUGGUGUCGUUUGGACGUGUGACGGCCCCACCCCCCCUAAGGCGAACCAGAGGGUUCGGCGGGCCGCCUGCCCAGCUCUCGCCGGGACUCAGUCGAUCACUACAUUCCUCAAAUAAAUUACAAGAUAAAUCUCAUAUAUACAUCAAAUGUUCCAACAUUUACAUAUCAAAAGUGAAGCGUCCACGCUUCCACUGCGCCACUCUGAUCCAUGAUCCCAAUUCUUAUACAAGAGGAAUUCCACAACAAUAAAAUCACAACAAGCCUUCCUUCGCCACGAGCCCUGUGGAGGGGAAUAAAAUAUUUUUUGGGUGAGCUAGAAGCUCAGCGAGUAACCAGAAAAAUCAGUAAUCAAAUAUAUUUCACAAUAAUGCAUUUCGAUCAUUUCGAUGAUGUCAUGAUUCAAAGAACAAAUGUCCGUUUAUUGCUCUCGUGAGCCAGUGAAAUCAUAGUACUUGAACACCCAACGCUCAAAUCGAUCAUUUAACAUUAACAUUAACAUUAAGAGGGAGCCCCUUUUUGAGCUACGGAGCCAUUUGCUCCAAGUAAACAGAGGUGGAGACGUUGGUGUCCAGCACAAGACUCCCCAAGAAUUCAUUAAAGCCAAAAUCAUAUCAUGAAUUCACAUGCAAGCACGCAUGAUAUGCAAUCGAAUAAAUAAUGCAAGAAGCAUUUAACAAGUACUUUGGAAAUAGUUUAGGGUCACUUACCUCCAUGGCUCAGAAAUCAUCCAUCAUAUAACAUUGCCUUGCUCAAAUCCAAGUCUUAGAUCACAAACUCAAUGCAAACAAGUCCCUUCAAAGUUCGGACAGCACUUCCCCUGAAUUUGCUAACUUUUCCAGCCAUCAUGGCUUUAUUAUUUCCUCAGCCAGUCCCAAAGGUACACACACAACAACAAGUUCAUCCAAUAGUCAUUCAGCAAGCUCCAAGUAGUACUAGUACAAGUCAAACUAGGGAAAAGUCCGGAAAUGAAAGUUAAGUUCUAAACCAUAAAAACAGUUUUGACAUCAGUUUGCGGUUUUGGCACCACUGGCACUACGAUUAUCGGAUGGAGGUGUAAGAUACACCGUUUUGAAUCUAAGAGAUAGGGCUACAAUGUUCCAGAAGGCAACUUUGUCCAGUUUUGAGUGUAACAAGGUCAAAAAUGCAAGAUACUAUACCAGAACCGGAAAAACAGAUUCACAAAACGCAUUCUGCUGCAAACAGCAUAACUCAGCCUACUUAAGUCCAAAUCCAGAAAUUCCAAAGCCAUCCGAAAGCUUAGAAACAGGGUUACAUUUCAUCAGAAGACCUCAACAACCAAUUCCGAAGCAAUUCCAGCCAAAAAAACCAAUUACAGACGCAAUUAUCAAAUUCGGGUAGAAACAGGGCAGCAGGGGUAAUUCAGUCUUUUCACAAGCUACGUUGCUCCGAUUGACCUGAAAUUUUCUAGGCAUCUCUAAAAUAUCAUUCCAUACAACUUUAAUGUUUUAACACAAGGCCAAAUCAUGCAUUUUCAUGGUCAAAAAUGGAAAACUACACGAAAACAGAAAUCUGGGCGCGAAACAGGUUUCAUGGAUAGUCAAAGGUAUUUUGGUCAUUUCACAAGCUACAGUGCUAGGAUAGAGCUGAAAUUUUGUAGGUAACUAUUUUACAUCAUUGGCUACAACUUUCAUGUUUUGGCUAAAAUCUAAUUCGGUAAGGAGCAUGGUGAAAAUUCACAGUCAGAUUGGGUGAAAUGACAACCCUGUUCGCUGAACUCCUACCUAGACCAGUCUGGGUAUUUCCGACUUUUCACAAGCUACCGAGCUCAGAUUGAGAUGAAAUUUUACAGGCAACUAUAAAAUAUCAUUCUCUACAACUUUCAUGUUUUAAUCUAAGGCUAAUUCGGCCCUAGCAUGCUCAAAAAAAUUCAGACAGAACAGGCCUGUUUGGAACCCUAAUCUGGAAUUCAUGUAUUCAAGUGCUAAUCUUCCACAAAACAACAUCUAAAACAACUAAAAACCACUAAUAAGCAAUGAAUUGAAGUAAAGAGGAUGUUUUAGGCAAAAUACCUUAAAACCACAAGAAAGGUAGUAGCUUGGAGCUUGCCCUUCAAAAUCACUCCACUCAAUCUUUUAAUCUACCUUAGUAAACAACUUUGAUGGAGGGUUUUGCAAAAAUUCUGGUUAGAAUUCAAGAUUGGGCAAGAAAUUGAAGAACAAAUGAAGUUUCUCUCUUGCUCACUCUCUCUCUUGUGUUUAGCCAACAAGCUAAAAAAAAUGGAGAAGAAUGAAGCUCCAAGAUGGCUUUAAGAUGACUUAGUCUUCACUUGGGUCAAAUGUCACUUUUCCUCCACCAAUCAAAUUUAAGCUUAGGAAGACCUUAGAAGAUUCAAGGUUACUAAUAUCUUACUUUGCUAAGUCUCACACUAUGGCCCCAAUAACAUUUAAUCUUUGCAAUUAACUUCAUGGUUCACCAACUAGUUGAAAAAAAACAAUCGCAUUUACCGCACUAGCGGGUCCCACGUUCAUAAUACACUUCAAAAUUAACGUGGACUAACUUGGAUCAAGAAAAUGAUUUGAAAACUAUAUUUCCUUAUAAAAAUGUAUAGAAAAUUAAUAUAUUGAAGAAAACAAACUUAUAGACAAGAAAACAAAAUAAUGUCGAGAAAAUAUAUAAAAAUUUUCGGUUUCUCACACUAAUACUUUUCGGGGCAUCACAGGACGAGUAUCCAACGGCCAUUACUGUUACUACUGAACUCAACCCCAUUGGUAGUCGAUUGAAUCGAGCCGGCGAGGGCUUGGUCAUAAAAAUUGACGAGCCAUGGGGACUGUUAUAUGGAAUCUUGUAGUAUGAGACUCUUGAUUCCGGUAUACUCGAGUAUUACCAAAUUUCUACUAUUUGGAGUUCGGGCCCGAUAGGGGUAUGUUGGGUGGAAGGAAUGGAAGUAAAGUGGAGCCUACGGUUGGUUACUCUUAAUCAUUGACGGAGGGUCAAUGAAAUCCGAUCAAGAUUGCAAUCGAGGAAAGGGGCUCUUGAGAGCCGUCCGUAUCCUUUUAUCAACUCUAUUGAUGUGUGCUUGGCUUACUUUUGAUGUAUUGGAAUGAAAAGCUUUAUGCUUAUAUGAAUUUUGCUGUUUGAGUGAUAGUAUCUCACUGGGCGUAAGCUUACCCAAUUCCUUUUGUUUUCCUUACAGGAAUUUGAAUACUUUUGGAAUGGCUUUGAUAGUUGGUUGCCGAGUUGAGCUAGUUGUGAAUACAUUUUGCAUAGCUCCUCGAAGAAUGAAACCUAGAUGUAUUUUGACCGUUCCCUCUUUUGAAUUGUAAGAUUGAAACCGUACAUGUGUAAUUGGGAUUGAAAACUUUUGUAUGCUAUUUUGGUAUGUAAAUGCUAAAUUUCAAGUGGUAUGGGUUUGAUUGAUGUUUGGUUGGAUUUUGGACAGGUUCGGAUUUCAAACGGUGAAAGAAAAAAAUUUGGCGGAAAAAAAACAGGGUCGAAUCCGGCCAGAAAUUGGCCGGAUUAGCGGCCGGAUUGCCCUGGGAUUUUUGGGAAAUCCGGCCUUGCUCUCCGGCUAGCAUCCGGCCGGAUUCUGACGUGUCGGUUACUGUUCAUGGCCGGCUCCGAUUUUCAUUUUUUUUAUUUGUAAUUUUGACUUGUUUAAGCGCGAUUGUAUGUUCCGGAAUGUUUUAGAUCGCUUUAAACUGUCCUGUUAGUCCUGGCGAGAGCUAGGCAGGCAGUCCGCUAACCCCUUUGGUUCGCCUUAGGAGAAGAUGUGGCUGUCACAGGUGGUAUCAGAACCUAGGUUUGAAUUGGCCUGGGCGUGUUAGAAAUGCUCGACUUGAGGAUUAUUUUGCUUAUGUCCCUUAAGGUUAUUUACAUUUAUUUACCCUUUUGGUGUAGGAUGGACGGGCAUAGCGGGCCUAGUGGUAGCCCUACUGGGGAGCGACCGCAUGGGGUGCUUCCGGUGAUUCUGUACCAGAUCCGGCCAAAAGGGGCCGUCGUUCGUUAGAGCCCGGCUAACCGCCUCCGACGUUGCGAGUGUCGUCACACGUACGCCUACCCUAACACCUUGGUGUUGGCUGUGACCGAGGAACGGAAGGAGUUGGCCAAAGAUAAUGCUAGGCUUGAGGCCGACGUGAAUCAGUUGAGGGCGGCCAACGAGAAACAAGCCAAGCGAAUUAAGGAUCUGGAGUACGAUGUGAUCGAGUGUGAAGAUAGAGUGGACGACCUCUGCGCUCAACUUAGGGAGGCACGUGAGCGUUCGACUACUCGAGCUCGAAAGGUUAGGGUUCGAGCCGAGUCAAUUCUGCACCUCUGUGAUGAUUUGCUCGAUGACGAGAGCAACGAGGCCUCGUGUGCGGGGCCCAAGACUGGGGUUGAAUCCACCCUGUUGGGUGGGUCUACUAGCCCGACGACGGACUAGGUUAUGACUCUUAGGGUCUUUAGGGCCUUUUGGAUGGUUUUGUUUUCUGUAUAUAGGGCGGAUAAGGGAAAAGAGCCUUAGCUAGUCAUUUUGUACAUUUGGAUUAGCUACAUGUAUAUUUUUUUUGAUGAGGCCAUUUUCUCGUGGAUUGUCUAUGUUUGUACUUGACUUGACUGGCUGUUCAUAUGUGUGUUGUUUGACUUUGUUUGGAAUGUAUAUAUAUGUUAUUGUCAAAGCUUUUGGGAUUUUACUUACACGUAUUCUUAUUGUAUGUUCUAGUACGUUUGCCUAGAUCAAGUAGAUUUCACGGAAGGUACGCGUAGUGGACGGGGACAUGGGCGCGGGAGUAGGCAACCCACGUCGGACAGGGGUGGUGGGAAACCUCCUCUGGACCUAAUCCUGAACCGAGGGUUGACCUCAAUGUACAAAUAGCUGCCGCUAUGCAGCAAAUGACCAACCUGCUGGCACAAGUGGUGCAGCAACAGGGUCAGAACCCUAAUCCUAACCCUGGAAACCCUGGCAAUCACGUCGAGAGCGACGAUAGGGCACUUGAAAGAUUCCAGAAGUUUGCCCCACCGAAAUUCGUUGGGUGUCGCCGAAAGGUGGCUCGAGAAAAUGGUAGACAUUUUCGUUGCCCUGCACUACACCGAAGAACGGCCGGUUCCUGGUGGAAUGUCAUUCGGCAAAAAUGGGAACGGGAACAAACGCCCAGGACUUGGGUAAAUUUUAUGAGAGAAUUCAACGCGAAAUUCUUCCCUCCUCUAGUUCAGGAGAGGAAGGAAGAUGAGUUUAUCCGACUCCGCCAAGGGGCUCAGUCUGUGGCGGAGUACGAGAGCCAAUUUACCCGCCUAUCCAAAUUUGCUCCUGAGCUGAUCAUGACCGAGCAACGACGGAUCAGGUGUUUUAUCCAGGGCUUGAAUGUCGAAAUCCAGAAGGACCUCACAGUGGCUCAAAUCAAUGCUUUUAGCGAGGUCGUGGAGAAGGCCCAACGGGUUGAGAGUGCUAGGUGGCAAGUAAGGAACUUCCAAGCAAAGAAGCGCUGCUUUCCUGGAAGCAGUUUGGGACAAGGGGAUAAAGGUACCCCCUCCAAGUUUGGACGAGGAAUAGAAGGUGGACGACAGUCAGGUUUCGGCAGAGGGGCUCAGUCCAGGGGUGGCUCAGCCGGGAGAGGCCAAGGCGGAAACUUCCAGAAGGGUUCAGGUUCGGCGUUCCGUAGGCCUUGUGGAUACUGCGGGAAGCCGAAUCACUCCAAGGAUAACUGCUGGAAGAAGGAGGACAAAUGUCUGCAUUGCGGAAGCGCAGACCACCAGUUGGCCACUUGCCCGGUCCUAAAACAAGAUGGAAAGGGAGCCAACCACCGCCGAGGACCAAUGCUGGACCAGCUAAGGGGGAUGGGUCCAAACCUAAGAUGCCAGCUCGAGUGUAUUCGUUAGAACCCCAACAGGUCCCAGAUUCCUCAGAGGUCGUAGAAGGUACUAUCCCUAUCUUCCACCGUUUUGCCAAAGUUUUAAUAGAUCCUGGUGCCACUCAUUCCUUUGUUAACCCUGAUUUCAUGUGUAGCAUCGAUAUAAAACCUGCUAGUUUACCAUACGACCUAGAAGUUAGUACACCUACGGGGAAUCAACAUUUGGUUACUAGUAUGGUUUAUAGGGAUUGUGAAGUGUGGGUAGGAGAAAAGAGAUUGUUAGGAGAUUUGAUAAGUCUAUCCAUUAUGGGGUAUGAUGUGGUUUUAGAUAUGAACUGGCUAGCCAGGUAUAAUGCCCAACUGCAUUGUAAAACGAAAGUGGUAGAAUUCCGCAUCCCUAGUGAAGCAAUCUUAAGGUUGGGCAUAAGGGGUAGGUUAGCCUCAUCUGCUUUGAUUUCGGGCAUUCGAGCUAGAAAACUGCUAAGUAGAGAGGCGCAAGGAUUGUUAGCCUUUCUAAUCAAUACCCCCACGAAUAAGUUAAAGAUACAGAACGUAGCCAUUGUAAGGGAAUUUUCGGACGUAUUCCCUGAUGAGUUAGUAGCCCUACCUCCGGAAAGAGAGAUAGAAUUUAAGAUAGAUCUGCUACCUGGAACCUCACCUAUCUCAAAAACCCCAUACCGAAUGGCCCCUGCAGAGCUCAAGGAGCUAAAGUUGCAAUUACAAGAUCUUCUGGAGCGUAGAUUCAUUCAAGAGAGCGGGUCUCCUUGGGGAGCUCCUAUCCUGUUUGUAAAGAAAAAGGACGGUAGUUUGAGGAUAUGUAUCGACUACCGGGGCCCGAACAACGUCACGGUUAAGAAUAAGUAUCCACUGCCCCACAUUGAUGAGUUGUUCGGCCAGUUGCAAGGAGCAGUGGUCUUCUCAAAACUGGACCUCCGACAGGGGUAUUACCAGUUGUUGAUUAGGAGAGAGGAUAUUCCAAAAACCGCUUUCAACUCGAGAUAUGGGCAUUACGAAUUGGCAGUUAUGCCCUUUGGACUGACCAAUGUUCCUGCCGCCUUCAUGGACUUAAUGCAUAGGGUUUUUAAGCCCUAUUUGGACCGAUUUGUCGUUGUUUUUAUUGAUGACAUCUUGGUCUACUCCAAAACUCGCGAGGAGCAUAAGCAGCAUUUGAGAGUUGUUUUGCAGACCCUAAGGGAGCAUCAGUUGUACGCCAAGUUCAGUAAGUGCGAGUUUUGGCUGGAGAAAAUCUCUUUCCUGGGGCACGUAAUUUCCCAAGAAGGCAUCUCAGUUGACCCGGCGAAAGUAGAGGCCGUGACCAAUUGGAAGAGGCCAGAAAACCCUACAGAGAUCCGCAGUUUUCUAGGGCUGGUUGGGUAUUACCGACGUUUCAUAAAAGACUUCUCCAAAUUAGCAGGUCCUUUAACCGACCUGACAAAGAAACAUGGUCGGUUCGUAUGGAAUGCUCGAUGUGAGACAAGUUUUCAAGAGUUAAAGAAAAUAUUGGCCAUGGCUCCAGUUCUAGUCUUGCCUAACGGAGUAGACGGAUUUGCUGUGUAUACUGAUGCGUCGCGAGAAGGCCUGGGAUGCGUCUUAAUGUAGAACCUUAAUGUGAUCUCUUUUGCUUCUAGGAAGUUGAAACUCCACGAGCAGAAUUACCCGACCCACGAUCUAGAGCUAGCCGCAGUUGUUUUCGCGCUGAAAAAGUGGAGGCACUACCUAAAUGGGGUGACCUUUGAGAUUUACUCAGACCACAAGAGUCUUAGUGUGAGAACCCGAGAAAAUUAUAUGUAUGCCUUGAAUUUAUUUCAUUUUAUUUACUUUGAUAUUAGAAACUAUCCUAGGAUGGCAUGAGAAAUUCUUAUAGGUGUAUGCAAUUGGAACAAACUAAAGUUUGAGGCAAUAUUUGAAGAUGAUAAAAUUUCAACUCCUUAGCAAGUAAAUAAAUUAAUUCAAAAGACCAUUUUAACCUCAACACUUGAGCAAUUAACUAUGCGACCGAAUUGACCAUUCUCGGCUAAGCAUAAGACUGAACAAAGGAUUAAAAUUUGGUGGAUUCCAUUUGGUAUCAAUUUACUAAGAGCAAAAGAGGAACAACCGAGAGCUAAGCUAUCUUUUCUCCAACCCCAAAACUGAGAGUAGAAGUGGGAGUGAGGGAAAGAAAUUUUGCUAGCUUCAACACUUGCUAACCACAACCGAGAGAGAGUAAAGCAAGGAGAACUGGAGCGAGAAUCUAGUGCAAGAAAUUUGAGGAACCGAAGCAGAGAAUUAGGGCAGACUGCAAUUAUCGAAUUCUAGGGGAAAAGAGGUAAGAUUCUGCAAUAACUUCCUGCCUAUUUAGUAUAAUUGAAUAUAUACAAGCUGCUUGUUGAACUUAGCUGGGAAAAUGAGCUCUUGGCUGAAGGAAAUUCUGUGUAGCACCAGAAAAGCUGUAGGAAAGGAAAAUUGCAGAAACCGAGAGUGAAAAUCUAAAUCUGCAACUUGUUAUCAAUAUUUCUUUGGAGAAUAAUGUUAAGAAAUGCAUGCAAUAUAUUUAUCUUAAGUUUAUAAGAGGUUUAGCUGGGAAAACUUGUGAAAAGUUGGAAGUUGAGCUAGAAAUUGCUAAAGGAAAGUUACUGGAAAUUUUCCAGCUUUAGCGGAGAGAGGGAAUAGAGUUUUAUCUAACUUUUCUUUUCGAAUCCCUGGUUAUAAAUUCUAUACUGCUGCUUAAGUUAUCUUGUAACAUAACAACAACCCCUAUAUGUUAAGUUGGGAGUGAGAGAAUGCAUAAACUUGAGAAAGGCAGUUUCAUACUUACACUGUUAACAUUUGCUAAAGGUUAUAUGUUGCUGAUGACAGGAUUAUUUGAGGCUAAUUGGUGGAAUUGCUGCUGGAAUUGUAUGCAAGUUUGUUUUAGAUUAGAUUGGACAGAAAAUAUACUAAGUGUUUAGUGUUUUAAGCAAGUGAAAGAUAGAACUUUGUUGAAAAUUCUGAGAUAAUGUAGCUGGAAACAUGUGUGCUGGCCGAGGGAGUUAGGAGGUAGAGUUCUUGUGUUAUUUUGAAAUUUCCAAGACAAUUGGUUAUAAAUUUUGUAUAAAACAUCUUAUAACAUCUUGUCCUAGUUUUCAUGUGCAUCUUAUUGAUUGUUUUUAACACUUAAAAAGCUGGUGUAGGGGAACAAAACCCAAACUACAAACAACUUAGAAUCUGGUUUAACUUAAAUGGAACAAAUGAAGAGUUCAUUUGCCUUAAUCUUUGAAUAUUGGAUAGAAAAUGAUUUAAUCUUAGACUAAACAUCUCACAAGACUUUAAACUUGGAAUAUAUGUAUAUUUCUUUGGCUUUUGUUAAAAUUUGAUGCUUAAAUUAUGUUAGAAUUGCUGGUAUGAAUGUCAUACUUAAGUGUAUGGGUGGUUUGAAUAAAAGUCUUGUGGUUUUAAAAGAGAAAAAAAAGAGUUUUUCACAAGUGAAAAAUGAGUUUCUAGAUUUUCGGAUUUCACUGACCAGUCUCAGUAAAAUGCUUAUAUCUUGUUGUAGAAAAAUCCGAUUGAGGUGCCGUCAGCGGCAUUUGAAACUAGACUCAUGGACCUUUGUUCUGUACAAAUUUCAUAUUUUUCCUCCAUGUGUACUGCUGUCCGUGAGUCCUCAAAGUAGGCUGUCCUGUUUCUUCAGGAAAAUGAAUUUUUGACUUGGAUCAAAUAUUUGGCCUAUUUGCGAUUUGAAUCUCUAAAAAGUGUCUUCUGGGAUGGGGUAGUACUAAAAAUCCAUUUUACAACGGUAUAACUUUCAUAAUUUUUCGACUUGUGGAACUCGAGUUAUGAAUUUUUAAAGUUUACUGUACUGUUCAUCUCAGUAGAUUCCUGAAGCAUAGAAACGGGCUUCUUGACUUUAAAACCUCGGACGGCCUACUUCCAAUCUCUUACCUUGAUUUUUUCACUUCCUUGACUUCAAAUGUAUCCCUAUUGAACUUCUCUCGCUAAUGUAUCUCUCCUUUCCUCAAACUUUUACGCUCUUAACAAGUUACCUUAAUUAAAGCGGUCAAGACUUGUACUUAGCUUUUAGCCACCAUUUCCGAAUUUCCAAGUGAAGCUUACAUGCUAAAAUUGCCUUGUGUGUGGAUGACACUGAGCCUAGUUGAAAGGCUAUUGUGUUAAGAUUGCUUAUGUGUGACUUUGGGACUGAGUUGAGGUUUCUCUUGAAAGCAUCUUUGGCAAGGUUAAGGCUGUUUUUCAUUUUCACUCGCUUAAUCUUGUUUAAUUUUGUACAGCAACUCAUAUUCUUGGCUAAUGAUAGUUAUUUACAUAGUUUUGAUGGUUAUGGUAGAUUUUUGAGUUAGGGUUUGACUCGUUCAGUUGUAUUUCUUGUUGUUUAGAUAGCAUAUGAUGUCUAUAAGCUUGGAUAGGGAGUUGGGAUAGUAGUUUAAGACAUGAAUGAGAAUAUAAACCUUGAAUUCAUCAAAAUUUCCAGCUUUAAAAAUUGAACUGCCCUGCUUCUAACCAGCUUCAUUCGUCCAUGUUAGAGGCCAAAUUAGGCUUAGGUCAAAACCUGAAAGUUGUAACAAACGGUAUAAUGUGUACCCCAAUCCGAUAAACAUAGCUCUAGUUGUGACCAAAAUGCUAUAAGAUGUCAAAUCUGUUGUUAACUUUUUGUUCUCAAAACCGAUUUCUGAUUGUUUUAUUAGAUUUGUGUUGUAACUAGUUGAUUUUGGAGCCUAAUUGAAGGGCUAUGUUGAUAACAUUGCUUGUGUGUGUUUUGGGGCUGAAUUGAGAAAAAAUAAUGAAGCCAUAAAUGGCUGGAAAAUAGGUAAACACAAAGGGCAUGCUGCCCAAAUUUUCACUCGAGAGUUAGGUAUAGGUACUCGUGACUUGAGUAAGGAUUCGGGAACAAAUCUCACUUGGACCAUCUAGGGUAUUCAAGUCUUCUUUCAUAGAGCUAUAUAAGUUAGAAUUCGGCCGAAACUUGUACCCUUGGAAAAAUGAAAGUAACGACUAAUAGAAAUAUAUUUUCUCGUCACUUCGACUCAAACGGAGAUUUCAAGGUUAAUCACUUUAAAGUUUCAAUGUUUUAAGUGCGAGUAUGAGUUUACAGAUAUUUUCCAAAUAAGUUUUAAUUACGUGAUUCUCGUUAAACGAAACGUUUAAGUUUUGAACUUUUGUCGAUUUUCAAAGCUCUUAAACGAUGUUUUAUCGCAGAUUUGGACUCCAAAUCAGGAGUACUACCUGAGCGUGAUCUGUAAAAGCACUACAUCUUUGGUGAGUGCUUCCAAAUAUCCGAUUGAACUUGACAUUUGUGUUUAAUACUUGACCAAUGUAAUCACAUGAUAUAGAAGUGAAUUAAUAGGGCAAGAGUGUACUUUAUCGCACUUGCCCUAAUGUGAUUUGUUCUUGUUCAUCGAUUGCAAUUAACUUGCUAUACAUGCAUAUGAAUUGUAUCUUGCCUGGAAUUCCAGAAACCAUGUGGCUAGUUAGUCGAGUCGAGCCGGCAAGGGCCUAGUCGAUUAGAUAACGAACCCUGGGUAGUUAGUGAUAUCGAGUGGAGUGUUAUCUCCUCGACAAAUCGGUAUACUCGAGUAUUACCACCAGUGUUUAUUGUGGAGUUCGGGCCCGGUAGGGGGUUUGAUCGGUGGAUGGAGAUUGGAGUUAAGUGGUGUUCUACUGGACUAGUUUCUCACUUGAAAGUUGACGGAGUGUCAACUACUAAUCGAUCAAGCUAUGGUGGAGCUAAUAUAGGAGCAACUAUAUCCUUACAUGUGAAAUGCGGAAUAUUUAUUCUUUGACUAUAUGAAGUGUUAUUACUUCAUUCUUGACUUGUUUUGCCCGCUAUUUCACUAUCAUGCUACUUUUACUUUAUUUGAUGGACAAUUUGAUAUUUGGAACAUCACUGAGCUUUAGCUCACUCCAUUAGUUUUGUUUUCCUUACAGGGGUACGAGCAAGGCGUGUGACGUGUACAAACUAGCGUAGUCUAGCUAUUUUGAAUUUUGACUUAUACUCGCGCUAUCACUCGAUUAGGAUGAUUUGUACUUGUACUUAUGUGAGAAUUGAGGGCCUUUGUCUUAUUCGGAAAAUUGGUAUUGUUUGUAUCUCUUGUGGUUUAGUUUGAAGUACAAUUAGAUUUACAGAUCUUUGGAUGUAAUAUUUGAGAUUUAUAUUGUACUUCAAUUGAGAACUGAAGCGAACGACUGAGUCCCGGCGAGAGCUGGGCAGGCGGUCCGCCGAGCCCUUUGAUUCGCCUUAGGGGGAGGUGGGAUCGUCGCACUUAGGUACCUCUUCUCACAGAAGGAAUUGAACAUGAGGCAACGACAGUGGAUGGAAUUUCUGGAAGAUUACGAUUGCACAAUCAACUACCAUCCAGGGAAGGCAAACGUGGUAGUCGAUGCCUUAAGUAGUGAUAUUUAUUGGAGAGGAAUGACUUCAUACGUGUUGAUCGCUAGUUUUUUGAAUUUUUCCCCUCGAACAAAAAGGGGUGUUUUGUACGUUCUGGAUCCGUAGUCUUGGUGAGAGCUGAGCAGGCGGUCCGUCGAACCCUUUGGUUCGCUUUAGAGAGAGAUGGGGCUGUCACAGUUGGUAUCAGAGCCCAGGUUUGAGUUAAUCUGGGCAAAUUCGGACUUGAUUUUGAGAUUUGGUGAAUAUUGUGUUAGAAAAUGCGUUAGUUCUAUUGUAUUGUUUGAGUGAUCACUCAUGACUCUCUUAUAGGUUUGGACGGAGCUAGUGGGAGCAGAGGUGAGCUGCCGCAAAGACGAUAUCAUUUUAUCGACUACUAGGAGAGACCUGGAGGUUCGAUUCGGUUAUGGUAUACCGCAAGCCGCACCCGAAGUUGUGUUCGUUGUCAGAGGUACUCCUAUGCCGAUCAUGUGGUCGUGGUGGUGCUUCAGGAGAGAAGGAGGCUUCGAUGCGCGGCUGCCCAGGAUCACACUGAGAUCCUUAGACUGAGAGGCGUCCUUAGGAUGCAAGCCGACCGAAUUGCGGAGCUCCAAGACGAUUUAGUCAUGGAGCAAGAGCGAGUGAAUGCUCUUCGAGAGCAGUUGCAUGUAGUGGAGGCUUCGGGUGUUGGGGCACCUGGAGAAGGAGUCACGCCCAGUCCUAGUCAUGGGGGUGAAUCCGUAGGCUCAGUUGGGAACUAGGUUAAGUUCCUUGAGCCGUGUUUUGACCCUGGGUGUAGGGGACCUGGGAAGAUAGGUCGUUGUUAUCUGUUUGGCCUUUUCCUAGGGUGUAUAGUGACUUUUGGAAAAUCCGGCUUUGUUUGAGGGGAUUUUUUUGUACCUGUUUGACUGAACUACUGUAUAACUGCUCUGUGUUAUAUGAAUAUAUGUUCUAUGUGUUUCUAUCCUUUAUGUGGUAUUUGAUUGUGUGAGAGCCCGUAAAACCCUAAUAUUUUUCCUACGGUUAUUUCUCCUUUAAUUGCAUAAUUUUGCAUUUUCUGGCUUAGAAAUAUUUUUUUGAGAGGAUUUUAUGAGCAGUUAUAGUUUUAAGAUGAUUUUUCUAGCAUUGGAGAGAUUUUUGAAAAUUAAGAGUAAAUAGUGGACGUGGGACCCACUAGUGCGAUAAGUUCGGAAAAAUUCGGCCAAUAAGGUUAAGUUUCGAAUACUGUGUAAAAUUUAUCGGGUGUUAAGUGAUAAGUAGUGUGUGUGAAGUGAUUGAUGUGAGAGAGAAAAGAAUGAUAAGAUUGCAUUUAAUAGGGUGACACAUGUCACUUUCUUAUUGGAUACCUUUUAUGAAUCACUAUUCACCUUUUGACAUUUUUUUGACUUUUGACCCAACUAAAUAAAUAUCCAAAAAUUCACCAAAAAUCAUCAUUUUUCUUCUCUUGUUGGCCGGCUCUCCUUAGCUCAAGAAGGAAGGGAACUUCUCCAUUUUGCAAGCUUCCACUUGGUCCAAUCUACCACAAACCAAAGCCUAGAGUUGAUUUCACUCCAUAAAAACUUUCCUUCUAGUGUUAGUAAGUAGUUUGGUGAGAUUUGUUUGAAGGCCUAAGGUGCUCCACAUCAUCCUCUCUCUUGUUUCUUGGUAAGUGAAGCUUGAAACACCCUACUACCUUUAAUGAUGGUUAUAUGAUGCUUAGAAGUGGCAUGAGUGUGUGAAAAUGUGAUUUAUUUCUUGAUUUGAAGAGUUUUGGUGAAGUUUUUAUUUUAUUGGGAUUUUUUUCUGGUUUAAUAUGAUCUUGAUGUUGGGGGCUUGUAUGAUGAAUUGUAAUGGUUGGAAAUGACUCUAGUGAGUGUGAAUUGUGGUUAAAUGCAAUCAAUUUUGGAUUUGGUGUGAAAUUUGAAAAGUUAGGGUUCUUGAAGCCCCAAUUCUGUCCGGUUUUAGAUCACUGUGUUAGAGGCCGAAUUUGACUUUGCUCAAAACAUGAAAGUUGUAGGUAUUGAUGAGGUUGAUGUGCCUGUAAAAUUUCAGGUCAUUCGGAUUAAUGUAGAAUGAGUUAUGACGAAAUUACUGUAGCUGUUCUGCUUUGAGCAGAAUGCGAAAACUGCGAUAGUAAUUGGCCAUUUUGACUGGAAUUGGUUUGGAUUUUGGAGUUUGUGUCUUCUGAUGAAAUGUAGCUGAGUGUCUUAGCUAAUAUAUGCCUUUGGAAUUUCGGCAUUUGGACUUGUAUGGACUGAGAUAUACUGAUUACAGUUUUUUGUGUUUUGCGAACCUGUUUUAGGAAUUCUGGGUUAGUAUUUGGCAUUUUCGACCUAGUUAAGCUAGGAACUGGAUUGAGUGGUCUUCUAUAUUAUUGUAGCCCUGUUCCAUAGCUUCGAAACGGUGGGUCUUACACCCCCAACUGAUAUUUGUAGUGAGAGUUGUACCAUUACCGCAUAAUGAGUGUAAAACAGUUUUCUAUUUGGGGCCAAGACUAAAGCCCUUUCUUAAUUUCUGGUUUGCUAUCAUGCUUGUAUAUGUUUAUAGAACCCUAUUGGGGUUGUGAAUUGGUGUUGUUUAUGGCUCGGCAUGGAGUCUUAUUGUAUGUGUUGCAUGAUUCUAGGGCGUGAAGGUAGUGCACGACGGCUUGGUGAUCGUGGUACAUGAAAUACCACUUACUUGCUUGGUGAGUAUACUACUCACUUACUUGUUAUAAUGUGGCUUUGUGCUAUGUGUAUUUGAUGCCUUGAAGGCUUAUUUGGUUAUUGGAAAUGAUUGAGGUGAGGGUGUACUUGAUCGCCCUCACCCCUCAUGACUUUAUUCGUGGCUAUUGAUUGUUUUACUGAAAUACUGCACUGGAUAUAUGAAAUACUGCAUUCCAUUCAUGGAAACUGAUUUGGUGUCAUUGGACGAGUAUCCAAUGGCUUUACUGCAUUUAUGAGCUCAACCCCGUAUGGUAGUUAAUUGGAUCGAGCCGGCGAGGACUUGGUCGUGAAAAUUAUCAUGCCACGGGGACUGUACUGGGGAACCUUGUGGUAAUGAGACCCUUGGUUCCGGUAAACUCGAGUAUUACCAAAACUAUUACUGAAUGGAGUGCGGGCCCGGUUGGGGUAUGAUAGGUGGAAGGAAUGGGAGUAAAGUGUGGUCUACGGUUUGGUACUUUUAACAUUGACGGAGGGUCAAUGGGGUUGGAUCAAGAUUACAAGCGUGGAAUUGGGCUCUUGAGAGCCGACCGUAUCCUUUUACCGUUUUGCUUCAUUACUUAUUUGUGCACUUUAAAUGAAGGUUCAUUCUUAUAUGACUUUGAUUGCUUAUUGGAUGGUAUACCACUGGGCUUUGGCUCAUUCCGUGUUAUUUGUUUUCCUUACAGGGAUAUAAUUGCUUUUGAAAAUGGACUGGAUAGUCAAUUGCCAUACUGAGCUUGUAAAUGUCUUUUGUAUAGCUCUUGAAGUGAAACCCUAAUGUGUAACGGGUUCAUUUCCUUUUGAUAGGCAAAUCGAAUGUGUACUCCUUAAUGAAUAGUUUUGGCAUGCCAUUAUGGUUGUAAAUGUUGAUUUCCAUUGUAUAUAUAUGCUUGGCUAUGGUUUAGAUAAAUUUCGGCUUCGGUUUUCGUUUUAUUUUAUUUUAUGUUAUUUUGUGUUUUGACUUGUUUGCGCGCAAUGGUAUGUUCCGGAACGUUUUAGAUUGACGUAAACCGUACCGUUAGUCCUGGCGAGAGCUGGGCAGGCAGUCCGCCAACCCCUUUGGUUCGCCUUAGGGGAAGGUGGGGCUGUCACAGGUGGUAUCAGAGCCAGGUUUGAAUUAGCCUGGGUGUAAUAGAAGUGCUCGACUUGAGGGUUUUAUUGAUUAUGGUUUUUAAGGUUAUUCAUGUUGUUUAUUCCUUUGCUAUAGGAUGGAUGCCAGUGGUGACCCGAGUGACCGUCCGGCAGGAGAUCGUCCUCAUAGCACGUUGCCGCCGAUUAAGUAUCAACUUAGGCAGAAGGGGGCCGUGGUCCGUUGGAGCCCGGCCAGCCGCGUUCGACAGUGUGGGUGUCGUAGCAAUUUUGCCUACCCAAAUACACUAGUUUUGUCGGUGGCAAAGGAACGCGAGGAGUUUGCUAAGGAAAAUACUAAGCUUGAAGCUGUGGUUGCUGCAUUGGAAGCUGAGGUGACUCAGGCUAAGGCGACCAAUGAGAAGCAAGCCUCGCGUAUUAAAGAGCUAGAAUAUGACGUGCAAGAGGUCGAGGAAAGAGUUGAUGAUCUAUGUGAUCAGUUGAGAGAUGCACGCGAGCGCGAGACUAAGCGAGCUCGUAAGGUCAGGGGUCGUGCUGAGGCGAUCCUUAACCUAUGCGACGACGGACUCGAGGAGUCUAGUGACGAGGCCUCGUAUGCUGGGGCCGAGGCUGGGGAGGAGUCUACCCCAUCGCCUGGGUCUCAGACCCCGGCGACUGAUUAGGCCUUGAUCUUAGAGGCUUCUUUUGGCUAGUGGUGGCUCUUGUAUGUAUAUAGGGAUAGGGAUAGUGCCUUAGCUAACCGUUUUGGAUGUAGAGUUAGCUAUGUGUAAAUCUCUUUUGAUAGGCCUAUCCUUAGGUGGAUCUUUUGUGUACGUACGUGCUUUGGCCGUACCUGACUGACUGCUUGUAUAUAUGUGUUUGGCAUGUAUAUAUGUGUGAUUGUGUUUAUGCUUGGACUGUAUAAAUGUGUUUUUGUGCAAAACUUAAGUGUUACUUAUAUGCUUUGUUAUUGCUUUGGUUUAGUACUUUUGCCUAGACCAAGUAUACCUUAUGGAAGGAACACGGAGUGGACGGGGACGUGGGCGUGGUAGGCAACCCACACCAGUUAGGGAAACGGGGGAAGCUUCUACUGGACCAAAUCCUGAACCCCAGAUAGACCCCAACGUUCAAAUAGCUGCUGCUAUGCAGCAAAUGACCAACCUACUUGCACGGGUAGUGCAACAACAGGGCCAAAACCCAAACCCUAACCCCGGAAAUCCUGGUAACCACGUUGAGAGCGAGGAUAGAGCUCUUGAGCGUUUUCAAAAGUUUUCCCCACCAAAGUUUAUUGGGGGACCCGACCCUGACGUCGCCGAGAAAUGGCUGGAGAAGAUGGUUGAUAUAUUCGCGGCUUUACACUACCCGGACGAACGGCGGUCACUUUUGCCGUGUUUCAACUGGAAGGAGCUGCCCGUUCCUGGUGGAACGUAAUUAGGCAGAAAUGGGAGCGAGAGCAGACACCGAGGACAUGGGUGAACUUUAUACGAGAGUUUAAUGCCAAGUUUUCCCUCCUCUAGUCCAGGAGAGGAAGGAAGACGAGUUUAUCCGGCUCCGGCAAGGGGCUCAGACUGUGGCGGAGUAUGAGAGCCAGUUUACCCGCCUGUCCAAAUUUGCGCCUGAAUUAAUCAUGACUGAGCAAAGACGAGUGAGGCGCUUCAUUCAGGGCUUGAACGUUGAGAUCCAGAAGGACCUCGCGGCGGCUCAAAUUACCACGUUUAGCGAGGCUAUGGAAAAAGCCCAACGCGUUGAGAGUGCACGGCUUCAGGUCCGAAACUUCCAGGCUAAGAAGCGUGGAUUUCCUGGGAGUACGUCUGGACAAGGUGAGAAGAGCACUCCCUCCAAGUUUGGACGAGGAACUGGAGGUGGUCGUCAUUCUGGACCAGGCAAAGGGACUCCGUUCAGGGGCGGCCAAGCUGGGCGAGGGCAAAGGGGAAACAUCCAGAGUGGCUCGGCUUCGGCACCUCGUGGACCCUGUGGGCACUGCGGAAAGACAAACCACACCGAGGACAAUUGCUGGAGGAAACUGGGGAAAUGUCUGCGGUGUGGAAGUGCGGACCAUCAACUGGCUACAUGUCCGGUCCUGAAACAAGACGAAAAUGGGAGCCAACUACCGUCGAGAACCAAUACUGGAUCGGCCAAGGGAGACGGAUCCAAACCAAAAGUUCCGGCUAGGGUAUAUUCCUUAGAGCCUCACCAGAUCCCAGAGUCUUUCGAGGUGGUGGAAGGUACGAUCCCUAUUUUCCACCGCUUUGCCAAAGUUUUAAUUGAUCCUGGUGCCACUCAUUCGUUUGUUAACCCUGAUUUCAUGUGUGGCAUCGAUAUAAAACCUGCUAGUUUACCAUAUGACUUAGAGGUUAGUACACCUACGGGGAACCAACGUUUGGUGACUAGUAUGGUUUAUAGGGAUUGCGACGUAUGGAUAGGUGAAAGGAGGUUUUUAGGGGACUUGAUUAGCUUAUCCAUUAAGGGGUACGACAUGAUUCUGGGUAUGGACUGGUUAGCCAAAUAUAACGCCCAACUGGAUUGUAAAACGAAAAUAGUAGAAUUUCGCAUUCCUGGCGAGGCAACCCUAAGGUUAGAUAUAAGGGGUAGGUUAGCCUCAUCUGCUCUCAUUUCGGGCAUUCGAGCUAGGAAACUGAUAAGUAGAGGGGCGCAAGGAUUUUUGGCCUUCUUAAUUAACACCCCUACGGAUAAGUUAAAAGUGGAAGACGUGGCCGUAGUGAGGGAAUUUCCGGAUGUGUUUCCUGAUGAGUUAGUGGCCUUACCUCCGGAAAGGGAGAUAGAAUUCCGAAUAGAUCUUUUACCUGGAACCGCACCUAUCUCCAAAACCCCUUACCGAAUGGCGCCUGCAGAACUUAAAGAGCUUAAGUUGCAAUUACAAGACCUUUUAGAGCGGGGAUUCAUCCACGAGAGUGAGUCUUCUUGGGGAGCUCCGGUCCUAUUCGUGAAGAAAAAGGAUGGAACGUUGAGGAUGUGUAUUGAUUAUAGGGGGUUGAACAACGUUACGAUCAAGAACAAGUAUCCACUGCCCCACAUUGACGAGUUGUUUGACCAGCUGCAAGGAGCAGUGGUCUUCUCGAAGUUGGACCUCCGACAGGGAUACUAUCAGUUAUUGAUAAAAAAGGAGGACAUUCCGAAAACUGCCUUCAACUCGAGAUACGGGCAUUACGAGUUCGCCGUUAUGCCCUUUGGAUUGACUAAUGCUCCCGCCGCCUUCAUGGACCUAAUGCAUAGGGUUUUUAAACCCUAUCUAGACCAGUUUGUCGUGGUGUUUAUUGACGACAUUUUGGUCUACUCUAAGUCACGUGAGGAGCAUGAGGAACAUUUGAGAGUGGUGUUGCAGACCUUGAGGGAACAUCAGCUAUACGCCAAGUUUAGCAAAUGCGAGUUCUGGUUGGAGAAAGUGGCAUUUCUAGGGCACGUGAUCUCUCAUGAAGGUAUUUCGGUGGACCCGGCAAAGGUUGAGGCCGUGACAAAUUGGAAGAGGCCAGAAACCCCCACGGAAAUUCGUAGCUUUCUAGGGCUAGCUGGGUACUACCGAAGGUUCAUUAAGGAUUUUUCCAAACUGGCAGGACCUCUAACUGACUUGACAAAGAAACAUGGCCAGUUUAUCUGGAACGGCCGAUGCGAAACGAAUUUUCAGGAAUUAAAGAAAAGAUUGACCAUGGCUCCAGUACUGGUCUUGCCAAAUGGAGUGGACGGGUUUUCAGUAUAUGCAGACGCGUCGCGAGAAGGAUUAGGGUGUGUUUUGAUGCAGAACCGGAAUGUUUAUUGUUUUCCUUAACAGGUUCUGGAAACUGAAAGCUGGAUGCUUACUUAUGUUUUCCUUUUGGAUUGUAAUUGAAUACUAUAACUUAUUCUGUGGGCUGUAAUGUGUUAUUUGGGAUAAUGUACUUUCUUUUGGAUUGCCACUUGAAGCUGGAAAAUGUGUAACCCUAAUUCGAUUACUUGGCUUGUAAGUUUGUAAUAGAGAUUUAUGUAUUUAUCUAUCCGGAUUGGUACGACUUUACACUUUGGUACGUAGUACGUGGGAAGUUUAAGAGCCUCGACGGGCUAAUUUUAUCAUUGCUAUCUCUGAAGUUAAUGUGGAUUUAAGGAUGAUCCUUUUUGGAAAAAAUUGUUUUAUCAUAGAUUAAGUUAUCCUUCGGAAGGAUUUGGGUUAGAAUGCUUGCGUGAGUCCUGGCGAAAGCUAGGCAGACGGCCUACCAACCCUUUGGUUCGCCUUAGGAGGAAGUGGGGUCGCCACAGGUGGUAUCAGAGCCUAGGUUAGACAAGUUAUUCAAGAGAUAUAGUAGAUGUGUUAGAAACCUUAAUCCUUUCUAAGAAUAAGAAUUGAGACCCUUAGAGAUACUUUAAGUGAUAUUCGAUCUAAUUAGUUAUCUAAGUUCUAACCUUUAAGUUUUAAUUAUUUUGCAGAUAUGGAGAAUGGAAACGGACAUGCUAACAGUAGUAGCGCGGCCAAUGGACACGUAGAGCCCCUUAGGUCUAUCUCCUACAGGCCACGAGGCGGAGAAGCCCAUAUACGCUACUCACAUGCUGAUAGGCACCCUAGGUGCCAGUGCAGAGCCAUGUACGCAUAUCCCAACGAGCUGGUGUUAUCCUUAGACGAUGAGCGUCGCCAGUUGAGGGAUGCUAACUUCACCAUGACUCAGGAUGUAGAGGAGCUGAGUAUCAUGGUAGAUACCCAGUUUGACCGUAUAGCCGAUUUGGAGAUCAGGCUAACUGCUGAGCAUCAUUUGCUGGAGGCUGCUCGUUUGGAGAUAGAGCGGCAGAAGUCUAGGGCGACUCGAUUAGCCGAGAGGAUGCGUGAUAGGAGUGCAGGCAUCAGGGCUGAUGCCACGAUGAUGAUAGAUAAGGCCACUAGCUUUAUCCAGGGUGGUGAGCAGGCAGGUGUAGAGGAGGAUCCAGAGGAGGACCCGGAGGAGGAUCCGGAGGAGGACGUUGCUCCUGAUAGCCCUGCUCAGGGUUAGAUUAGGACUCACCUGUUUACACUAGAUAUAGAUGGUUAGGCAAGGGACACUAGCUAAGUCAUCAAAUUUUGUCUAGGUGGAUGACUUACCUUUGAGGCACCAUAUCCCUAAUUUUGUAUAAGGGAUUAUCUGUAUGUAUUUUUGCUAGUCUAUGUGCCUUACUUUUGGAAAUGUCCCAACUUGUUAUUUGUAUGACUUUCACGUAGAAAUAUAUGUUAAGUGUUUUAUUUACCUUUUCUCCAUUUCCAUAUUGAUUUUAUUUACCAAAAAGAAUAGUAAUAAUCAUAAAUAAAUAAUACUUUUGCCUAAUUGACAUAUCCUUCCGAAAUAGGCAUAUUUAGAAUAUGGAUCGCCAAGUGAUAGGAAGGAGCCGUGGAAGACCCACUAGACAACACCCGGAAGCGGGUGGUGAUAGGGAACCCGAGGUCAAUCAAGACCAAGGGCAAGAGGGUGUGGCCGGAGACCGGGUGGCCACCGCAAUUGACCGUAUCACUGACGUCCUCGAGCGCUUGACUGAACGCCAAGCCGCUGGACCAGUGCAUCACCCAGGAGGCCCAGCUGACUCCGAUGAUCGGGCACUGGAAAGGUUUCUGAAGUUUGGACCUCCCAAAUUCUAUGGAGGACCCGAGCCGGAAUUGGCUGAAGGCUGGUGGGAGAGAAUCACUGAGAUCUUCACCGCCUUAAACUAUACGGAGGAGCGAAAGGUGACUUUUGCCACUUUCCAGUUUGAGGGAGCUACUCGCUCCUGGUGGAACCUAGUAAGGGUUACUUGGGAGACUAACCAUACACCAAGGACUUGGGUGAACUUCACAAGGGAGUUCAAUGCCAAAUUCCUUCCACCUCUCAUUCAAGAGAAGAGAGAGGACGAUUUCAUUAGAUGCAAACAGGGAGCGAUGAGUGUCGCCGAAUAUGAAGUCCAAUUCACAAAGCUAUCCCGCUUUGCACCUGAGUUGAUAGCCACUGAGCAAAGGUGUGUUCGGAGGUUUGUACAAGGUUUGAAUGUGGAAAUACAGGAAAGCUUAGCCGCCGUGAGGAUAGAUACUUUCGCAGAUGCUGUCGAGAGAGCCCAGAGAGUUGAAGUAGCUAGAGCCCAAGUGAAAUCUUUCCAGUCUAAGAAAAGAUUUGCUCCUAGUAGUAGUCGGGAGCCGACUUAUGGAAAUGCUCCACCGGCCAAAAUGGGCAGAGGAACCAGUGGAGUGACUAAUCUUGGAGCACCACGAGGCACUCUCGCAAGAGGAACCGGGACAAGGAAUGCAGGGGGAAGAAACAAUGGAGCUAGAGAGGGAUCGAAUGGAAGAGGACAACCUAGGAAUAGCUCGCAAGGGGGUCGAGCAAUAAUUCCUCAAGUGACCUGUGCUUAUUGCAAGAAACCUGGUCAUUCUAUGGAUAGUUGCUGGAAGAAGCAAGGAAGGUGCUUGAAAUGCGGAAGUAGUGAGCACCAAAUUUCUGGAUGUCCAAAGGUGCAGGAAGGGACUACUCCGAACGCUAGACCAAACACUUCUGGAGGGAGCCGGCCAACAGUUAUUGCCAGAGUGUAUGCUAUAGAUGAUCAACCUGUACCUGAUUCCUCGGAAGUUGUGGAAGGUACACUUCCAAUUUUUCAUCGAUUAGCUAAAGUGUUAAUUGACCCUGGUGCAACGCAUUCAUUCGUAGAUCCAUCUUUUAUGUUUGGAAUAGAUGUGCAAACCGUUAGAUUACCCUUUGACCUUGAAAUUAGGACACCAAUGGUAAUAAGAAGGUAAUCACUAGCUUAGUUUAUAAGAAUUGCGAAUUCUGGGUUGGAGAGCGAAAAAUGUUAGUGGAUCUGAUUAGUUUGGACAUAAAAGGUUAUGAUGUUAUAUUAGGAAUGGAUUUCCUAGGUCACCAUCAUGCUAAGCUUGAUUGCCGAGCGAAAGUGGUGGAGUUUUGUAUACCUGGAGAAGCGACCCUGAGAUUAGAUGUUAAGGGUAGGUUAGCAUCUUCUGCUAUGGUCUCGGGAAUACGGGCAAGGAAAAUGCUAUCUAAAGGAGCUCAAGGUUUCAUAGCCUUCUUGAUCAAUACUCCCAGUGAUCAAGCAAAGUUAGAGGAUGUACCAGUGGUACGGGAAUUUCUGGAUGUCUUUCCCGAAGAAUUAAAGACUUUUCCACCAGAAAGAGAUGUGGAGUUCAAGAUUGACUUGGUGCCUGGAAUGGCUCCAAUUUCUAAGACUCCGUAUCGAAUGGCUCCUGCCGAGCUUAAGGAGUUGAAAAUCCAAUUACAAGACCUAUUGGAAAAAGGUUUUGUGAAGGAAAGUGACUCACCUUGGGGAGCACCCGUCUUAUUUGUGAAGAAAAAGGACGGAAGCUUGAGGUUGUGCAUUGAUUACCGAGGGUUAAAUGAGGUUACCAUUAAGAAUAAAUACCCUCUACCGUUGAUUGAUAGCUUGUUCGACCAACUACAAGGAUCAGUGGUCUUCUCUAAGCUUGACUUAAGACAAGGGUAUUACCAGUUGAAAAUUAGGAAGGAAGAUAUACCCAAGACUGCUUUUAGUACAAGAUAUGGGCAUUUCGAGUUCGCAGUCAUGCCUUUUGGAUUAACUAAUGCACCAGCUGCAUUCAUGGACCUAAUGCAGAGAGUCUUUAAGAAAUACCUGGACCAGUUUGUAGUGGUUUUUAUAGAUGAUAUCUUGAUAUACUCCAAGACUCAGGAGGAACACGUUAAGCACUCGGAGAUAGUGUUGCAGAUACUAAGAGAGCAUAAGUUGUAUGCAAAAUUCAGCAAGUGCGAGUUUUGGGUAGAGGAGAUUUCCUUUCUAGGGCACAAGGUUUCUAAAGAUGGAACUGCCGUGGAUCCGGCAAAAGUUGAAGCCGUUAUGAAUUGGAAGCAGCCAGAAACUCCAACUGAAGUUAGAAGUUUCUUGGGAUUAGCAGGUUAUUAUAGGCGAUUUAUCAAGGAUUUUUCAAAGAUUGCAGGAUCCAUGACCGAGCUAACCAAGAAAGGUAAUAAGUUUAUUUGGACUCCAAAAUGCGAGUCAAGUUUUCAGGAGUUAAAGAGACGUUUAACAUCCGCUCCUGUUUUGGUGUUACCUGACGGAGGCGAAGGUUAUGCCGUGUACUCCGAUGCUUCUAGGGAAGGUUUAGGAUGUGUUUUAAUGCAAAAUGGUAAAGUGAUUGCCUAUGCUUCCAGGAGACUGAAGCCUCACGAACAAAACUACCCAACUCAUGACCUAGAGUUAGCAGCAGUGAUUUUCGCCUUAAAGAAAUGGAGACACUACUUGUAUGGCGUGACUUUUGAGGUUUUUACGGAUCAUAAGAGUCUCAAGUAUUUGUGUGACGCCCCGAAAAGUAUGAGUGUAAGAACCCAUAAAAAUCUUAAUCUUUUCCGAGGGUUUUACUUCCUUUAAUAGCAUGUUUUCUGCGUUUUCUGGCUUAGGAAAUUUUCAUGAGGAAUUUUUAUGAGUAAUUGAAGUUUUUAGAUAAUUUUUCUAGUAUUGUAGAGUUUUUAGAAAAUUAAGAACGUAUAUCGGACGUGGGACCCACUAGUGCGAAAAGUUCGAAAAAAUUCGGCCAAUUAGGUUAAAUUCCGGAUACUGUGUAAAAUUUAUCGAGUGUUAAUAGAUAAGUAGAGUGUGUGAAAUGAUUGAUGUGAGAGAAGAAAGAAAGGAUAGGAAUGCAUUUAAUGAGGUGACAAGUGUCACAUUCUCAUUGGUUGGACUUUAAGAAUUACUAUUCACUUUCUUGACUUUUUUUGACCAAAGGAUUUAAAUAUCAAAAAUUGCACAAAAUUCACCAUUUUCACCUCUUGUUGGCCGGCUCUCUCUCUUGCAAGAAGGAAGAAGAUUUCUUCAACUUUCAAGCUUCCAUUUGGUUCAAUCUCUCACAAACAAACACCUAAACUAGAUUCCACUCCAUAAAAUUCUUCCCUUGGGUGCUAGUAAGUGGUUUAGUGAAGUUUUUUGGAAGAGCUAAGGUGUCCAACAUCUUCCCCUCUCUUGUUUACUUGGUAAGUGAAGCUUAAACUUCCACCUACACCUAUUGAUGCUUAAGAUAUGAUUAGUAGUGAUUAAAGUGCUGAAAUUUCUGGUUUUAUCUUGGUUUGAAGUGAUUUGGUGAAGUUUUAAUUUUAUUGAUGAUUUUUCUGGUUUAAUUGGAUUAUGGUGUUGUGGUUGUUUAUGAUGAUUGAUAAUGAGGGGUUAUGACUCUAGUGGAUGGAAAUGAUUGAUAUUUGCAACCAAUUUUGGAUUUGGAAUAAAUUUUGGAAAGUUAGGGUUCAUGAAGCUACAUUCUGCCCGAAUUUAUUGCACCAUGUUAGAGGCCGAAUUGGCCUUGGCUUAAAACAUGAAAGUUGUAGGUAUUGAUGUGUUUGAAGUGCCUGUAAAAUUUCAGGUCAUUUGGACUAGUGUAGAGUGAGAUAUGUCGAUUUUACUGUUGCUGUUCUGGGUUGAUCAGAAUGCGAAAACUGCACUUGUAAUUGGCCAUUUUGACUGGAAUUGCUUUGGAUUUGGAUGUUGGUGUCUUCUGAUGAAAUGUAGCUGGAUGUCUUAGCUUCCAUAUGCCUUUGGAAUCAAUGCAUUUGGACCUGUACAGACCGAGUUAUACCAAUUACAGCAUUGUGUGAUUUGUGAACCUGUUUUAGUGGUUCUGGUUUGGUAUUUUUGGCAUAUUUGACCUAGUUGUGCUAGGAACUGGACUGAGUGACCUUCUACAUUGUUGUAGCCCUGGUUCUUAGCUUCGAAACGGUGGGUCUUACACCCCCAUCCGACGAUCGUAGCGCCUUUGGUACCAUUACCGCAAAAUGACGUCAAAACUGUUUUUCUGGUUUUGAGCUUAACCUUCAUUUCCGGACUUUUUCCUAGCUUGACUUGUACUAGUACUACUUGGAGCUUGCUGAAUGGAUAUUAGAUGAACUUAAUUGUGUGACUUUGGGACUGGCUGAAGAAAUAAUGAAGCCAUGAUGGCUGGGAAAGUAGCAAAUUCAGGGGAAGUGCUGUCCGAACUUUUAAAGGACUUGUUUGCAUUGAGUUUGUGAUCCAAGACUUGGAUUUGAGCAAGGCAAUGAUACAUGAUGGAUGGUUUCUGAGCCGUGGAAGUGAGUGACUCUAAACUGUUUCCAAAGUUACUUAUGAACCGUUUAUUGCACUAUUUACUUGAUUGCAUAUCAUGAGUGCUUGCAUGUGGCCCAUGACAUGUUUUGGCUUAAAUGAGUGCUUGGAAUUCGUGUGCUGAACACCAACGUCUCCACCUCUGUGUACUGUUCAUCUGGAGCAAAUGGCUCCCCACUGACUGUUUACUGUUUAAUGUUUAUUUGGAGCGUUGGGUGUUUAAGUACAACGAUUUCACUGGCUCACGAGAGCAAUAAGUGUACAUUUGAUUUUGAAAUCAUGACAUCACUGAAAUGAACGACUGUGAAACUGAAUUGAUUACUGAUUUUAAUGGUUACUCGCUGAGCUUCUAGCUCACCCCAAAAAUAUUUUAUUCCCCCCCCCCACAGGGCUCAAGGCGAAGAAAAGCUUGGAGUGCUUAUUCACGUGACUGGAUGGCUUAUAUCGUGUACAGUUUAAGUUUGGAUCUAUUUUAUGUACGAGUUGGUCUUGUAUAAAUAUUUGGAAUUGAUAUGGAUGUAAGUAUACGUUCCACGAUUGGAAUCAGUUUUCCGCUGCAUUUGUAAUAUGUAAUCAUUGAAGAAUUUGAUGAAAUUUUGAGAUUUAUAUUGUAAUAUAUUUGAGGAUUGUAGUGAACGACUGAGUCCCGGCGAGAGCUGGGCAGGCGGCCCGUCGAACCCUCUGGUUCGCCUUAGGGGGAGGUGGGGCCGUCACAAUUUGUUCUCCCAGAAGGAACUAAAUUUGAGACAAAGGCGAUGGGUAGAAUUUUUGGAAGAUUAUGAUUGUUCAAUUAACUACCACCCAGGAAAAGCCAACGUGGUAGCUGACGCUCCAAGUAGAAAGGCCCAAAUAGCAGGGCUAAUGGUUAAAGAGUGGGACAUGUUAGAAGAAGUUACUAGUUGGAACCCACGCUUGGAAAAAUUGAAGAUAUUAUUUGGAAAUUUGUCUUUAAAAUCACCAUUACUAGAGCGUAUUAAGGAGGCCCAGAAAACGGACCCUACAACUCAAAAGAACUUGGAGAAAGUGCAAAAAGGAGAAAACCAAGAUUUCAAGUUAGGGCCUGAAAGGGUAUUGAGGUUCCGAGAUCGAAUUGUGAUUCCGGCAGAUAAAGAGAUAAGGAAAGAGAUUUUAGAAGAAUCACAUCGAUCGAAGUAUACCAUACAUCCAGGAGUGACCAAGAUGUAUCACGAUGUGAAAGGAUUAUACUGGUGGGAAGGUUUGAAAAAAGGAUGUGGCAGAGUAUGUGCAGAAAUGUUUGACUUGCCAACAAGUAAAAGCUGAGCAUCAGAAGCCCUCUGGUUUAUUGCAACCGUUAGAAAUCCAUGAAUGGAAAUGGGAACAUAUAACAAUGGAUUUUGUAACGGGACUGCCUAAAAGUCAAAAAGGAUUUGAUGCCAUUUGGAUAAUAGUCGAUCGACUCACUAAGUCUGCACAUUUCCUACCUGUAAGCAUGAGUUUUUCAUUGGAGAAAUUGGUCAAAUUGUACACAGAAGAGAUCCUAAGGUUACAUGGUAUUCCAGUGAGUAUCGUAUCUGAUCGAGAUCCAAGGUUUGUCUUGCGUUUUUGGCAGAAAUUUCAAGAGUCUUUGGGGACCAAGUUGAAUUUAGUACUGCGUAUCAUCCCCAAACCGACGGGCAGUCGGAAAGGACAAUUCAAACUUUGGAGGACCUGCUGAGGUCGUGUAUAUUGGAUUUUGGAGGUAAAUGGAAUAAAUAUAUAACCUUGGUAGAAUUUGCAUAUAAUAAUAGCUAUCAGGCUUCGAUUCAAAUGGCACCUUAUGAAGCUUUAUAUGGGAGAAGGUGUCGAUCUCCGAUUCAUUGGGAUGAAGUUGGAGAAAAGAAAAUUUUAGAUCCUACAGCCAUACCUUGGAUAGAAGAAGCCCAGGGAAAAGUGAAACUGAUUAGAGAAAGGCUUCAGGCUGCCCAAAGUAGACAAAAGAGCUACGCCGGCACAAGGAGAAAAGAUUUGGAGUUUGAAGUAGGAGACAAGGUUUUCCUAAGAAUUAAACCCUUGAAGAGCGGAGUAGUAUCUAAGAAAGGUAAGAAGCUAAAGCCAAGGUAUAUCGGACCUUUUGAAAUUUUGAAACGAGUCGGGAAUGUAGCUUAUCAAUUAAGGUUGCCCGCGAGCAUGGCCAAGGUUCACGAUGUAUUUCACGUCUCCAUGCUUAGGAAAUAUUACCCCGACCCAAGCCAUGUGCUGCAACUAGAAGGAAUUGAAGUGGAUGAGACGUUAACGUAUGAAGAAGGGCCAGUCAAGAUUUUGGAAAGAGAAGUAAAGGAGCUAAGGAACAAGAAAAUUCCUCUGGUAAAGAUGUUAUCGAGAAAUCAUGGACUGGAGGAAGCGACUUGGGAAUUAGAAGAAGAAAUGCAGAACAAGUACCCUGAUUUAUUUCUCUAGUAAGCUUGAAUUUUGAGGACAAAAUUCUUUGUAAGGAGGGGAGGAUGUGAGAACCCUGAAAAUGCAUAUAUAAAUAACAUUUCAUAUGUCAUUUGCACUUCUUUUAUUCCUUAAUAAUUCCUAGCAUUACUUUUACUUGUUUGCAAUUAAGUACGUAAAAACAGGUUUAUGUGAAAAAUAAUAUAAGUUUCCUAAGUUAUGAAAUUUCUUGGUUUUGCUAGACUAAGUUAAUAUCUUUUAGAGCUAGAUUAAAUUUUUCGUAUUAACAUAAAAUGUUAGAUUUAUAUAUAUUGAUCAAACUUGAUGUUAAUAGUUUAAUUAAUCAAACAAGAAUGUUAAGCGUUAAAAGGAACCUUAAUACUAAUUUGUAAUUAAUAAAUUUUAGACAAAAACGAUAUAAGUAUCUUAAGUAUACUUAGGACAAAAGAAUUUCGAUAAUUAAAGCCUUGCAAGAUUAGCAUGUCAUUAGGCGAUCAAAUUAUAUUUGGGAUUAAUUUUUGGAAUCAAACUAGAAUCAAGGACUUAAGUGUUCGUUAGGAGGAAUGUGAAAAGACUAAACUACCUUCCACUACUCCACAACCAUUCCAUGCACAGCCAAACAACUCCUCGGACAGCAUGAUCAGCCACCACCCCAGCCGGCCAACCGCAUCCUUCACCACUUCAACACACCACCACCCUAGCUGACCAACCGGCAUCUUCACCACUGCAGUACACAAUCUCUGCUAACACUCAACCUCUUCUCCUAAACCAGCACCAUACACCUUUCUCUCCCAUUCAUAUCUCAAGCCACAAUCUCAUUUCCUCUCCACAAACACAUUCCCUCUCUGUCUCGCUAUCAUUGACAAAGAAGAACGCGAACUGCAAUCUUCUUUCUAUUUUGUUCUAUCCGUAAGCUGGAGUGAAGGCAGAGAGAAACCGUGAGCAAGCUCCACACAUUCUGCACCUCCAUUGCACCCAACUUCACGACUGCGACACCACCAGCUCCAUCGACGACCACAACCCCAAUCACUGUCGCGUGCGUGAGAGCCGAGAGGAAGAAAAAAUUUUCCAGAUUUUCGUGUGAAAGCUUAGCUUGCUGUGAGGUAAAAUUCUGGAUCAUUUUAGGACUAAUCAGAGGUAGUUUGAGCUAUCUUGAGGCAUGCAUGUAUUGUGGUACAGUCGGAUGAUGAAAUCAAGCUAUUAGAAAAAUUUCUGUUUUGGUUAAAUGUCCCUGCCGAGUAGCUGAGAUGGAAAUGCAGCUUUAAUGUGUUUUCCUGAAGUGAUUUGAGCAUGCAAUGGUGAUUAACUAACUGAAUCUUGGAUGAUUAUUAUGAUUAGGGCCAUGCAUGAUAAUUUUAUGUGAUUGGAUGAUGAAAUCAGGAACCUGGGAAAAAUUCUGAUGUAGUGAACUGGAAUUGAUGUGAACCAGAAAUCUGAAAUGCAGUUGUAAUCUAUUUAAAUCUAAUAAUCUGAGCAUAAAUGCAAUUAGCUACGUGAAAAUAUGAUGUUUAAGCUAACUACUGGUAGAUGAAGAUAUACCAGUGCUUGCAUGCACUGAUUGUGCAUUCGGAUGAUGAAUCAAAGCCUAGCCUACGAGUCUGCCGAGAACUUGACUGGGUUAAUGCAUCUUGAUUUGGUUUAAUUCUGUUGUUUUGAGCCUAUAAUCAUAAUUAACUAGCUAAUAACAAGAAAUUUUAGCUUUGCAUGUAGUUAAGUAGUUGAGUUAGAACAGAAAAUAAAAACAAAAUGCAACCAGAUUUUGUGCAUCUCAAACCGAGGCUAGCUGGAGAAUUUCUUGGAAAUCCGAUGACUUGUGUUGUUAAUCACACCUGAUUUUUUUGAACUGGAAAUGUUACUCAGUUAAUUAAGUAUCCGUAUGCCGAAUUUGAGUAUUUAAAUCCCUGAAUAAGCCAAGGAAGAAUUUUAUACAAGAUAAAUGGGUGCUGGAAAAUUUAGCUAACCAAACGUUUGAGCAGAAAAUAUUGAAUUGUUUCCAGAUUUCACUAGUUGAUGUUUGAAUAUUUUCCUUGGCAUAAAAUGGUUUCAAAACACAGGAAAAAGGUGUAUUUUAAGAUAUACAUGUUGUUUAGCAAUUAAACAUUUGAUAUCGCGAAUGAUUUAACCAAAAACGUGGGUAUACGAAUGCUGGAAAUUUUCCUUGUAGUUGCCAAAGUGAGUAAGAAUUUCCAGCUUGAAAGUGAAAUUAUUCUUUGAAAUCAUAAUGGUUGAAAUAUCUGGAACAAGUUGUUUUAAAGUUUAUAAGAUAUAUGGAUGUGAAACUCUCGAUAUCUUGGGAGAAUAAAUUGGAGAUAGUGAAGUGUGGCUGUGGAACAAUUACUUGAGUAUGAAGUUGUUGAAAAUUUGGUUCUUGACUUUAAAUACCUGUUAGUAAAUUUAAACAUUUGAAAUGUUAGCCUUGUUGCUACAAGAAUUACUUGUUGGGUGCUAGGGGCUAAUGAUUGACGAAGCCCUUGGCCAUGUGAAUGAUUUUUAUAUAAGUGUUAAAGUGAUGAACUUAAAUUGCUAGAAUUGCUUAAAGGCCUUACGUUAUUUUAAUUAAAUGAGAUGUGAUUUGAGAUUUGCCAAAAACCAAGAGCUAAUGUUUGACGAAGCCUUGGUCACUUGCUUUAUUUUCCUUUUGGAAAUGAAUUUAUCGAAACCUAGGGCCAAUGAUUUAUAAAGCCUAGUGAUUCGCUAUUUAAAACGUGAUUUCUUCAAGUCGACAAAAAUUGAGCUAUAAUGUGAUUUCGAUUUGGAAUCGAAGCUGUGAAAGUUAUUUCGAUCUUACGAACUCGAGUAAUUUUUAUCAAGCUAAUCAAAAAUAUUUUUCCUAGUAUUAGAUGAUAAAACUCAAUAUCUAGUGUUUUGCCUAAACUUUUUCCAAAACCGACAAAUUUCCUUUAGCUCCAACUAUCCUUGAUAGGUAUAGAAAAAUAAUUUCUCUAGUUUCUGAAAACCCUAAGUCUUACUCCUUUCUCUUUCUUUAAGAUUUGCCUUGGAUAGUGGUCGGUAGGAAAAGCUCCAAAAUAAUAGUUUUAAUAAUUUUAAUAACUUGCUCGGCAAGAGACUUUAUCUUAGAUAAAAUAGUCUUAGUGACAAUUUUUGCAAGAAAUGUAGAUUUAAAGAAAUUUUCAAAGUAUCUUUCUAGCUUUGAUGUUCAGAGGUUUGUCGACUUAUUUCAAGAAAAUAAUACUAAUUAUUUUUAGGAAAAGUACCUCAAAGAAAACUAUAAGAAACAUUUUUACUACUUUGGUUAAGUUUCAACCUAAGUAGAUUUUUGAAAUUUUCUAUGGGAAAGUAAACUAGUAUUAUAUUAAACCUCGAUUUGUAUAAGCUUAAAAACUUAUAAUUUCAAUAUUUGAUAUUCUAGGAUAUUGCGAGGACGUGGAAUUCGAUUCCCAAUUUGACAUUUGAACUUCACUCUUGGUGAGUGUCCUUGCUUGUUUUAUGCUUAUGUGGUUAAGCGCUUUAUCAACUCGCUAUGUGAUAAUUGCCAAAAUGCAAUAAAUGGUUUCUGAUCCAUCGAAGUGAGCAGUGUGUACUUUAUCGCACUAGCCGUUCGAGUGGUGACGUGUGUGAAACAUUUUCUAAUGAAUCCGUGAAUCUAAAUGUAGUUGCGUCGUUGGGUGAAUCCCUCGACUCGUGAAUCCAACUACCAAACAUAUGAAUCCGUGAAUCUAAAUGUAGUUGCGUCGUUGGGUGAAUCCCUCGACUCAUGAAUCCAACUACCAUAACGUCGUUGGGUGAAUCCCUCGACUAAUUUUAUACGGGGUAUAUCUCGAGUAUACUGCGUCGGUAGACGAAGUUCGGGCCCGAAGCAGAGGUAUGAAUGGUGACGGGUUAGGAUUAAAAUAAGUGGAUCUACAUGGACUAUAAGUAGUGAAAGUUGACGGAGGGUCAACUACGAUGGUAUCUGAUCAAGUGUGGAAAAUGGCUCCUGAGAGCCCCUGUAUCCUACCUUGUGCUGUUACAUGCUUUCCUAACUGUUCAAUUUGAUUAAAUUAUUACUCGCUGUUUGAUUGAUGUGAUUGCAUGUUUUGGGGCACCACUGAGCAUUAGCUCACCCCAUGUUUAUUGUUUUCCUUAACAGGUUCUGGAAACUGAAAGCUGGAUGCUUACUUAUGUUUUCCUUUUGGAUUGUAAUUGAAUACUAUAACUUAUUCUGUGGGCUGUAAUGUGUUAUUUGGGAUAAUGUACUUUCUUUUGGAUUGCCACUUGAAGCUGGAAAAUGUGUAACCCUAAUUCGAUUACUUGGCUUGUAAGUUUGUAAUAGAGAUUUAUGUAUUUAUCUAUCCGGAUUGGUACGACUUUACACUUUGGUACGUAGUACGUGGGAAGUUUAAGAGCCUCGACGGGCUAAUUUAUCAUUGCUAUCUCUGAAGUUAAUGUGGAUUUAAGGAUGAUCCUUUUUGGGAAAAAUUGUUUUAUCAUAGAUUAAGUUAUCCUUCGGAAGGAUUUGGGUUAGAAUGCUUGCGUGAGUCCUGGCGAGAGCUGGGCAGACGGCCUGCCAACCCUUUGGUUCGCCUUAGGGGGAAGUGGGGUCGCCACAAACAUGGCAUGUGGAUUGGGAAAAAAUAUAAGUAGUGAGAGAAUGUGGAUAAAGAAGGUGAGGAAGUGAUAUGAUAAGAAUGAGAGUGUAUGAACCUAGAGGAAUGCAUCAAGUCGGGUACGGGAAUGACUCCUAACUUCACGACUCUAAUUUUCCCUUUAAUUAGAAGGAAGAACUAGCGUGCUAAGGCUAUUUUGUUGCCAUACUCGCUCGUUUCCCUUAUCGAAAGAGGACUUUCAAGCAAAUGUACCCUAUAACUAGCAUGAGGAUGCAAAAACCUAAGAUGAAGGGGAAAGGAUUGGAGAAGCAUGCCAAAUGCUAGAAAACUAAGAAAAAGGUAUGAAAUGUAGUGAGACAUGCAAGUAUGUACCAACAGGAGGGGACAGCCUAUUGGGUCUAGCAUUGGACUAACCCUUUUCUAAAAUUCUCUCACAAGCAUUGGACUUGCGAGCGCUCGAGGGGAAAGACCAUGGCCAGCGUUGGACUAGCCACGGUGACGCAUUCAUCCAUCACAUUCAUCUAUAACUAUAGAAAGCAAGUAAACAUGUCAAUCACCUAUAAACACGUAGCACAUAACACUUAGCAUGCUCGACUAAAUGCAAGAAGCUAAUAAAGCAAAUUAACACGUAGCAACAAAAACAAGCAAUCAAGCUAAUGAACCUAUUACAUUUGCUAACUAAAACAAAUGGGGAAGAAGAAAAAUGAAUAAAAAUGCUCUCCAAGCCCUAUCUAUUACAAGCCAAGAGGUGUACACAUACCCCAUAAAAGAAUAACUUAAUAAAAGCAAAAGUAAAAGAAAUAAAUGAAGGGAAUUAAGGAAAGGCAAGGAAAGCAAAGUAGGUAUGCAAUUCUCAUUUAGCACGUUGGAUCACACAGAGGAGAGACAAGAAAGGAUAAAAGAAGUUAUACCUCCCCGUUUGUGAUGUUAGUAAAGUGAACAAGACUUAACUUGGGCUAGAGUCACCAAAGAAAGAGAUAACUUGGGCUAAAACCAUCAAAGUAAAAUAUUAAUGCACCACUUUAAAGAUAAGUAGAAUAAAAGGCAAAAAGGAAAUUCAGAACACCUUAGAAACUUCAAAAGGAGUACUUACAAACCACCAAAUCCUUCCCUAAUUGCGACUUAAAUGUAGUCAAAAGAUGCUUAAUCUCAAAGGAGGUAGAUUAUUGACCAAACUUCUAAGAUAGAAGAACUUCUAAGGACCCAAUUGCAAACAUUAAUCAAUCAUUCGAGUCCAAUCGAAACAUUUAAGAACUUCACAGGUCCCAAAAAUAAUAAAAGACCAAAUAACGGUUCAAAUUGCAAUCAACUUAGGACUUAAUUGUGUGACGACCCCACUUCUCCCAAGGGCGAACCCAAGGGUAUCGGUGGGCCGCCUGCCUAGCUCGCGCCAGGACUCAAAACUUAAAGCAAUAAAAGCCAGAAAAUCCAAAAGAGUACUAUACAUACUAUAUACAAUCCCAAAAGAGUUAUAAUUACAUUCUCCAAAAGUACCUGCUCUUACUAUUACAUCCGUAUAAUUACAACAAAAACCAAAAGGGAGACCCUAAGAAGGGUCCUAAUACAAACCACCAGAAUAAAAACAAACAUCCUAAAAGUUCAACUAUUACAAGCCAAUCUACUAAACUAGUGUAUGAGCCCCAAACGUACCCGCGUCGGCCCCUGCUAAGGAAAACAAACGGAAUGGGGUAAGCUAAAAGCUUAGUAAGUAAACAGGGGCAAAAGCGUAAAUUUCACGUAGCAACAUUUACGCAGAAAGAGUAAAGCAAAAGCAGAAAAGUAACAUCACAUAAUAAGGAUACGGGUGGCUCCAAAGCCAAUUCAUUUGCCAUGCUUGAUCUCUUGUCGACACUCCGUCGAUCAUAAAUAAGGUCCGUAGAACUUCACUUGUACACCCACCGACACCUUAUCACCCUCACUGGCCAGUCACCUCACAAACUUGCUCAGGCGAACGAAAUCACAAACUUGAGCUUUAAUCAUAAGCUCGGGUCACAAACUUGGUGACCUCAAACCAAGUUGGACUGACUUCGACCAAGCCCUAACCGGCUCGAAUAGUCCAUCUAGGUAUUGAGUUCAACCGCAAACUCACAAAAUUCACAAAAUUAUUCAAAAGUCACCCCGAGCCACAAGCUCAAGGGUUUUUGUUCCAAAAUUUCUCACAUACAUAUGUCAUGUACAAAUUGGUGCGUAAAUUAGGGUCUAGAUCGAGUGCGAUAAAGUACACCCUCGCCUAGGUACCCUUUUUACACAUAACGAAACACAUAAACAACUAACACAUAAGAGCGGCCUGAAUACUUACUCAAAAUACCAAAAGUAGUAUAAAGGCGGAAUUCACUUUGUGUGUUGGCUAGUAGUGGGCCCCACCGGCACCGCCUAGCUCACCACUGUCUGAAAUCGAAGAUUAUGUCACAAUAUAUCAUAAACGGCAACUAACGUACUUAAAACAAGCAAAACGGCAAAAUUGGCACGCGCAAGUGCGGGAACGGCAAAACGGCCGCACACGUCCGCGCGGAACGGCAAACGGAAAUGGCCAAGUCGGCCAUCUCAAACCGUUUUGGUCAAAAAUUAGGCUAGGAAUAUCGGAUCAAGGUACAUGAGGUACCGUUACGAAGCUAAGAGGAAGGGCUACAAUGUUCAUGAAGACAUCGCAACCCAGAUCUCAAUGGGUAUAGGUGAAAAUUGCGUGAAACAGUUCCAGCUGUUUCAUUGCGAGUUACCAAACAGGCCCUGUUUGCAAGGCCGUAACUCACGGCUCAGAAAUCGAAAUUAAGAAAUUCCAAAGGCAUUAGAAAGCUGAGACAUAAGGCUAAAACUUUCAUGUUUUGGCCAAGACCUGAAUCUAUUCAGAACAAAACAAAAUUCGAGUGCCAAAGUACCCGUCAGAACUGUCCAAAUACAAGGCAGUUCUGACGAGCGAUAUUGUUUUGAUCAUAACCGGAGCUACGGAACUCGGUUUUCGACGUACUUUAUACCGUUUCGAAGCUGAGAUCAAGAUCUAAACUUCUUAUGAAGGAGUCGGCACCCAGAUCGAACUCUAUAAAAAUCGAAAAGUCAUGGGCAGAAACAAAAUCAGAAAACGCGCAGAACCAGAGGGUCAAAACAGGCUUGAGCAUUUCGUCGAUAACUCAGGCUAUGCUAAUCCGAUUGACCUGAAAUUUUGCAGGCAUACUCAGGACUCAAGGGGCUACGACUUUCAUGUUGUGAGGAAUUCCUAAAUCCGUACAUAGCAUUAAGAAAAAUGAAGCCGAAGUUCAGUCGUUAAACUGUCCUGUUUUCCCAGUUUUGCCGUUAUCGCACACCGAAGUCGCACGGUCCGUUCCUACGAUUUUUAUACCAGAUUUCCAUCCAUUUUGAUACCAAAUAACCUUAUGUAACUUAGUUCUUAAUUGGUCCGAAAUUCCCUUCCCAAAACAGUCCAAAUUUAACAAUCAUCAACCACAAUCCCUAACCAAAUUUCAUUUGCACCAAUGAACUUAAUCCAACCUCUCACUAACCAAACUCUAUCUCACUAACCAUAAGCUAAGCUAAAUUAGUCUAAUAGAGUCUAGGGUUUCUUAACCCAAAUCAGAUUUUUUACAAGUAACCAACCAAUCACAUGAGGCAAUUCAUCAAACACCACCACUACAAGUCCACUUCUCAACUAAAACAAGUAAGGAAAGCAUUACAAUAAAAAGCCCUAAUUCUCUUUCUCUUGACCGAAAUUUCCAGCAGCAUAAAUCACCAAAAAUUAACCAAAGUACUCCAUAAAAACAAGUGAUAGGCAUAAGAGGUACCACAAUCAAGCACAACUAAGGUCCUAUGCCAAAAUAACCACUAGUUCAUCAAACAAUAAUCAACUUAAGUCUUCAAAUAGACUUUCUUACCUUUGAUUCAAGCUUUGUAGAUGAUCACCCACAACAAUCAAGUGCUCAAGUUGUUUCUCCAAGAUCCAAACUCAAGAUUGAAGAGCAAAAAUGAUGCACCAAAGCAAGCUUUCCUUUUCUUUUUUUCUUUCUCUUCUCACGGCUCUCACUCUCUCUUAUUCUCUUAGUUUUUGUUUUGUUUUAUUUCUCUUGUCUCUCUUAUAGUUGUAAGACAACAUAUUAGUCAAAGCUUUGGAAGAUAUUUCUUAUGGCUAGCCAAUCACAUAAAUGCUUUAUUUGUUGUUUUCACCCUUGCACUUCAACUUUCUCUUUCAUAUACAUUUUCCCUCAAACAUUUGAUAACCUUUCAAUUUACUCCAUAAGUCAUAACUUAAUCUAAUCUAAAACAUAUAAUCACGCUUAAUUAUUUCACUAAUCACUUUCUCAUCUUAAUCACUUACACUUAAGCAUACUUUAUCCCACAUAAAAGUAGUUAAACAAUAACCUUUUUGUCAAGGGCAAAAUUAGGUUUAAACCCACUUAAAACUUCUAAUAAAUCAUAACAUUAGGGAUUUUGCUCACUUAGGGUUUCUAACCUUCUUAAACUUAAUUAAUCUAUACAAAAUGGAUUAAACCUAUUCUUACCCACACUAAGACACACAUUAACCUUACUAACUUUAAUCACCACUCGAACUUGUAACCAAUACAUAACUAGGGUUUAAAUCUUAAAUCCCUACUUAGGGUUUUCGAAAUACUCCCGAAACCAAACGUUACCGCCCAACUAAUGAAUAUAUUAACAUAGAACGGACUGGGGCCUCACAAAUUGCAAGAGAUUAGAAUGUAAUUGGGUCUUUGUAGCAUUACUAGAGACUAAAGGGAGCAAAGUAUAAUUUUUUGGAACAUUUCCAUGCAACUUCAUGCAAUUUACGUGAAUGAUAGGCUUCUGCAAUUCCAUUUCCCAUACAACACAAUUUCUGUAACUCUUUGGCAACUUUCAACCAUGCAAGUCAUUUGCACAAACAAAAAAGGAAUAUGGCGUUUUAACAAGAAAACCAUCUCGACAAUCCGACAUGAUGGAGCAAGAAUCAAAAGAGUUCAAGUUACUCCAGAAAAUUCAACAACCAAAGAAAGGAAAAGCUGCUACAACAAGCCAUGGGUUCGGACUUAUUGCAGCAGAUUUUUAUGCCCACAUAUCAGCCAUUUACAAUCUAGAAGCUAAGCAAGAGUACCAUCCAGCAUUUUGUGACGCCUCGAAAAAAAAUGAGUUUGAGAACUCGGAAAUUUUCUAAAUUUCUAUGGUUUAUUUUAUUUAAUCGCCCGCCUUUUCUACAGUUUCUUUAUUAGAAAAAUUUUUCAGAUAAAGUUUAUGAGCAAAGAUAGUUUUAAAAUGAUUUUUCUAGUAUCGGUUAGUUUUUGAGAAAUUAAGAGCGUAUUUUGAACGUGGGACCCGCAAGUGCGGUAAAUGCAUUAUAUUUUUGACAACUUGUUGGAAUUUUGUAUUAAGUGAUAUUAUUUUACAAGGUGUUAAGAUAUUUGUAUUGGAGAGACAAAAAGAUAAGUUUUGAACCAAAAGGUGACAAGUGUCACCUUGUGAUUUAAUCUUGGACUUUGACCAUUUAACUUUACCUUUACCUUUACCAAAUAAAUACCAAAAAAAAUUGCCAAAAAUCAUCCUAUUUCUAUGCUUCAUGGCCGGCUCUCUCUCAAAGGAAAAGAAGAAAAAUCUCUCAACUUUCUAGCUUCUCAUCUCACUCAAUCUUCAAUUCCAACCGAUUAAACUUGAAAGUUUUCCAUAAAACCUCUUAGUUUGGUGGAGUUGAGCUUGGUUGUGAAGUUGUUUGGAAAACUAAGGUGACUAGUUGCUCUAUCUCUUGUAUUGCUAAGGUGAGUUGUGAAGGACCCCUCUCCUUCCUCUAAUGAUGUUCAAUUCAUGACUGGUGGUGGUAUAAGAUGCACUUUGAUGGAUUAUAUCUUGAUUUUGGUUGAAUUGGUGAAGUUUUAUAAUUAUUGGGGAUUUUUAUGUUUUCAUAUGGAUAUGAUUAUGUGGCUAUCUAUGAUGAUUGGAAAUGGUAUAUAAUGAUUCUAGAAGGUGGAAAAAAUGGACAAUUGCAAUCAAUUUUUGUUUUGGAAGAAAUUUCAGAAAAUUAGGUUUUGUGAAGGAACAUUCUGUCCGAGUUUUUAGCUCCUAGUUAGAGGCCGAAUUGGCCUUAGUUUAAAACAUAAAAGUUGUAGGGAAUGACAUUUUAGAGGUUCCUACAAAAUUUCAGAUUAAUCGGAGUAGUGUAGAAUGAGAAAAGUCGAAAUUACUAUUGCUGUCCUGGUUUUACCCGAAUGCUAGAAUUGCGCCUGUAAUUGGUUGUUUUGGUCAGGAAUGCUUCCGAAUUGGUUGUUGAGGUCUUCUGAUGAAUUGAAGCCGUGUUUCUUAGCUUUCAGCUGGUUUUGGAAUUUCUGGAUUUGGACUUGUAGAGCUUGUGUUAUGAUGUUUCCGCUAGAAUGCGUUUUGGUGAAUCUGUUUUACGUUUUUGAUGUGGUAUCUUGCAUUUUUUACCUGUUUGCACUCAAAACUGGGUUGAGUAACCUUCUGUGAUAUUGUAUCCCUAUCUCUUAGUUUCGAAACGGUGUAUCUUGGACCUUCAUCCGACAAUCGUAGUGCCUUUGGUCCCAUUACCGCAAAAGGAUGUCAAAAGCUAUUUUUCUGGUUUUGAGCUUAACUUUCAUUUCCGGACUUUUCCCUAGCUUGACUUGUACUAGUACUACUUAGAGCUUGCUGAAUGACUAUUGGAUGAACUUGUUGUCGUGUGUGUACCUUUGGGACUGGCUGAGGAAAUAAUGAAGCCAUGAUGGCUGGAAAAGUUAGCAAAUUCAGGGGAAGUGCUGUCCGAACUUUGAAGGGACUUGUUUGCAUUGAGUUUGUGAUCUAAGACUUGGAUUUGAGCAAGGCAAUGUUAUAUGAUGGAUGAUUUCUGAGCCAUUGAGGUGAGUGACCCCAAACUAUUGUUAAAGCUUCUUAUGAAAUGUUUCUUGCAUUAUUUACUCGAUUGCAUCUCAUGCGUGCUUGCAUGUGAAUUCAUGAUAUGAUUUUGGCUUCAAUGAGUUCUUGGGGAGUCUUGUGCUGGACACCAACGUCUCCACCUCUGUUUACUAGGAGCAAAUGGCUUCGGAGCUAAAAAAGGGGCUCCCUCUUAAUGUUAAUGUUAAUGUUAAAUGAUCGAUUUGAGCGUUGGGUGUUCAAGUACUAUGAUUUCACUGGCUCACGAGAGCAAUAAACGGAUAUUUGUUCUUUGAAUCAUGACAUCAUCGAAAGCAUCGAAAUGCAAUAUGGUGAAAUAUAUUUGAUUACUGAUUUUUCUGGUUACUCACUGAGCUUUUAGCUCACCCCAAAAAUAUUUUUAUUCCCCUCCAUAGGGCUCGGGACGAAGGAAAGGCUUGUAGUACUUACUCAUGCGACUGGAUGGCUUAUAUUUUGUACAGUUUUGAUUUGGAAUUUCCUCUGUAUAAUAGUUGGUAUCAAGGAUCAGAGUGGCGCAGCGAAAGCGUGGUCGCUUCGCUUUUGAUAUGUAAUUCUUGGAUAAUUGAUGUAUAUUUGAGAUUUUAUUCGAUUUUAAUUAAGGACUGAAGUGAAAGACUGAGUCCCGGCGAGAGCUGGGCAGGCGGUCCGCCGAACCCUUUGGUUCGUCUUAGGGAGAGGUGGGGCCGUCACAAAUUCGAAUGGCCCUCAAAUGAAAAUUCAAACAGACACAUUCGGUAAGACUACUGUAAUUAACGUGUGGUAAUUUCUGAUGCAACUCAACGUUAUGUGCAAGGUAAAACUAGACACAAGUUUCUGCAACAAAUUGCUGUAUUUUCACUUUUCGGAUACAUAUUUCCGACCCAACAUGCAAGCAUUUGAUCCAAAUUUUUCAACCAACAUCACAACUUUAAACCAAACCACAACACCAUAACUUCAAACUCCAAACAAGCAAGAAACAAUAAAGGAACUGAUGCAAAAAUUCUGGACAAAACAUUCAUGUAAAAUGGUUUGGCAGCCUGAAAUUCACUCUUUCGGUAGGCAUUCGAGCAUGAUUCCGGCAUUAUAGCCCCAAAAAAUGCAAACCCAACACCCCAUAUCUAAUUCCUCUUUCCAACAUAAGGUCAACCAGCAAACUGGAUGGCCGAAACUUUGCUGAGCAAGUGCAGGUAAGAAAACAACAAAGAGAAUGCGAAAGCUUUUUGUUCUGCUGCAAAUUUUGCAGCUUCAACUCAUUGUCAUUUAACAUCCCCAAGCAUAAUCAUCUAACCCCCAUAAACUGAUUGAAACAGCCAAGCAUAAAAUGCAGCAAAAGAAAAAAGUGGAAACUUGCUGCCAAUCAUGGAGAAACCAUCGCAGUCAAACAAAAUGAGCAUUUCAAGCAAGCCGAAACUUAGGCACAAAAGCCUUUAGACAUUUAGCUAAAUGUGUUCGUGUGUGGAAAAUGCCAAGAAAACAAGAAAAAUCAGGAGGCGCAGCUAUGAUACAAGAGGAUGAAACGGGGUUUGACAUAUCAACUAAACAACAAAUCUCAUAUUUCAAUCAAGUUAAAGCUUUAGCAACAACUCCAGAAUAAAACUCCAAUGUCCGAACAAGCCCAAAACAAAUUCGAUUGGAAUGGAUCUUCACCAUCUAUGCGACAUUACAAGAGGACAGGCUAUGUAAAUGUCUUUUCUUUUCUAAGAUAGGAUCUUGCUACUAAACUACAGCCUAUGGACGAAAUGUAAUCAACGCCAAACAAGUUUCAGACCCUAACAUACCCAUCAUACACAAUAACAGUAAGAAGGUCGCACCUUUGAGCUAUAACCAUGAACCUACAUCGCAACUCUUGACCACAUUCACUUGACUCGAGAUCCAGCAUAGUUUCCAUGAUUUAUUGAUAAAAAUUAUCUAUAGGAAAGGGAAAAGAACCUUACCGUGCUGUUUUCCGAUGGGGUUUUAGCAGCGACAAGAAAACUUGAGUAGCAGUCCCCUUCAUUCUUUUUGGUUUGACCAGAUAUCUCCAGGCUCUCGCCCCAGCCGUGACUCCUUCUUGGUUGUCCUAUUGAGUCGCCCUUUUCUUCCUUCCAAAGCUCUCGGUCUCUCCCUCACGUUCUUUCCUUUCCCAGUUUUUCUUUUCUCUCCUGUCACUCACUCUCAAAACCCCUGCUCUUUCAGCCGUCACCCCUUUUUUUUAUUUAUCCGUUCUUUUCCAAAACCCUUCAUCCGACGCUGCUCCACAUCUCACAUCUCAACUCUUUCCUCUUUCAUUUCCACCCUCCACCUAUCCUCUUCUAGAAUUCUCUAGGGCCUGAGGUGUCCAAGACACCUGGCCAUUCAUCGCUUAAAUUGCCCUCAAGGGCCUUGCUGCAACUCUUCUUUGCAAGCUGCGGACGAACGCAACUUGCAUGUAAUAAAUUAUUAUUAUUAUUAUUAUUUUAUUAUUAUUAUUAUUAUUAUUUUAUUAUUAUUAUUAUUAUUAUUUUAUUAUUAUUUUAUUAUUAUUAUUAUUAUUAUUUUUUUAUUAUUUUAUUAUUAUUAUUAUUAUUAUUUUUUUAUUAUUAUUAUUUUAUUAUUAUUAUUAUUAUUUUAUUAUUUUAUUAUUUUUAUUUUAUUAUUUUUAUUAUUUUUUCUCUUUUUUUAUAUAAACAAUAAACUUGCAUAAAAAUGAAAUUUAACAGAGAUAAGGCAUAUUUUUUAGAUCAUUUUCCGGCAACUCUUAACACUUAAAAAAACCUUAAAAUAUAAGUAAAAUAAACACAAAUGCGGAAGCGUUCAAGCAUAAAAUCAUCCAUUACCCCACCCAUAGAUAGGGCGUUCAAGAUACAACUUAAAUCCGAAAUAUACGUCAGGCCCAAAAGUUACACUUCAAUUCCAAAAGUACAAUCCCAACAAAGGACAUAGUCACAAAUAAUAGAAACCUUAAAACAAAAGUAUAGCGAAGGGUUUCUCCAAACUUCUCCGAGAUUCGGUCCUGUUAAGGAAAACAAACUAUAGGGUGAGCUAAACGCUCGUGAGGCGAAGAACACACAUGCAAGCACAAUGUUCAAAUAGCAAUCCAAAAUUUAUUAAACCAAACCGUGAUAUUUCAAUAAUCAACCAUUCGAGCAAGAAAAGAAAUCAGAAACAAUUCAAGGAUAUGGUAGCUCUCAGGAGCUAAGUUCCACUCGCUCUGCGAUGUCAUUCGUAUACCUUCCGCGCGAUGACCCUCCGUCAACCGGGUCGGUAUUUCCAUUUCCGUAGAUCACCACUUACUUCCCUCCAUCCACCGUACACCUCAAGGGCCCACAAGUCAUUUAUACGGCGAUACUUCACGAGUAUGCCAAACAAGACCUCUCAUUAGGUCGAGCUUAUAUAUAUCUCAUGGCUCGCCCAAGUUCACGACCAAGCCCAUUGCCGGCUCGAGUUCAAGGUCGGCCUAUGAGUUUGGGCGUCCCCAUUCAUUUGAAAGUCGAGGAGGUUCACUCCAACGACAUAUGUAAUCAUAACAUAACAUUGCAUUUCAUUCAUUCAUUCAAUACAUUUCAUUCAUUCAAUACACUUCAAUCAUUCAUUUGAAAUUAGAACGAGUGCGAUAAAGUACGCACCGCGCCCUUAUUUUUAAAAUUCCCAACAAUUACCACAAUUAAGCAAGUAUCAAGGAUUCACACACUUGACACUCACCGAGCAAUUCAAUAGGAAUUUUCUCUGGAGGUUCAAGUGUCCACUGUAAGAUCGCUUUUGGAGGUCUCCUUGUGUGCCUGGUAAAUAAUAGUGGAUAAUCACUCAAGUAUCCCACUUAUUAAGGAAGAUUGUACACUAGUACAAUCUAAAAAAUAUUUUCACAAGAAUGAACCUCAAUUACUCGUAAAUUGAGGUUCAACUUGCGUUUUAUUAAGUACAAUAUUAUCUGAGUUUUUAUCAUGAAAAUCGAGGGCAAAACGCUUGAAUAAUACUAGGAGAAUUAAGAGUUUUGAAAAAACUCCUUUGGCCCAGAAAAUUGAGAAAUUUCAGUUUUAUCAUAAAUUUUUGGAAAUUCGUAUCUCUCUCGAUAUAAGCCCAAAAUUGGAAAACUUUAUACCGUUGGAAACCUUUUGGAAAGUGUUAAAAGUUCUUAGGAGACAUUUUUCCAUGAAUCGAAGUGGAAAGUGCUCAAAAAUGAGCAUGAAGGGGCAGACUCAGCUUACAAGGCAGAAUUAAGUUGAUUUUUGGCCAAAUUUGAAAUUCGGCACGAUUUACACGUUGCAAACCGGCCUCUGAAAUUUGUAGCUCAAUUAGAGUUGCAAGUGAGGUUUAUAGCAAAAUAAGCAGAUCAAGAAUUGGAGUUUCCAGUACCGAGAUACGGUAGCUCAAAGUUGGGGAAAUUCAAGACUGGGAAGAAUUUCCAGAUUUGAACCUCCAACUUUAGUAAUUUAAUUAGGUAUCAAACGAAUUUGGAUUGGUACCAAAAUUGGCAGUAUUUCACUCCUAUGUGAAAGGUAUCUCUCUAUCAAAUUUCAGGGAAAAAUUACCCUCGGAAAGGUAGUUAACUAGUGGUCCAAAUUUCCGGAAAAUUUCUAAGGCAAUCUGCCUUUUGACUUUCAUUUCCCAAUUCAAAUCGUUCAACCAAGAAAGUUAUCCAACCAUGGUUAAUUUGUGAAAUAAAGGUCUAAGGUACAUCCAUGAUACCUUUGGUAAUGGUUUAGCAUCAAAAUCUCAAUUAAUAAGGUCACUCCCGGUUUUGUUCCAAAUCAGUCCAAAUAUUUCGUUUUUUCCAAAACAGGGCAGACCUCUUGUUUUGGUCACAACUCAGUCAAUUUAACUCGGAAUUGGGUGUGGUUUAUGGCGUUCGAAAAUAAAUUCAGAGGACUAAACGCUCAUAGAAGGAAACAUUUUGAAAUUUGGCAAGCAACCAGCUCGAAAUUGAGCCUCAAGUUGCUGCCUCUACAAACCAUUGCAGCAGAUCCGAAAGACAGGACAGCUAUCUUAAAACGAAUGGUUCGGCUCACUCACAAGGAAUCAGAAUGUGCAUUUUAUCUCAAAUUAAAGCCUGGAAUGUCUAGUUUCAAACGCCACUGACGGCACAUAAUUUCGACAUCCAAGGACAUAGUUAUGGUCAAAAUGCUAGCCGCUGGACAGGGUUAUCCGAAAAUAAUUUUCCAGCUUGCCUAGUUCACGAAUAAAUCCAUUUGCCCAUCUAAACAUUUAUGUUUUCAAAUGAAAAUUUUUACACAUAUAACAUAUCAUAUAAGCAUCAGGUUCAAGCCAAUAAAUCACCAAAAUUUGGCCUUAUCAUGGCCGAACAAGACAAGGGCAGUUUCGGAAAUUUUUUCUUCUUGCACCAAUGAAGUUUCUAUCAAUUACACACCAUUAAUCUAUCAUUUUAACCACUAAACCAACAAUAUAUCCACCAUCAAUCAUCAAAUCAGCAACAACUCAAGUGUGGGAAUUCCUAGAGCCCACUUUUCAAAUUUCCAACAAUAUCAAGUCACCCAUACACAUGCAAUAGCUUAAAGAUGUAUUUCUACCAUCAUAAUCCAAGUUUAAGGUGUAGGAUGAGGUUAUACCUCCUUAGUGCUUUGAACCAGAAAUUUUCGGUCCUCAAGAGCUCCAAGAAACCGUGAAUUGUAGCCUUUUAGCUAGCUAGAUCCAACCUCCAAGUAGUUUGCUAGAUGGCAUUCAAGUUUGGUGAAGAUUGGUUGAAGUUUUGGGUUGAUUUGAUGAAGGAAUUUGUGAAGCAAGAGACUGAGAGAGAGGGAAGGCUGGCCGGCUGUUGGAGAGAGAAGAAAGAGUGAAAUUUGAUCUAAGUUUAGCUUCCAAGAGAAGAUUAAAAUGAGUGGUGUAAAUUUACUCCAAAGUCAACCCUCCUUAGGAGGCGUUUGGUGCGAUUAUGGCUCGAUUUUCUCGCGCGUUUGGUUCACUAGUGCACUAAACCUCCAAUGCAUAUAUAUUCAUGUAAAUAUUAUUCACUCUUAAUUAUCCCGAAAUAAGGGUCUAAAGUCCCUCAAAUAAAGUCGCGCGUGUGAAAACGCAUACCGUUAAUUUUAACGCUAUAACGCGAAACUUCCGAGAAUUUCUUAUAACGAUUGUACUACUAACUAUCACUUGAGUAUUUAUUCAUAAGAUUACCUAUUUUAGGACCGUAGUACAAGUCUCUAAUAUUCCAAGUUUAUUGUGCUCCUACGCGGAUAAAAUCUCCAAGCACUAUUCACUAUUUUUACUAAACGCACUCCAGGAAAUUAAUUUUUGAAACGAGUCACUUUAAAAAUAUAACGAAGUUAUAUUAUCGUGUAUUUAGGUCUAAUAAGACUAGAAAAUAUUUCUCGUGGCAAAAAUCCAAUUAAAUAAUUUAUUAAGCCAUAAAUUAGGCUUUAAAGAUAAUAGUUUUUACAAGUCUUCACAUCCUCUCCCCCUUAAGAAAAUUUCGUCCUCGAAAUUUACCUUGGUUGCUGAACAAGUCUGGAUACUUCUCUCUGAUUGUCUCUUCGACUUCCCAUGUUGCUUCCUCUACUCCGUGGUUCUUCCACAGAACUUUCACUAGUGGUAUCUGCUUGUUCCUAAAUUCUUUCACCUUUCGAUCCAGAAGUUUUACCGGUCUCUCCUCAUAGGUCAAGGUUUCAUCGAUCUCAACACUCUCCGGUUGUAAAACAUGAGAAGGAUCUGGAUGAUACUUCUUAAAGCAUGGACACGUGGAACACGUUAUGAAUUCGAGAUAAGUUCGGUGGUAAUUCCAGCUUAUAGGCUACAUUCCCAACUCGUUGGAUAACCUUGUAAGGUCCUACAAACCUUGGUUGUAGUUUCUUCCUUUUUUCGGACAUCAAACUUGCUUUAAAGGCGUAAUCUUAAGAAAUACCAUAUCUCCAAUAGUGAACUCCAAAUCCUUUUUUCGAUUAUCGACAUAACUUUUUUGUCUACUUUGAGCAGUUUGAAUCCUUUGUCGUACUAACUUUACCUUUUAUUAGCUUCCUCAAUCCAAGACACGGUAGUCGGGUCUAAAAUUUUUCGUUCACCUACUUUCAUCCCAACAAAUCGCGGGAUCUACACCUUCGACCAUAAAGUGCUUCAUAUGGAGCCAUCUGAAUAGAAGAGUGGAAACUGUUGUUAUAGGAAAAUUCCACUAAAGUCAAAAAUUUACUCCAACUCCCUCCAAAAUCCAGCACACACAGUCCUUAACAUGUCUCAAGGGUCUGAAAUUGUUCUUUCAGAUUGUCCAUCAGUCUGAGGAUGAUAGGUGGGUACUAAAGUUUAAUUUAGUCCCCAACACUUCUUGCAUCUUUUUGCCAAAACCUCGAAACAAAUCUUGAUCCCUAUCUGACACAAUACUCAUAGGUAUACCAUGUAGUCUAAUGAUCUCAUUCAAAUAUAACCUGGCCAACCUUUCCAAUGGAUACUUCAUGUUAAUCGGUAGAAAAUGAGCCGAUUUAGUCAAUCUAUCCACUAUCACCCAAAUGGCAUCACGGCCUUUCUGUGUCCUUGUAAGCCUGAUACAAAAUCCAUGGUAAUAUUUUCCCAUUUCCACUCAGGUAUUUCUAGAGGUUGCAAAAGUCCUGAUGGUCUUUGAUGCUCGGUUUUAACCUGUUGACAAACCAAGCAUGUCUGAACAAAUUGGACAAUUUCCUUCUUCAUAUUUUUCCACCAAUAUAAACUUUUCAAGUCUUGGUACAUUUUAUUCCCUCCAGGGUGUACCGUAAACUUUGAUCGGUGUGCUUCCUCCAAAACUUCCUUCUUAAGUGUUUCAUCCUUUGGUACUACUAUCUGAUUUCGAAAUCUCAAUAUUCCAUCGGGUCCCAAAUUGAAAUCCGUCUUGUCUCCCAUCUUAGCUUUUUCCACCAACUUUUGCACUUCAGGGUCCUUUUCCUGAGAUUCCCUGAUACAUUCCAUCAAAGGAGAGUUCAAUACAAUAUUCCCUAGAAUUACUUUUCUUGGUUCCAACCGAGGAUUCCACUGACUAACUUCUUCCAACAAUUCAAAUUCCUUAAUCAUCAAUCCAGCCAUCUGUACUUGACGGCUCAAAGCAUCGGCCACUACAUUGGCCCUUCCAGGAUGGUACUUAAUCGUGCAAUCAUAAUCUUCCAGAAAUUCCAUCCAUCUACGUUGCCUCAAAUUCAGCUCUUUGUGAGAAAAUAAGUAUUUAAGACUUUUGUGAUCUGUAAAAACCUCAAAUGUUACUCCAUACAAAUAAUGCCUCCAUUUCUUCAAAGCAAAGACCACCGCCGCUAACUCCAAAUCAUGAGUCGGGUAAUUCCCUUCAUGCGGUUUCAAUUUCCUAGAGGCAUAUGCUAUUACUUUGCCAUCUUGCAUUAAAACACAUCCCAGUCCUUCCUUAGAAGCAUCUGUGUAAACCACAAAACUAUCUUUUCCGUUUGGCAGAGCCAGCACAGGUGCCCUAGUUAACCGUCUUUUCAAUUCCUGAAAACUUUCCUCGCACUUAGGACUCCAUAUAAACUUUCCAUUUUUCCUGGUCAAUUCAGUCAUGGGUCCAGCGAUUUUCGAAAAAUCCUGAAUGAAUCUCCGGUAAUACCCUGCUAAUCCAAUAAAACUCCGAACCUCGGUAGGGUUUUCCGGUCGUUUCCAUUUUGAAACAGCUUCAACUUUAGCUGGAUCCACUUUAAUCCCAUUCUCAGAAAUUAUGUGUCCCAAAAAGUCACUUCUUUUAACCAGAAUUCACACUUGCUAAACUUAACGUAUACUUGAUGUUCCCUUAAAAUUUGUAAAACAAUUCUCAAAUGUUUCUCAUGAUCCCUCACAUUCUUAGAAUACACCUAAAUAUCAUCAAUGAAGAUCACCACAAAUUGAUCCAAGUAAGGCUUAAAAACCCUAUGCAUUAAAUCCAUGAAAGCGGAAGGUGCAUUGGUUAACCCAAAAGGCAUCACUGCAAACUCGAAGUGCCCAUACCUCGAGUUAAAAGCAGUUUUAGGUAUGUCCUUCUCCAAAAUUCUCAAUUGAUAAUAACCCUGCCUGAGAUCCAACUUUGAAAACACUACCGCCCCCUGCAAUUGGUCAAACAGCUCAUCAAUGUGGGUAGUGGGUAUUUAUUCUUAGUUGUAACAUCAUUUAAACCUCGAUAAUUUAUACAUAACCUCAAACUCCCAUCUUUCUUCUUUACGAACAAAACUGGGGCUCCCCACGGGGAAUCACUCUCUCGUACAAAACCCCGUUCCAACAAAUCCUGUAAUUGUAACUUCAACUCCUUUCAUUCAGCUGGAGCCAUCCUAUAUGGUGUCCUUGAGAUAGGUGCUGUUCCCGGGGCUACAUCAAUUUUAAAAGCUAUUUCCCGUUCCGGGGGUAAAUACUCCAAUUCUUCAGGAAAAACAUCUGAAAAAUCCUUUACCACUGGUGUGUCUUCCAAAUUCACCUUAUCACUAGGAGUGUUAAUAAGAAAAGCCAAAUACCCUUGAGCUCCUUUACUUAAUAAUUUUCUAGCCCGGAUUCCCAAAAUAAGUGCAGACGAGGCUAACUUACCCCUCACAUCCAAUUUUAGGGUUAUUUCCCCUGGAAUACACAAUUCUACAAUUUUCGUCCUACAAUUCAGUUGGGCAUUAUAACGUGCUAACCAAUCCAUCCCGAGAAUCACAUCAUACUCUUUAAUCGCUAAGCCUAUCAAAUCGGCCAGCAAUUUUCGUUCCCUUACGCAGAUUUCACUAUUCUAAUACACCAGAUUAGCAAUUAAACUUUUGUCUCCAGUAGGUGUUUUAACCUCCAAGUCAUAUGGUAGCUUAAUAGGCUUCAAGUCUAUUCCACUCAUAAAAUCAGGGUUUACAAAAGAGUGCGUUGCACCCGGAUCAAUUAAAACCCUAGCUAGGCGGUGAAAGAUUGGAAUUGUACCUUCUGCCACCUCAGUUGCCUCAGGAACUUGUUGAUAAUCCAGUGCGUAGACCCUAGCCGGUACUUUCGGUCGACUCCCUCCGGCACUGGUCUGCUUAGAGGUUGAUUUUUCAGGCCUUUGCAGGUUUCCCCCUGUCUUCGAUGAUUUCGGACAAUUUGCAAUUUGAUGCUCAGUGCUCCUACACAGUAAGCAUUUUCCCAACUUUCUCCAGCAAUCGUUCUCAGAGUGGUUGGAUUUACCACAAUACCCACAUGUAACUUAAGGGGUCACAGUCGAUCCAACAGAAGGUGCCCCCUAACUUGAGUCGUCCCGCUACGACCUCCUCUAGAUGGAGCUCCCCUGGAAGCUCCAGCAGUUCUCGUUCCUCCUUCUCCUCUUCCCAUUUUAGAAGGGUGUACAUUCUUACUGGUCUGCCCAGAAGUACGACUAGGAAAAUUCCUUUUUCUGUUGUGAAAAUCCUUCACUUGAGAUCUCGCAUUCUCAACCCUUUGCGCUUUCUCUAGAGCCUCAGCAAAUGUAGAGAUUUGGGCUGCAGCCAGGCCCUCCUGAAGUUCCACAUUAAGUCCCUGUACAAACCUUCUAAUCCUCCUCCGUUCAUUGGCUACUAAAUCGAGAGCGUAUUUGGAAAGUUUAGUGAACUUCCCCUCAUACUCUGCUACGGUAAGGGUCCCUUGUUUUAGCUUAAUAAAUUCGUCCUCCCUCUUCUCUUGAAUCAAGGGUGGAAGAAACUUUUCAUUAAACUCCCUUGUGAAAUUCUCCCAAGUCCAAGGGGUUCGAGCCCUUUCCCAUUUUCCUUUUAUCAAAUCCCACCAAGCACGGGCUACUCCCUCAAAUUGGAACGCAGCAAAGUUCACUCGCCUCUCCUCAGUGUAAUCUAGAGCGGCGAAUAUAUUGGUCAUCCUCUCUAACCAAUUUUCCGCUACUUCGGGGUCAGGUUCACCCAUAAACUUAGGCGGGUUAAACUUUAAAAAUCUUUCCAGGGCUCUAUCCUCUCCUCUAUCCUGGGCCCCAGGUUGGUUAAAUGGUCCAGGACCCUGUCUCUCCGCUAGACGUUCUAGGAUAUCAGUCAUCCUAUUGAUGGCAGUAGCCACCUGGUUACCCUCAAUGUUCUCCUGUCCCUGGGUCGGUCCAGUUGCCGAUCCCUGGUCAUCCCCCUGAGGUUGGGCCUGUCUAAACGUUCACCCACGACCUCGACCACUCCUUAGUCCUUCCAUUAGUCUAAAUGUGCCUAGUGCAAGAAAUAGAUUAAUUUAAGCGAAAAGAAGAAAUAUAUCAAAAUGAGAACCAACCAAGAAAGCAUUGAAAUUAACCAUAAUUUACAUUCAUAAACAUGUCAAGUUCGUACAAUUAGCAAGUUAGGGACAAUUCACAAAAAUAUAGCACACAGGUGCUCAAAAGUAUACUUUUAGCCACAGAAGACUAAAGUAAGAACAAGUGUCCAAAAGUAGGCCACACAAGCAUGCAAAAUAAAAUGGCCUCAGCACUCGCGUGGCCUGUCUAAACGCUCGCCCACGACCUCGACCACUCCUUAGUCCUUCCAUUAGUCUAAAUGUGCCUAGUGCAAGAAAUAGAUUAAUUUAAGCGAAAAGAAGAAAUAUAUCAAAAUGAGAAACCAACCAAGAAAGCAUUGAAAUUAACCAUAAUUUACAUUCAUAAACAUGUCAAGUUCGUACAAUUAGCAAGUUAGGGACAAUUCACAAAAAUAUAGCACACAGGUGCUCAAAAGUAUACUUUUAGCCACAGAAGACUAAAGUAAGAACAAGUGUCCAAAAGUAGGCCACACAAGCAUGCAAAAUAAAAUGGCCUCAGCACUCGCGUCACCCUAACUAGUCAUAGCUGUACCAGUCAAAAGUCAAAAGGAGUCAACUACUAAGAUCCUAAUCCACAGCAGGGCUAUCAGGAGGAACCUCCUCCUCGGGAUCCUCCUACUCAGCAUCAGGAAUCACCUCAGUAGCGUCCUCAACCAAUCUAGCAGCAUCAGCCAGGAUCUCGAAAGCCCGGUUACGGACAUCCCGUCCUAACCUAGUAAGUCGAGCCCUAGUAUCCCGAAGCUCCUCAUUAACCACUGCAGAUGUAGCUACCUCACCCUCAAUCACCUCCUCGAGCUUGGCAAUCUGCUCACCCUGAGCGCUAACCAUCUGCCUAAGCUCGUCUACCUCAGCCUGUACAUCGCGGUUGGCAUCCACCAACUGACGACGCUCGUCAUCCAGAGCAAGCACUAGAUAGUUCGGGUAGGCGAAAGUCAACCUACACGAACAUCGAGGGUAUCUGUCAUAUGGGGAGUAGCGUGCUCGAGCUCCUCCCGCUACAGCUCGGUAGAAGAUAGUCCUAAGAGGCUCAUAAUGACCAUUCGCAUGGCCAUUCCCGUUAGCUGUCUGGGCUCCAUUUCCGUCAUCCAUACCUGCAAAAAGAAAAAAAUAAUAAUACUUUUCGGUUAGAGACUUAAAUCACUACCUAGUUCUAAUAUCCUGCAAUGCAUGCCUAACUUAAUCGUUGGUUCAUCCCAAUUGUCGCUUGAGGUAGGACUAACUUAGUCGCUAGCUCGCCUCAAGUAUCACUUAGGGUAUGAUUAAGUCAUCCCAUAUCGAGUCUUAAAGGUAGAGUACCUGAUAUGUCUCCCAUAUAGACCUCUAACCUAGGGCUCUGAUACCAACUGUGACGCCCCCACUUCUCCCUAAAGCGAACUAAAGGGUAUCCGCGGAACGCCUACCUAACUCUCGCCAGGACUCAAGCAAAUUCAUUCAAGCUUAAUGCCAGACCGAACGUCAUAACCAGAUAGAAUACAUAAACACAAAAUGUGGAAGCGUUCAAGCAUAAAAUCAUCCAUUACCCCACCCAUAGAUAGGGCGUUCAAGAUACAACUUAAAUUCGAAAUAUACGUCAGGCCCAAAAGUUACACUUCAAUUCCAAAAGUACAAUCCCAACAAAGGACAUAGUCACAAAUAAUAGAAACCUUAAAACAAAAGUACAGCGAAGGGUUUCUCCAAACUUCUCCGAGAUUCGGUCCUGUUAAGGAAAACAAACUAUAGGGUGAGCUAAACGCUCGUGAGGCCAAGAACACACAUGCAAGCACAUUGUUCAAAUAGCAAUUCAAAAUUUAUUAAACCAAACCGUGAUAUUUCAAUAAUCAACCAUUCGAGCAAGAAAAGAAAUCAGAAACAAUUCAAGGAUAUGGUAGCUCUCAGGAGCUAAGUUCCACUCGCUCUGCCGAUGUCAUUCGUAUACCUUCCCGCGAUGACCCUCCGUCAACCGGGUCGGUAUUUCCAUUUCCGUAGAUCACCACUUACUUCCCUCCGUCCACCGUACACCUCAAGGGCCCACAAGUCAUUUAUACGGCGAUACUUCACGAGUAUGUCAAGCAAGACCUCUCAUUAGGUCGAGCUUAUAUAUAUCUCAUGGCUCGCCCAAGUUCCCGACCAAGCCCAUUGCCGGCUCGAGUUCAAGGUCGGUCUAUGAGUUUGGGCGUCCCCAUUCAUUUGAAAGUCGAGGAGGUUCACUCCAACGACAUAUGUAAUCAUAACAUAACAUUGCAUUUCAUUCAUUCAUUCAAUACACUUCAAUCAUUCAUUUGAAAUUAGAACGAGUGCGAUAAAGUACGCACCCGCCCUUAUUUUUAAAAUUCCCAACAAUUACCACAAUUAAGCAAGUAUCAAGGAUUCACACACUUGACACUCACCGAGCAAUUCAAUAGGAAUUUUCUCUGGAGGUUCAAGUGUCCACUGUAAGAUCCUCUUGGAGGUCUCCUUGUGUGCCUGGCAAAUAAUAGUGGAUAAUCACUCAAGUAUCCCACUUAUUAAGGAAGAUUGUACACUAGUACAAUCUAAAGAAUAUUUUCACAAGAAUGAACCUCAAUUACUCGUAAAUCGAGAUUCAACUUGCAUUUUAUUAAGUACAAUAUUAUCUGAGUUUUUAUCAUGAAAAUCGAGGGCAAAACGAUUGAAUAAUACUAGGAGAAUUAAGAGUUUUGAAAAAACUCCUUUGCCCAGAAAAUUGAGAAAUUUUAGUUUUAUCAUAAAUCUUUGGAAAUUCGUAUCUCUCUCGAUAUAAGCCCAAAAUUGGAAAACUUUAUACCGUUGGAAACCUUUUGGAAAGUGUUAAAAGUUCUUAGGAGACAUUUUUCCAUGAAUCGAAGUGGAAAGUGCUCAAAAAUGAGCAUGAAGGGGCAGACUCAGCUUACAAGGCAGAAUUAAGUUGAUUUUUGGCCAACUUUGAAAAUUCGGCACGAUUUACACGUUGCAAACCGGCCUCUGAAAUUUGUAGCUCAAUUAGAGUUGCAAGUGAGGUUUAUAGCAAAAUAAGCAGAUCAAGAAUUGGAGUUUCGAGUACCGAGAUACGGUAGCUCAAAGUUGGGGAAAUUCAAGACUGGGGAAGAAUUUCCAGAUUUGAACCUCCAACUUUAGUAAUUUAAUUAGGUAUCAAAACGAACUUGGAUUGGUACCAAAAUUGGCAGUAUUUCACUCCUAUGUGAAAGGUAUCUCUCUAUCAAAUUUCAGGGAAAAAUUACCCUCGGAAAGGUAGUUAACUAGUGGUCCAAAGUUCCGGAAAAUUUCUAAGGCAAUCUGCCUUUUGACUUUCAUUUCCCAAUUCAAAUCGUUCAACCAAGAAAGUUAUCCAACCAUGGUUAAUUUCUGAAAUAAAGGUCUAAGGUACAUCCAUGAUACCUUUGGUAAUGGUUUAGCAUCAAAAUCUCAAUUAAUAAGGUCACUCCCGGGUUUUGUUCCAAAUCAGUCCAAAUAUUUCGUUUUUUCCAAAACAGGGCAGACCUCUUGUUUUGGUCACAACUCAGUUAAUUUAACUCGGAAUUGGGUGUGGCUUUAUGGCGUUGGAAAAUAAAUUCAGAGGACUAAAAGUUCACAGAAGGAAACAUUUUGAAAUUUGGCAAGCAACCAGCUCGAAAUUGAGCCUCAAGUUGCUGCCUCUACAAACCAUUCCAGCAGAUCCGAAAGACAGGACAGCUAUCUUAAAACGAAUGGUUCGGCUCACUCACAGGGAAUCAGAAUGUACAUUUUAUCUCAAAUUAAAGCCUGGAAUGUCUAGUUUCAAAUGCCACCAACGGUACAUGAUUUCGACAUCCGAGGACAGAGUUAUCCGAAAAUAAUUUUCCAGCUUGCCUAGUUCACGAAUAAAUCCAUUUGCCCAUCUAAACGUUAAUGUUUUCAAAUGAAAAUUUUUACACAUAUAACAUAUCAUAUAAGCAUCAGGUUCAAGCCAAUAAAUCACCAAAAUUUGGCCUUAUCAUGGCCGAACAAGACAAGGGCAGUUUCGGAAAUUUUUGCUUCUUGCACCCAAUGAAGUUUCUAUCAAUUACACACCAUUAAUCCAUCAUUUUAACCACUAAACCAACAAUAUAUCCACCAUCAAUCAUCAAAUCAGCAACAACCCAAGUGUGGGAAUUCCUAGAGCCCACUUUUCAAAUUUCCAACAAUAUCAAGUCACUCAUACACAUGCAAUAGCUUAAAGAUGUAUUUCUACCAUCAUAAUCCAAGUUUAAGGUGUAGGAUGAGGUUAUACCUCCUUAGUGCUUUGAACCAGAAAUUUUCAGUCCUCAAGAGCUCCAAGAAACCGUGAAUUGCAGCCUUUUAGCUAGCUAGAUCCAACCUCCAAGUAGUUUGCUAGAUGGCAUUCAAGUUUGGUGAAGAUUGGUUGAAGUUUUGGGUUGAUUUGAUGAAGGAAUUUGUGAAGCAAGAGAGUGAGAGAGAGGGAAGGCUAGCCGGCUGUUGGAGAGAGAAGAAAGAGUGAAAUUUGAUCUAAGUUUAGCUUCCAAGAGAAGAUUAAAAUGAGUGGUGUAAAUUCACUCCAAAGUCAACUCUCCUUAGGAGGCGUUCGGCGCGAUUAUGGCUCGAUUUUCUCGCGCGUUUGGUUCACUAGUGCACUAAACUUCCAAUGCAUAUAUAUUCAUGUAAAUAUUAUUCACUCUUAAUUGUCCCGAAAUAAGGGUCUAAAGUCCCUCAAAUAAUGUCGCGCGUGUGAAAACGCGUACCGUCAAUUUUAACGCUAUAACGCGAAACUUCCGAGAAUUUCUUAUAACGAUUGUACUACUAACUAUCACUUGAGUAUUUAUUCAUAAGAUUACCUAUUUUAGGACCGUAGUACAAGUCUCCAAUAUUCCAAGCUUAUUGUGCUCCUACGCGGAUAAAAUCUCCAAGCACUAUUCACUAUUUUUACUAAACGCACUCCAGAAAAUUAAUUUUUGAAACGAGUCACUUUAAAAAUAUAACGAAGUUAUAUUAUCGUGUAUUUUGGUCUAAUAAGACUAGAAAAUAUUCCUCGUGGCAAAAAUCCAAUUAAAUAAUUUAUUAAGCCAUAAAUUAGGUUUUAAAAAUAAUAGUUUUUACGAGUCUUCACAGGAGGUAUUUCUCGUUAAAUUCUCUUACAAAAUUCGCCCAUGUCCAGACAGUCUGUUCUCUUUCCCACUUUGUUCUAAUUACGUUCCACCAUGCCUGGGCCGAUCCCUCAAAUUGAAACACUGCGAAGUUCACCUGCCUCUGUUCAGUGUAAUUCAAAGCUGUGAAUAUAUUCACCAUGGCGUCUAGCCAUUGUUCAGCGAUGUCCGGAUCAGGCCCUCCAGCGAAUUUUGGAGGUGCAAACUUCUGAAACAGCUCCAGAUCCUUAUCCUCACCCGUCUCAGGGUUCCGGGGUUGAUUUACGGGUAUUUGACCUUAUUGAUCUACUAAUCUUGCCAAGAUAUCCGUCAUUUGUUGCAUUGCCGUCGCCAUUUGGUCUCCGGUUGCAACUCUCGGUCCUUGUUCUUGUUCGGCGGACGUUUCCCUUUCUGCUCUAGGUUCUGGGGUCCGUUUAGUUCCACGGCCUCGACCACGUCCCUGACUACGUCUCCCGUCCAUAUUUUUCCUUCCCUCUCUUUUUUUCCAAAAGUAGUUUAAUGAAUAAAUGCAAUAAGGUGACUCAAAAGUAACCAAAAUUGAGGGCACCAAAUACACAAGUAAACAUAUAUACACAAGGAAAUAGCUGAUCAAUUAUGCAAGUACGGAUCAAGUCAGGCACAAAUGCAUAUACACACAUAUACAAAUUGACGUCAUGUAGUAAGAGUGUACGAGCGAAUCGAAAGAAAAGGUUAUGUGUCGGUCCAGUCUUAGCUAAGGUAACCUCGUCCGAUCCCUCACAUCACUUUACUAUUCACACCAGAUAUCCCUUAACCUCUUGUACUCAUUCCAGUCGAACAAAGCCUGUUCAUGUUCCCACAAUACAAUUCUCAAAUACUUAGCACUACCUCAACUCUGGAGUACUCGGGUACGAGAAUUCGAAAUAAGAUAAUUCACCUCUCGAGCUGGCCAGUCCUAAGAGUAAACCAUCUACAAUCGGAAUUCCUCCCAGACGUACCUAUCUAUGGUCCUCAGAUUCCACAAGAAAAUUUAAGGCCUAUAAUGUUCACAACUCAUAGCUUAUGCUCGAACGAGCACUUAAUCCUUCAUACCCAUUCACUACUCAGUCCAGGCUCACUCCGCGCAGAGACCACGCGAAGCAGGCUCUGAUACCAACUGUGACAGCCCCACCUCCCCCUAAGGCGAACCAAAGGGUUUUGGCGGACCGCCUGCCCAACUCUCACCGGGACUCAGUCGUUCACUCACACAAAUCAGAAAAAGAACCACAAGAGAAAAAAAAAACAAAACAAGGAUCCAAACUUAAAACAAAACUUAUAUACAUAGAUAUCUCAGAAGGAAGUACAACCGUCAAAUAUACAGAGUUCUCAAUCACCAGACAACCAGCCCGUGCCAAGCACUAGGGCGAGAACCAUAACAAAAGAAAACCAAGAGUUAGACCCAGCUAGUCUAUACAGGCUCUCGUCCUUGCACGCCUUCCCCUGUUAAGGAAAACAAAACUAAAGGGAUGAGCUGGAAAGCUCAGUGAGGUUCCAAACACAUAGGCACACAAGAAGUUCAUUGCAUUCAUUACAUGUUACCAAUAAUUCAAAUACGACAGAAACGAUAAACACCUUCAUUAAAAGGAUACGUGCUCACAAGGAGCCAUUCGUUCAUUCAUUCGUUCAUUCAUUCUCCAUUCGUUCCCUUAUACCUUCAAUCAUUUGAAAAUGCAUUUGUAUAUAAGUAAAACCCUCAUUCAUUCAUUCGUUCAUUCAUUCAUUCACCUGGCUCCACCAACCUCCACCAACCUACAAGGUAAUACUCGAGUAUACCAAAACGUUCACCCAGGUCCCUAAUCGCCCGACCAAGUCCGCUUCUGGCUCGAGACGACCGGUAACAAGGGGCAAUGGCCAGUUCAGCCAAAAGGCUUACAUUCAUGUACAAAUAACAUUUCAAUCAUUCAAUCAUUGAAAAUUUCACAAUCGUUUAGGCCGAGUACGAUAAAGUACACACUUGCCUAGAAAACUCGUUUUAACAAUCAUUGAAAGCAUAUAACAAGUUAUCAAUCAUUCAUACCAGCCAUAUAAUCAUGAAAAAUAUCAAACAGGGAACACUCACCUAUACAUGCAAAAUAACGUCCACUUUUCAAUCACCAAUGAAACCUAAAAGUAAACAAAGAACACAUUACAAUCCAUCUAGCAUGAUUUGAAUGAAAUCAAGGAUUACCCGACUACUCGCGAGUAAAAGUAUAAAAUGAUUUUUAAAGUGUCAAUAGAGCGUAUGGAUCCGUGGACGGAAAUUACUAGGGUUCAUAAACCAACCUAAAGAGGUAUUAGGUUUUAGAAUGGUAAAAUGAUCAUUUUAUUUGCCAAGCGGAAAUAUACAGGUUGUGACAGCCCCACCUUCCCCUAAGGCGAACCAAAGGGGUUAGCGGACUGCCUGCCCAGCUCUCGCCAGGACUAACGGUACGUUUACGUCGGUCUAUUACGUUCUGGAACAUAACAAUGCGCGCAAACGACAAAAUCGCAAAUAAAAAAAACGAAACUCGAAGCCGAAAUGAAUAGAAAAAUGCCCGCCAGAAUCCGGCCAGAACCGGCCGGAUUCUCGGCCGGAUACUGGGCCGAGAGCAACCCAAAAACUCUUUUUUUUCCUUCCAUCACAAUCCGGCCAAGAUCCGGCCGGAUUGUUGGCCGGAUACCGGCCGAGAGCAACUGGCCGGGUUCCAUUUUCCCAGGCAAUCCGGCCUGCAAUCGGCCAGUUUCUGGCCGGAUUCCUGGCCGGAUUCGCCACUGUUCAUCCUCGGCAAAUUUUCCUUUUCCGUUUGAAGUCGUAUCGAUCCGAAAUCAAUCCAAACACCAACCAAACAUAUAUAUAUACAUUGGAAAUCAACAUUUACAAGCAAACGGCCUACCAAAGUAUCCAUUUAGUUCAUACAUAUCCAAGUGGCCAAUUACACACCAAACAUUGGUGGAAUCAAAGUACUUAGGGUUUUCACCCUCAAGGAGCUAAUCAAAAUACAUUGUACAAGAGCUCAACUUGCAUUCAACUAUCAUAACCUUUCCAAAAGUGUUCAUUUUGCCUGUAAGGAAAACAAUAACACGGAUGAGCUAAAGCCCAGUGGUAUACCACCCAAUAAGCAUCAAAGUCAUAUAAGAAUGAACUUUCAUUUAAAGUGCACAAAUAAGCAAUGAACAGAACGGUAAAAGGAUACGGUCGCUCUCAAGAGCCCAUUUCCACUCUUGCAAUCUUGAUCCAACCUCAUUGACCCUCCGUCAAUGUUAAAGUACCAAACCGUAGACCACACUUUACUUCCAUUCCUUCCACCCAACAUACCCCAACCGGCCCGCACUCCAUUCAGUAAUAUUUUUGGUAAUACUCGAGUUUACCGGAACCAAGGGUCUCAUUACCACAAAGGUUCCCCAGUACAGUCCCCGUGGCAUGAUAAUUUUCACGACCAAGCCCUCGCCGGCUCGAUCCAAUUAACUACCAUACGGGGUUGAGCUCAUAAAUGCAGUAAAGCCAUUGGAUACUCGUCCAAUGACACCAAAUCAGUUUCCAUGAAUGGAAUGCAGUAUCUCAUAUAUCCAGUGCAGUAUUUCAGUAAAACAAUCAGUAGCCAUAACUAAAAUCACAAGGGUGAGGGCGAUCAAGUACACCCUCACCUCAAUCAUUUCCAAUAACCAAGUAAGCCUUUAAGGCAUCAAAUACACAUAGCACAAAGCCACAUUAUAACAAGUAAGUGAGUAGUUACUCACCAAGUAAGAAAAUGGUGUUUCAUACACCGCGGUCACCAAGGCGUCGUGAGCUACCGUCACGCCCUAGAAUCAAGCAACAAUGCAAUGAGACUCGAUAACGAGUCAUAUAGCAAUGCUAAACACAACCCCAGUAGGGUUUCAUAUACAUAAAUGAGCAUAAUAGCAAACCAGAAAUUAGAAAAUGGCCUUAGUCUUGGCCUCGAAUAGAAAACUGUUUUACACUCAUUAUGCGGUAAUGGCACAACUCUCACUACAAUUAUCGUUGGGGGUGUAAGACCCACCGUUUCGAAGCUAUGAAACAGGGCUAAUAAUGUAGAAGACCACUCAAUCCAGUUCCUAGCUUAAAGUUAAUAUUAUCCAAAUACAACCAGUCCUAAAUUUAACUGUUCGGUAUAUCUCAGUCCUUACAAGUCCAAAUGCCGAAAUUCCAAAGGCAUAAGUUAGCUAAGACACCAGCUACAUUUCAUAAGAAGACACCAACUCCAAAAUCCAAACCAAUCCAGUCAAAAACCAAUUACUAUCGCAGUUUUCGCAUUCUGCUCAAAGCAGAACAGCUACAGUAAUUUCGUCAUAACUCAUUCUACAUUAAUCCAAAUGACCUGAAAUUUUGCAGGCACAUCAACCUCAUCAAUACCUACAACUUUCAUGUUUUGAGCAAAGUCAAAUUCGGCCUCUAACACAGUGAUCUAAAACCGGACAGAAUUGGGGCUUCAAGAACCCUAACUUUCCAAUUUUCCAUCCAAAUCCAAAAUUAGUUGCAUUUUCCUAUCCAAUACACCUCAUAGAGUCAUUAUCAACCAUUACAAUUCAUCAUACAAGCCCCCAACAUCAAGAUCAUAUUAAACCAGAAAAAUUCUCAAUAAAAUAAAAACUUCACCAAAAACAAGCCAAAUCAAGAAAUAAAUCACAUUUUCACACACUCAUGCCACUUCUAAGCAUCAUGACCAUUAUUAGAGGUAAGGGUGUUCAAGCAACACUUACCAAGAAAUCAAGAGAGAGAGGGAUUGAACACCUUUGCUCUUCAAACAAAGUUCACCAACACACUUACUAUCACUAGAAGCAAAGUUUUUAUGGAGUAGAAUCUAGUCUAAGCCUUUGUUUAUGGAAGAUUGAAGCUUAUGGAAGCUUGAGAGUUGAGGAAUUUUCUUCUUCUUUGAGAGAGAGAGGGCCGGCCAACACAAGGAGAAAAAUGGUGAUUUUUGGUGAAUUUUUGGAUAUUUAAUCUUUGGUCAAAAAGUCAAAAUUGUGAAUAGUGUCUCUUAAGUCCAUCCAAUGAGAGGUGACACUUGUCACCUCCAUAAAUGCAUUCUUAUCUUUCUUUUCUCUCUCACAUCAAUCACUUCACACACACUACUUAUCUCUUAACACCCGAUAAAUUUAUAACAGUAUCCGAAACUUAACCUUAUUGGCCGAAUUUUUCCGAACUUUUCGCACUAGUGGGUCCCACGUCCAUUAUUUAUCCUUAAUUUUCUAAAAACUCGCCAAUGCUAGAAAAAUCAUCUUAAAACUAUAAUUGCUCAUAAAAUCCUCUCAGAAAAUAUUUCUAAGCCAGAAAAUGCAAAAUUAUGCAAUUAAAGGGGAAAUAAACCCUAGGAAAAUAAUUAGGGUUUUACGGGCUCUCACACUCUCCCCCCUUAAAAGAAUUUCGUCCUCGAAAUUUCUCACCUUAAUUCCCGAAAAGGUUUGGGUAUUUCUUUCGCAUUUCCUCUUCCAUCUCCCAAGUAGCUUCCUCCACUCCGUGGUUUCUCCAUAGCACUUUCACUAGCGGAAUCUUCUUGUUUCUGAGCUCUUUGACUUUUCGAUCGAGUACUUGAACCGGUUUCUCUUCGUAGGCCAGUGAUUCAUCUACUUCGAUAUCCUCCGGUUGUAAAACAUGAGAUGGGUCAGGAUGGUACUUCUUUAGCAUCGAGACGUGAAAUACAUCGUGGAUUCGAGAUAGACUGGAUGGCAGUUCCAAUCGAUACGCGACCGCUCCAACCCUCUGAAGGAUCUUGUAGGGUCCGACGUACCGUGGUUGGAGUUUCUUUCCUUUCCCCAUUGUAAGACUUCGUAAGGGUGUGAUCUUAAGAAAUACUUGAUCUCCAACUUCAAAUUCUAAAUCCUUCCUUCGGUUAUCCGCGUAGCUCUUCUGGCGACUCUGGGCGGUUUGAAGCCGUUGCCUUAUCAACUUGACCUUCUCGUGAGCCUCUUCCAUCCAUGGAAUAGUUGUCGGGUCCAGUGCCUUCUUUUCACCAACUUCGUCCCAGUAAAUCGGUGAGCGACACUUGCGUCCGUAAAGAGCUUCGUACGGAGCCAUUUGAAUCGACGAAUGAAAGCUAUUGUUGUACGCGAACUCCACCAAGGUCAUGUGCUGACCCCAACUGCCUCCAAAAUCCAAGAUGCACGUUCGCAGCAUGUCCUCGAGAGUUUGAAUUGUCCGUUCUGACUGGCCAUCCGUCUGAGGAUGAUAAGUAGUGCUCAAGUUGAGUUUCGUCCCCAGGGUUUCUUGGAACUUCUGCCAAAAUCCGACACAAACCGUGGAUCCCGAUCGGAAACGAUGCUCACAGGAACACCGUGUAGUCUUACUACUUCGUCCAUGUACAGUCGGGCCAACUGAUCCAUUGAGUACUUCAUGUUCACCGGCAAGAAAUGGGCCGACUUGGUUAAUCGAUCAACGAUCACCCAAACGGCAUCGUGUCCCCUUUGCGUCCUUGGUAAACCUGAAACGAAGUCCAUAGUGAUGUUUUCCCAUUUCCACUCGGGUAUCUCCAAGGGUUGUAACAAACCCGAUGGUUUUUGAUGCUCCGCCUUCACUUGCUGGCAAAUGAGACAUUUCUGCACGUAUUGAGCUAUUUCCCUCUUCAUAUUAUCCCACCAAUAGGUCCCUUUCAGGUCUUGAUACAUCUUGCUGCUACCCGGAUGGAUUGUAUACUUGGACCGAUGAGCUUCCUCCAGAAUUUUUUAAGACUCGUCCUUUGGUACUACAUUCGGUCCGAUACUUCAAAAUACCCUCAGGACUCAAAUUAAAGUCCGUAGUUUCUCCCUUCCAAUUUCUCUCUCCACUUCCGAACCAUCAAAUCCUGCCUUGCGCCUCUUUUAUACGUUCCAGUAGAGUGGAUGUAACCCUUACAUUGCUAAAUAUACCUUAUGGCUCCCAAGACAGGGUUUCCACUCGCACACGGAUUCUAGCAAAUCCCAUUCCUUGAUCAUUAGCCCUGCCACUUGCACUUUACGACUCAAGGCAUCCGCUACUACAUUUGCCUUUCCCGGAUGGUAGUUGAUUGUACAAUCGUAGUCCUCCAGAAAUUCCAUCCAUCGCCGUUGUCUCAUAUUCAGUUCCUUCUGGGAGAAAAGAUAUCUAAGACUCUUGUGAUCCGAAAACACUUCGAAGGUCACCCCAUAUAGGUAAUGCCUCCACUUUUUCAGAGCAAAUACAACAGCGGCUAAUUCCAGGUCAUGGUGGAUAGUUCUGCUCGUGAAGCUUCAAUUUCCUAGAGGCAAAAGCAAUCACAUUCCGGUUCUGCAUCAAAACACAUCCCAAUCCCUCUCGCGACGCGUCCGCAUAUACUGCAAACCCGUCCACUCCAUUUGGCAAGACCAUACCGGAGCCAUGGUCAAUCUUUUCUUUAAUUCCUGAAAACUUGUUUCGCAUCGACCGCUCCAGAUAAACUGGCCAUGCUUCUUCGUCAAAUCAGUUAAUGGUCCGGCCAACUUGGAAAAAUCUUUAAUAAACCUUCGGUAAUACCCAGCUAGCCCUAGAAAGCUACGAAUCUCCGUGGGGGUUUCUGGCCUCUUCCAAUUGGUCACAGCUUCAACCUUCGCCGGGUCCACUGCAAUACCUUCGUGGAGAUCACGUGCCCUAGAAACGCCACUUUCUCCAACCAAAACUCGCAUUUGCUAAACUUGGCGUAUAGCUGAUGUUCCCUCAAUGUCUGCAACACCACUCUCAAAUGCUCCUCGUGCUCCUCGCGUGACUUAGAGUAGACCAAAAUGUCGUCAAUAAACACCACGACAAAUCGGUCCAGGUAGGGUUUAAAAACCCUAUGCAUUAAGUCCAUGAAGGCGGCGGGAGCAUUAGUCAAUCCAAAGGGCAUAACGGCGAACUCGUAAUGCCCGUAUCUCGAGUUGAAAGCAGUUUUCGGAAUGUCCUCCUUCUUUAUCAAUAACUGAUAGUAUCCCUGUCGGAGGUCCAACUUCGAGAAGACCACUGCUCCUUGCAGCUGGUCAAACAACUCGUCAAUGUGAGGCAGUGGAUACUUGUUCUUGAUCGUCACGUUGUUCACCCCCUAUAGUCAAUACACAUCCUCAACGUUCCAUCCUUUUUCUUCACGAAUAGAACCGGAGCUCCCCAAGGAGACUCACUCUCGUGGAUGAACCCCCGCUCCAAAAGGUCUUGCAAUUGCAACUUAAGCUCCUUUAGUUCUGCGGGUGCCAUUCGGUAAGGGGUUUUGGAGAUAGGUGCGGUUCCAGGUAAAAGAUCUAUUCGGAAUUCUAUCUCUCUUCCGGAGGUAGGGCUACUAACUCGUCAGGAAACACAUCCGGAAAUUCCCUCACUACAGCCACGUCUUCCACUUUUAACUUAUCCGUAGGGGUAUUAAUUAGAAAGGCCAAAUAGCCUUGCGCCCCUCUACUUAUCAGUUUCCUAGCUCGAAUGCCCGAAAUGAGAGCAGAUGAGGCUAACCUACCCUUAUAUCUAACCUUAAGGUUGCCUCCCGGAAUGCGAAAUUCAACUAUUUUCGUUUUACAGUCCAGUUGGGCGUUAUAUUUGGCUAACCAGUCCAUUCCCAAAAUCACGUCGUACCCUUAAUGGACAAGCUAAUCAGGUCUCCUAAAAACCUCGCUCACCUACCCAUACAUCACAAUCCUUAUAAACCAUACUAGUCACCAAACGUUGAUUCCCCGUAGGUGUACUAACCUCUAAGUCAUAUGGUAAGCUAGCAGGUUUUAUAUCGAUGCCACACAUGAAAUCAGGGUUAACAAACGAAUGAGUGGCACCAGGAUCAAUUAAAACUUUGGCAAAGCGGUGGAAAAUAGGGAUCGUACCUUCCACCACCUCGGAAGACUCUGGGAUCUGGUGAGGCUCUAAGGAAUAUACCCUAGCCGGAACUUUUGGUUUGGAUCCGUCUCCCUUGGCCGUCCAGUAUUGGUCCUCGACGGUAGUUGGCUCCCCUUUCCGUCUUGUUUCAGGACCGGACAUGUAGCCAGCUGAUGGUCUGCACUUCCACACCGCAGACAUUUCCCCAAUUUCCUCCAGCAAUUGUCCUCUGUGUGGUUUGUCUUCCCACAGUGCCCACAGGGACCACGAGGUGCAGAAGCCGAGCCACUCUGAACGUUUCCCCUCGGUCCUCGCCCAGCUUGACCACCUCUAAACGGAGUCCCUCUGCCUGAUCCGGACUGUCGACCACCUCCCGUGCCUCGUCCAAACUUAGAGGGAGUGCUCUUCUCACCCUGUCCAGAUGUACUCCCAGGAAAACCACGCUUUUUAGCCUGGAAGUUUCGGACCUGAAGCCGUGCACUCUCGACCCGUUGGGCUUUUUCCAUAGCCUCGCUAAACGUGGUAAUUUGAGCCGCCGCGAGGUCCUUCUGGAUCUCAACGUUCAAGCCCUGAAUGAAGCGCCUCACUCGUCGUUGCUCGGUCAUGAUUAACUCUGGCGCGAAUUUGGACAGGCGGGUAAACUGGCUCUCAUACUCCGCCACCGUCUGAGCCCCUUGCCGGAGCCGGAUAAACUCGUCCUCCUUCCUCUCCUGAACUAGAGGAGGGAAAAACUUGGCAUUAAAUUCCCGGAUGAAGUUCACCCACGUUCUCGGAGUCUGCUCUCGCUCCCAUUUUUGUCUAAUCACGUUCCACCAGGAACGGGCAGCCCCUUCAAGUUGAAACACGGCAAAAGUGACCUGCCGUUCGUCCGGGUAGUGUAGGGCCGCGAAUAUAUCAACCAUUUUCUCCAGCCAUUUCUCGGCGACGUCAGGGUCGGGUCCCCCAAUAAACUUUGGUGGGGAAAACUUUUGAAAACGCUCAAGCGCUCUAUCUUCACUCUCGACAUGAUGGCCAGGGUUUCCAGGGUUAGGGUUUGGGUUCUGGCCCUGUUGUUGCACAACUUGUGCGAGUAGGUUGGUCAUUUGCUGCAUAGCAGCAGCUAUUUGAACAUUGGGGUUUAUCUGGGGUUCAGGAUUCGGUUCAGUAGAAGCUUCCCCCGUUUCCUAACUGGUGUGGGUUGCCUAAUACCGCGCCCACGUCCCCGACCACUCCGUGUUCCUUCCAUACGGUAUACUUGGUCUAGGCAAAAUUACUAAACCAAAGCAGUAACAAAGCAUGUAAGUAACAAAUAAACUUUCACUUAACACAUAACGAUGCAUUUCAAACAAGAUCACAAGCACACAUAUAUACAAGCCAAACAUAUAUACAAGCAGUCAGUCAAGUACGGCCAAAGCACGUACGUACACAAAAGAUCCUCCGAGGAUAGGCCUAUCAAAAGAGAUUUACACGUAGCUAACUCUACAUCCAAAACGGUUAGCUAAGGCUCUAUCCCUAUCCCUAUGUACAUUCCAAAAACCACCACUAGCCCAUAAGGUGCCUAGAUAUCAUAGCUUAGUCGGUUGCCGGGGUCUGAGACCCAGGCGAUGGGGUAGAUUCCUCCCCAGCCUCGGCCCCAGCAUACGAGGCCUCAUCGCUAGACUCCUCGAGUCCAUCGUCGCAUAGGUUAAGGAUCGCUUCAGCACGACCCCUCACUUUGCGAGCUCGCUUGACCUCACGCUCGCGACCAUCCCUCAGUUGAUCACAUAAGUCAUUAACUCGGUCCUCCGCCUCAUUCACAUCAUACUCAAGCUCCAUGAUACGGGCGGCUUGCUUGUCAUUGGUCGCCUUCGCCUGAGCCACCUCAACCUCCAAGGUAGCAACCGCAGCUUCAAGCUUAGUAUUUUCCUUAGCAAACUCCUCGCGUUCCUUUGCCACUGACAAAACUAGUGUAUUCGGGUAGGCAAAGUCGCUACGACACUCACACUGUCGAACGCGGCUGGCCGGGCUCCAACGGACCACGGCUCCCUUCUGCCUAAGAUGGUACUUAAUCGGCGGCAACGUGCUACGAGGACGAUCUCCCGCCGGACGGUCACUCGGGUCACCACUGGCAUCCAUCCUAUAGCAAAGGAAUAAAUAGCAUGAAUAACCUUAAAAACCAUAAUCAAUAAAACCCUCAAGUCGAGCACUUCUAUUACACCCAGGCUAAUUCAAACCUAGGCUCUGAUACCACCUGUGACAGCCCCACCUUCCCCUAAGGCGAACCAAAGGGGUUAGCGGACUGCCUGCCCAGCUCUCGCCAGGACUAACGGUACAGUUUACGUCGGUCUAUUACGUUCUGGAACAUAACAAUGCGCGCAAACGAGACAAAAUCGCAAAUAAAAAAAAAACGAAAACUCGAAGCCGAAAUGAAUAGAAAAAUGCCCGCCAUAAUCCGGCCAGAACCUGGCCGGAUACUGGGCCGAGAGCAACCCCAAAAACUCUUUUUUUUUUUUCCUUCCAUCACAAUCCGGCCAAGAUCCGGCCGGAUUGUUUGGCCGGAUACCCGGCCGAGAGCAACUGGCCGGGUUCCAUUUUUCCCCAGGCAAUCCGGCCUGCAAUCCGGCCAGUUUCUGGCCGGAUUCCUGGCCGGAUUCGCCACUGUUCAUCCUCGGCAAAAAUUUUCCUUUUCCGUUUGAAGUCGUAUCGAUCCGAAAUCAAUCCAAACACCAACCAAACAUAUAUAUAUACAUUGGAAAUCAACAUUUACAAGCCAAACGGCCUACCAAAGUAUCCAUUUAGUUCAUACAUAUCCAAGUGGCCAAUUACACACCAAACAUUGGUGGAAUCAAAGUACUUAGGGUUUUCACCCUCAAGGAGCUAAUCAAAAUACAUGUACAAGAGCUCAACUUGCAUUCAACUAUCAUAACCUUUCCAAAAGUGUUCAUUUGCCUGUAAGGAAAACAAAUAACACGGAAUGAGCUAAAGCCCAGUGGUAUACCACCCAAUAAGCAAUCAAAGUCAUAUAAGAAUGAACUUUCAUUUAAAGUGCACAAAUAAGCAAUGAAACAGAACGGUAAAAGGAUACGGUCGGCUCUCAAGAGCCCAUUUCCACUCUUGCAAUCUUGAUCCAACCUCAUUGACCCUCCGUCAAUGUUAAAAGUACCAAACCGUCGACCACACUUUACUUCCAUUCCUUCCACCCAACAUACCCCAACCGGGCCCGCACUCCAUUCAGUAAUAUUUUUGGUAAUACUCGAGUUUACCGGAACCAAGGGUCUCAUUACCACAAGGUUCCCCAGUACAGUCCCCGUGGCAUGAUAAUUUUCACGACCAAGCCCUCGCCGGCUCGAUCCAAUUAACUACCAUACGGGGUUGAGCUCAUAAAUGCAGUAAAGCCAUUGGAUACUCGUCCAAUGACACCAAAUCAGUUUCCAUGAAUGGAAUGCAGUAUCUCAUAUAUCCAGUGCAGUAUUUCAGUAAAACAAUCAGUAGCCAUAACUAAAAUCACAAGGGGUGAGGGCGAUCAAGUACACCCUCACCUCAAUCAUUUCCAAUAACCAAGUAAGCCUUUAAGGCAUCAAAUACACAUAGCACAAAGCCACAUUAUAACAAGUAAGUGAGUAGUAUACUCACCAAGUAAGAAAAUGGUGUUUCAUACACCGCGGUCACCAAGGCGUCGUGAGCUACCGUCACGCCCUAGAAUCAAGCAACAAAUGCAAUGAGACUCGAUAACGAGUCAUAUAGCAAUGCUAAACACAACCCCAGUAGGGUUUCAUAUACAUAAAUGAGCAUAAUAGCAAACCAGAAAUUAGAAAAUGGCCUUAGUCUUGGCCUCGAAUAGAAAACUGUUUUACACUCAUUAUGCGGUAAUGGCACAACUCUCACUACAAUUAUCGGUUGGGGGUGUAAGACCCACCGUUUCGAAGCUAUGAAACAGGGCUAAAAUAAUGUAGAAGACCACUCAAUCCAGUUCCUAGCUUAACUAGGUCGAAAAUGCCAAAUACUAACCCAGAAUUCCUAAAACAGGUUCGCAAAACACAAAAAAACUGUAAUCGGUAUAUCUCAGUCCUUACAAGUCCAAAUGCCGAAAUUCCAAAGGCAUAAGUUAGCUAAGUCAUCCAGCUACAUUUCAUAAGAAGACACCAACUCCAAAAUCCAAACCAAUACCAGUCAAAAAAACCAAUUACUAUCGCAGUUUUCGCAUUCUGCUCAAAGCAGAACAGCUACAGUAAUUUCGUCAUAACUCAUUCUACAUUAAUCCAAAUGACCUGAAAUUUUGCAGGCACAUCAACCUCAUCAAUACCUACAACUUGCAUGUUUUGAGCAAAGUCAAAUUCGGCCUCUAACACAGUGAUCUAAAACCGGACAGAAUUGGGGCUUCAAGAACCCUAACUUUCAAAUUUUCCAUCCAAAUCCAAAAUUAGUUGCAUUUUCCUAUCCAAUACACCUCAUAGAGUCAUUAUCAACCAUUACAAUUCAUCAUACAAGCCCCCAACAUCAAGAUCAUAUUAAACCAGAAAAAUUCUCAAUAAAAUGAAAACUUCACCAUAACAAGCCAAAUCAAGAAAUAAAUCACAUUUUCACACACUCAUGCCACUUCUAAGCAUCAUAUGACCAUUAUUAGAGGUAGAAGGGUGUUCAAGCAACACUUACCAAGAAAUCAAGAGAGAGAGGGAGGUUGAACACCUUUGCUAUUCAAACAAAGUUCACCAACACACUUACUAUCACUAGAAGCAAAGUUUUUAUGGAGUAGAAUCUAGUCUAAGCCUUUGUUUAUGGAAGAUUGAAGCUUAUGGAAGCUUGAGAGUUGAGGAAUUUUCUUCUUCUUUGAGAGAGAGAGGGCCGGCCAACACAAGGAGAAAAAUGGUGAUUUUUGGUGAAUUUUUGGAUAUUUAAUCUUUGGUCAAAAAAAGUCAAAAUUGUGAAUAGUGUCUCUUAAGGUCCAUCCAAUGAGGAGGUGACACUUGUCACCUCCAUAAAUGCAUUCUUAUCUUUCUUUUCUCUCUCACAUCAAUCAUUUCACACACACUACUUAUCUCUUAACACCCGAUAAAUUUAUAACAGUAUCCGAAACUUAACCUUAUUGGCCGAAUUUUUCCGAACUUUUCGCACUAGUGGGUCCCACGUCCAUUAUUUAUCCUUAAUUUUCUAAAACCUCGCCAAUGCUAGAAAAAUCAUCUUAAAACUAUAAUUGCUCAUAAAAUCCUCUCAAAAAAUAUUUCUAAGGCAGAAAAUGCAAAAUUAUGCAAUUAAAGGGGAAUAAACCCUAGGAAAAUAAUUAGGGUUUUACGGGCUCUCACACAGGUUCAAAUAGAAAUUUAGCUCUCGGCCACCUUUUUAAAGAGUCGGUAACAUUUUCAGUAAAUACGUCCAAUUCGUCACAAAAUACAUUCGCAAAAUCACUUUAACUUGCUCACAUUACAAGAGGAUAAACGGACGGCAUGUCCCUGUGUUUACCUAUUUUCCAGCCAUUAAUGGCUUCAUUAUUUUCCUCAAAACAGUCCCAACAUCUCAUAUAGAAUAAUCUCAUGUCCAAAAGCCGUUCACUAGGCUUAAAGUCAUAUAAAUACAAAAAUAAAUACAAAAAUCAAGCUAAAAAACAUUUCUGGAUAAAAACAGUUUUUGACACCAUUUUGCGGUUUUGGCACUAUUGGCGUUACGAUUAUCGGAUGAAGGUACAAGACACACCGUUUCGAAGCUAACAAAUAGACCUAAAAUGUUGAAGAAGGCCACUCAGUCCAAUUUGUAGUGCAACUAGGUCAAAUUGACAUAUAUUAAACCAGAAACUCACAAACAGGUUGGCUAACCGCACAAUUGUUAAACAGCAAUAAUUCAGGCUACCGAAGUCCGAUUGAAGUGUAUCUUAUGGCGUUUCGAAGCUAAGACACAACCCUAAAUUUCUUAUGAAGACCUCCAUGGCCAAAUCCUGCGUUUUCAUGAUCAAAAAUGGAAAACUACACAAAAACAGAAUUCUGGCUGCGAAACAGGUUUCAUGGACAGUCAAUGGUAUUUCGGUCAUUUCACAUGCUACAGCGGUUGGAUGAAGCUGAAAUUUUGUAGGCUACUAUUUUAUACCAUUGGGUACAACUUUCAUGUUUUGGCCAAAAUCUGAUUCGGUACGGAUCAUGGUGAAAUGUCACGGUCAGAUUGGGUGAAAAGACAACCCUAUUCACUGAAUUCCUACCUAGACCAGUCUGGGUAUUUCCGUCUGAUCUCAGGCUACCGAGCUCGGAUUGGGGGUGAAAAUUUAUAGGAAACUAGAAAACAUCAUUCUCUACAACUUUCAUGUUUUGUGAUAAGGCCAAUUCGGCUCUAACAUGCUGAAAUAAACAGGCUUGUGUGAAACCCUAACCUGGAAAUUUUGCCCCAAACCAGAAUUUUUGCACAAUCAAUCACAUCCAACAUAUAUCAACUUCAUUUUGCACUAUAACAAACCCUUCAUCCAUGGUUAACCCACACUAAUCAUAUGAAAUCAGAAAAAUUAUGAAUAAAAGAAAAAUCCAUCAAUCUCAACCAUAGGUCAUGAAAUCAUCCAUAAAAUCACUUAUUCAACCACUACAAAUCACUAAUUGAACAUUAUCAAGAUUAAAGGAAAGGUUCCUUAGCCACUUACCUUGCAAACCCAAGAAAAGACCCAACUUAGCACCUUGCCUUCUCAAACCACUUCACCAAUCACCUUAAUCCUACAAGAGAAAGGUUUUUAUGGAACAAAUCCAAGUUUUAACGGUUGGUUUGUGAGAUUCAAGCAAGAAAUUGAAUGAAGAAAUUGGAAGCUUUUCUUUCUUUUGCUUGCUAGAGGAAUUCGGCCAAGAGAGGUAGAAGAUGAAGACUAUUUGGGUCAAAUUUGGACUUUUAGUAAAGAUAAAGAAAGUUAGGCAAAGUUAGGUAAGUUUACUCCAAUAAGGAAUGGACACUUGUCACUUUAAUUAAUGCAUAUCUAUCCUUUUGUCACUCCAUCAUUAACCAUCUAAGCAACCUCUAAUUAUCUCAUAACAUCUAGCAAAUUAAUCCCAGUACACAAAAUUUAACCUAAUUUGCCGAAUUUUACCGAACUUUCCGCACUAGCGGGUCCCACGUCCGAUGUACACUCUUAAUUUCCCGAAAACUAACCGAUACUAGAAAAAUCAUUUAAAAACUAUAUUUACUCAUAAAAUUGAUGUAGAAAAAUUUUCUAAUAAAGAAAAUGCAGAAAACGUGCAAUUAAAAAAAAAUACGGGUCCUCACAUUGUACUUAAACACCCAACGCUCAAAUAAAUUACUUAAUGUUAAACUGUAGACACCAAAUUUUUAAGGUAUUUUGUUUACUAUUUUUUUAUUUUUUUGAUUAGUUUCAUUUACUUUUAGUCUUUUAUUUUUAAGUCAUUUUAAGUCGUUUAAUUAAACUUUAAUCAUUUAACCAUUUAAUUGUUAUUUUGUUUGUUUCGAUUCUAGGUUUUUGAAAAAGAAAAGAAAAAAAAAAGAAAAAAAAGAAAAUCAAUCGAAGGGACAAAAAUAAGACACAUAAGCCUACUUUGGGGUUUGAAAUCUUGGCCUUUCAUAUUAGGUUUAGUUUUGGGGUGCCCUAAAAGAUGAAAGGGCCGCAAGCUAAAAGGUGGUGCCAAUUAGAGAGGAGAGCUACGGGGGGUUUCUGAAAAGGGCUGACGGCUGAAAAAAAAUAGAGUGAAAAAGGGAGGAGCGGCGGAAGACUAAGGGAGCUGGGAUGGAAAAAGAAAAACAGCACAAGGGAAGAGUCUUCGUCUAGGCAAAGGAAAAAGAAAAACAGAGAGUCGAGAAAAGAGGCAAGAAAGAAACUUCAUGGGUGGCUAGGUUUGGAAGGAACAAAAACAGCAGGAAUUGAAGCAAAAGAAACCGAAAGGGAGCUGGAACGGAGAGAAAAAGGAAAGGCUAAGAUGCAAAAGAAACAGAGGAGAGCCGAGGGAGAGUGAAGAGGGGCUAGCGGCUAAAGGAGCUUGUGACUGAGAAAAUAGGGCAGCCGGAACUGCCGUUCGCGGGAAGCUACUGCCACCCUCACUCCCACUCCCAGAUGUUUAGACGAAGGUUUCGGAGGCAAAACUCUCAAAUGUAUGAGGUCCCUCCGCAUCCAGCGGAAGCAUUAGCAUCAUGACCACUCCGCCACCGCAGCCACGGAUGACAUGGAGGAUUCUGAGGCGGAUGAGGAUACAAUAACCUUUCGUCCAACAAGAAGCAAGCGGUGACCUCAUCGGACAAUCCGAACAAGCUGGUGGGUCUGCUCCCUGCUCCGGCAGCCGGAACGUGUCGGGGAGGAAUUAGAAGCAGGGGAGGACGCUCAAGGUGUCGGCGAGGAACGCGAGCGGGAGAUAGAGCACGACGGCGAAUAAAUUGCAUAUUGUUGAUAGCUACGGAAUUUUUCACAGCCACUGCCACCACCGGAAGCCACCACCACCUCGUCUGAAUCCAGCACUGCCGCUUGCAGAUGCCGUAAGUCAUCCUUUUCAUUUGCAUUUCAGUUUUCCCUAAAGCGCAGGCUCUUUGGAAAUUUUCAAAAAACAUGGCUGCCGUGCCUUUGUUCAGUGCUAUUUUCUUGUUGAUUGUUCAUGGAUUUCAGAAUAUACAUGCUUUGUGUGUCGAUUGGGUUGAAUUACUUGUUGUUUCUGAUGAUUUUUGGGCUGAUCAUUACACCAUUUGAGCAGAGAAAUUGCUGAAUUUAUAAUGCCCAGUAGCUGUUCGAUUAAGUGCCUAAUUGAAAGUUCUAUUUGAAAGACGAUUCAUCUGCAAUUUAACGUGUGAAGGAAAAUGAACAUUCAGUUUGCUCAGUUGCUCAUCCGAACUUAAUAACCAAUUUUUUCAUGGGAAAAGAUAGUGUUGGUCCGUUUGUACCUUUUCUGUUUUUUUUUAUAUUUCCUUAUGCUUGAAUCCGAAUUGAUGUGAUAAGAGGAAGUGUUAUGAGUUUCAAUGUUUUGUUGGGAAUGAUGUGAUUUGAAACCAAUUUCUGGUGCUGCUAACCGAAGAGGGAGUUGAAAUGGCAGCGAACGUUGAGCCAAUUUGGAGAAGAAGAUUACUUGAUUAAAUUCAUGAUUCCAGUCCCUCAAUUUCCCUUUCCAUUAUGAUUUAACCCCAGAAUUUUAGGACUUCAUAAUUUUGCCUCCAACACCUUCAUAAGUCCUUCAAUUAGGUCCCUGCUCUUGUUGCAUUUGAACCCUCAAGCUUCCCCAAAUUCACCGUGGCCCAAAAUCUGGAAAAAUCGAACUAAUUUCACCCUUUUAAGCUUAAUCCUCUAUUUGCGUAUUUUCCGUGACUUUUUGGAUAGAUUAAUUCUGGAAUUUAGUUCAUAGUUGUGGCUUAAUAUUUUUUGUUGAUUUGUUUAUGUUGUUGGGUUUAGUAUUAUGGUUUAAGCUUUUGGGUAAUUAUAUUUGGUUGGGUUUGUCAAUGUGGAUUUGGUUUAUAUUCUUUUGGGGUUUUGGUUUGGGUUAUAAAGUCAAGGCCCAUCAGUUUGGUUGGCAAAUUUUGGAUUAAAAAACAAUCAGGCUAGCCCAUCUGUUUUCUUGGGUUUCGAUUGGGCUGGGGAAGGUCUUGGCCCAAGUAAAUAAAUAAAAUAGCCCAGUGGCUUGAUCCAUUAAGAAAUCAGAGAACGAAUUCGCAGAUCAGUCCCUGCACUUUUCUUUAAUUUCACUGUGGCCCUACAAACUUUCAAUGCUUUCAAUUGGGUCCCUAGUUUAAUUGUAAAUAGGUCCCUCAACUUUGUUUUUCUUUAUUUUUGACCUUGAAUCUUUGUGAUAAUUGUAAUUGAACCCCAAAGCUUUGAUUAAUUCUUGCAAUCAAGUCCUUCAUUGUUUUAAUUUCUUGAAUGUAGGUUGUUUAUAUGAUUUAAUCGAUUCAAUUUCAUGAUUCAUUUUUAUCUUUAUGAUUGUUUUGUUAAUUAAAGUGGUGCCUUGACCUUUCCUUCGUAUUUUGGAGGGCAAAUAAGUGAUUUCAUUUCAUUGGGGACCAAUUGCAAGGGAGGUAACCUCCAUCUCCUUGAUUUUCAUUGCUCCUAUGUGUUCCAACGUGCUAAGUGAGAAUUGCAUGGCUACUUUGCUUUCCUUGCCUUUCCUUAAUUCCUUUCAUUUAUUUCAUUUACUUUUACUUUUUAUUUAAGUUAUUCUUUAUGCUGUAUGUGUACACCUCUUGGCUUGUAAUAGAUAGGGCUUGGAGAGCAUUUUUGUCCAUUUUUCCCCUUCCCCUUUUGUUUUAGUUAGCAAAUGUAAUAGGUUCAUUAGCUUGGUUGUUUGCUUUUGUUGCUACGUGUUAAUUUGCUUUAUUAGGCUCUUGCAUCUAGUCGAGCAUGCUAAGUGUUACGUGAUAUGUGUUUAUAGGUGAUUGGCAUGUCUACUUGCUUUCUAUAGUCAUAGAUGAAUGUGAUGGAUGAAUGCACGUCACCACACUAGUCCAACGCUAGUUGUGGCUCAUUGUCCCGUUUUCCAUUAGUCCAAUGCUAGUAGGAAUUCAUAGAUAUGGGCUAGUCCAACGCUAGACCCUUAGGGAUUUCCCUCGCUAGUUAACACUUGCAUGUUUCACUACAUUUCAUGCAUUUUUCUUAGUUUUCUAGCAUUUGGCAUGCUCCUCCAACCCUUUUCCCUCAUUUUAGAUUUUGCAUCCUCAUGCUAGUUAUAGGGUACAUUUGCUUGAGAGUCUCCUUUCGAUAAGGGAAACGAGCGAGUGUGGCUACAAAAUAGCCUUAGCACGUUAGUUCUCCCUUCUAAUCAAAGGAAAAAUCAAAGUCGUGAAAUUAGGAGUCAUUCCCGUACCCGACUUGAUGCAUUCCUCUAGGUUCAUACAUUCUCAUUUUUAUCAUAUCACUUUUCUCACUUUCUUUAUCCACAUUCUUUCACUACUUAUAUUUUUCUCAAUCCACAUGCCAUGUUUGCAUAUUUUUCUUCUUUUAUCAUUUAGUUCUAUCUCACAAAUUGCACCCAAUUGCACUUAUAUGCAUUUACUACUAUUGUACAUAUUUUCAUCCCACUUGCACACAAGCACCUUCAUUUUCUCAAUUUGCACACAUGCACUUUUCUUACACUUGCACACUUGUACUUUUCUAACAUUCUCACACUUGCACUCACAUUUGAGUCUUCAUUUGCAUCAUUCGCGACCUCUAUGAGGACUUUCCUUAUUGGCCACCACAACUCAUGUGGUUGGGACCAAAAAGCCUCGUAAGAGAUUUUAGAUUUAGGAUUGCAUUUCUUUUUCAUACCAUUAGUCAUAUCCAACAUGCAACACAUACUUUGGGUAGAAAAAUUAGGAAAAGUAGGGCUAAGUCACGCAACUAGCUUUGGCUAGGGUAAGGAGUGCCUUAGGCUUGGCCUUUGCCUUCUCCCUUAUCAAAUGUGACCCCGAUCCCUUUCUUUGGUUACGUAGACCUAAAAAAUUCUUUAAAAAAGGGUUUGUUUACUUUUCUUUCCAAAAAAUCACUUUUUUUUAGGGUGACUUGGUACACCCUAACUCUAUACCAAGUGGCGACUCCAUUUUCCAUUAAAAAACCCUUUUUGAACUAUAUUUUUAGCCAAACCGUCGCAUUUCACAAUCCCACGGCCUUUUAUUUUCACUUUCACACACGUUCACAUACAUAUCUCACACACUACUUUCACCCAUUUCAAAAAGUGGGGCGCGAAGUUGGUGACUCCACUGGGGACAUCCUAAGUGGGUCCAAGCAUUUGAUUUAGCCAUUCUUUUUUGUUUUUUACCCUUGUUAUGCGUAGCAUUUGGAUAUUAGGGUUGCAUUUUCCAUUUUAGGACCUUUUGCUCGCGGCGUAUCAAACUACUCCCUCACUCACGUAUGUAUGAUUGGUUGCUUGGAUGUAUGUUUUACUUGUUUUAUCUCGCGCUUUGCAUUGCAUUUGGGUGGAGGGGCAUUACCCUAGAGCCUCGCGUUGGUCCUCGAUCCCUCCCCUCCAAACGAGCACUAGCAUACGUGCAUACGCUUUAUUUUUUCCCCCCAUUUAUUUUUUCUUUUAGUGGCUUGCCACGCCACUCCGCCCUGUUAGGAUUUUAGGCGACCCACUUGGAUGUGUGAUCGUGACAUGACAUGUGCAUAGCACGAUCCGAGGGGUCACUUAAUCUUCCGCUUUAAGCUUUGGGUUAAUAGCCUUUAGCUUUUAGUCGAAGAUUGAGGAUUUUUGAUAGAUUCACUCAGACAUGUGGCCGUGACACGACGUGCGCGUAGCAAUGUCUGGGGAAUCGCUCGAGCCACCGACAAGGAACCUUGGGAGUGAUGACCUUUGGUUUCCAAGUCUGAAGGCUCAGGGACCUGAGCUUAUCGAGUCUAGAUGCAUUAGCGAACCAUAGCCUCAUGCAUCCAUAUUAGAAUUGCCUAGAGUAGAGUCGACCUUACCCUAUUAGGGACACAAUUUACAAGGGGAGGGAUCCAACCCCUCUUUCCCUUUUAUUGCUUUAUUUCUUUGUAUUGAUUUCGUUGCUACAAUGUGUUAUGUGUAUUUAUCUGGCUGAACUAACUUUUCUUGGUUUUGUGUCCCCAUUGCAUUCACAAACCCUAGCAAAUAAGAGGUUUGGCAUGACCUUCUUUUAGAACCUACCCUCGUAGAUAGGUUAUUGCACGGUUAAAGAUUUUGGUAUAUUGCAUUCAUAGAUUAAUAAUUACAUAGCAUUCUAAGCCUACCUUGGCGUAUAAAAGGUCCUUUUAGGUCAUGAUUUCAUUUCAAAUUGCAUGUUUUACUGCUUUAAUAAAAUGGCAUCAUGCAUAAACCCUAGAAAAGGAAUGCCAUUUAGGCGAUCCCGUGCUAGGAAUAAACCGCCCUGUGUCUCGGAUAUAUAAUCCAAUGAGACUUGCACGUUUAUAUUUCCUGUACCAUCCAAAGGGGUAGUGCACAAGGUAAGGUGGGAUCCGAUCAUUUUCAUGGAGCUAUCUUGGAAUAUGGAGCCGUCUAAUAAUCACUUUCUGGCCAUUUUAUCAAAUUGGUAAAAAUCCUUGCAAAAAGGACAUUAAUUUGAAGAAAUUCACAAACAAUUCCUCGCUAUUGAGACGAUAAAUAAACUGAGGCCAAAAUUUGAUUUUAGAAGGCUCAUAGACUAAUGCAUCGCAAUAAGCCGUCACUUCCAUUCUAUCCAUUGGACCAUUUUAUUCAUCAAAGUUAUCUAGUCCAUUUUAUCAAUUUGUUCAUUUUUAGGGCAACCUAGUCGAUUUGAAUUCAUUUGACUAGUUUAUCCAUUUUAGGGCAAUCUAGUCGAUUUUGAAUAAACCAUCAAUUUCAAUUCAUUUGACCAAUUUACCUAUUUUUAGGGCAACUAGGUCGUUUUGAAUAAAUCAUCAUUUCACUUAAUCAAUUGCAUUUGACCAUUUUACCCCCUUUGGCACGUCAUGCGUCGAUCAAAGCAAGAAAUCCAUUCCGACUUUGCCCUCAUUUUUAGGACGAAUGUCUCUUCUCACUCCAAUUGGCCAAAUUUUUCAAAUCAUUUUUCACUCAAUCAAUUGAUCGGAUUCAUUAGGUAUUGUAUGGUGCCUACCCUAAAGGAUUGCAUUUUCAUGCUAGGCCUACCCUUGGCAUAAAAGGGUUCCCCCGUAGGACACGCAUACCGAUUUUAUAGUCUUGCUUACUAACUCAGGUUUUUUUCCCUUUUGUUUUCCCCCUCCCCUGCAUUCAUGGAAAUAUUUCAAUAAGGUGAAAAUAUUUUUCUAUAUCUGAUAACAAUUUUGAUCUGAUAAAGUUUGAAAAUUACAAGUAUUACCUGAUUCUUGGCGAACCCUACAAUGAAGGAUCUAUUUGGAAAUGCUAGGCUAAAGCCUCUAAGAGACUUCAUCAUUAUUUUUCAAGGAAAAGAAAAUUGUUGUCCCAAAAAAGGAGGCAAAAGGGCAUAUAUGUGGAGUUUUUUAGAAGUUUUUCUCUUCUCAUUUGUAUUAUAAUUGAACGAGAAUUUUUGUUUUAAACUUUUUCAGCAAUAAAGCUUUGGACAAUUAUUGUUCUGUAUAUAGUCAUGUACAUUGCAUUGUUUAUUUUGGCUCAUUGGAGAUUUCAUGAUGAAUUUUAAGAAAUAAGACUAAAUUGGGAUUUGUUUUCAACCUCCAGUUUGAAAAUUUGCAAGUGUAUGCUUUCUAAAAUCCUUGUGUACACUAGAUUGGUGAUCUGAGCUACACAAUAAGAGUGCUCAAGAUUGAAAGAGGUCGCUCAAAAGGCCCCAUGAGAUACCUUUUUCUCCUCCACUGUACAAUUCAUAUUUUUGCCCACUUCACUUAACCCCAAAAUAAAAUCAGUUACAUUGAUUGAUAAAUUGCAAAUUGGAGCGAACUUUGCUUAGAAAGAUGCCCAUUGGUUUAACCAGAUUCAAUUCACAUCUAAGUGAAAGCAAAAAUGUACAUUAUUCUUGUUUGUUUUGAAAAUUUGGAAUGAUACUUUGAGCAUUCUUUUCUCUACCUAUACACAUUUUAUCAUUUGUUCUCCCAUUUGAGCCUUUGAAAGAGUAAUUUCGUUUCAAAUAAGAGCCCUAAUGAUCACUACCCUAUACUGGAAAAUUUUCAAAUAUCAAAAAGGGAAAUGAAUUUUCAAUGACCAUUUCGUUACUUUGGUUGUCAUGAGGUGUAAGAAUGAUACUUUGGCCAUCGUUUUACAACCUAAACACUAUUUAUCCCUUGCAUCCUCAUUUGAGCCAAAAUUGGAGGUUCUUUUCAAAGCAUCUAUGAUCGCACCCCACAUUGGGGAGGGAGAUUGCAGAAUUUUCAAAAAGGGGAAAAGCAAAAAUGCUAGAAUAAGGAGGGAACCGCAAAUUGGAAAAAUUUGAUUCCACUUGGGUUCCAAUUUUCGAAAAAAAAAGAAAAGGAAGAGAUUUGUCCGCAUAGACCGCCUAUGUUUCACAGAUAUGGAUGUACAAGGGUCUUCCUCAGUCAGUUAAUUCAUAUACAUGCUAGAAAUUUCCCAUUAAUGAAAGUUUCCUUUCAGAGUUAUUAUAAGGAACAGAAUAAAAGUCAGGCCCUCUUCUUUUCCGAUCAAGCAUUCUAUCCCUAGUUAUCCCUUUUGAGCCUUCAGAAUAAAAUACUUCAUUUGGCAACCCCUGAGAAUCGCAAACCCCACACUGGGGCAAGUUUGAGUUGAAAAGGAAAAUUUCAAGAAGUGAAAAAGUGAAAAGCCACAAAAUCAAAAGACAAAAGAAGAAAAGAGAACCUCAGUUCACAAAUAAACUGGGGCAAAUUUUGAAAAUUUCAAAGAAUGGCAGAAGGUUGAAAAAUCAAAAGAAGAAAGAAAAUGAAAGAGAAAAAGCCUCAAUUGAGCAUAAACUCUGGGGCAAGUCUUGAUUUAACCCUGAAAUAGGGUUGGCAACAAUGCGAUCUCAGAUUACUUAAACCACUCUUGAAAUCUGCCUUCAAGCCUUAAAUUUUCUAAACACCCCACCAGACCCCAUUACAAACGCCUAAAGUCCUGACUUCUGUUCUUUGCAAUGGCCCUGUCAAGAAAAUUCGGAUGCCGAAAAUUUUAGUUGUAUUUCUGAAUUGCCUGGGUAUGGGGUUGACGCUACUCACCAUGUGAAAAUCCACCAAGUUGAGGGAAAGGAAAAAGAGGAAAAAAGCAAAACAAGAAAAGUAAAUGCAAGGAAAAUGCAGAAAAAAUUCGACGCUGAAGUCCCUGGUGAAUGAUGAGAAAAAAUGCAAACAAAGUCUGAGAUUUUUUGAGUUCAAAAUAGGGGCAAUUUUGAAAAAUACGAUCUUCGGUGCAAUGUCCUUGAAAGUUUUAUUCUUUAACUAUCGUUUUCAAGCAACAUUACAAGCUAACAAAGUCCAUCGUUGACUUAUUCCUUCAUGACAAUCCAAAGUGAGGAUUAUGCUCGUAAGAAAUCCAUCAAUCAUUUGUGAUCAUGGGGGUAUAACCAGUUUUCACAGGUUUAGCUAUCGCUUCUACCCAUUUUGUUGCAAGCCUAUAAAGCUUAUACGUUGACUAAGUUUUCUUAAGAAAUAAGAGUGACAAACUCUUUGCUUUCACUAAGACGUGGUAUUGAAGGAAUUACAUACAAUUUGGGCACAAGAAUAAAAACAAGUCCCGACUUCUCAUUUUCCUUAGCCACUUCCAAAUCAGAAAUAACGCCCCACUUGAUUGGUCCUGAAAGAGAGACAACAGGAAAUGGUGACCCAUUACCCAAAACAUCGAUGCUAAAGUGAGGAAAAAUCUUUUAAUUUGGCAUUAUUUUGAGAAAUUCAUCAUGAAAUUUCCUGUAUGAGUUAAGCAAGACGUUCAAUUUUCUUCACAUUAUAUAGGAAACACAGUUUCUUACUUUGUUCAAAUAAAUGGAAAGGCAUCAAAUCAAUUUUUGCAAUCAAAUGGGCCCACACUGGGGCAAAAUUUUAUUUGCAAGAUUUCGCAAAAUAAACCCACACUGGGGCAAAUUUUUUAUAGUCCAUUUGAGGAUUUCGACAAGAGCCAAGUAAUAUACUUUCAAAUCAAUCACGCUGCUCUUUCUAUGAAUAGUAGUUGCAAUAUUUUGAAAUUCAAGUGCAUGUCAUACUUUGGUAAGCCCCUGUGCAGGUAUCCAUGGUUGAAAUCGACGAAGGAGCGUAAGUCAAAAUCUUACGAAUCAAGGCCUCAAGGAGGAGCAACCACGCCGUAAGGCAAAUCAAUUGAUUAGUUUAAUAAUUGGUGGAAACUGGGCAAAUUAUUUUGAAAAGAUUCUCUUGAAAAAUCAGAAAAUUCAAAAGUCAAAAAAUCAAAAAUCAAGUUCAAAUUCUUAUUUCUUAGAAAAUCAAAUUUAAUUUCUAGUUUUUGACAAAUCAAAUUCAAUUUCUUGACCAAUUGGAUGGCAGGACUGGGUCUUAUCCCACUGACCAUUCGCAAACUUCACAAAAGUCAUGUUGGAACUGGGUUUUAUCCCGCCAACCUCGGCAGAACUGGGUUCUAUCCGCUGACCGUUUAUAUCACGUUGGAAUUGGGUUUUAUCCCGCCAACCUCGGUAGAACUGGGUUCUAUCCGCUGACCGUUUAUAUCACGUUGGAACUGGGUUUUAUCCUGCCAACCUCGGCAGAACUGGAUUCUAUCCCGCUGAUCGCUUAUAUCAUGUUGGAACUGGGUUUUAUCCCGCCAACCUCGGCAGAACUGGUGUAACAUCCCGAAUAUUAGGAGGUUGUUUGUGAGGAAAAUAUUAAAGUAUAUUUCUUCGGGUUUGAUUUAAAACCUUAUUUUGUUUUAAAAGACUAGAAACCCUAAUGUUUUAAUCAAAAACCCUAGUUUACUUGUGACUAAACGGUUUCUUAAAUCUCUCAUAUUUUACUAGAGAUCCUAAUGUUAAUUAUUGAACUUGUAAAUUCCUCACGUUUCCUUACAAAAUUCCUUUUAUUUGAAAAUUAUUAUUUAUUAAGGCCCUACUACUCAAUUGUUCAACAAUAAGUGCAGAUGAACCUGGAAAUAGGGUUUUACACUUCAGUUUCAAGAUUUGAGCAAAAUUAGGGUUUUUCGAUUUUUCCGCCGGAUGAAUUUUCGGUACUGGCCAAGGAUCAAUUUGAUGAUUAAAAGUGACUUUUAAGUGAGAUAAUAUAUGUGAGUAGUAGCCAUGAGACAAGGUUAGUGAAUGGAAAAAAAAAAAACCUAGUACGUGAGUUUUUAAGAAAACGGCGCGAAUCGGCGGGUCCCGCGCACUACCGUUUGAACGCACCACUGGACUACCACUUUCUUGCACCACAAGCUCAUUGAUAUUUGAGCCAAAAUAUCUUCUUAUAUUCAGCUAAGAAGGACCGAAAUUUGUGGCUAAGAAGCAAGGGGAAGAAAGAGAAAAAUUAGUGGACAAGAUUAGUCCAAGUGUUAGUAGAAAUUUGUGGUCAUAAUUAACUCUAACCUUCUUACUUCUUAUAAGACCAACACUUAGCUUCAUUCCUCUUCAUUUUGCUGCUGAAGAACCGUGAGUGAGAGAGAGGAAAAACAAGAGAGCAAACCUUCCAUUUCAUCUUCAAAUCCAACAACUUAGGGAGAAAUCAAACAAAAUAAACCGAUUAAACUUGUUCUUGAGUGACUAGCUAGUGAGUUGUGGUGUGAUUCUUGAAGGGAGAGCUUGUGCUACUCUUGGUGACUUUUAUUCAAGGUAAGAGAGUUUAUCUCUCCAAGUUUUACUUCUAAUCUUGUUAUAUUAAGCCUAGUAACUUGAUUUUAUGGUGAGAUUAUGGAUGAUGAGCAUGUUUUAGUAUUUUUCCCCAAUUUAUUUGAUGAACUAGGGUUCCUGAUUUUCUGCUCAAGUUGAUGUAUGAUGCAUGAAUGUUGCAAUUAAAGUUAUAUAAGGUUGUUUAGUGGUGAUUGGAACCAGAAAUUUGAGGAAACUACACUUAGAGCUAAAAAUUUCAGAUUUCUGGAAAAUUUCCCAAGCAUUCUGUCCGAAAUUGUAUCUGUAUGUUAGAGGCCGAAUUGGCCUUUGGUCAAAGAAAUAAAGUUGUAGAGAAUGGUGUUUUAUAGGUGCCUACAAAAUUUCAACUCAAUCGGAGCAAUGCAGAACGUGAAAAGUCCAAAAUACCCCUACUGCUUUAAGAAUUUCCCAGUAGUCCGUUUCUUCAGUUCAGUCCAGUUUAUCACGAUUUUUGACCAGGAUCCAUUCUGAUUUAGCUCUGGACCAAAACAUGAAAGUUGUAGUGCUCUGAAGUAGCUUUAAAAUGCCUCUAAGAACACCUGAUUCGGACUUGUGUACACUGAGUUAUGUCCAUUACAGUGUUCUGCAUUUAAACAGCCGGUGAAUUGAUUUCAGGUUUGGUAAUUGGAGAAUUUGACCAAUUUACAUUAGAAACUGGAUUAAGUGACCUUCAUGAACAUUGUAGCUCUGUGUCUUAGCUUCGAAACGGCAUAGGUUACGCCUCAAUCCGAUAAGCGUAGCCUCGGAUAUGUUAUUUCCGCAUUCGUACGUCAAAUCUGUCUUGUGCUAAGUUGAAUUUCUGCACUUGUCAUUGUUGUGAUUCUUGUUAUUAUGAUAUUGUGAGCCUAUGGAACGGCUCUGGACAUGAAUUGUUGACAUAUGUGAUGUUGGGUUGUGUUUGAGAAAAACAAUGAAGCCUAAAAGGCUGGAAAAUUAGAUAAACACAAAGGGCAUGCUGCCCAAAUUUACGCUCGAAAACUAGAGAACUACUUGCAACUUGAGUAAGGGUUAAGAGUGAUUACUGCUUGAACCAUCUAGGGUACUUGAGUAUUCUUGUUCCGAGGUAUAUAAGGAAGGACUUGGCCGAACUUGUACCCUUGAGAAAUGCAAUCAUGAUUGCUCGAAGUAUGUUUUCCUUGUAUUUUCCACUCGCAUGACGAUUUCAAGUAUAAAGUUACAAAGUUUUACCGUUUAAAAAGUGAGCAAGUGUUUCACACUACCAUCCAAGUGAAUUCCAAUUUCUUGAAUUUUAUUGAACGAAACGUUUAAGUUUCGAAUCUAAGUCGUGUUUCAAAGUUCUCAAACUGAGUUUUAUCGCAGAUUUGGACUCCGAACCCGGAGUAUAACCUGAAAGUGACCAGUAAAGGCACUAUAUCUUUUGGUGAGUGCUUUCAAAUACCAAAUUGAACUUGAUACUUGAACUUGAUACGUGACCAAUCUGAUUACAUGUUAUAUACGUGAAUUGUAAGGGCAAGAGUGUACUUUAUCGCACUUGCCCUUACGUGAUAUACUUGUUUAUUGUUGCAAUUGACUUGAUAUACUUGAUUAUGAUGCGCGCACUUCCUGGAAUUCCAGAAACCCUUUGGCGAGUUACUCUAGUCGAGCCGGCAAGGGCUUGGUCGAUUGGGUAACGAACCCUGGGUCUCUUGUAUUGUCGAGUGGAGUGAUAUCUCCUCGACUAAUCGGUAUACUCGAGUAUUACCACCCGUGUUCUUGAGGAUUUUGGGCCCAGCUGGGGGUUGAACGGUGGACGGAGAGUCGUUUAAGUGGUGUUCUACUGGAUUGGUUACUUACUUGAAAGUUGACGGAGUGUCAACUACUAUGUGAUCAAGCCUUGAUGAUGAAUGGAAGUUGGCUCCUGAGAGCCAUCCGUAUCCUUAUGCUUUGGAAUGAUUAUUGUUUAUUGGAUUAUUGUUUCUUUUGAAAAACUUCUACACUCGCUCAUUUUAAGAUUGUUACUUGACGUGUUAUUGCUCACAUUUAUGAACUCUUCAUGCUCGUUACUUUGCUAUAUAAAAAACUUGUACUUAUAAAUAAUGGUCAAUUUGCUAUUUGGAACCUCACUGGGCUUUUAGCUCAUACCACGUUAUUUGUUUUCCUUUCAGGGGUACGAGCGAGGUGUGAGUUAUGUAAAGUCUAGCAUAGACUAGUUGUUUGAUUUUUGACUUGUACUCGCGCUAUUCCUCGGAUGGAACAUGUUGUAGCUUGGAUUGUAUACGUUUUGAACUAUCUCGGUGUAUUGAGACUUUGUACCUCGAUUUCUAUCAAUGUAAAUUAUAAGCUUGAAUUGGGAAUGUUAUUUAUGGUUCAUGGAUGUGUGUACAUGACUCGAUCGAGAUAGUGAGUGAGUCCUGGCGAGAGCUGGGCAGGCGGUCCGCCGAACCCUUUGGUACGCCUUAGGGGGAGGUGGGGUCGUCACAACUGGGUUCCAUCCCGCUGACCGUUUAACAUCACGUUGGAACUGGGUUUUAUCCCGCCAACCUCGGCAGAACUGGGUUCUAUCCCGCUGACCGCUUAUAUCACGUUGGAACUGGGUUUUAUCCCGCCAAUCUCGGCAGAACUGGGUUCUAUCCCGCUGACCGCUAACAUCAUAUUGGAACUGGGUUUUAUCCCGCCAACCUCGGUAGAACUGGGUUCUAUCCCGCUGACCGCUAACAUCACGUUGGAACUGGGUUUUAUCCCGCCAACCUCGGCAAAACUGGGUUAUAUCCCGCUGAUCGUUUAUAUCACGUUGGAACUAGGUUUUAUCCCGCCAAUAUCGGCAGAACUUGGGUUCUAUCCCGCUGAUCGCUUAUACCACGUUGGGCCUGGAUUUCGCGCCGCCAACAUCACAAACAUCACGUUGGGCCUGGAUUUCGUGCCGCCAGCAUCACAAACGUCACGUUGGGCCUGGAUUUUGUGUCGCCAACAUUCCAUUGGGAUUGAAUUUUGUGCAACCAAGGCAGACUCGGGUUUAAUCCCACUGAUCAAAUCUCACGGCAGGCUCGGGUUUAAUCCCUGGCCAAUUCAUUACACUGGGGCAAAUUUUCGGAUAAUUUUUCGAGCAAGUCUUACACAGUCUCUUCAUACAUACCAGCAUUUCUUUUACUCUGCCACUCCCACUAGUGUGCAUUUCUUUUAUUCUGCCGCUAGCCGUUGGGUCAGUCCCACUAGUGCGCAUUUCUUUUAUUCUGCCACUAGCCGUUGGGUCAGUCCCACUAGUGAGCAUUUCUUUUAUUGCCGCUAAACAUGGGUCAGUCCCACUAGCGUACAUUUUGUUUCCACUACCACUAGCCGUGGGUCAGUCCCACUAGUGUUCAUUUCAGUUUCAUCGCCACUAGCCGUGGGUCAGUCCCACUAGUGUGCAUUUCAUUUUCAUUUUCACUAAAAAUGGGUCUAUCCCAUUUACAUUUCUGUCCGGGUCUACCCCGUGGGUCUAUCCCAUUUAAAUCUUGUUCGGGCCAGUCCCAUGAUUUUAAGUUUAUUCGGGUCAGUCCCAUGAUUUUAAGUCUUUUUCAGGUCAGUCCCAUGAUUUUCAUUUUAUUCGGGUCAGUCCCAUGAUUUUUAAGUUUAUUCGGGCCAGUCCCAUGAUUUUAAGUUUAUUCGGGUCAGUCCCACGAUUUUAAGUCUUAUUCGGUUCAGUCCCAUGAUUUUAAGUCUUAUUCGGGUCAGUCCCAUGAUUUUCAUUUUAUUCGGGUCAGUCCCAUGAUUUUUAAGUUUAUUCGGGUCAGUCCCAUGAUUUUAAAUCUCUUGUUCGGGCCAGUCCCAUGAUUUUAAAUUUUAUUCGGGGCAGUCCCAUGAUUUUAAAUCUUAUUCGAGUCAGUUUCAUGAUUUUUAAAUUUUAUUCGGGCCAGUCCCAUGAUUUUAAAUUUUAUUCGGGUCAGUCCCAUGAUGUUAAAUUUUAUUCGGGUCAGUCCCAUGAUUUUAAUUUUUAUUCGGGUCAGUCCCAUGAUUUUUAAAUUUUAUUCGGGUCAGUCCCACGAUUUCAAAUUUUAUUCGGGUCAGUCCCAUGAUCUUCAAUUUUGUUCGAGUCAGUCCCAUGAUUUCAAGUUUUGUUCGGGUCAGUCCCAUUUUAAAAUUUUGUCAAGGAGGUCAGUCCUCAUUUCAGAAGCGUCGAUCGUUCAAGUCGUUUGCGGCCGAAUAACACAGGUAAGUAUUUGGUGUUUACUUCUUUGUCUCAAGUUUUUUCAAAACUCAGACAAAGAGGGGCAAACUGUAGACACCAAAUUUUUAAGGUAUUUUGUUUACUAUUAUUUUUAUUUUUUUUAUUAGUUUCAUUUACUUUUAGUCUUUUAUUUUUAAGUCAUUUUAAGUCGUUUAAUUAAACUUUAAUCAUUUAACCAUUUAAUUGUUAUUUUGUUUGUUUCGAUUCUAGGUUUUUGAAAAAGAAAAGAAAAAAAACAAAAUCAAUCGAAGGGACAAAAAUAAGACACGUAAGCCUACUUUGGGGUUUGAAAUCUUGGCCUUUCAUAUUAGGUUUAGUUUUGGGGUGCCCUAAAAGAUGAAAGGGCCGCAAGCUAAAAGGGGGUGCCAAUUAGAGAGGAGAGCUACGGGGGGUUUCUAAAAAGGGCUGACGGCUGAAAAAAAACAGAGUGAAAAAGGGAGGAGCGGCGGAAGACUAAGGGAGCUGGGAUGGAAAAAGAAAAACACACAGGGAAGAGUCUUCGUCUAGGCAAAGGUAAAAGCAAAACAGAGAGUCGAGAAAAGAGGCAAGAAAGAAACUUCAUGGGUGGCUAGGUUUGGAAGGAACAAAAACAGCAGGAAUUGAAGUAAAAGAAACCGAAAGGGAGCUGGAACGGAGAGAAAAAGGAAAGGCUAAGAAGCAAAAGAAACAGAGGAGAGCCGAGGGAGAGUGAGGAGGGGGCUAGCGGCUAAAGGAGCUUGUGACUGAGAAAACAGGGCAGCCGGAACUGCUGUUCGCGGGAAGCUACUGCCACCCUCACUCCCACUCCCAGAUGUUUAGACGAAGGUUUCGGAGGCAAAACUCUCAAAUGUAUGAGGUCCCUCCGCAUCCAGCGGCAGCAUCAGCAUCAGCAUCAUGACCACUCCGCCGCCGCAGCCACGGAUGACAUGGAGGAUUCUGAGGCGGAUGAGGAUACAAUAACCUUUCGUCCAACAAGAAGCAAGCGGUGACCUCAUCGGACAAUCCGAACAAGCUGGUGGGUCUGCUCCCUGCUCGGCAGCCGGAACGUGUCGGGAAGGAAUUAAAAGCAGGGGAGGACGCUCAGGGCGUCUGCGAGGAACACGAGCGGGAGAUAGAGCACGACGGCGAAUAAAUUGCAUAUUGUUGACAGCUACGGAAUUUUUCACAGCCACUGCCACCACCGGAAGCCACCACCACCUCGUCUGAAUCCAGCACUGCCGCUUGCAGAUGCCGUAAGUCAUCCUUUUCAUUUGCAUUUCAGUUUUCCCUAAAGCGCAGGCUCUUUGGAAAUUUUCAGAAAACAAGGCUGCCGUGUGUGACGCCCCGAAAAAAAAUGAGUUUGAGAAUCCGGAAAUUUUCUAAUUUUCUAGGGUUUAUUUUUUUUUAACGCCCGCCUUUUCUACAUUUUCUUGAUUAGAAAAAUUUCCCAGAUAAAGUUUAUGAGCAAAAAUAGUUUUAAAAUGAUUUUUCUAGUAUCGGUUUGUUUUUGAGAAAUUAAAAGCGUAUUUUGGACGUGGGACCCGCAAGUGCGGUAAAUGCAUUAUAUUUUUGACAACUUGUUGGAAUUUUGUAUUAAGUGAUAUUAUUUUACAAUGUGUUAAGAUAUUUGUAUUGGAGAGACAAAAAGAUAAGAUUAAAACCCUAAAGGACCAUUUGUCACAAAACCAUUGGACCUUGACUUUUGACCAAGACUUUUCUAACUUUACUAAAACCAAUUUGGACCCAAUUUUUCUCCCAUUUUUCUUGUCAUGGCCAGCUGUUAAGAGGAGCAAAAUAAGAGAGAAAAAACUUCAUUUUCUACUCCACUUUCUAGCUUCAAUCUUACUCCAAUCUACCAAAUCAACCAUUGAAUCCUGUUUUUACUCCAUAGAAAACAUUAAGUGAGUAUUUGUGAGGUGUUUAUUGGAGUGAUUUGGAAGAUUUAAGUGCAAGGUUGCUCCAUCUCUUUGGUUACCAAGGUGAGUGGUGAAGGAUCCCUUUCCUCCCUUAAUUGAUACUUAAAUCAUGAUUGGUGGUGGUAUGAGAUGCAAUAUUAUGGAUUAUUUCUUGAUUUUGGUUGAAUUGGCGAAGUUUUAUAAUUAUUGGGGAUUUUUCUGUUUUCAUAUGGAUAUGAUUAUGGGGUCAUGUAUGAUGAUUGUAAAUGAUGUUUAAUGACUCUAGGAGGUGGAAAAAGUGAUUAAUUGCAACCAAUUUCUGUUUUGGACCAAAAAUUGAAAAGUGAGGGUUUUGUGAUGAACAUUCUGUCCGAAUUUUUAGGUCCUAGAUAGAGGCUGAAUUGGCCUUUGCUUAAAACAUGAAAGUUGUAGGUAAUGAUAUUUUAGAGGUGCCUACAAAAUUUCAGGUCAAUCGGAGUAGCGUAGAGUGAGAAAAGUUGAAAUUACUAUUGCUGUUCUGGUUUACCAGAAAUUGGGAUUUGCGACUGUAAUUGGUUGUUUUGGCUGGUAUUGCUUCCGAAUUGGUUGUUGAGGCUUUCUGAUGAAAUUUAGCCAUGUUUCUUAGCUUUCAGCUGGUUUUGGAAUUUCUGGAUUUGGACUUGGAGAGCCUGAGUUAUGAUAUUUUCGCUAGAAUGCAUUUUGGUGAAUCUGUUUUUGUGAUUCCGAUGUAGUAUCUUGAAUUUUUGACCUAGUUACACUCGAAACUGGGUUGAGUGACCUUCUACAAUAUUGUACCCCUAUCUCUUAGCUUCGAAACGGUGGGUCUUGUACCUUCAUCCGACAAUCGUAGUGCCUUUGGUACCAUUACCGCAAAAUGACGUCAAAACUAUUUUUCUGGUUUUGAGCUUAACUUUCAUUUCCAAACUUUUCCCUAGUUUGACUUGUACUAGUACUACUUGGAGUUUGCUGAAUGGCUAUUGGAUGAACUUCUUGUUGUGUGUGUACCUUUGGGUUGGAAUGAGGAAAUCAUGAAGCCAUGACAGCUGGAAAAGUAAGCAAAUUUAGGUGAAGCGCUGUCCGAACUUUUAAAGGAUUUGUUUGCAUUGACUUUGUGAUCUAAGACUUGGGUUUGAGCAAGGCAAUGAUACAUGAUGGAUGAUUUCUGAGCCAUUGAGGUGAGUGACCUCAAACUAUUUCUAAAGUUAUUUAUGAAUCGUUUUUUUUCAUUAUUUACCUUUAAACUGUUUCCAAUGUUACUUUUGAACUGUUUUCUUGCAUAUCAUGCAUGCUUGCAUAUAUGUGUUCCUUGUUUGCUAUAUCACUUGAUUUAUUGGCUUGUUAUUAUUGAUUGAUAAUAUGUUAAGUGCUUUCAAUGAUUGUUAAAACGAGUUUUCUAGGCGAAUGUGUACUUUAUCGCACUCGACCUAAAUAAAUAUGAAAUUUCAAUGAUUAAUGAUUAAAUGCUAGUUGCGCAUGAAUGUAAGCCGUUUGACUGAAUUGGGCCCUGCCCUUCGUAACCGAUCGACUCUAGCCAGAAGCGGACUCGGUCGGGCGAUAUGGUGACCCUGGUGAAUUUGGUAUACUCGAGUAUUACCUUGUAGUCCGGCUACGUCCGGAUGGGUGGAGUCCGGCUACGUCCGGAUGGGUGGACACCGGCCAACGUCCGGAAAAAAAAAGAUGAACGAAUAAAAGAUGAACGAGGGAUUAUUUAUAAAAAAAUGAACGUAUCCUUUUCAUGAAUGUUACUAUCGUUUUCCAUUGUACAUGUUUCUUGAAUUAUUGAUACUCCAUAUUUAAUGUUUUGUAAAUGCUGUGAUCGUUUCUGGACUUAUCAUUUGAUUUAUGACAUCAUUGAAAAGAAAUAUUGUUAAACCGAUUUGAUUACUGAUUUUCUGGUUACUCGCUGAGCUUCUAGCUCACCCCAAAAAUAUUUUAUUCCCCUGCAUAGGGCUCAAGGCGAAGGCAGGACUUGUUGUGCUUAUUCACGUGAAUGGAUGACCUAUAUCUUGUACAGUUUUGGAUUGGGAAUCAUUUGAUGUAUAGUUGGAAAUUAGUUUCCGCUGCAUUUGUGACAUGUAAUUAUUGGAGACUUGGAUGUAUAUUUGUGGACCAUGUGAUGUAUAUUUGAGGUUUAUUCUUGUAAUUCAUUUGAGGACUUUAGUGAAUGACUGAGUCCGGCGAGAGCCGGGCAGGCGGCCCGCCGAACCCUCUGGUUCGCCUUAGGGGAAGGUGGGGUCGUCACACCGUGCCUUUGUUCAGUGCUAUUUUCUUGUUGAUUGUUCAUGGAUUUCAGAAUAUACAUGCUUUGUGUGUCGAUUGGGUUGAAUUACUUGUUGUUUCUGAUGAUUUUUGGGCUGAUCAUUACACCAUUUGAGCAGAGAAAUUGCUGAAUUUAUAAUGCCCAGUAGCUGUUCGAUUAAGUGCCUAAUUGAAAGUUCUAUUUGAAAGACGAUUCAUCUGCAAUUUAACGUGUGAAGGAAAAUGAACAUUCAGUUUGCUCAGUUGCUCAUCCGAACUUAAUAACCAAUUUUUUCAUGGGAAAAGAUAGUGUUGGUCCGUUUGUACCUUUUCUAUUUUUUUUUUAUAUUUCCUUAUGCUUGAAUCCGAAUUGAUGUGAUAAGAGGAAGUGUUAUGAGUUUCAAUGUUUUGUUGGGAAUGAUGUGAUUUGAAACCAAUUUCUGGUGCUGCUAACCGAAGAGGGAGCUGAAAUGGCAGCGAACGUUGAGCCAAUUUGGAGAAGAAGAUUACUUGAUUAAAUUCAUGAUUCCAGUCCCUCAAUUUCCCUUUCCAUUAUGAUUUAACCCCAUAAUUUUAGGACUUCAUAAUUUUGCCUCCAACACCUUCAUAAGUCCUUCAAUUAGGUCCCUGCUCUUGUUGCAUUUGAACCCCUCAAGCUUCCCCAAAUUCACCCGUGGCCCAAAAUCUGGAAAAAUCGAACUAAUUUCACCCUUUUAAGCUUAAUCCUCUAUUUGCGUAUUUUUCGUGACUUUUUGGAUAGAUUAAUUCUGGAAUUUAGUUCAUAGUUGUGGCUUAAUAUUUUUUGUUGAUUUGUUUAUGUUGUUGGGUUUAGUAUUAUGGUUUAAGCUUUUGGGUAAUUAUAUUUGGUUGGGUUUGUCAAUGUGGAUUUGGUUUAUAUUCUUUUGGGGUUUUGGUUUGGGUUAUAAAGUCAAGGCCCAUCAGUUUGGUUGGCAAAUUUUGGAUUAAAAAACAAUUAGGCUAGCCCAUCUGUUUUCUUGGGUUUCGAUUGGGCUGGGGAAGGUCUUGGCCCAAGUAAAAAUAAAAUAGCCCAGUGGCUUGAUCCAUUAAGAAAUCAGAGAACGAAUUCGCAGAUCAGUACCUGCACUUUUCUUUAAUUUCACUGUGGCCCUACAAACUUUCAAUGCUUUCAAUUGGGUCCCUAGUUUAAUUGUAAAUAGGUCCCUCAACUUUGUUUUUCUUUAUUUUUGACCUUGAAUCUUUGUGAUAAUUGUAAUUGAACCCCAAAGCUUUGAUUAAUUCUUGCAAUCAAGUCCUUCAUUGUUUUAAUUUCUUGAAUGUAGGUUGUUUAUAUGAUUUAAUCGAUUCAAUUUCAUGAUUCAUUUUUAUCUUUAUGAUUGUUUUGUUAAUUAAAGUGGUGCCUUGACCUUUCCUUCGUAUUUUGGAGGGCAAAUAAGUGAUUUCAUUUCAUUGGGGCCCAAUUGCAAGGGAGGUAACCUCCAUCUCCUUGAUUUUCAUUGCUCCUAUGUGUUCCAAUGUGCUAAGUGAGAAUUGCAUGGCUACUUUGCUUUCCUUGCCUUUCCUUAAUUCCUUUCAUUUAUUUCAUUUACUUUUGCUUUUUAUUUAAGUUAUUCUUUAUGGGGUAUGUGUACACCUCUUGGCUUGUAAUAGAUAGGGCUUGGAGAGCAUUUUUGUCCAUUUUUCCCUUUCCCCUUUUGUUUUAGUUAGCAAAUGUAAUAGGUUCAUUAGCUUGGUUGUUUGCUUUUGUUGCUACGUGUUAAUUUGCUUUAUUAGGCUCUUGCAUCUAGUCGAGCAUGCUAAGUGUUACGUGAUAUGUGUUUAUAGGUGAUUGGCAUGUCUACUUGCUUUCUAUAGUCAUAGAUGAAUGUGAUGGAUGAAUGCACGUCACCACACUAGUCCAACGCUAGUUGUGGCUCAUUGUCCCGUUUUCCACUAGUCCAAUGCUAGUAGGAAUUCAUAGAUAUGGGCUAGUCCAACGCUAGACCCUUAGGGAUUUCCCUCGCUAGUUAACACUUGCAUGUUUCACUACAUUUCAUGCAUUUUUCUUAGUUUUCUAGCAUUUGGCAUGCUCCUCCAACCCUUUUCCCUCAUUUUAGAUUUUUGCAUCCUCAUGCUAGUUAUAGGGUACAUUUGCUUGAGAGUCUCCUUUCGAUAAGGGAAACGAGCGAGUGUGGCUACAAAAUAGCCUUAGCACGCUAGUUCUCCCUUCUAAUCAAAGGAAAAAUCAAAGUCGUGAAAUUAGGAGUCAUUCCCGUACCCGACUUGAUGCAUUCCUCUAGGUUCAUACAUUCUCAUUUUUAUCAUAUCACUUUUCUCACUUUCUUUAUCCACAUUCUUUCACUACUUAUAUUUUCUCAAUCCACAUGCCAUGUUUGCAUAUUUUUCUUCUUUUAUCAUUUAUUUUCUAUCUCACAAAUUGCACCCAAUUGCACUUAUAUGCAUUUACUACUAUUGUACCAUAUUUUCAUCCACUUGCACACAAGCACCUUCAUUUUCUCAAUUUGCACACAUGCACUUUUCUUACACUUGCACACUUGCACUUUUCUAACAUUCUCACACUUGCACUCACAUUUGAGUCUUCAUUUGCAUCAUUCGCGACCUCUAUGAGGACUUUCCUUAUUGGCCACCACAACUCAUGUGGUUGGGACCAAAAAGCCUCGUAAGAGACAUUUUAGAUUUAGGAUUGCAUUUCUUUUUCAUACCCAUUAGUCAUAUCCAACAUGCAACACAUACUUUGGGUAGAAGAAUUAGGAAAAGUAGGGCUAAGUCACGCAACUAGCUUUGGCUAGGGUAAGGAAGUGCCUUAGGCUUGGCCUUUGCCUUCUCCCUUAUCAAAUGUGACCCCCAAUCCCUUUCUUUGGUUACGUAGACCUAAAAAAUUCUUUAAAAAAGGGUUUGUUUACUUUUCUUUCCAAAAAAUCACUUUUUUUGGGGUGACUUGGUACACCCUAACUCUAUACCAAGUGGCGACUCCAUUUUUCAUUCAAAAAACCCUUUUUGAACUAUAUUUUUUGCCAAACCGUCGCAUUUCACAAUCCCACGGCCUUUUUUUUCACUUUCACACAUGUUCACAUACAUAUCUCACACACUACUUUCACCCAUUUCAAAAAGUGGGGCGCGACAUAAACAAUAAGGGGGAACAACAUUGGUGCUCCAGAUCAUGUCACGAACUCACGAAAGUGGUGGAGACGUUGGCUCCAGGUAAAUAGUAGAGAAGACGUUGGUGUUCAGCACAAGACUCCCCAAGAACUCAUUUAAGCUAAAUCAUUUCAUGGACUCACAUGCCGGCACACAUGAUAUGCAAACGAGUAAAUAAUGCAAGAAACAUUUCAAAAGUACUUUGGAAACAGUUUAGGGUCACUCACCUCCACGGCUCAGAAACCAUCCAUCAUAUAUCAUUAUCUUGCCCGAGUCCAAGCCCUAAAUCACAAACUCAAAACAAUCAUACAUUCCCAAAGUUCAGACAGCAUUUCCCCAUAAAUGCUUCAUUUCCAACCUACAAGCAACACCAAUUCAUCUCAAAUCAACCACAUACACAUCAUAAACUAUCAAAUACACCUUUCGGUACAAUAUCCAUAACUGAAGUUACCCUUAUCGGAUUGAAACAAAUCUUAUGGCGUUUCGAAGACAAAACAUAAACCUACAUUUCUUAUGAAGACCUCCAAACCCAAAUCAUGCAAUUUCAUGAUAAAAAAUGGAAAACUCCAUGAAAACAGAAAUCUGGGCGCGAAACAGGGUUCAUGGACAGUCAAGGGUAUUUCAGUCAUUUUAUAGACUACAAUGCUUGGAUCUAGCUGAAAUUUUGCAGGUAGCUAGUUAACACCAUUUUCUACAACUUUUAUGUUUUAACCUAAGCCUGAUUCGGCCUAUAACAUGCUCGAAUAAAUCCAGUCAGAACAGGGCAAAUUAAACCCUAAACCUGGAAUUUCGUAUCAAAUCAGAAAUUUUCCGCAACCAACUUCAACUAACAUAUACAAGCUUCAUUUUACACCAUUACAAGCCAUCAUACCAUGAUUAAACCAUGAUCAUUAUAUAAAAUCAGAAAAAUCUCCAUAAAAUCAAAAAUUUAGCUAACUUCACUCUAAUUUAUAAAAUCUUCCAUAAAAUCACAUAUCUAGCCACCACAAGUCAUGAAUUCACCAUUAUUGGAAACAAACAAUGAAUCUUUAGACACCAUACCUUGAUACCUCACAAAAGAUAGUAGCUUAGUGGUUCCUUCUCCAAAAUAACUCCACCAAGACCUUGGAAUCUCUUUAGUAACCAACUUCUAUGGAGUGAUUUGCAAUUCCAUCGGUUAAAACUCAAGAUUGAAGUGAAAGAUGAAGGUUUUUCUCUCUCUCUUGCUCUCCAAGUUUCAGCCAUGAGAAGGAAGAAAUGGCUUGAUUUUUGUUCAAAUUUUGGUUUUAGUAAAGUUAAGGUAAGAUGGUCAAAAGUCCAAGAGUGAAUAGGAUGGUGACACUUGUCACCUUUUGGUUUAAGACUUAUCUUUUUGUCUCUCUCAAUACUAAUCCAUAUAGGUAACAUCCAAUUAUCUCUUAGCACCUUGUAAAAUAAUAUCAUUUAAUACAAAACUCCAACAAGUUGUCAAAAAUAUAUCGCAUUUACCGCACUAGUGGGUCCCACGUGACUAACUUAUAUCAAGGAAAUGAUUUGAAAACUAUAUUGUGACGCCCCACAUCUCCCUAAGGCGGACCAAAGGGUAUCCGCGGACGCCUGCCCAACUCACGCCAGGACUCAAGCAAUUCCAUCCAAAUUCAAACCGAACUAAACACUUCGAUGAGAGCAACAUGAAUACAAUAAUGCGGAAGCGUUCAACUUAAUAAGUCACUUAAUGUAUAACCAGUACAUCGGUAAAUCAUGAAACGACUUAAAUUCAAAGUACACAUCAGGGCCCAAACUUUUCAAGUUUACAAUUUCCAAAAGUACAACCCAAACCAGGGCCUAGUCAAAAUAUAUAUAACAGGAGUCUUAACAAAAUUCAACGGAUGGUUUCUCCAUAUUUCUCCAAGAGUCGGUCCUGUUAAGGAAAACAAAACUAUAGGGUGAGCUAACGCUCGUGAGGCCAAGAACACACAUGCAAGCACGUAAUCAAAUAACAAUCCCAACUUUAAUAAGUAAAGCCAUGUCUUUUCAAUAAUCAAUCUAUCAAACAGGAAAAAGUAAUCAGAAACAAUUCAAGGAUAUAGUAGCUCUCAGGAGUUAAGUUCCACUCGAUCUGUCGAUGUCAUUCGUAUACUUUCCCGCAUUGACCCUCCUGUCAACCGGGUCGGUAUUUCCAUUUCCGUAGAUCACCACUUUCUUCCCUCCGUCCACCGUACACCCCAAGGGCCCACAAGUCUAUUUUUAGGGCGAUACUCGACGAGUAUGCCAAGCAAGACCUCUUAUUAGGUCGAGCUUAUAAUCUCAUGGCUCGCCCAAGUUCCCGACCAAGCCCAUUACCGGCUCGAGUCUAAGAACGGCCUAUGAGUUUGGGCGUCCCCCAUUCAUUUGGUAGUCGAGGAGAUUCACUCCAACGACACAAGCAUUCAUGACAUGACAUUGCAUUUCAUUCAUUCAUUCAAUACAUUUCAUUCAUUCAUUCAUUCAUUUGAAAAUAGAACGAGUGCGAUAAAGUACGCACCCGCCCUUAUUUUUAAAACUCCCAACAAGUAUCACAAUAAGCAAGUAUCAAAUUCAUACACUUGACACUCACCGAGCAAUUCAAUAAGAAUUAUUUUCUGGGAGUUCAAGUGUCCGCGGUGAGAUCCUCUUGAAGGUCUCCUUGCGCGCCUGGCAAUUUAAUAGCGAAUAAUCAUACAAUUAACCCACUUAUCAAGAAGAUUGUACAUUAGUACAAUCUAAGGAUUAUUUCGCAAAAAGGAAACUCAAUUACACGUAAAUCGAGGUUCAACUUGCCUUUUAUCAUGUACAAUAUUAUUUGAGUUUUGAUCAUGAAAAUCGUAAACAAAACGUUUAAGAACAUCAAAAGAAUAAAGAGUUUUUGAAAAACUCUAUUUCUUUGAAAUUGGAAAAUUUUCCAGUUUUAUGAUGAAUCUUUGAAAAAUCAUAACUCGCUCGGUAUAAGUCAAGAAUUGGAAAAAUUUAUACCGUUAGAAACCUCUUAGAGAGUACUAUAAGUUCCUAGAAGACACUUUUCCAUGAAUCGAAGUGGAAAGUGAUCAAAAAUGGGCUUGAAGACGCAGCUUCAGUUUACAAGGCAGAAUUAAGUUGGAUUUCGGCCAACUUUGAAAAUUCGGCACGAUUCGCACAUUACAAACCGGCCUCUGAAAUUUUCAGCUCAAUUAGUGUUGCAAGUGAAGUGUAGGACAAAACAAGAGGAUCAAAAAUCGGAGUUUCGAGCACCGAGAUACGGUAGCCCGAAGUUGAGCAAAUUCAAGACUGGAUGAGGAUUUUCCAGAUUUGAACCUCUAACUUUAGUAAUUCAAUUGGGUAUCGAAACGAACUUGAAUCGGCACCAAAAUUGGCAGUAUUUCAAUACUAUAUGGAAAGUAUCUCUCUAUCAAAUUUCGGGGAAAAAUACCUUCGGCAAGGUAGUUAAUGAGCCAACCGAAGUUCAAGAAAAUUCCUAAGGCAUUCUGCCUUUGACUUUCAUUUUCCAAAUUUCCAAUCGUUUAACCAAGAAGGUUAUCCAACCAUGGUUCAUUUGUAAAAUAAGGGUCUAAGAUACACCCAUAAUAACUUUGGUAAGUGUUUAAUAACAAAAACAUCAACUAACAAGUUCACUCCAAGAUUUGGUUCCAAACCAGUCCAACAUUAGGGUUUUUCCAAAACAGAGCAGUCCACAUGUUUCAGUCACAACUCAGUCAUUAUAGCUCGAAAUCGAGCAUGGCUUACGCCGUUGGAAAAUACAUUCAUAGGACUAAAAUAUCACAGAAGAAAUCAUUUCAAAAUUCGGCCGCCCAUCCUGGUUCAAAUUUGGGCAUCAAAGUUGCUGCGCUGAACACUUCAUUCCAGAUGAACAGAGCAAAGGACAGGAGCUUAAACAUUUGGUUGCGCUUGGUCACAAAGAAAUCAGAAAACGUACAUUAGUAUAACGCAAAUUAAAGCUUAGGAAUGUCUAGUUUCAAACGCCACCGGACGCACAUGAUUCGACUAUCCGAGGACAGAGUUAUAGCCCAAAAUACUACUGGCUGGUCAGAGACAUACGGCGAACAGUUUCCAAGAUUUGCUGGUUUCGAAAAAAAAUUCAUUUGCUCGCAUCAAACCUGCAAUAUUAUUCAAUGAAAUUUUUCACACAUCUAAUACAUCCUAUAAAGCAUCCAUUUCAAGGCCAUUAAUAACCAUUAAAAUUAUGCCUGGUGAAAUGGCCGAACAUAGCAGGGGCAAUCGGAGAAGUUUUAGCCUCUUAACAGCCAUAAGAAGUUUCCGCACUAAAUUACCAUCACUUAAUGCAUCAUAUAAUAUCACUAAACCAACAAUAUAAUACAGCCAUUCAUCAUCACAUCAGCAACACACGCCAAGUUGUGGGAAUUCCAAGAGGGCCGCACAAUCACAUUUUAAGCAGCAUAAAACAAAGUAACGUAAGUGGCAUGCAUGAACUUAAUCUUGUCAAUAUAAAUCUCCAAAAGAUAAGAAUCCAUGGUUGAUCAUUACCUACUCCUUUGUUUGCAAGGUCAGAAUUUUCGGCCCUCUUGAAAGCUCCAAAGAAACGCGUGAAAGCUCCUUGCCUCGCUUAGCUAGAUGUAUCUUCGCAAGUGGUUUGCUAAGAGAUCUCGCAAGUUUUGGUGUGAUUUGGGUGGAUUUGGUGCAUAGGAUUGAAGAUGAAAAAUGAAGACAAUGGAGAGGCUCUUCUCCUUCUUGUUUGUUCGGCCAAGGUGAGGUGAAGAGAGAGAGAGUGGCUGAUAGCAUUUGGCUUCCAAAGGAAAGAUUCUUUGUGUGGUGCAAGCAAAAUGCACGGCUCCAAAGUCAACUUUGAAAUAGUGCAAAUUUAGGGUGCGUUUGGAUUCGAUCUUUCUCGCGCGUUUGGUUCACUAGUGCACUAAACCUCCAAGGCAUAUAUAUUCUUGUAAUUAUUAUUCACUCUUAAUUGUCCCGAAAUAAGGGUCUAAAGUCCUUCAAUUGAAGUCGCGCGUGUGAAAACGCGUACCGUCAAAUUUAACGCUAUAACGCGAAACUUUCGAAAAAUUCUUAUAACGAUUGCACUACUAACUGUCACUUGAAUAUUUAUUCAUAAAAUUACCUAUUUUAGGACCAUAGUACAAGCCCCCAAUAUUCCAAGCUUAUCGGCUACUACGCGGAUAAAAUCUCCAAGUACUAUUCACUAUUUUUACUAAACGCGCUCUAGGAAGUUAAUUUUCGAAACGAAUCAUUUAAAAAAAAUAUAACGAAGUUAUAUUAUCAUGCGUUUAGGUCUCAUAAGACUAGAAAAUAUUCCUUGGAAAAAAAAAUCCAAUUAAAUAAUUUAUUAAGCCAUAAAUUAGGCAUAAAAUAAUAGUUUUUGCGAGUCCUCACACGGUUGAUAUCCAGCAGGCAUUGCGAGGUUGUCGAUUCUAGCAGUGUAAGGCUUGCAAUAGGUAAAACUUGAUUUUGAACCACCCUCCCUUUUAUCUUUGAUUACGCCUUCAACAAGUUCGUUCAGUUGUUCCACGGGGAUAGUUUCAUUGGUAGUCACAUAUACUUCCUUCACCUUGUCCUUACCUUUUGAUGAAGGAAUUUCACGCUCUUGGUGCUCCUUAGGAUUCGCAUGACUUCCUUCAGCAGCGUAAUCUUUCUGAGUGAGCAGUUGAACAAUGAGAGCAUCUUGGUCCUUGAUGUGUUUUAUCACGGUUUCCAUCAUUUUGGACAUGUUCGAAACUUGUUCUUCGAGACUUAAAGUAUUUGUCAUCAUGGCAGGCAUUGCAACAGAAGAAGCAGCAGAAUCUUCAAUAGAAAAUCUUGAAUGAAGAGUUUCAUGUGAAGAGGCUGAUCCAGUGCUUGAUGAAUCAUCGUCAUGCUUAGAAAAUUUGGAUUCGGAUCCAAAUUUGAGCAUGGCAAGAGCCUUCUCAAUCGAUGCAGAAACGUCUUGGAUUCCCAUCGUGGAAGAAUAGCUCAUUGGUGAUGUUGACCCGAAAACGGGAGUUGGCGCCGAUGGAGCUUCCAUGCUACUUUGGGUGGAGGCUCUCGUCAUAUUCCUUGUCACGGGACCAAUAGCGCGGGUAUUGGUGGCAACAUAUGCAGCUUCCUGCACAGGCUUAGCAUCAGUAGCCUUGGAACGUGCAAUCAUGAUUUUGUUGCUCUUUGGUGCCAUUGGUGAUAUACGUAGUUGAAUAUUCGAGGAGAAGAGAUGGAAGGCAGAGAUGUCCCACCGGGCAUGCCAAAAAUUUGUACGCGAUAAAUUUUUCAAGUCUGCAAAAUGACAAGAAAAGAAAUACACGACAAAUAUGUAAUAUAUAAAUUUAGAAAAAUAUGGGGGUAUAAUCUCUGGAAGUUUCUCGAACUUAUGGAGAGUUUCCUUCGAUUCUUCUCCUCGAACACCGAUCCAAUGGCUUCGCAGCUUGUUCUUGGAUCAACCACCGAUUCUUUCAAAUCUUGAUAUGGAAGACUUGAAGAACUUGAAAAUAUUUGGAAGCUCAAGCCUUGCUAUAUGAAAGACUUGAAGAGUUUGAAGACCCAAAUCUUCGUAGCUUGGAACUUCACCACUUGAGUGUAUGAGAUGCCUUCUGGUGUGUAUCUCUAUAUGUCUGUGUGUAUGUUCCCUUGAUUUGGUCAAGAGACCCCUAUUUAUAGUUGUAGCAAAAGGUAAAGGUUGAAGACCUGUGUACUACUUUACCUAUCUUGCAAGACGUGCAGUCAUAUUAGGACUGUACCAAUCAAAUAUUAUCUCUUCAUUUUAUAUUUUAUAAUAAAGAGAUAAGUGAUUCCUCGAUUGGCCUAACUCGUGGGGACGCGUGACGUGGCACCGUUUGACUGGCCAAGCUAUUGCGGUAUAUAAGAGAUAUACUUGGAUUAAAUAACUCUAAAUAUUAUCCCUUUAAUAGGAAAUAAAUAUUUAGAUAUUUAUCCAAUAGACAUGUGACAUGAUAUGAUUCGAUUGGUGGAGAUAUCCCUGCAAUUUUAAUUGAUCUGGAACACCUCGCCUUGACACGUGGUAAAAUAUAAUUGGCCAUUCAAUAACCAAUUUUUCCAUAUGGCAAUAUCCGAUUGGGCAAAAAUAUUUAAUAGACCAAUGGUAAUUUUUAGAAUUUAAUUAAAAUUCCAUUGUCUACAAUGAAGUUCCAAAAAAUUUAUUCGCCUUUCUAGUUUCUCCCUAGCUUGUGAGUUGUGAUACAAGAAUAUGGAUGUGUAUUCUAUCCAGUUUACUUCAAAAGCAGAUGUGAUGUUAAUACAAAUUGCAGUAACUAUGUAGACACUAAAACAAGAAAUAGAGAUACUAAAAUCGUAGAUGAAGAUAAGGUUUGUAAAUGUAGACAACCUAAACUACCAAUGCCCGUGAUGCGGUAUUUUUGACGUGUGAGUCCCUCCAUAAUUUCAAAAUUUUCCGUUAUCUUCAAUCCCCACCAUUAUUUUUAAAGGAUUUACUACAAUUCCUUUUGAUAUCAUAACGUUAGAGUCGUUUGAAUUGUUAUUUUCUGGAAUUUUUGCAUAAAAAAUAUACUGUAACAAUUCGAUAUAUGUGAAGUAAAAAGACAAAUUAAAAAAUGUGUUCAUGAAAAACAUAAAAAUUUUUUGGAGAAAAAUUGCAAUCCAAACAAGACCUAGAUUAGAUUUUUCCGUUGAAAGAGUGUUUGGAUUAAAGAUUAUUUCACUUUAUUUACACACACUGAUUUGCUUGCAUCAUCAACACAUUUUCCAAUCACUUUUUUAUCUCACAUAUAUCAUAUAAAAAAAGGUGCUACAGUACUCUUUCACAAAUUUAUCUCAAAUAAUUUUCAAUCCAAAAUUAUCUCAAAUAAGAGAUCAUUAUUGAGGAUACAAAUCUAAAAACAAGUUUCCAUAAUAGAUCAUAAAAUUUUCCUUUUAAAUGAUAGAAUCACGUCCAACAAUUGCCGCAAACCUCUGGUGAUCCAAUGCAUCAGUCAUUGUUAGUCUAAGUUAUUGGUGAUUAUGUAAACGUAUAUAUAUAUAUACAUUAUUACAAUUUUUGGUUAUAAUAAGUGCUGUUUACCUAAAUAUCUGUUUAUAUUUUUCUUAACUAUUUCCAAAUUUUAAGGGAUACUUUUAGAAAUCUCCUGUAAAGUUUUUGACGACUUUGAAAAAUGUCAUUGGCCUCUUUUAUUUUCAAAUAAGUUAUAACAAUUUCAACUAUUUAAAAUAUAAGUUAAUAUCAUCAUUGAGGAUACAAUCUAAGCAACAGUUUCAGAGAAGAGACCGUAAAAUUUUCCUGUUUUCAGUAUAGUAGAAUCACAUUUAACAAUUGCUGAAAACCUCCGGUGAUCCAAUGCAUCAGUCAUUUUUAAUAUCAGUUAUAGGUGAUUGUAUACACAUCAACUAUGAAUAUAAACAUUAUAACAACCUUUGGUUAUAAGAAAUACUAUUUACCUAAGUGUCUCUUUAUAUUUUCUAAAGUAUCGCCAAAUUUUGAGGGAUAACUUUAGAAACUUUCCCUGAGAUUUUUGACAAUAUCAUUUAGCACCCUUGAAUUUUGAGAGAUGUCAUUGACCUCCUUUAUUUUCAACAUUUUCAAUAUAUUUCAAGACAUACGAGUAAAAAUAUAUUAAUUCAAGGCAAAAAAACAAAGACAAAAAAUGCAUGAAGGCAUAAGUUUGAUGUGAUAAAAUAUACCAACAAUGACUAUCAGCAAUAUGUUUUUUUUGAGGCCCAAAAAAAUUAAAAAUUUAUUUGAAAUGUUUUUAAGGUUUGGUGCCCUGAGGGCACUAGAUGACGAAUGAGCCCGGUACUAUUUUUUAGAAGAAGGUAAAAUUCUCGUGUGAAAGUGUUGCAAUUCAAGAGGUGGGUACUAAUUUAAAAACUUUAAUAUUGGAUCCAAUUUCAUUUUUUAUGUGCUUAUCAAAUAACUUUCUUAAAUGUAUAGGCAUUUUGGGUUAACCGAAGGAGUUUUAUAAUUGUUUAGAAUCUUAAAAUUCUUGUUAUCCAAAUCAAUGGCUUGAGUAUUAAAAGAAAAAAGAAAAGUUCUGAAAAUUAUACCAAAAAACUUAUUUGAGAUUUUUCUUAAGGUACAAACAGCUACUUUCUUAAUCUUUAAAGCUUUUCAAGUCAUAUUUAUGAAAUUUGUAAUUUUUGUAGAAGUUUGAAUUUUUUUUGUCCAAAUUAUAACACAAAAACUAUUAAAGAAUCACUCAACCCAGUUAAAAACUCAUAAUUUCGCUUAACGAAUUACAUUGGUCAGGUUUUGAAAUAUUGAGGGAUUAAAUUUGUAUGUUUUGACAAUUAAAGAACCACAAGAAAAGGGCAAUUUUCUAAAACAAGUUAUCUUCUCUCUUAAAAUAAAUAUUCUAAUGAUAUAUUUUAAAAUGGGCUGAGAAUGUUACAAAAAAAGUUUAAAAUAGGGGAAUUCAAUGAUAUUUUUAAAAUUUUAAGGGCGCUAAGUAAUCUUGUUAGAAACCGUAGGGAUGGUUUAUGAAAUUAUCCCAAAUUUUAUUCCUGAUCCUUUUGUGUUGUUGGCAGCCAUCGUAAUGUCCAUUGCAAUGUCUAAUUCUCUACAACUUGUGGAUGUCUCAACCCAGGCCAAGUCUACAUCUUAUCCAAAUUCCAAAGAAUACCCACUCCAAGUCUGCAUCAUAUCCAUAAAAAUGCGGGGUUCCAAGAUUUUUGGUAUAUUGGGGCACAAUAAUAUAAGGAAAGGGAACAUAUUGACUCGAGAUGGAGAGUGGUAGGAAAAGUUAUCGAUGUAAGUAUUUAUAAAUGAUGUAAGAGUACUUUAAUAAAUUGUAAUUCAUCAGUAAAUAACUUGUACAUCUUUAUAAUAGAAAUGUUAGGGGGAAACACCUCGAUAGAGUCCACUAAAGAGUCCAAUAUUUAAGUCAGGAACCCAACUCUGACCCAAAAGCUUAAGCUAUUAGGUCUUAGUCCCUUACUUACAUAUUAACCGCUCUUCUCUAUCUCUCGGAUCAAUGUGAGACACAAUCCUUUAGUCAUGAACCUAACAAAUCUCCCCCUUCAUGAGUAACCCCCACAUUAAAUCCAAAUUUACAAGCCCUUUUUUUGAACCUAUUUUAAUACUUAAUGCAAGUCCACCUUUAUCACCAAGGUCACAUCUUCUCUCAAACAUGGACCCACUCUUCUUCAACAUCUAAACUGCAUUUUGGACCCCUGCCAACCCUUGGUUUCUUAGUCUAACAUCAACCGGACCCCAUGCCAAACUCAUGGCACACCUAGUCCAACACCAACCAAAUUCCUUGGCACUUCGGUCCACCAUCAAGAAGAGAAUUUUCACCUAAUCCAAUUCCGAGAAGAAUCCACUUGCCCAUGAGUAGCCCAGUCCACAACCUGAAACUCUGAUAGCAAUUUGUUAGGGGAAAACAUCUCGAGAGAGUCUACCAAAGAUCCCAAUAUUUAAGUCAGGAACCCAACUCUGACCCAAAAGCUUAAGUUAUUAGAUCUUGGGCCCUUACUUACAUAUUAACCGCUCUUUCUCCAUCUCUCGGAUCAAUGUAGGAUAUAAUCCUUUACUCAUGAACCUAUCAGAGUUUCAGGUUGCGAGAUUGGGCAAUGAGCAAAAUUCGUGGUCGGAUCCUAAUUAACUAUUGAGAUCAAGACGAUUGGUAACUGUUACUAAUUGAACAAUUUAAUGAGUGGUAUCUUUGUUUCAAUGACUUGACAGAAAACAUUGAUGGUGAAGGAUGAGAAGUCAAAAAGCAUGGAGAUACUUGACGGUGAAUCUAGACAAGUAAUUCAAGGGUCAAGGAAAAGGUGGAGUCCAAUGUUGAUUUUGGACGUGAAUCGGUGGAGACUUUCUCACACCUCCAACGGUCGAUACUUCAUCCCGGUGAAUUUUAGAUUUUGAUUAUGUUUUUUGGGUGGUAUGGCACGUGUCCCAAAAAAAUAAAGAGAUCAAAUUUUCAUGCGCCAGAAGACUCUGAUAGUUACGAGUUUUUCGUUUUAGGUGGAGUCUUGGAAACUAUACAUGGCGAGACAGUUCUGAGGAUGAGAAGAAGUAUGGUGAUUUUACCACUUGGUUGCCUCAAUGAUCAGGGUUAGAGCUCAUAGAAGGGGAUCCCAAAUUGCAAGUUGUGGUGAGAAGAAAUCCUGCAAAGGGAGAUGCUGAAUUGAGGCACUUUCUCACGAGUCAACUAGAGGUUAGACUCGGGGUAAUUACACAUGUUCAUUUGCUGAUUGAAUCAAUUUGGUGUGAGGACUAUAUUGAUUCAGGUAUGUAGUUCGGUACCAUAUUAUUUGGUAGUUGAAGGCAAAUGGUUGCUAAAAGAAAUUUUCGCCAAGGUGGAAAUUUAUUAGGAAAUUGGCUUAAUUUCUUUUAGAUAGAAUUCUUGUUUUGUGUGGAAAUAAUUAUUUUCCUAAUUGGUUUUAGUUACUCGAAAUAGUAGUCAAGGAAUAUUCUAUUUAGUUUAGAAUUAGAAAUUAUUUCCUAUUCUAUGCAACUCUAGGAAUUAGAAUUGAUUUCCUAUUAUUAUUUGGGUUUUGACCAAAUAAUGAUCUCUAUAAAUGGGUGGGUUGGUAUACUACAAAGAGACACGCAAAGGCAAACAGGAGGCAACAUAUAGCCUUAUAUAUGAGGUGGUGAGAGAGGAUUCUUGGAAGAUGAGAGAUGUUAUACAAGAGUUGAGUUUGGAUUCAAGUUGUAUUCUUGUAUAGGGUUUUCUUCUUAUAAUAAAGAACGAGUUUCUCUCCAUGGAUGUAGACUAAAUGGUGGAGCCGAAUCAUGUUAAAUAUUGUGUAUUGUCUAUCUCUCAUGAUUGUGAUUUGUUCCUCAUUAAAUUGUUGUGCACUUGAUGUCUCAAUAGUUGUUUGUUCCGUGUUUGGAUCCUAACAAGAAAUUUUUAAAAUAUAACAAAGAAAUUACAUUUUACUACUAUUCAUAUCAGUCCGCACGUGAUAUGACAUGUUGCACAAAGGGUGAGGAAAGAACAAGAGAGAGUUUCUUCAACUUCAACUUCAAUUCUUGCUCAAAUCUUGAGAUCCAACCGAUUAAAUUGCAAAUCUCUCCAUAAAACUUGCUAGCUAAGGAAGAUUGAAGCUAUUGGUGGGAAAGGCUAUAGACGGCGAAUAAGAGUUUCAAUAAUGGAGGUUCCCAGGGGCUGAGAUUAGGGUUUAGUCCGGCUUGCAUGGAGGGUCCUCCGUGGCCACCGCCGGCCACAGGGGGCACAUCUGGAGGCACAGCUGCGUCCAAGUCCUUUGCCGACGUGCUUGCAGGUUCAUGUCGGUUGGAGCCAACUGUUCCAGAUCUGGGGCGUUGUGCGACACAUCGAGGCGAACCAGCACUGCUACUUUCUCAGAAUGAUCUGCACCUGUUGUCGACACCAUUCAAAAAAGCACUGGUGGGACGGUUUCCGUUUCGUCGGCCUCCAAUGGAGGUCAUUCGGGGAUUUUUUGUUUCUCUGGGUCUCAAGGGAGAUUGUGAUAUUGGCAUUUUGGAUUUGAAUCACGUUCUGAUCAGGCCAUCAACUGAGGAGGAUUUCACACGGCUGUUCGUGCGUCGUUCCUGGUUUGUGAAGGGCGCACAGAUGCUGGUAUCAAAAUGGACUUUGGACUUUAAAGCCCAUCAGGAUUCGACUUUUGCGCCUGUGUGGGUGUCCAUGCCAGCGCUCCCUUUGCCUUUAUUCAAUUCGGUGUACAUUGCCAAACUAGCAGGUAUGCUGGGGCGAUGUCUGAAGAUUGACUCGGCGACAGUGAAGCUCAAAAGGCCCUCGGUUGCGAGGGUUCUGAUUGAGAUGGACGUGUCGAAGCAACCCCCUCAUCGCAUCUGGAUAGGGGAGGAUCAGGAGGGGUUCUGGCAGGAGGUGGAGUAUGAAUCUUGGCCAAAAUUUUGUGGAUUUUGUGUUCGUUUUGGACAUGACGAUGGAGAAUGUUUUAGGCAACAUCCAGAUCUGAAACCUGUAAACAGGAUGGUUACGGCGAGAGGGAAGUCCAAGGAGGUUUACCGGGCUAAGGGUAUCAUUGGCACUAAUGGGCCUGGUUUAGGGCUCCUAAAGAGUGGGGAGUGUCAUCAGCAUUCGGAGGCAUUGGUUGCUAGUCACAGCAGUGAGGGGAAGCUUGUUACUGAUGCCCUGGGGAGGAAUGCACACGUUGAAAUGGAAGGGACGGAAACUGCAAAGCAACGGACGGCGCCUAACCCAGCGUCGGAAUUACAGGAUCCAGAGGGGGCCUCUACUUUGGUGGAGCCUACUAUUCCGUCGGUAGCUGUUGAAGUGUUUGCUGGUGCUGAGAUUGCUGAUUUUUUGACAACUUCGGACGGAGUUGAUGCUGCAAAUGAGCCGCCGUCGAGGGAGACAUCGGAGGAGCUGCAUGGCGGGGAGAGGGUGGAGUGUGGGAAUAACUUUGCUGUCUUACAAUCUCUAUCAGAUCUGGAAGUUCGGGAUGUCGAUCGCCUCCUUUCCAGUUCGGCGUGUCAGGGUCGGAGUGCUAAGCAGAGACAUAGACGUCAAUGCUCUGACGGGGACAUACCGGGGGAGGCUGCGCCGUGGGAGCAAUUAAAACAUUUUCAGAGAGUGUUGCAUCAAAGGCUGUCCGCGGCUCAGUCAGGCUCGAGACAGAGGGGUGUGAAGGAAAAUUUGGAAGGGUUGGAGCAGCCAGUGACUGCGGAGCAUGGAAUCCCAGGAGCUAGACACAAGGGAGGUCGGCCGGCAAAGGCAGAUACCCAUCAGGGUAAGUUUCAUCCCAAUCCCAAACUCACUAUUCUUUGUGGUCUCAUGUUAAAUCCCAUUAAGGUUGUUGUGUGGAAUAUUCGUGAGGCUUCACGUAAAGAUUCACUGCGUUAUUUAAAUAAGAUAUGCAAAAGUAAUAAGAUCCGGUUGCUGGUUCUCCUGGAACCAUUGUCGGAGCCCCCACAACUUGAGGUGGUACGUCGGUUUCUCGGGUUUGAUAGGGCGUUGGGGGCAUUGAAUAACAAGGUGUGGGUUUUGUGGUAUAAUGACAUGUCAUUGAGCUUCAGGGAAAUGGCGGAACAACUGCUGCACAUGAACAUCGAGUUCUCAUCUGGAUGUUCGGUGCAACUCUCGGCAGUCUAUGCUCGGUGCUCGAGGGUGGGGCGACGCGAGCUGUGGGCAGCAAUGGAAAGUUUGGCAGGCGAAGUGCUGGGGCCUUGGUUACUAGCAGGGGACUUUAAUGUAAUCUCCUGUAUGGAGGAGCGUGUAGGAGGAGCCCCGGCUAAUGAUGCAAAUAUGGAAGAAUUCAAUGAGUCUAUUGGUAAUUGUGGUUUGGCAGAGGUUCCUUUUGAUGGCGCUGAAUUCACCUGGACGAAUGGGAGGAUGUGGCAGCGUUUGGAUAGGGCCUUAAUGAACCGGGAGUGGGCGGAUGGGUAUGAUCCCUCGCAUGUCUCACAUUUGGCCAGGGGACGUUCGGAUCAUGCUCCACUGCUGAUUUGUUGUCAGAAUGGGAAUCCCAGCAAACGGUCAUUCAAAUUUCUAAAUGUUUGGCGGCAUCAUACGGGUUUCAAGGAUGUGGUGCAGAAGAGUUGGGAGAUGCCGGCGGAGGGUGAGGGUAUGACGAGGUUUUAUAAUAAAUUACGGGUGGUGAAGGGUGGGCUGCAAGUUUGGAACGGCCAGGUUUUUGGGAAUAUUUUUAGUAAGGUGAAGGCGGCUGAGGCAGUUAUGAAGCAACGUGAGGAGGAGUUUGACAAUGGACGAGGGUCUGUUUCCAGGGCUGCAUUGGAGGAGGCAAAGGCGGUUUAUGCAAGGAGCUUGGCAGAGGAAUGUGAGUACUGGAGACAGAAGGCGGGCAUCAAAUGGUUACAGGUUGGAGAUGCUAAUUCGGCUUAUUUCCACUCUCGAUACCGCCAGCGUCGUAAUGUUAAUUUUGUGGCUCGCAUUAAGGAUCCGGCAGGCCCAUGGUUGGAGGAUAUUCAUGAUAUCAGGAGGUCCGUGGAGGAGUUCGUGUCCUCUUUGUUCAAUUCGGAACAACAUGGGUGGCAGUCGCCUGGCAUUCCCUUUACGAUGCCCAAGUUGUCUGAGGGGGAUAAUGAGAUGCUAUCGACUGUUCCUGGCUUGGCCGAAUUACAGGAGGUGGUGCAUGGGUUGGAUGCUGAUAGUGCUCCUGGACCAGAUGGGUUUGGGGCAGGUUUUUACCAAGCUUGCUGGGAUAUUAUCAAGGCGGAUCUAUUGGAGGCGGUUCGGGCUUUUUUCCAGGGUAUGCGUUUGCCUUGGAGUUUUACUAGCACUUCUAUUAUUUUACUGCCUAAGCUUGCAGGUGCCAUGCGCUGGAAGGACUUUCGGCCGAUUAGUCUUUGCAACACUUGUUCAAAAAUUAUCUCUAAGAUUGUGGCUAAUCGGUUGGGGAGAGUCCUACCUGCCUUAGUUUCACCAUGGCAAACAGGUUUUGUACCUGGACGGGGGAUAACGGACAACAUCCUUCUCACGCAGGAGCUGGUGAUGGAUUUGGACAGGCGGUUGAGCCACCCAAACCUCAUGUUAAAGUUGGAUAUGGAAAAGGCGUAUGACAGGGUUGAGUGGCCAUUUUUUUUGUUUAUGCUUAGGCAGUUUGGUUUUGCUGAACAUGUGGUAGACAUAUUCUUUCGUCUGGUGUCUAAUAAUUGGUUUUCCGUUUUGGUGAAUGGGGAGGCUGCUGGAUUUUUUAAGUCUACACGGGGUGUUAGGCAGGGGGACCCGGUCUCCCCUGGCCUUUUUGUGUUAGUUGCAGAAUUCUUAGGCCGUGGCUUGCAUCAUCUCUUAAGUAGGCAGCCGGGCAGGUUUUUUGUUUCAGCCGGGACACAGGUGCCAUACCUAGCCUUCGCGGAUGACAUGCUUGUCUUUACAAGAUGCUCGGAGGAGUGUCUGACUGCAAUCAAGGCUUUUCUAGCAGAGUAUCAAGAGGCAUCAGGCCAGAGGGUGAAUGUCGACAAGAGCUCAUUCUUUUUGUCUUCAGGGGCUACUUCGGGGCAGGAGCAUAUGGUGGCUAGGGUCCUAGGAUUUCACAGGCAAUUUUUUCCGUUCGCUUAUCUGGGUGCCCCUAUUUAUAAGGGUCGGCGGCGCAAUGUGUUAUUUGAUGGGAUUGUGGCUAAAAUGCGGGCUCAUCUUGCCCAUUGGAGUACUAGGCUGCUUUCAUUUAGGGGUAAGCUGGUCUUAGCGAGGCAUGUCUUAGCGUCGCUGCCAAUGUACUUACUUCAGGUGGUUAAUCCCCCAAAGGCGGUGCUUACACGUUUGGGUGUCAUUUGCAACGCCUUCCUGUGGGAUCGAAUGGGGGAGAGGCGUACACAUUGGUCGUCUUGGGACAAGUUGUGCUUUCCACUUGAGGAAGGGGGUCUGGCGUUUAGGUCUUUUAAGGACUUGGCAAGGGCUUUUGCGGCUAAACUUUGGUGGCAGUUUCGGAGUGGAGAUUCAAUGUGGGUGGAGUUCAUGCACGCCAAAUACUGUAGUGGGAGUCAUCCAUCGGAAGUUUCAUCCGUUUUGCCUUCAGCUACUUGGCGGCGUCUUGAGGCGAUUCGUGCUUUGGUUGAGCCGAACUUGUGUUGGUGUGUAGGGAAUGGCCUAGUCGAUUUUUGGAAGGAUAGAUGGGUUCUUCAGGACCCGUUAGAGGUGGUUGUGGGUCGUUCUGAGAGGCCUCAUUUUCUGGUGGCGGAGUUUAUUUCUGAUGAAGGCUGGGAUGAGGUUCGUCUUGCUAAGUGGGUUCCGGAUUUUGUCAUUCGUGCAAUCAAGGACAUACCCUUUGAGCAGUCCCAGAAGGAUAGGUUGGUUUGGUCGCUUUCGCCGUCGGGGACUUUCUCGGUCAAGUCGGCAUGGGAGUUGCUUCGACAACGGCGACAUCACUCUUUGGUAGACUCCUUACUGUGGCCGUCGGUUUUGCCAGCAAAAAUGUCAUUUUUUGCUUGGAGGUUAGUGCGAAAUUUCCUCCCUUUGGAUGUGGUGUUAAGGUCUCGGGGUUUGUCUUUCCCUUCGAGAUGUGGGUGUUGUUACCGGGAGGAGGAGGCGCUCUUGCAUGUUUUUCUGACAGGACCGGUAGCUUCGGAAGUUUGGAGGAGAAUCUCUGCCCGGUUUGGCUUUCAGUUGCGUAAUUGCCCGAGUAUGGCGUCGGUUUUUAUCUCUUGGUACUUCACUUCAGCUACAACGGCAAAAAAUCAUAUUCGGGUUUGUAUGCCAAUAGUGGUGUGUUGGUUUCUUUGGGUUGCUAGGAACCAGGAACGCUUUCAGAGAGUGCGGUGGGAGGUGGACAAGAUAAUCCGCGAUGUGGAUUAUUUUUGGGAGCAGCUUGGGAAGGCAAAUAAGCUUCGUCGGUCGCAUUUCAUGGGGGAUGUGGAUUGUGAGUUGGUUCAAUGGAUCAAGUCUCCUGCUAGGAGAAGGGCUCCGUGUGCAAUUGCCUGGGUCAAGCCGCCACUUGGUGUGCUGAAAUUUAACUCGGACGCCAGUGUGGUUCAAGGUCACGCCACGGGUGGUGGUCUGCUGCGUGAUUGUCAGGGGAAAUUGAUUUUUGCUUUCUACAAGGAGUUCGGGGAACAGGAUGUGUUAGGGGCGGAGUGUAUGGCAUUACUGUUUGGUCUGCAGUUGUGUUCACAAAAGGGGCUGCGUCCUUUGUUGGUAGAGGUAGACUCCAAGGCUUUGGUGCAGUUGGUGGUUUCUGGGGCGAUUGCUAAGUGGCCUUUGUGUAACAGUUUGAGGAAAAUUAGAGGUCUACUCAAGGAAUUCUCUGCGUCCAUUUCACAUAUUUUCCGUGAGGCCAACGUAUCAGCAGACAGGUUAGCAGCGGUUGGGGCUUCUGGCGCCCAGGUUUAUGAGCAGGAACUCCAGCUGCCGGCGAUGGUUAGAGCUGCUAUGCUCCUUGACUCACGUGGGGUGCCGGGUGUGCGCUGGAUAAAUGAAGAAGGUUAGACUAGUGCAAUUCUUGGAGGCUGUAUUUGGGAAUGGUGGUUCCCCUUUUCGUUCUUUUGCUUUCAAUAAUAUGUGGGGCGCUUGUCCUCUUUGAAAAAAAAAAAUAUCAGUCCGCACGUGAUAGAUAUAUUAGACUUACGUGGCAUUUUCUGAUUCUUACAACUCAAAUUUUUUUGCCUUGUUAACAAAUUUGGAUCGAUGAAUUAUUAGGGUUCACAAUCGUCCCUACACUCUGUCCAACCUAAGAUAUCCCGCUUGAAGUCAUGGUACUUAAUUCACGAUCAAAUCAAUAUAGUUGUGUCAUUGUCCAGUAAUUAACUCAUGCAAUUAUUUCAACUUUGAGGAGGAUUGGCUUAGCUCAACCUUCUGCAAUUUGAUGGACAAACUGACAUUAAUUUACGCUUUGACCCUCUAAAUUGGGUCUUAGAAACAAUAUGCCUUCCAAAUAUUUUGAGUAUAUACAGUUAAGCUCCUACAAUGACCAAUCAAAGAAUAUAGAUAAUGUUUUAUCCAAAAAUUCAAUGAUAAUGACAUUAACAGCCAAGUAUAAUAGCUGUAUGGUCAAAGAAUCAAAAAUAUUCUAGGAAUCUUUAAAAUAUGCAACGCUCCACUCUCUGUUUCUAAAUUAUCAAGUUAGGGUGGAUCCAACAAUAUUCAUUGAUCAGAAAAAGUUGAGAGAAAACAUUUGAGCGUUCUCAUUUCUCACACAAGAAAACCAAACCUAAAGCUAUGUUUUUCUGUAUUUAUGUUUUUUUCAAUAUUUGUGUUUGGAUAGGAGAUUGUUUGAAAUGUUAUUUAGAAUAAUUAUUGUAGCAUUUUUUAAAUGAUCUAAUGUAUGUGAAAUAAAAGAUAGUUUAAAAAACAAAAAAAAUAAAUUUUAUGAUGCAAACAAAUAAUUUUUUUUGUAAAUAAUGCCUAUUCAAAUGCACUUGUUUUGAUACUCAAAACAACCUUUAUAAUGACAAAAAAUGUCCAUGCAUGUAAAAAAUUGAUGUAUAGAUUUAAGGGUUUCAUGUAUUGUGUUCUCAAUACAGUCCAAGUCUUCGGUUGUUAGGGAGAAACAUCUUAGAGAGAGGCCAUCAAGGAGCCUAAAAUGUAAGUCAGGAAUUCAAUUCUGAGCUAAAAGUUUAACCUUUUAGAUUUUGGACCCUUACUUAUAUAUUAAAUACUCUUUCUCUAUCUCUCAACUAAUGUGGGAUACAAUUCCUUACACAUAAUCUAACAAUAUUACCUUUCAUAAGCAAUAUCUCACAUUAAAUCCAAGUUUACAAACUCUUCUCUGAACUCACUUUAAUACUUAACACAAAAUCAUCUUAACACAUAAGGUCACCUCAUUUUCCAAUCAUGGACCAACUCUUUUCAAUAUCUAAACUGGAUUUUGGACCCCUGCCAACCCUUGACUCUUUGGUCUAACGCCAACUAGACCCUCUGCCAAAUCCAUAGCUCACCUAAUCCAACACCAGUCAAACUCCAUGAUACUUUGGUCCACUACCCAGAAGAGAAUUUUUAUUAGUUCAAUUCUGAGAAAAAUUCACUUGUCCAUGAGUAAUUCAGAUUCAUAACCAGAAAAUUUGAUAUCAUUUGUUAGGCAGAAACACCUUUAAGAGAGAUCCCUUGGGAUUGAGACACGGAACAAACGACCAUUGAAAAAUAAAACACACAACAAUUUAAUUAGAAACAAGCCACAAACAUGAAUGAUAAAUGACACACAAGAUUUAACGUGAUUUGUUAAGAAAUUGGUUUAAUUUCUUUUAGACAGAUUUUUUAUUUUGUGUGGAAGUAACUAGUUACCUAACUGGUUUUAGUUACUUGAAACAGUAGUUAAGAAAUUUCCUAUUUUGAUUAAGAUUAGAAGUCAUUUUCUAUUCUGUACAAGUUUAGGAAUUAGUACUGGUUUCCUAUUGUUAUUUGGAUUUUUUGCCAAAUAAUGUUAUCUGUAAAUAGGUAGGUUGACAUAUUAUACAAGAGACACACAAGGGCACACAAGAGGUAACAUAUAGCUUUGUACAUGGGUGAUGAUAUAGGGUUCUUGGGAGAUGAAAAAUGGUAUACAAGGGUUGGGAUUGAGUUCAAAUUGUAUUCUUGUAUAGGAUUUUCCUCUCAUAAUAAAGAAUAGAUUUCUCUUCAUGGAUGUUGGUUCAAUGAUGAAGGCGAAUCAUGUUAAAUAUUAUAUGUCGUUUAUCUUUUAUACUUGUGGCUUAUUUAUCAUUAAAUUGUUAUAUAUUUGAUAUCUCAAUAGUUGUGUGUUUCGCACUUAGAUCCUAACAAGUGGUAUCAGAGUUUGAUUGCGAAAUUGGGUUACUCACAAGCACUUGGAUCCCAACAAACUGAAUGGUUGGAUCAAGAGUUUGGUGGUUCAAGGUUGGAUCCUGGUUAACUAUUGAGAUCAAAUGAAUUGAUAGUUGUUACUAAUUAAAUAAUUUAAUGAGUGAUAUCCUUGUUUCAAUAGUUUGGCAAAAAGCAUUGAUGGUGAAAAAUGGGAAACCGAAAAGCAUGGAGACACUUGACGGUGAAUCUAGGCAGGUGAUUCAAGUGUUAAGGAAAAGGUGGAGUCCAAUGUUGAUUUUGGAUGUGAAUCGGUGGAAACUUUCUCACACCUCCAACAGUUGAUAUUUCAUGCCGGUGGCUUUUAGAUCUCGAUUACGUUCUUUAGGUGGUGUGGCAUGUGUUCUAGAAAAACAAAGAGAUUUAAUUUCCAGCCGCCAGAAGAUUUUGACAGUUACAAGUUUUUUGUUUUGGGUGGAGUUUUAAAAAUCACACAUGGCGAGACAGUCCUGAGAAUGGAAAGAAAUAUGGUGAUUUUAUACUUGAUUGCCUUAAUGAUUAGGGAUAGAACUCACAGAAGAGGAUCUCGAAUUGCAAGUGGUGGUGAGAAGAAAUCUUAUAAAGGGAUAUGGUAAAUUGAGGCAUCUUCUCAUGAGUCAACUGGAAGUUGGAUUUGGGGUAACUACACAUGUUCAUUUGUGUCAGGACUGUAUUGAUCCGGGUGUAUAAUUCAGUAACAUAUUAUUUGAUAGUUGAAAGCAAAUAGUUGUUAAAAGAAAUUUUCGUGAAGGUGGAGAUUUGAUAGGAAAUUGGUUUAAUUUCUUUUAGACAUGUUUCUUAUUUUGUGUGAAUGUAAAUAGUUUUCUAAUUGAUUUUAGUUACUUAAAGUAGUAGUCAAAGAAUUUCUUAUUUUCUUUAAAAUUAGAAGUUAUUUACUAUUCUGUAUAAGUCUAGGAAUUAGCACUAGUUUUCUGUUGUUAUUUGGAUUUUUAGCCAAAUAAUGUUAUCUGUAAAUAGGUGGGCUGACAUACUACACAAGAGACACAUAAGAGCACACAAGAGGUGACAUAUUGCUUUAUACAUGGGUGGUGAGAAAGGGUUCUUGAGAGAUGAGAGAUGGUAUACAAAAGUUGGGUUUGGAUUCAAGUUGUAUUCUUGUAUAGAAUUUUCCUCUUAUAAUAAAGAGCGGAUUUCUCUCUAUGGAUGUAGUUUCAAUGGUGGAGUCGAACUAUCUUAAAUAUUGUGUGUUGUUUAUCUUUCGUAUUUGUGACUUAUUUUUCAUUAAAUUAUUGUGUGUUCCACGCUUGAAUCCUAACAUGAUUCGAUGCCAUCAUUGAAUUUAUGUUCACGGAGAGAAAUCUAUUUUUUAUCAUGAAAGAAAAACCCUAUAUAAGAAUAUAACUUGAAUUCAAUACCAACCAUUACAUACCAUCUCUUAUCUUCUAAAAAUCCUCUCUCAUUCUUUGUAUAAGGCUACAUAUCGCUACUUCUAAGAUUUAUUUUACAAAAAAUAGAAAAAGCAAGUGAAGGUGACAAUAGUACAAGAUAAAACAAAGAUUAAAAAAAUUAGAGAAGGAAAGAUUGAGAAAAGAAAAGAAAAGAAAAAUAAGAAUAAAGAAACUAAGUACUAGUGGUCAAACCACUACUUUUAGAGUAGUUGGUCACCGGGGAGAGUUUUAAAACUCUUCUUGGAUGUAGGAUCAAAUCCCCCCUUUGGGUCCCCACUUCCCUCUCCCCCUUCUUUUGACCCCUUUGGAUCCCCCAAUUCCCCCACUCCCCCUCCCCAACAAAUUUCACCAAUUGGAUGGUGGUUCAGUCUCCUCUGAAUUCUCCCUUUAAUCUCUUUGGGUCCCCAUUUCCCCUCUCCCUAGCAGUCUCCUCCCCUCUUCCUCCUUCCCCUGCCUUUGAUUUCUUUGGAUCCCCCUUUCCUUAACAUAGAGUAAGAGCAAAAAUAGAAUAAAAUAUAUAACGUGCCAAAAAAAACAAAGAAUACUAGUGAUCAAAACCAUAGAUUGGGUCUCUCCUUAUUUCCCUUCCCCCCAGUUCAAAACCAAAGAUUCAACAAAAAUUUAUUUAAACAACCACACAAAUUUGGAGAACAAGCUCAUAUAUGAAUCAAUCUAGUAAUUAUCCAAGAACAAGUUAUGUCUCCAUACCAUUGCCGCCGCCAACUUUGUUGUCAAUCGCCACUGCCUCCAUUGCAUUUUUCAUAUUUCAUCGCUAUCCCUUUUUCUCUGUUUCAAACACACACCGACAAUGAUGAACAGGCCUUGUAAUAAUUUGUUUUUGGGAUUUAAUAGCCCAGGAAAUUACCCUUCUAUUAAUUGGAAUAUUAUUUUCUAUCCAGAAUCUGAUCUACCCAUUAAUGGGUGAUUUUCGUUGAGUCCAUUUAUGAUUGAAUUUGAGCUAUUGCAUCAGUGUGUGUUUCUAAUAUUUCUAGGAGUUUUCUAAAGACUUUGGAAGAAUUUAGUUUCGAUUUAAGCACGUUUUUACCCCACAUUUUGUGUUUUUUUUUCAUAUCAAGUUUAUUGAAAUAUUCAAACUUUAAAGCUCAAACCUUGACAAAAAAAAAAUUUAAAACUGACAUUGGCAAUUGGAGCGGGAUGCUUCAACUCUGGCGUCUUGUUAGGACAAGUCACGGUUUUAGUAUCUGACUGUAUACUGUAUACGGGGAAGGAUGAAGAAAGAUAAGUAGUAACGUACAAAUUAUGGUUUUAGUACUAUUUGAUUGCAUAAGGGGAAGGAAGAAGAAAGAUAACUGGUAACAGAUUUUUGAUGGGCAUUCUCAGAGUUUUGUCAUAUAUUUGCCGUGACAUUACAGCCAGUUUGUAAAUCAACGUUAGUUGACUGACACAGCCACACAGGGAUGUUUUUGUUAUGGAGCUUUGAGUUUGAGGGACCUUUUCAUAGUUUUGUUAAAAUGAGGGGCUGGUUUGUUAUUUGAUCAAACCAUAGGGGAAGUAAAUGUAAUUAACCCUAAAAUUUUAGGAAAAAGGGGAAUAAAAGGGUACAAGGAAAAGGAAAAUCGUAUCAGGUAAGAGCCAGCAAGGAAUACAGAGCACAUUACAAAAAACAAAGAACCAUAUGCAAUUAUAGAUGAUCAGAAUAGCCAAAAAGCAAGUACAGAAGGAAAAACAGAUGGAUAAAGGAACGAGACUCCAUUAAUUGAUUAAUUCUCACUGACUCUCAAAACAGAAUUGAUAAUAGCAGAUUUCAUGAUUGUAGUAGUAGUUGAUAUCCAGCUAUGAAUUUAUGAAAAACAAGGGAUCCUGUAAUCCAUUAUCACUAUUCAAUUCUGACAUACAGUCAUGGAAUGUUAUCUGCAACAUCUUCAAGAAAACGCCUCAAGGAAGAAAAGGAUGAUCCUCCUUCAUUAGGAGCCAACCUGCUCUUCUCUUUCAUUUCCUUCACCUUCUCUCUGAUCUCAUUCUCAGGAUCCAUUAGAUGUUUAAUCCCUCUUUCAAUCACAUCUGCACUCAAAAUCUCACUACUCACACCCAUUACGAAAUCCCUUUUGAAAUUUAUUUUGAUCUCCACUGCCAUUGCCAAGUCUUUCACCAUUAGGAAUGCAUUCUCCUGCUGCUCUGCAUCAAGCGGCCAAGUUGCCACUGGCACACCGCACCAAACGCUUUCCAAUAUUGAGUUCCAACCACAGUGAGAAACAAAGCCCCCCAUAGCAGGAUGGGAUAGAACUGCCGCCUGUGGUGCCCAUCCAAUAACUUUUCCAACAGUUGCAGUUCGCUGCAAGAACCCUUCUGGCAAGACUUCAUCCAGGUUCUCAUACUCACUUGGAAACUCAAAUUUUUCUUUAGGUGAAGGCGUUCUCAAUGACCAGAGGAAUCGAUAUCCACUGUGCUCGAGUGCAUAGGCAAUUUCCUUCACUUGGUCACCAUCAAAACUACCUCCACUACCAAAGCAAAGGAACACAACAGAACAUUUUGGCUGAAGAUCUAGCCAUUUCAUAAUCAUCUCAGUUUCUUGAUUUUGACUAUUGCUUCCCUUCAGAUUCAAUAUAGGCCCUACUGCAUAUACUGGUGGGAUGGUUUUAUCAUUGCUCAAGGCGUGAAUCGCAUGGGAUUCUAACUCAAGGAAAGUGUUAAUUAUGAUUCCCUUGGUCUUCCUGUAUCUUUGUGCCUGAUCGAGGACCAUGUCGACACCUCCAUCCUUCUCAAACAAUGCAGAUGACAAAAGUUUAGCUAGAACAGGAUUGAUGUAAGUAGGCAAAGCUAAUUCAACGUCUGAAUUCUCGUAAUGGCUCACAUCUUCAUUGAGAUCAUCCUCAGACUUUGCAACUGGAAUAAAACGCCAAGCGUUGCAGCACCACCUGGGUAAAAUAUAUAGGAAGGAACCCCAAAUUCAUUGGCUACAUCAAUCAAAGAGGUGCAAAACAUGUCUAUAACGAUCCCACCAAGAUGCGAAGAAACAGAAUUGGAUAUUUCAGCAAGAACCUCCCUCACACAACUUUUAUGGUUGUCGAUAAAUCGAAACAGAAUCGAAAGAAAAGAUGACAAUUGAGAAGAAGGCUCUUCUUUCAUGAGCUCAAGGUACCUUAUGUGCAAAUUCAGAGUUUCUACCAAUGAAUUUGUGUAGCUACUGACUUUUGGAUCAAAGGGCAGCUUCAUAAUCAGGACGGUGAUCGAUAAUCAUUCAUCACAUUCAACGAGAAGCUUUGCUAGUUCAACACAUGAUACUAAGUGGCCAAUCCUGUAGACACCAAAUUUUUGGUGUAAUUUCAUUUACUGUUUAUUUUUUAGUUUUUUAUUUAUCGUGUUAGUUUUAUUCGAUUGUUAGUUUUUAGUUUCUAGUUUUAUUUUUAUUUUUAAGUUUUAGCAUAGAAUUUCUUGAAAAAAAGAAAAAUCAUAAAAAAGAAAAAAAAGGAAAAUUGUUCACAAAAAUACGUUCAAAUUCAAUCUUGUGGCAUUUUGGUUUAUUUUUGUUGAUUUUGAAAAAAAGAAAAAGGAAGGGAAAAAGAAAAAUGAAUGAAAAAUUGAAAAGCAAUGAAAAAAAGGAAAAAGGAAAAAAAUGAAUUUGCACUUUGUUGUUCUAGUUUAUUUUUUCAUUAAAUGUUAAUUAAAUCAUUUUUGUUAGUUAUUUUUAUUAUUUUCAAUUUUUGUUUUAAUUAAUCUUAAAAAAAAAAGAGAGAGAGAAACUUGGCAUGCAAGCUGCGUUUUGCCGCAGCUUGCAAACACAGGCUUGGGCAGCUCCUUGGCUGCAAAUAAAGCUGGAUUGGCUGAGGGUUUAGAGGUUGGGGGGCUCCCAUAUAAAUAGAAAAAGAAAGGAGAGCCGCAGGGAGAGAGGGGGAUCACAAAGGAAAAACAGGGGGGAUAGAGAGAGAGGGGACGGCGGACUAGAGGAGAAAAAAAGAAAAACUGCAACGGAUGAGAGGGGGUCGGCUAAAAAAGAAAACGGAGCAAAAAGAAACUAAAAAGAAGCAGAGGAAGCCGAGAGAGGUUUCAGCAAAGUAAAACCAAAGAAAGACUGGGAAUUUGAAGAAACCGACGGGCAGAAAGAAAGCAGAGAAAUAAGGGCCGGAUGGAGGAAAAAAGAAAAGCUGGGUCUGAGAGCUUGAGAAACAGGGAAGGCUUACGACUGGAGAAAGGGGAGUAAAAAUGAAGGAGUAGCGGAUAGGAGGGGAAGCAAAAUGGAGUGGCGGCUAGGUUUUUGGGGAAGCUUCGUCUGGUGAGAGCGGUGCAACAAGGAGGGAGAAAAGAGGGGAAAUCAGAGAAGGCUUCGGCUUCAACAAACGGCGAGAAAAUCUGGUGAAAGGGGGAACAAUUAGAGAGGGGAGUUUCAUCUGAAGCUAUAGGAAAAACAAAGGAAAAGAAAGAAACAGAAAAGGAAAAGGGGGGAAGAAAGCUUCGGGAGGUUGAGGAAAACAGAGAGAGUGACGGCGGGCAAAGGAAGAAGAAAAGGUCUUUUGGGAAGUGAAUGGGAGAGCUGGAAGGCUGGAAAAAGGAAAAACAACAGAGCAAGCAAAAAGGGAGCAUUUGAAGAGGGAUUGUGGGCAAGAAAUUGAAGAAGAAAGCAGCGAAGGAAUGGAAGCUUGUAGCCGCACCGUUCACUGGAGCCGCCACUGCUCGCCGCCACAUCGUCGGAAUCCUCCACUGUCAUCCACGAACCUUUACCGCGAGAAAUCACUGUAAGUUAAUCCUCUCCACUACGUUUCAGCUGUCAUCCGAACAUAAACUUUGAAAGAUUUCAGAGCAUGUUUGCUGACGAAUGUGCCGUGUCUGCCGUUAGCAUAUUGUUUCAAAGUUUCUGUCGAUUGUUCAUUUUCUGUAUGUUGAUUAGAUUGGUUUCUCGUGAGUUUGCUGUAAAUUGUGGGGCUGAGUAUAGCUUCAAUUGAGUAAAAGAUUAGUGAAAUUUUUGAUGCCCUUUACCUGUUUGAUGAAAUGCCCGGCUAAAAAUUCUGUUUGAGGAACGAUUGACUUGCGUUUUGCUGUGAUCUUGUUUUUAUCUGCGAAGAAAGCUGAAAUGCUAAUGAUGCUUAGACUGUUUGGAGAAGCUGACUAUUUGUCCCAAGAAUUUUUGCUGUUUUCACUCUUGUUUUGCAUCCUUUCGAUGGGUCUUUGUAGCUUGCAUUUUGGUUAAAUUUCAAAGAUUAGAGUUGUAAGAUCUUGUUGUUUUGGUUUGAAUAUUUGAUGUGCGAUUGGAUGUUGUUUGCGCCUGGCAUGAAUUUCAUAAGAAGUAUUGUUGCAGAAAAUGUCCUGAUUGCAGGCUCUUCCAUUUUGUUCUUUGAUUGACCUUCAAGGGUUGUCUCCUUGCCUGUUGUGUUGUGUGUUGGAGCUUAAUGAAAUGGGUUAAUGAAUUUGAAGAUUUGGUUUAAGAUGGCCUAAGUCGCCUAGGUUGUAUAUGCUGCAAAAAUUAUAGAGAAUUGGUGAUGAAGAAGAGUUUCUGUGAAGAAAAAUGCUUUUCUGCGAAGAACAUGCGUGAAUAAAUCUGAAAAUUUGCAAUUUAAUCCCUCAAUUUCUGUCUAACUUCAUUGUGGCUCAAAAUCUGGAAAAAACCAAACUAAUUUUGUCCUUUUAAAUUUAAUCCUCUGUUUGCAUAUUUUAUGUGACUUUGUGGAUAGAUUAAUUCUUGAUUGUGGGUCAUAAUUGUGGCUUAAUAAUUUUGUUGAUUUGUUUAUCUUGUUGGGUUUAAUGAAAUAAGUGUUUGGGCUAGAGGGUCAAGGCCCAUCCUUUUGGUUGGCUAAUUUUGGCCAAAAUAACAUACAAGCCCACUUGUUUUUUCCUUGGACUUUCGAUUGGGCCAAGUGAUCUUGGCCCAAGAAAAAUGAAAAAUGGCCCAUUCCCUUUUGUUUUGGAUUUCCGGUUGGGCCUGAAAGGUUUUGGCCCAAGCAAAUAAGGAAAAAUGGCCCAAUGGUUUGGUCCAUUAAGAAACCAGAAAAUGAUUUUGCAAAUCAGUCCCUGAAUUUCCCUUUGACUGUACUGUGGCCCUGGAUAUUUUCAACUUCUUUCAAUUCGGUCCUUAAUUUAAUUGCAAAUAGGUCCCUGAACUUUAUUUUUCUUUAAUUUUGACCUCCAAACUUUGUUCAUUUGUGCAUUCAAGUCCUUUCUUCUUUUGACUUCUUGAAUGUGAGUUGCUUACAUGAUUCAAUUGAUUCAAUUUCAAGCUUACCAUUUUAUUUUUUAUGAUUAUUUGUUAAAUAAAGUGAUGCCUUGACUCGUUUAUUAUUUUGGAGGGUAAAUAAGUGGUCUCACUCUAUUGGGGCCCCAAUUCAAGGGAGGUAUAACUUCUUUUAUUUUUUUUUGUCUCUCCUAUGUGAACCAACGUGCUACGUGAGAAUACAUGUCUACUUUGCUUUCCUAGCCUUUCUUUAAUUUCUUUUAUUUAUGUCAUUUACUUUUGCUUUUUAUUUAAGUUAUUCUUUAUGGGGUAUGUGUACACCUCUUGGCUUGUAAUAGUUAGGGAUUUAAUUAUUGUAUUCCUUUCCCCCCCUUUAGAUUGUAGUAGGGUCUCCCUAAUGUAAUAGAUAGGGCUUGGAGGAGCAUUCAAUGAAGACCUAUCGAAGUCAUGUGCCUAGCUAGCAAAUGUAAUAGUUAGGGCUUUAAUCGUCUUAUGUGUCUUGCAUGCUUAGUUGCUACGUGUUAAUUUGCUUUGUUAGGGUCUUGCAUCUAGUCGAGCAUGCUAAAUGUUAUGUGUUAUGUGUUUAUGAGUGUUUGACAUGUCUACUCGCUUUCCAUAGCCAUGAAUGUACGUUUCCACUAGUCCAACGCUAGUCGGAAUUCAUAGAAUGGGCUAGUCCAACGCUAGACCCUUAGGGAUUUCCCCUCGUUAGUACAUGUUUGCAUGUUCAUUACAUGUCAUGCAUUCUUUUAGUUUUAUCAUUUUUCAUGCCCCUCAAACCCCUUUCCCUCCAUUUUAGGAUUUUUGCAUUUCAUGCUAGUUAUAGGGUUCAUAUGCUUGAGAGUCCCCUUCUGAUAAGGGAAACGAGCGAGUGUGGCUACUCGAUAGCCUUAGCACGCUAGUUUUGCUUUCUAAUCAAAAGGAAAAUCGAAGUCGAAAAAGUUAGGAGUCAUUCCCAUACCCGACCUGAUGCAUUCCUUUAGGUUCAUUCAUUCUCAUUUAUCACUUACUCAUUUUUUUCAAUUCACAUUUCCUCAUCACUUUUCCUUUCCUUAUUGUUCAUUUUGAUUUCUACUUCACAAAAUUGCACUUAAUUACACCUAUAUGCACUUAUCACUAUAUUUCAUACACUUGCACACAAACACUUGGAUUUUUCAUACAAUUUCACACGUGCACCUUUUUAUACACUUGCACACUUGCACUUUAGCCAUCAUUUGCAUUAAUCGACCUCUAUAAGGUUUUCCUUUAUUGGCCGCCACAAUUCAUGUGGUUGGGACCAAAAACCUUACAAGAGACAUUUUAGAAUUUAGGUUGGCAUUUUUUCUUUCUUUUUGCAUUCAUGUAGUGCAUCCAAAUGUAAUAAAUUCUUUGGUUAAAAUAAGAAAAACUUUGAUUAAAUCAAGCAACUAGCCUUGGCUAGGUCGAAGGAGUGCCUUGGAUUUUUUUCCUUGCCUUCCCCUUCGUCAAAUGUGACUCCCGAACCUUUUUCGUUGGUUUACGUGGACUAGGAGUCGUUUAAAAGGGGUUUCUUACUACUCUUUCCUAUUUUUUCUUUAAAAAAUUCAUUUUUAGGUGACUUGGUACACCUUAACUCAUUACCAAGUGGCGACUCUGUUUUUUAUUUCAAAAACCCUUUUUAAACUAUAAUUUUGGGUCAAAUCGCCGCAUUCUCAAACCCCCAUUUAGACCCAUUUUUCUUUUAAAUCACAAUUCAUUUUCCAAUCACAAAUUGAAUCAAAAAAUACGUUUUUAAACCAUUUUAUUUAUUUAUCAAAAAAAUGGGGCGCGACAAAUCCCUAGUACAGUAACGAAAACCAGCUCUGCUUUAUUCAUUUCUUUCGUUUUCUCUGCUAACGAAAAUGGCAGAUGGGAUGUGCUUAUGAGCAAAGUUCGGUGUGGAUAGAUUUGUGGCUCUGUUGGGGGGAAAAUGGGAAACCAGAGGAGUAAUAAAUGAUGGAGGAAAGGGAAAUUAGAAAGUGGGGACAAAUGAAGUAAAUGGUGGAUGAAGAAAGAGAGACCAUCGGUUGUAAGGGGAAAAUUGAGGACAGAGGAGGACAGAAAAUUUGAAGAAUGGGGCACUCAAAAUUACAUUAAAAUUAUAUAAAUAUUAUAAGAAUUUAAGGGGAUAGUGGAGGCUCGACGGCCCGUGCCCCAAUGCCCCCACCUUAAAUCCGUCCCUGGUUAUUACCACAAUUUUGAGAGGAAUUAGACCCCGCCUUCAAGCCUCUCAAACCCCUAGUUUUGACUUUUUAACCAGUAUCUCUGUCCAAGCAAGCUUCUCAUGUCUUACUCCUAUUAUUUGUCAAGCAUAUCAAUUAAAAAAAAUGGUGCCUAGUAUUUGGCACUCAUUUCAAUUAGGCGCCCUUUGCAAUGAUAAAUUGGUUAUGUUUUCACAUUUCAAAUUAUGACCAAUGCAAUGAACAAAUGACUUAAUUUUUUUCUAUGGACAAAACUAUGUAAAACCAUAAGUUGUAAAGGUAGCAGAGUCAAUGAUGUAGGCACUGGAUCCCAAAUAACUAACAUGAAGGUAAGUAAUGUUUCUACAAUUUAAGAAGACAAUAUGAAAUGGUCAAAACCUCGAUGGCAGUUUCUAAAAUUAUCCCAAUAAUAUAAGGAAAAGGGAAUAUUGACCCAAAAAAAUCCUUUCCAAGUUGUGGCUUAUAUCACAUGAAAUACUUGUGUCACGGUUGCAUAACAUAGUUGUAUCACCGUCCAAUAGGCUCCGAUUGUAUCUCAAGUUCUAGCAGAACUGGCUAUGCUCUAAUUUCUGUAGUUUCAUGGAAAAUUUGAGGUUAUUUAAUUACACGUUGCCCCUCUAAAUUGGGUCUACUUUAAAUAUGUACACUUCAGCACCUACUAUGAUCAAUCAAAGAAUAGAGAUAAUCUUCUUUUGUUUAGAAAUUUCAAUGAUAAUGACAUUAAAGGCCACCGAUAAUGGCUGUAUGAACAAUAUGUUACCCUUUACAUGAGUACAUAAAGUACUUACUAGGUGGAGAAAUAACAUGCUGAUGUGACAUGUAUGCAAAGCGCCUCUCUCUCUAAAUUAUCAAGUUAGGUGGAUGCAGCAAUAUACGAUCAGAAGAUGCUGGGAGAAAAGUCUUGAAUAUUCGCAUAUGACCAAACCACGUUAAGCUAUGUUUUCUCUUUUUUCAGAUGCCGUUUCAAUACGCAAACCUACCUUUAUCUAAAAUAUAUAAAAGGGGGAAGGGGGAAUAGCUACAGUACAACCAUGGGUUGGUUUCGAUGAUAAUUCUGAUGACUUUGUGGGGUGUCUUGGUCUUUACACCGUACAUGACCUGCAAUGUGUUCUUGCCUCUUCCGUCCUUCUAUAAUUGGUAAAUUCUGUAGUGUAUUCAGCUAAUCCAAGACAGGUGUGGAAAGGUAAAGAAUAUGGCAAAGAAGCUGACAUGUACGGAGGAUGAUGAGAAUAUUUCUACAAAAGCAAUUGGUGACCUAUAAACCCGUUGGGGGAUGGGGAAAUGUUGCGUACUGCAGAAGCUGGAAAUGUAUUGGGGUGUGACAGAAUUAACAAAAAUAUAAUGGGCCUGCGAAUAAAACACCGAAAAGAAAGCGUAAGUAGUACUAAACACAGUCAUACUUGGCUUUGAAGCAACAUAUAGUCAUAUUGAAUAACGAGUUGAGAGCCUUUAAGAAGUGAAACUUAAGAAAAUAAAUGUUUGAAAUAUUAAGUUUUUUAAUUAUCUAAUUUAUUUUGAUUAUAGACGCUCUAAUAUAUAGUCAUUUGGAAGACUUCUAAAGCUGAAGUACUGAAUCCUUUUUGGACUUUUAAUAAAUUUGAGUUAUUUUUCUUUUGAUUUCUCACUUUUCUAACAACUUUUAUCUAACCUACUAAAUUUGAAUUAUUAAAAUUGAUUUUAAUUGUUAUAUUAGUAAAAUAUUAACAUUUGUGAAAACUGGGUUCGUGGGAAGACAGAUUGUUGCCUGUUUCACAUUUAAUUGAAUACAAAUAUCUCUACUUUACAUAAAGCGUCCAAGGUUGAGGAACAGUGAAUUCCAAUUGAUUCUCCCGAUUAUGAGCAUUACAUCAACAAAAUACUAUCUAUUUAUGGGCAUUUUACUUUGAAUCAUUACAUUUAUGUAAAAUACAUAAAUAUUUAUAACUAAAAUUGAAAAACUGUUACACUAAUAUUUUUACGAAAGGAAAAUUGGUUGUCCUGUAUUUAACAUAAACUGAUUUUUGUGAAAGUAAAAAACAUAUUGCCCAUAACAUACCUCCUCUUUAUGAUUUUUUUGCAUUAUAUCAACAAAAUACUAGUUAUUUAUGGGCAUUUUACUCCGAAUCAUUACAUUUAUGUAAAAUACAUAAAUAUUUGUAACUAAAAUUGAAAAUGUGUUACACUAAUAUUUUUAUGAAAGGAAGACUAGUAAAUUUUGUAUUUAACAAAUUUUAAAUAUGUGAAAGUAAAAAAGUUUUGCCCAUAACAUACCAGUUCUUUAUGAGUUUUUUGCAUUACAUCAACAAAAUACUAACUAUUUAUGGGUAUUUUACUCUGAAUCAUUACAUUUAUGUAAAAUACAUAAAUGUUUGUAAUUAAAAUUGAAAAAGUAUUAUAGUUAUAUUUUUACGAAAGGAAAACUAGUAGAUUUUGCAUUUAACAAAUUUUAAAUAUGUGAAAGUAAAAAAGAUUGCGCCGAUAACAUUUUAUGGAUUUUUUUGCAUUACAUCAAUAAAAUACUAGCUAUUUAUGGGCAUUUUACUUUGAAUCACUACAUUUAUGUAAAAUACAUAAAUGUUUGUAAUUAAAAUUGAAAAAGUUAUACACUUAUAUUUUUAUAAAAGAGAAACUGGUAAAAUUUGUAUUUCACAUAAAUUAAAUAUGUUAAAGCAAUAUUAAAGGUGAUUUUAUUAGUUAUUUAAUUUGUUGGUAAGAAACAAGGUUUCUUUUGCAAAAUUUGUUCAUUAGAUUUUUCCAAAUAAUUAGGAUAUAAAGAUAAAUUUUCACAAUCUUUUAUUAGCAAUAGACCCCAAUUUCCUCCUAGGCAGUGACGAAGCCAAGAUUUUUUCCUUGGAGAGAGGGCCAAAUGAUUGACAAAUAAAAUUAUUUUAAUAUGUUAUGCUCAAAAUAAUUUUCAUCUAUUUAAAUAUAUGGCAUCCUAAAAUAUCAAAUAUUAACUUUAAUUAUAAAGGUAUGUCUAUUUAAUAAAUAUGUAGUAUAGUCAUAACUAAAAUUAAGACAAGAAAUAACAUUUGAUUAAAUAUCUUAUAGGAAAAAAUGCACUUUUCAUCCUUAAAGUUGGGUGGUUGGCCAAUUUUAUCCUCAAAAUUUCACCCCAAACAUAUUGCAUCCUCAAAGUUGCGUAAUUUUGGCCAAUUAAGGACAAUUGACGAGAAAUGAAGAAUUGAUCGUUAGAACCAAUGAUUUUACCCAACAAAAAAUGGGUAAGACCGAAUGGAGCCAUUUUUAACGGAAUAAUUGCAACGGACAAAAAGCUCAAUUCUUCUCCUUCUUCCCUCUGCCUUUCUGCAACCCCAAAAUUUUUUUGCCAAUCUCUGGAGUUUUAACGACCGUUAUACAACUUUCAAAACAAAUAAAUUCAUUCUAAACUUUUAUUUGGGAUUAUUUCAUAAACCAAAUCGUGGUCACUUUCCAUAAAGUAUCACUUUCCCAUAAAAGACUAGCUCUUUAUGGUUUUUCUCCAUUAUAAGAACAGAGUACCCAUUUUUUUCAUAAUUAAAUUUAUUUAUCAAAUAAAAUAAAAAUAAAUCCAUUUUCUAAUAAAAGACCAGCUCUUUAUAACUUUUCUCCAUUAUAAGAACAGAGUACUCAUUUUGAAGGCAAAAAGGAAUUUGUUUAUCGGAUAAAAUAAAUAUAAACUCAUUUUUCAAUAAAAUACCAACUCUUUAUGGCUUUGCUCCAUUAUAAGAAAAGAGUGCCCAUUUUGUCAUAAAUAAAUUUAUUUAUCGAAUAAAAUAAAAUUAUACCCGUUUUCCAAUAAAACAACAGCUCUUUAUGAUUUUUUUUCAUUUUAAGAAAAAAACACGGUUCUAUGGGCAUGCAAGAGAGAAGGUUCUUGUGUAAAGUUCUUAUAGAAGAGGCUACGGUGCAUGGGCAUACAACAAAUGGAGGAGCCGACGGUGCAAGGAUUCAGUGAUUUGAAUCAAUUGCUGCUGGAUUAAUUUACAUUAUGGUUAACAAACUUAAUGAUUUAGUCCGUCUAACUUAGAGAGAAAAUGGGUGACAGUUGGAUGGUGUUCCGAUAAUGAUAAGACUGGCGCCAAUGAUUCUUGUUGGAGAAGAUGCAUCACUUGCACCUGUCUAUUCAGUCGAACGCUACUUCCACAGGUAUUGAACGGUGUUGCUUCGAUGGUGGCCCACCUCUCAAUGUGAUUUUCAAUGGAAUAAGAUUUGCACGGUACAUGUAGCAAAUUGUCAUGGCCCCUGUUUCUUCACAUGUGUGUAGGGGCGGUAAUUGUCAUAAAUUGCUUACAACUUAUUCCCUCCAAACCUUUUCUUAUAAUGGAGUUUCUGAUUUUAUCCAAGUAAUAAAUUACUUCAGUGAAAAAAGGAAAAAUAGAAAAUUUAUGGAGGAAAGUCACAAAGAGCUGGUGUUUUAUUGGAAACCAUCGACCCCUUACCAAAGAUGAUCAAAUGCAGCUAAAUGAUUUUCUUGCAAGAAAGUUGCCGAAAGCAGCUUUGUGACUGUAGUUGCUACUUUUUUUUUCAACCAUAUUUUUAGCAAGAGGUAUCAUUAAUGUCAAUAUUGAGAUAUAGCAAAAUUUGUAUACAAAAUAACAAACCAAUUUGUCAUUACAAAUACAAAACGAGCAACAAUAUAUUACAACCAAUAUUAUCAACAGUACAAAACACAAAGAUACUCAAAUCAAAUCCUAAUUAGGCUUUAAUAUGUACAACCAAAAUUGCUAGGGAUAACAAAUGCUAAGAUAGACGUUGUGCCGAUAUACAAUGAGUAUCAUGUUUGCAUUAAUUGGCGAAGUCCAUAAUCAAAGUAGCUUGUAAGAGCUUCAUAGCCAGGUUUACUACAAUCCACCAUCAACCUACAGAGUCCAAUGGAAAAAAAAUUAUUAAACAGAAAUUUACAUUGGUAGUUAGAUAAAUUAAACCUGCAUUAGCCUACAUAUAUCAACUAAGACAUUGAUCCUCAUAUUGUUGCAUGAAAAGAAAUGAAAAUGAGGGACUUUAAAAGAAAUGCUAAGGAUCACUUUUAUUAACCACAAGUACAAAAUUGAACUGAAUUUCAAACUACAAGUUGGUAGCAUGUACUUAAGAUGAAUAAAUCAUUAUGACCCCAAUUGACAUGAAACCAAUUGUAAAGUAACGCCAAAGCUAUUUCCUUUAACACAAAAAUAGUAAUUGCAUUCACCCAUGCAGCUCAUUCAAAAUUGAGAAGUAGCUAAGCAAGCGUCACAUUCGGACUUGGAAAGCAUGAAAUGAACUUGGAAAAAGGAAUUAGAUUUUACUGCCAACAAGGCUUCCAAGGUGCAAAUAGCCAAUGAGAUCCUUUUUUUCUAAUCCUUAUUAUUUUUGUCCAGUAUGUUCACUUAAAAGAAAACUAUAUUCUAUUUACUAGAUCUUUAGUUAAGAAAUAAACAAAAAAUUAAAUCAUCAAAAAGCAAAAAGACCAAAGGCAUUAAAACUUGCACAAACAUUCAGGAGGAGGAGAAGUUAUUACCUAAGAGAAUCACAUGCAGCGCGAUGAAACCAUUAGAAUUAGCCCAAAGGAAGGGAAAAAAUAUGCUUCACGAAUGGUCCUACAACACUGAAACACAAAACAAUAGAUAAUGAUGAACCACCACAAACCAGUCCAAAGACAAGCAAAAUCACCUACACCAUCAAUCCUAAUCACCAACCCGAGUAGAAAAUCAUCCAAAAUUUCGGUUAAGUCACCGAAUAAAUAAGGCUUAAAUCUUAGAACAUGUCAUAAUUAGUGUUUAGCAUUCAAAAAUUGUGUAAGAUACAGGGUUUGGAACAACAAAAGGGGACAACUAGGGCUGGGCAACGAGAGGUACAGAGGAAUGGGAGUGAAAGUGGUAAAGAGAGGAGAUUGAACAAUACGACAAAGCAAGGAAAAAAUCAAAUUGUGGAAGGAAGAAUUGGGGAAAAAUCAAAUCGUGGAAGGAAGAAUUCUAGUAUGAAAAUAUGUUGGAGACUACCUGAAAUCUUAUAUCUGAAAUUUUGACGGGCCGUUUUCAUUUUGCCUUCCAGUAAGACCCCUUUCUCUACUUCAACUGAGAUGCCCAUUCACUCUAAUCCACUGAAGUAGAAGCUUACAAUUUCAAAAAGUUUAUCUUGCGAUUGUUAAAUUGACCAAAAAUGCAAGAAAAAGGCAAUUGACAAAACAGAAAUGAAAAUAACAUAUUAAAAAACCUAUACCAUCGUUUUUCCUUGAAGUCUGCCAUUGCAUCGGAAGGGUCUUUAAAGUAUGUCCAUGAUUGUAUAAAUUCAGAUCUGGAUGCCAGAGAGGAAGAGGGGAACUAUAUGUCUACGGGAAACUGAAAAUUGAUAGAGAGGGAAAGAGAGAUAGAAGGAGAAAGGUGCAGGGGAGGUUGCGAUUGAACUUUCGAGGGCUCUGAUCUGAGAACAAUAUUUGGGAAAGUAGCCUUGCAAAUAUGGAAGGCUUGGAAUUCAUGUGGUGCUAGGCUUGACAAGUGCUGUGCCGGGAAUGGUUAAAAAAUUUUCAAUGCGCGGCUCUACUAAAAAUUGGAAGGGAGCAAAAUUUUGAAAUUUUCACAAAAAAACACCCAUGAUUUCUCACCAAUAACAUAGAAACUUUGGCCCACUAGAAUCAAUAUUUGGAGGGAAGCUUUCCCGCACUCCUUUUGGCGAGAAUUUUAAGCGAGAAAAGUCCUUGCCCUCGCAGAGUAUAUGAUGGCUCCAAUUUUUGGCGAGGUAUUGUCCUUUUCCUUGCUAUAAGCCUUCUAAGAGCGUCAAGCUUUCUACUUCUUGCUAAAGUUGUUGUCGCUAAUAUCCUUUUUUGUUGUAGUGAAAGGAGGAAAACCAUAAAGAACUGGUAUGGUAUCAGAGUUUGGUCUCCUAGAGAUUAAGUUCAACCGGCUUAGGAGUAGAUAUGACAACCAACAAUGCCAUGUUCUUUGAGGGACAAUCUGUUACAAGACCUCCAAUGUUCAAUGGAUCAAACUAUGUGAGCUGGAAGGAAAGGAUGAUUAUAUUCUUACAAUCUAUUGAUAUUGAGUUGUGGUUUAUUGUAAGUGAAGGUCCAUAUGACGCAACUAUUAUUGAUGAAACUACUCAUAGGCUGAGACAAAAGGCCAGAAGUGAGCUGACUGCUGAAGAUAGAACUCAUCUCACUCUAAAUGCCAAGGCUAUGAAUGUUCUAUACAGUGCAUUAGACUCAAAUGAGUCUAUUAGAGUCAAAGGCUGCAGAUCUGCAAAAGAAAUUUGGGAUAAACUUAGAGAGAUCCAUGAGGGAAGCGAGAAUGUGAGAGAACAAAAAAAAUCCAUUCUGGUCACUAAGUAUGAAUCUUUUAAGAUGGAACCUCAUGAAAAUAUUGACAAAAUGUAUUGUAGAUUCAAUGAUCUGAUCAAGGAUUUAGAGGUGCUUGAGAAGGAGUAUUCUCUAAGUGAGAAGAACAGAAAAAUUCUGAAUGCUCUAUCAAAGGACUGGGAAAGCAAAGUGACUGCCAUUGAGGAAGCCAAGGAUCUAAAUACUUUAUCCAUCGAAUCUCUGAUUAACUUUCUAACUUCUUACGAACUGAAACUUAAAUCUAAGAUGCAGGAUGAUGAAGAUACAAAAGUAAGAAAGAAUAUUGAUCUGAAAGCUUCACAAGACGAAGAUGAAACAGCCUCACAGGAUGAAAAUGAUUUGGAAGGUGAUGACAGUGAUAUUGCACUCAUCACAAGAGGUUUCAAAAGAUUUCUCAACAAGAGAAGAUUCAGGAAAGGCGAAUCCAGCAAUUCCUUCCCAAAUCAGUCUAAUGACUUCAGAAACAGAGGGAAACUGCAGUUCAACAAGAAGCUGACUGAUAAGUAUUUGGAAUGUGGCCAACCAGGAUACUAUGCAAAUGAGUGUCCAAUGAAGAAAAAGAAGGAGAACAAGGUUGAACGAAAAUCAAAGUUCAACAAUUUCCAAAUUACCUGGAAUGAUUGCAACUCAGAAGGCGAAGUUGAAGAAGAAGAGGAAUCUACUCAAGUGGCUUUCAUGGCCAUUGGAGAUGAAGAGGUAACACAAUGCAACUCUCAAACCAACAGUGAUAGUGAAUCUGAUGAUGAUGUUAAUUCUUUUCUAGAAAAAAUGCAUAACAGCUUGAAAGAAUCCUAUGUUAAAAACAAGGAACUAAAACAGAAAAUUAGCUUUCUAAUAUAAGACAAUGCAAAUCUUUUUCGACAAAAUAAGUGUCUUAAACAUGAAAAUGAGAACCUGAAAAGGACUGAAACUGAUGUGCUUGCUGAACUUUACAAAAAGAAAAAUUUUUGUGACAUAUUCAGAAGUGAGCAAUGUAGCUUAAGAAAAAGGAUGGAUGAUUUAUGUCAAUUGUUACACCAUAUGAAACAGAGCCGUCUUCAAAAGAAUGACACUGAACCUUAUGUUAAUACUCAUCAAAUAAGACUGAAUCAAAAUGCAAAUGAGUUUGCUAUCCACAGGAGAAGGCAAGUCAGAUUCAUUAAACCUGUUCAUUUGAUUGAUCCAAUGUCAGUAUGCAACCUUUAUUGUCAAUUUGGUCACAUGAAUAGCAACUGUUAUGUUAAGAAAAACAUGAGGAAUGACAUGAGAUGCAUGUGGAUAGUUAGACAUAAGACUAACUCUCAAGGACCCAACAUGUAAAGGGUACCACGUAUUAUCUUGUGGGUUUGUGUGUAGGUGAACCAGGAUAACAUUGCUAAAGAAUCAAAAUGGUUCAUUGAUAGUGGAUGUUCAAGACAUAUGACUGGUGAUGCAUCACAAUUCAUUAAACUCAAGCAAAAAGCAAGUGGAAAGGUAACGUUUGGAGAUGAUAACAAAGCCAAAACUGUUGGUAUUGGUGAUGUUAGUAAGAAUGGUCAAACCUCUAUCCAUAAUGUUCUUCUCGUUGACAAUCUGAGCUACAAUUUAUUAAGUGUUAGCCAACUGUGUAAUAGGAAUCUGUUUGUAUUGUUCAAAAAGAUUGAAUGUCUCAUAUUUGACUCAAAAUUCAACAUUGUUUUCAAAGGAAAAAGGGUUAAUGAUGUCUAUGUAGUUGUUCUUGAAAAAAUUGAUUCCUCCUAUCUCAAAUGUCUUAAAGUAGCAAAUGAGGACCCAUGGUUAUGGCAUAAAAGACUGUGUCAUUUCAACAUGGAUUUGUUAAAGGAAAUCUCUAAAAAAGAUCUUGUUAGAGGUCUCCCAAAAAUCAGAUUUGAAAAGGACCGGAUAUGUGAUGCUUGCCAAUUUGGAAAACAAGUCAAGGUAUCUUUUAAACCCAAGAAACGUGUUUCUACUUCAAAACCACUUGAACUUUUAUACCUUGACCUAUUUGGUCCUACACAAACUUAGAUGUAUUAUUGUAUAUGCGUGUAUUAUAUUCCAUUCUGGAGAGUAUGUGGCUCAUUUAUGGAUUGGUAAUGUCGUCAUGUAACUGCAUGCUGAGCUAAAUGAGUUGUAUAAUAUUAUUGUUAGUAGGCAUACUGUCAUAAUACACCAAUGUCAGCUGCAUAUGAAGUGGACCUGACAAACUGAAUUGAGUAUAAUAAUUAAGAUUGACUUUAUUCAAGUUACAUCCAGAUAAGCCUAAUGUCAUUUUAAGCCAAUUGGAAAGUUACAGUGUGUUUGAAAAAUUGUUAGUUACAUUGUAUUUAAAAACUAUUACAAAAUAGUUAUUGAAAAGUUACAGUAUGUUUGAAAAUUGUUACCAAAAAAAUUAUUUAGGAAGUUACAGAUUAAAAAUUAAUACAAAACUCCGUAUUUGACUAUUUGUUGACAGUGUGUUUGUAGGUUGUUACAAAAUAGUUAUUAGAAAGAUACAGUGUGUUCGAAAACUCUUACAAAAUAGUUAUCUGGAAUGUUACAGUUUGAAAAUUAAUACAAAACUCCAUAUUUGAAAACUGUUAGUUACGAAGUGCUUGUAAGUUGUUACAAAAUAGUUAUUGAAAAGUUGAAUGUUAUUGAAAACUAUUACAAAAUACUUAAUUGGGAAGUUAGAGAUUGAAAAUUAAUACAAAACUCCAUAUUUGAUGAUUGCAUGUUACAGUGUGUCUGUAGGUUGUUACAAAAUAAUUAUUAAAAAGUCACAGUGUGUUUGAAAACUGUUACAAAAUAGUUAUUUUAGCAGUUACAGUGUGAUCCAUACAACAGAACACAAGCAGACCACAUAUAAAUUUGGACCCAGUAUGGGGUCCAUACAUGUCACGUUUGGACCCAAGAAUAGUUUUCGUAGUUCAAAAUUUGUUACUCAGAGCACAUAUAAAGUUCGUACACGUGCAUUGUUAUACAACAUCGAUCCGAACAUAUCGACUAACAAGCAUACCUCUAUAAAAUUUGAUUGCAUUAUUAUCAUAGUAGAGAUCAAAACAUAUGCGGCCUUAGUUACGCUGGCAUUUCUAUAUCUUUAACAACAAAAUCGACUGGGAUUUCAUAUGUACUCAUUUUCACAAGCAAUAUUAGUUGCUAGUUUACAUCUUCUAACGCCGCAUAUUACCACUCGAGAAAAUAGAGUGGCCAUUAAUGAAUGGCCAUGAUUUGUUAUAAAAAAUUCCAUGACUACUUUUUAAUGCAAAUUGAGUAAUUAUAAUUGUUAUUUGUUUCUAAAUUGACCUUUUACCAUGACCAUUACCCCAAACGUUGAAGCCAAUUAAGUUGAAUGUUUGGUGAAUAUUUACAAUUACGUGGUAACUCCGUCCAAAAUUUAAGUUUAGAUUUUAGGACACCUACUAUUUUAAUACAACAACUUUCUUUACAUAAUAUUUGCUUCUAAAUAUUACUUUUAUUACGAAUGCAUACCCUUUUUUUGUUGAAGCAAGCAGGACCAUUUUGUGGUUUAUCACGAGUGCAUAUAUCACGACAUAUCACGAACGCAUAUAUCACGACUGUCAUUUGUUGUGGUAUUCUAUGAAAAAUACCAUAAUCAUAAAGAAGCACGUUCAAUGGUAUUGUAAAAAUGUUAAUUUUCAGUCAACUUUAUAAUUUCUUAACAACUUUAUACAACCCAUUACAGAACAAUUGAUGACUACUAAUACUGGAUAUGAUUACAAUUGUAAUCCACUUGUCUAAAUUUGAAUAGAGUGAAACAUUGAAGGUGCCUGUCCAGGCACAUGAAUAACUUAUAAUAGCUUAUUAACUACUUGUAACGUAGAUAUACAGCAUUCUCAAUUAAGCCGACAUGGAGGUCUAAUAACAAAUGUUCUUCGAAAAACACCGCAAAUCUCGUUCAAGAUAACUAAUGUAUGAAAAUAAAAAAAAAAAUCUAGUUAGUUAUAGUCAACAUGCACUAAUUCAUUUCAACAUUGCAGAUUAAAAGAAACUGAUAAUAGGGAAGCGAUUGAAACUGAACAAUAUCUUCAACAGAGAAGUACUAACAUCAAUAAAUGAGGUCAAUUUGGUGAAUGGAUAAUCGAAACUAAAUACACGUAAUGGAACAUACGGUUAAUAAUAUACGAUGUCCAAGACAUCCAAUUAACAAUACUACAUAAAUAUGUGAUGGAACGAUAAAAGUUUGUCAUCCGUGGUGAUGGUGAAAAUACAUGAUAUGCAUCAAUAUCAUAGUGUGUUGAAAUUGUCGCAUGCUCCUCCUACAUUAUAUAAUAUAACUAUUCAACUGUCAAUAAAUCAUUACCAGUGCCUAUAUUGCUCACUUCAAAAGCUAAAUUGGACUAAACAUUAUAAAAAAAAUUAUAUAUCAAACCAUUAAUAUAUCUCUGACGGAGUUAUGUUUGAAAAAAUAGAAAAUUUAGGUGCAUCUAUUCUGUAGGGACUAUCGCAGGAGGCUCCUGAUUAACCAAACGGUGGACCUUCGGAUAAUACAAAAUAAUAUGUCAUAGAAGCAAGUAUACGUUAACUACAUAAUAUACAUGCGUUGAAGCGUUCAGGUGUCCACCAUUACAAUAAUCAAAAAAGUAGUUUUACGAUACGAACAACAUCUUUAUUUUUUCAACUAAAUGUAUGCAUAUCAUUUCACUUUUUUUUAUUUCGGGAGCAACGGCGUUUGGAGGAUCAUUCACUGAUUGGCUCCUUGAAUGCGUUUAUGAGUUUUGAAUGGCUCCUACAUUAUAUAAGACAGACCAAAUAAGUAUGUCAGGCGUAACAAAAUUAUCACAUAAUGUAACAUCCAUGUAACUAAUUAUACCGUUAGAAACAUUUAAAUAAAAGCUAAAGCCAUGGCCAUCACCUCUUAACAUAUUCAGAAGGAAUUGUCUUUAUACCCACGGUAUCAAAUAACUUCAACGCGUGCCUAUACAAAAUUCCUUCAAUCUCAUAUUGUUUGCAACUACAGCGUACAUUUAGAUCAUUCCGAUUGAAUACCACUAUUCUUUCAGGUCCUCCAUCAUACCUUAUGACCGCAAACUCCUCAAAUAUCCCUGCAUCUUGUUGUCUUAAUAUAAUCAUAGUUGUUGACUCGCCGUAUUCAUUUUGGAAUGCAUCAAAUACUGUUAGUGAAUACGUCUCUACUGCAUGCACAAGUAUACGUGUUUGCCUCAACCCAAUCAUGGACAGUUUUUGUCUUAUUUCAUAUUCUGCGAUGAGUUCAUUAUGUCUCUUAUCAUCAACCACUCGAUUGAAAUGUUUAAACAACUACACAAGAUCGUGAUCCAGUUUCAAUGUGCAACUCAUGGUUAUGCUCUAAGACAAGGUCAUGCACAUGGUACUUCAUUGUCCCUCUAAACAAUACAAUAACCAUUUUAACUCCACACCCUGUUUUCGUCAGUGCUCGUGCCCUCUUUGGCAUCACAUCACUUUCAUACUUGCGCUUCACACCUUUCUUGCAGCAACUAUAUCUCCUAGACGUGAUCACUCCGUUUUUGUCUUUAUUUAAAUAGUCUUUGCAUACACUAACAUCCAUUUUAGAGGCAUAUUUAUUGUAAAACUUGUACGCAUCCUCUUCACCGUUGAACUCUAUUUCUAACUCAAGGGUCCUAUCUUCUGCCAAUUUGCUGCAAUCCAUUACUUCUGCUCCUACCAAUUAUGCAUCAAAUACCAUAAUUUGCAAUACUUCAUGAAUAGUAUGUAUAUAAACAACAAUAUAAAUGUAUAUUACCGUUCAUAAUGUGAUAUAAAUCACACAUUACUCGUAUACCAAAUCCUAUUAUUAUGCUUAUGAAUAUGAUUAAUGAUUCACAUCACUUUACUUUGACUCUAAGACAAUGGUAUUAUUAAUGUACAAAUACAUUCCAUGUACACUAAGUUAUAUGGACUGUAAUAUGUUGGUCAUACGAUGUAAGUCUUUUUUAACUGUAUGUACAUCCACUCUGGUGAUUAUAUUUAGAUUCUAGGUUCCAUAACUCACUGAACCUUAUGUCAUUCGUUAAUUAUAUAAGUCUAAGCCAACUCCGCAUUUUAUACUAUUUCUACAUUUUGAGGGCCAAACAAGUAUUUUCUACUCAUUGUAAUAUAUUUCUUACAUCAUGUAAUUUAUUUACAACACUAGGUACACCCAUUUGUUAUUCACAUCUAUUUGCCUCUUUUUCUCUGUUUCACCUCAUUCAACUCUAUACCUCUAUUUUAUACACACUGCAUGGUCCGGAGAAAGGCAAACUAAGAUUGUAUAAUGAGCAUGGAUCAACUAUUAGAUGCACAAUGAUUCAUACCAAUUGUAAUAUGGUGGCUAUAACCUGUAACUUAUUUACAACAAGAUGUACAUUCAUUCACUUGUUACAUGUGACUUUGUUUCUCUCAUCUUUCCUCAAUUCCGCUUGAUGUUUUACUUCAAUACAUACUCUUGGAUUUUCGGAUAACUACUAUCUCAUUAUAGUUCAUCACUAAAAAGCUGAACGUUCACACGCACACACAUAUGGUACAAAUUCACUAUUCUUCACAACCAAUAUUAUGUUUUUAGUGACUCUAAUUUCAUCCCUAAACCCUAAACCGAUGUGCAUUGGGUGACAAAUGAUUGGCCACAAUUGAAGACGAUGGUUCAGUCACGUUAUCUUGGUAUGCUAAUACGCUUUAUGUUUCACCGAAUUUGGAGAGCGCAGUUACUUUUGCUAUUAAGUUGCAUGACUAAACCAAGUUCGUCAGAUGAUGAAUUUCCUCUGUUUGCUUCUACCUUCACUUUGCUUCCUGUUGCUUCUAAUAGUUUACUUCAAUUUGCUUCAUAAUAGUUUGCUUCACGACCUUCACUUUCAACUAAGUUUGCUUCAAUUUCCUCUCUCUUUGCUUCCUCUGUUAGCAAACAGUUCAGUCAGGCAACCACUCUCCAGUCGUUUGUUUCCUUGGUUCAGUCGUUUGCUUAUGCUAUUAGGGACUCAGAGAGCACCCUUUUCGGUCGAUUUUGUUUUGUGUGGCUAUUUCAAAUUUUCAACUUUCAAAAUUUCAACUCUUCCGUUUGCUCCGUCUGUUACCGUUUAGGCUAAUGCAAUUUUUUUUUGAAGCACCCAUCAUUUUUUAGUCUUCCUGACGUGGUUAUUUCUAGUCCUCAAGGUUGUGUUUGUGAGGGGACCGUUCAGGGACGGUCAUUCUGCCGUCCCUGCCCCGUAUCCAAACUACCAUGUUUCCAGGAUUUUUCCCCAAUAAAUGUAAAUGUACUAUCAAUAAAUUGCUUUGUAAUGUUGAAUUGUGAAAUUUUAUUAUCAUUAAUCAAGCUAGUCAUCUAACUCAAUAUAAAGUAGUUUCUUUUUCGAUUUGACAUUUAAUUAUCUUUAUUUAAAGUUAAAUGCACUUAAUUCUCCUCAAUUUUAUCAACUUUAUGCAUUUCAACUCAUUAAAUAGGCAUGUUGUCCCCCUACUUGAUGUUUUAGAACAAGAGUACUCUUACUUUAUAAUGAUCUCAAGGAUAAAGUGCGAUGCGAAGUAAUAUUGCGAGAGUUUUAUAUCUGUUUCUAACUUUUCAAAGUUACAAUGUCCUUCAUGUUACUACAAUCCUAUUCUGGGAUAGCAAUGGGAUGGGUUUGGAAUGGGAGAAGUGCCAUCCACUAAUCCGCUCUCCAAAAAGUCCCAGCCCCCUCCCCAUCCCCAGUAUCUCUGGCCCCCUACACCCUACUACCUCUGGGGAACCCCCUUCCUGCGCCUCUAGCAUUUUUAUUUUUUUUGCUUGAUUUUAAUUUUUUAUAUGUGUAAUACACUAAUAAUGAACUUGCUAAUAAUUGUUUUACAUUUAUCCAAUGUGAAACAAAGUUUAAAAAUUAUUUUGAUCUCGUGAAUCUAUUUAUGUAUAUAUGAUUUUAUAUAAAAUGAAUCAAUUAUCGUACUUUUUUUUAUAGAUCUAAAAACAACAUCAAAAUAGAAAACAUAAACUAACGUAACAAAAUUAUUGGUUAAUCACAAGAAAUUAACAAUAAAUAUUAAAUUAAUUUAUUACAAGAAAACAUCCUGUUAUUAAUAUUAAUAUUACAUACAUAGAGUUUUAUUAUAUUGUAUAUUUUUACGUUCUACAUAUAUAAAUAUAUAAUAUUAAAUUAUUAGCGGCAAACGGGAUAGGGGUAUUUUUCCCUCCCUCCCACCCCAUUUAAAGCGGUAGGAAAAAGAUCUCCCUCGACCUUGUUGAUCAUGAAUACCCGCCUUGUUGUCAUCUUGAAUCCUAUUCUUAAAUUUAUAAAAUCACAAUUAACAAUUGCCGAGAACCACUAGUGAUGCAAUGGAUCAGUAGUUGUUAGUAUCAAUUAUUGGAGACUAGUUAUAGGUUAAAGAGGGAUAAUGUAAUUAUUCUCUUCAUUACAUCUGAGGUUGAAGUAGUUAACUAGAAGAUGUGAUGGUAGGAAACAUUCGUAGAUGUUUUGGUACUAUAGUUUUCUCUUUGGUGUUUAAAUAUAUUAGGAACUUUACAUUAAAAAUUUUAUUAAUUUUUUUAUUUGAAGUAUACAUUAUUAUCAUAUUUGGUUUAUGUGCGUAUGUUUGUCAGAUGUGAUUUCUGUUAUUAGUGUAGAUUUUAAUAUUUAAUGAAAUUUUGAAUUGUUUUAUAAAAAACUUAUAAAUCUAAUCGUUAGAACAAUAUUUGCUAUACUGCUCACAAAAAUGUCCGUUCUUAAAAGCAUUGCAAAAUUUUUAUUGUAAUUUUUUACUUUUAAAACAAUAAAAUCACCGCAAUGAGUUGUUUCCACUUUCCACCCAUUGCAAUUGUGGACUUCGGCAAAAUUCAACCCACUCGAGGUCUGCAUCAUAUCCAGAGAAAACUCUAAAAUUUGGGGAUCCAAGAUUUUGGAAUAUUAAUAUCACAUUCCUCACUUGAGGUUUUUAACAAUUUUUAUUAUCCUCCCCUAAAGUUUUGAAAAUAUUAUUAACCUCCCUAAAACUAAUUUUCUUAUAACAAUUCAGCUCAAUUCAAAAAAAGGCACAAUAAAAAAAAUAAUUUUAAGAGAGAGAAGAUUUUGUAAUUUCACAAGUACCCCUUAACUAUAGCUCACCAUAAACAAGAUAAAAUAAGCUAAAUUACAUUUUUAUUUUUUGACUGUAUGCAUGAUCCAACUCAUUCUUUUCACUUUCUAGUCCAUUAUUAGAUACGAGAUCAACAAGAAAUUUCCAUCAUCUGCAAUUAAAAAAUAAUAGCUUUCGCAGUUUAACAAAAGAAAACUCUUUUCUCUUAACUUAAUAUGCUGUUAUUACCGCAAUUUUGAGAGGAAUUAGGCACUGCUUUCGAGCCUCUUAAACCCUUAGUUUUGGUGAAAUUUGAUAAAUGUGUAUUUUGCAUAUUUUAAGUGUGUUUUAUUAUUUAUAUUUUGGUGUGUUUUAGUCAUUUUUAUAGUUAAAUAACUAGGUUUCUAGUGGGAGUGUUCAACACAAUUAUAGGGAAGCAAAUGUACUUGCAGAUGCUGUGACACCCUCACUUCUCCCAAGGGCGAACCCAAGGGUAUCAGCGGGACGCCUGCCCAACUCUCGCCAGGACUCGAUACAAUAUCAAUCCAAACUUAAGGUAAAUAACCAAAAUAAUAAAAGUCGAACUGAAAAACUAAAUCGCUUCCAUACACAAGUGUUCAAUCUUACAUCACAAGUUUUCAAAAUACAUAAUUUACAAGUUUUCUAACGGGGUGAGCAGAUACUCGUGAGACCAAGAAAACAUGCAAAACACGCAGUUCAAAUAACAAUAGCACUUAAACAAGAAUGAAAGCUAUAACAUUCAAGUAGUUUACAAUUAACAAUAAAAUACACUUGAUAAGGAUAUGGGAGCUCUCAGGAACUAUAUUCCACUUGCUCGAUCCAGUACCUCCACUAGUUGACACUCCGUUAAUCGGGUAGGUUGUAAUUCCGUAGAACUUCACUUACACUUCCCCCGUUUACCAUUACAUCCCCUGCUCCGGGCCCGUACUUCUUUUAUAUAAGGCGAUACUACUCGAGUAUAUCAAGCGAGAUCUCUCCAAUAGAUCAAGCUUAUGAAAUUUUCUUAUGGCUCACCAAGUUUCAUGACCAAACCAAUGCCGGCUCGAUUCGCAAGGUCGGCCAAUGAGUUUUGGGCAUCCUCCACUAUUAUCACUAUAAACCGAGGUGAUUUACUCCAAUCGACAUAUGCAACCAUAGCAUAAUUCACUUUCGCAACACUUCACUUAAUUCACUUAACAAUUCACUUCAAGCAAUUCAAUUACACUUCACUUAAUUUACUUAGCAAUUCACUUUAAGCAAUUCAAAUACACUUCACUUAAACGAGAACGAGUGCGAUAAAGUACACACCCAACUUGACAUUUUCACAACACUCAAUUAAUGAAAACACUUAAGCAUGUAACAACACUUCAUACACUUGAUACUCACCAAAUCAAAACAAAAGUGAGUGAGCGAGCAAUUAAGUCUUUAGACAUCCGCUUCAAGAUUCUCUUGAAGAUCUCCUUGAGCGCCUGAACAAUAUAACAAGUACUUUUACUCACAAUCAUGUAUUAAUCAAGAAAGAGGGUUCACUUAUUUAGACUAAAUUAAAGUCUCAAAAGGGAACCUUAAUCACUCAAAGUUGAGGUUCAAAAGUGAGGAUUUAACAAUACAAGAGAAACUGAUUUCCUUCAUGAAAUCGAGUUUAAAAUGAUCAAUCUGUAUCAAAGAAUAGGGAAAAGUUUCCAAAAACUCAUUUCCCAUCAAGUCGGAAAAUUUCAGUUUUGCGCGUUAAAUUUAGAAAAAUCAGAACUUGCACUCAAUAGGUCUAAAAUUGGAAAAUUUUACACCGUUGGAAUCUUGGUUCAAAGUACUAAAAGUUCUUCGAAUACAUUUUCCAAGAUUCUAAACGGAAGGCAUUCAAUUUUCAACUCAAAGUGGCUGAUCUGAACAAGCAAGGCAGUUUUAGUCAUGUUUUUCGGCAAUAUUUGGAAAUUCGGCAAAAUGUACAUAAAGUGAACUAGCAUUUGAAAUUCAUAACACAAUAAGAAAUCUAAUCAAGGUUUCAAACACAACAAACGGCACUAAAAUUGGAGUCUUGAGCAUCAAGAUAUAGUAGUCCAAAGUUGGCUGGAAUUUGAACACUAAUCAGGGAUUUUCCAGGUUUGAAAAGCAAAUUUUGGGACAUCAUUUGGGUAUCAAAAUGGUAUUAGAAUAACACCAAUUUUGGUACACUUAAAUCUCUAUAUAUAGACUACCCCUGUAUCAAAUGUCAUGCAAAAACUCACGUGGAAAGGUAGUUAAAAAAACUACCAAAGUUUAGGAAAUUCUUAAAGCAAAUCUGUCCUCUUGCUUUAGUUUCCUUUUUCAAACAUUUUGCACCAUGAAAUCAGUCCCAAUUCAGUUCAUUUGUGAAACCAAGGUCUUAUAACAUCUAAUAAGUAAUUGGUAGGUAAUUGACACCAAAAUUUUCGAAACAAAAAGUCCCAAACCCAACCUAACCAUGCGGCUAGCAAGAAGAGAAAGAUUUCCAGAUUUCCAGCUUUGUCACAGUUUGGAAAUUGAACCAUAUUCACUCAAUACAACUUGAAAUUGAGAAUGGUUGGUAGCGUUGGAAAUUAGAUUCAAAACUCUACAUUUCAUCAGAACAAGUUGUUUUCAAAAUCAGUUCACAAGUAAUUCAAAUUUAAGCCACAAGUUGCAGCUUCUACCUUUCUCUCGGAUAGACCAUCAGAACAGGACAACAAACUUUGCCGAAUCACAACAGCUCACUCAGUUCGAACUAGAAAGUGAAUUUUAUACCGUUGGAAAUCUACAAAUGUCUAGUUUCAAAUGCCACAAACGGAACUCGAUUUUGACUUUUGUACAAAGAAAUAUGUUUGAUCAAAGAGUUACUGUUUAGACUGCUUGAACACAUUUUCCAGUUUUCUUCAAAUUUCGAAAUUUCAAGUUUAACUCAACCAAUUCAAAUGAUUUUUGGUAGAAGCUUUCUGCAUACCAUAUACAACAUAUAUCCACCAAUUUCACAGCAAAACAACCCACAAAAAUUCAAAAGGUAGGUACAAAAAGCACUGGAUAGAUUCGGCCAGUUCUAGUUCCUCUCAUUUCUCAACUUUCUCUCCAUUUCUAACCGAAAUUCCUCUCAUUCAACACAUAAACAACAUUAAACAAGCAUUUAAUCCUCAAGGCAGCUACCUAGAGGUCACACCAAGUCCGUUAGCCUAACAAUAAAAGCAAGAAAAAUAAAUUUCCUCAAGUCCUCUGCCUAGUUCCAUGCUUAGGGUUGCAAACCCUUGCAAAUCCAACCGUAAAUCUUAUAUUAAAAGGAGAGAUUAGAAGAGUUGAUGGUUACCUCCUUAGCCCUUGAAGAAACCAGAAUUUUCGCCACCAAAAACCUCCUUGAAUCUCCCAAAAUGAAGCCUUUCUCCAAGCUCAAGUUAAUCACCAAGUGGUUUUGAGGUUGGGUGCAAAGUUAGAAGUGAAUUGGAGCAAGAAUGAACAAGAUGGAGUCGAGCUUUCUUUCUUCUUUUCCCCAGCUAUGGAGUGAGGAGGGAGAGGGUUUUGUUGUUGUGAAGCUUCCUUUGGAAGCUUAAGGAAUUUGUGGUCAAAAAUCUUACAAAAGUCAACUAGGAAUAGUGUCAAGCGCGGUAUCGUGCCAUCAUUUUCUCUCUUGUUUGUUACACUUGUGCACUAAAUCUCCAAAUGUAAUUCCUUUAACAUUAUAAUUAAUCACUCUUAGUAGUCUAGUAUAAGUUCCUUAAAUCUCCAUUGUGACAGCCCCACCUCCCCCUAAGGCGAACCAAAGGGUUCGGCGGACUGCCUGCCCAACUCUCGCCGGGACUCAGUCGAUCACUUCCAUCCUCGAUCAAAACUAGAUCCAGCCCAUACGAAAAAUAUAGCAAUGAUCCAAAAACUUAAACGAAACUUAUAUACAUUACGAUCUCAAAAGAAGUACAACCGUCGAAUAUACAAAGGUUCCAAAUCCACUAUACAACCAGCCCGUGCCAAGCACUAGGGCGAGAACCAUUACAAGAAAAAUCAAAAGCUAGACCAGCUAGUCUAUACAGAUCUCUCGUCCUUGCGUACCUUCCCCUGUUAAGGAAAACAAAACUAAAGGGAUGAACUAAAAGCUCAGUGAGGUUCCGAACACAUAAUAAAACAAUCAAUCCAAUACACUAACAUGGCAUAUCACUACUUCACGAAACAUUUACAAUGGAAAGCGAUAAAACAUUCAUGAAAAGGAUACGGCUCACAGGGAGCAAUUCAUUCGAUCAUUCAUUCGUUCUCCUGACAUUUCCCCUUAUUCCUCCAAUCAUUUGAAAUUUUCAUUUUUGUAAAUAAACCCUCGUUCGUUCGUUCAUUCGUUCAUUUCAUUCACCCUCUCCUGGACAUUGUCCAGGCUCCACCAACCUCCACCAACCUACAAAGGUAAUACUCGAGUAUACCAAAACGUUCACCCAAGUCACCAUAUCGCCCGACCGAGUCCGCUUCUGGCUCGAGUCGAUCGGUAACAAGGGGCAGUGGCCAGUUCAGCCAAAAGGCUUAUAUUCAUGCGCAACUAGCAUUUCAAUUAUUAAAUCCUUGAAAAUUGUACGGUUAUUUAGGUCGAGUGCGAUAAAGUACACCAUCGCCUAGAAAGCUCGUUUUGGAAAUCAUUAAAAGCACUUAACACGUUAUCAAUCAAUAAUACAAGUUAUGAAGUCAAGAAGCAUUUAACAAACAAGGAACACUCACCGAACUAUGCAAAAUAACGUGCAAAAUAUCCUUCUGGAUAGAAUCCUUAAUCACCGAGAAAACCUAAGAUUGAACGAGAAAGAAUAUAGCCCAACUAAUUUGGUGAAAUCCAAAAAACCCAAUAAAUGAUGAGUAAACGCAUAAAAAUGACUUUAAAGCGAAACGGGGCAUUUGGACUGAUGGUCGGAAAUAUCAAGGGUUUCAUAAAUCAAACGCAAAACUAAACUAAAAAGGGUUAUAAAAUUUUGCGGCAAAAAAAACACUUGGACCAAAACUAGCCUUCAAGUAAAAAUUUCGGCAGCAAAUCCCUUGUGUUUACCUAUUUUCCAGACAUUAAUGGCUUCAUUAUUUCCUCAAAUCAGUCCGAACAUCUCACACAAAAUAAGCUCAUUUCCAAAAGCCGUUCACUAGGCUUAAAGUCAUUCAAGUACACAAUUUAGCUAGGAAAAUGACUAGAUUCCAAUAAACACAAUAAGACUCGAAUACAAGUCAUAAACCAAUGUCAAAUACUACUGAAAUAGGAUUCCAUAAGCAUACAUAAACAAUAGAGGAAACCAGAAAAAUCCAGAAAUGAUUUAGUUUUAACCCUAAAAAAAACAGUUUUUGACCUCAUUUUGCGGUAAUGUUACCAAAGGUACUACGAUUAUCGGAUGAAAAUGCAAGACCCACCGUUUCGAAACUAAAAGAUAGGGCUACAAUAUUGCAGAAGGUCACUUAACCCAGUUUCGAGUGUAACCAGGUAAAAAAUGCAAGAAACUACACCAGAAUCGGAAAAACAGAUUCAUAGAACACGUUCUAGUACAAACAUCAUAACUCAGCCUACCCAAGUCCAAAUCCAGAAAUUCCAAAACCAUCUGAAAGCUAAGAAAUAGGGAUACAUUUUAUCAGAAGACCUCAACAACCAAUUCGGAAGCAAUUCCAGCCAAAACAACCAAUUACAGGCGCAAUUCUAGCAUUCGGGUAAAACCAGGACAGCAAGGGUAAUUUUGACUUUUAUCAUUCUACGCUACUCCGAUUGACCAGAAAUUUUGUAGACACCUCUAAAAUGUCAUUCCCUACAACCUUCAUGUUUUAAGCCAAGGCCACUUCGGCCUCUAACUAGGAGAUAUAAAUUCGGGCAGAAUGUAACCAUUAGAACCCUGAUUUUUUUUCAAUUUUCUUCCAAACCAGAAAUUGCUUACAAUCAUCCACUUUUUCCACCUUCUAGAAUCAUUAUAUACCAUUUCCAAUCAUCAUAGAUAGCCACACAAUCAUGUUCAUAUUAAAACAGAAAAAUCCCCAAAAAUAAUAAAACUUCAUCACUUCAACCACAAAUCAAGAAAUAAUCCAUAAACUUGCAUCUCAUACUACCACUAAUCAUGAUUUAAGCAUCAAUUAAGGGAGGAGGGUGGUUCUUCACAACUCACCUUAGAAACAAGAGAGAGAGAGCAAUAGGUCCUCUUAACUUUCCAAAUAACUCCACAAAUCAACUCACUAACACUAAUUGAAGAGGUUUUAUGGAGAAAUUGCAAGUUUCAAUGGUUGGUUGGAUGGAUUUGAGCUAAAUGGAAGCAAAACUUGAAGAGUUUCUUUCUUUCUUUGUGAGAGAGAGAGUCGGCCAAAGAGGAGAGAAAAAUGGUGAAUUUUAGUUAAUUUUGUGAUUUAUUUGGUCAAUGAUAAGAAAAGGAAUAGUAGUCUUACAAGUCACUCCAAUCAAAUGGUGACACUUGUCACCCCAUUUAAUGCUUGCCUAACUUUUGUCUCCCUCAUACCAAUCCACUUAGCAUCCUCUACUUAUCUCUUAACACCCGGUAAAUUAAAUCCAGUAUCCAAAACUUAACCUAGUUGACCGAAGUUUUCCGAACUUUUCGCACCAGUGGGUCCCACGUUCGGUAUACGCUCUUAAUUUCUCAAAAACUAUCCGAUACUAGAAAAAUCAUCCAAAAACUAUAUUUACUCAUGAAAAUUAUUUUCCCAAUUUCUCAAAUCAAUAAAAUGUGAAAAAACGGGCAAUUAUAAGAAAAAAAUAAAAUCGAGUACUUUAAAGCAAAAUUACAGGCUCUCACAUCCAUUUAACCGUUUUACGUGAAGUACCCAAACUUUCGAUUCACACACGAUAAGGCGAAAUUUGAAAAUGAUUCAUGUAACGAUAAUAUAAUUAACCAAUACUAAGGCAAAUAAUUAUAAAAAUAAUUAUUUUAAGAAUAAAACAUGAGUCCUUAUAGAUGCUUUGGCAAGUCUCCUAAAUACGAGGCAAUAUCUCUUUGAUUCCGUGUCUCAGCUGCCAAAACAUAUUCAAACACUGGCUUCACUAGAUAUUUCAAUUUAUGCAGGGAUUAGAUGCAUCCAUGUAAGGGACUAGUACUCGUUAUUUAAUGCUUUUCUUAUGUAUCAGACGCUAUUUCUUUAAUAGAUUUUUAAAAUAAAAUCAGGGAUGGUGUCCCUCCCUCAUGUACGGGGUUUUGUCGGUAAAAAAAAUCUAGGUUUCUAGUGAAAUUUGCAUUUUGUGGUCCAAUUGCGAAAAAUUGCAUUUCUAUGGUUUAAAGUGAUAAAAAAAAUCAUGUUUUUAUAGGUUUAAUGGCUCAAUCAUCAAAUGGAGUGAAUUGAGAAUAUAUUUGAAUGAUUAUUGAUUAUUAGAAGUGAUUUAAAGUGAACAUGAAAUGUAAAAUGUUCAUAGGAUGAGAUGCAACCAAGUACAAAUGAAGAAAAGUUUGAUAGUUUUGACACUUUUCGGUUUUUUGACUAUAUCUUGAGUUACAAGUAUUGGAUUGAGAUGAUUCUUAAACCAUUUUGAAAAUAAUACAUUGACCUAUAGUUCUUAUGAGAUAGCAAAAUUCAAUUCGUACAUUUUCUUGGGCAAAAGGUUGAAAUACUGUCAUGCAUUUUUUGCUUUCAAAAGCUAAACAAGGGAUUGACUAGUUAGUGAUUUUUUUGGUCAUUUCUCCACCUACAGAUAUCCAAGUGGACGAUUCUUGAUGCAUUUUGUGAGGACCCGAAUUUUAUUUAUUUAUUAUUAUUUUAUUUACUGGCUUAUUUAUUUAAUUAUCUAUUUAUUUGCUCCAAUUAAUUUAUUUCAUUCAUUUUAAUUAUAUUCGCAUGGUACAUUGCCUCAUUUUAUAUUUUUAACACGUUUUCUCUUAAAGUUAAUUUUUCGAUCGCUUGAUUAGUGAAAAUUAGUAAAUACACGUUUUUUGAGGUAAUAUUUGGUCUAAGAGUGCAGUAGUUUUGGAGAAUUAAGAAUGAUCAAUUUUAGACUAAAAAAAGUUAAUUGAUGAAUUAGAGGUGAGUGAGUUGAAUCAAGAUCAAUUAGGAGCACUAAUUGGGUACUAUUCAUUUGUUGACUUGUUACACCAAAGUAACUUUAUGUCCCAUCUUUCUUUCAUCAAAUCACUUCGCCAAAAAUCACUCGGAAACCUCUCUCUUCUCCCUCCCUCUUGGCCGGCCACUCCCUUCUCCCUUUAGCGAAAAAUUUCAGCUCCAACUUCUUCAUUUUUGCUCACCAAAACUUGGUCCAACCUAGUUCAUUCUUUUGGAUCAUCCUCAAGCUUAGUAGAGAACUUGAAGGAGGAGAGAUUCUUGGUGGUUUAGGGCUUGAUUCCUUAUGGUUUUUCCUACUACUCUUGGAGGAAAGGUAACUCUCAAAACUCUCAUUUUUCUUCCAUCUUAUGAUUUGUUUUUAGUCAGUGUGUAACUAGUUAAGCUUGGGUUGUUGAUGGGUUCCAUGAACCUUGACUUUAGGUAGAUGUCUUGAGGAAGAUUCUUAGGUAGUGGCCUUGAGGAUUUCUUGUUUGUUUGGUUGUUGUUUUAGUGAUUUAUAGUUUGGUUUUGGUAUGAAGAUUUGGAAAGAAAAUUUAAAGAGAAAGGGGUACAAGGCUGUCCUAUUUUUGCUGGUUCAUUUCCCUUGUUUUAAUUCCAAAUUUUGUGGUUAUAUUGAUGCCAAAAUGCUUGUUACAUGUUUAGUUAUGUGUGUGUAAAUUAUCUCCCAAAAAGCAUUUCAUUUGGAUGAGUUAAAGUUAGGUUAAAGGGGGGAAAACAAACCUGAAAAAUUCUGAUAAGUAUAGCCGACCAAUGCUCACUCAACAACCCAUAAUGUUUUGUAUAGGAGUCAAAAUCAAGUGACGUUUGUGGCAUAUGAAACUAAAUUCCAAGGAUUUUGAAACUAGAAAACUUUGUACAGGAGUCAAAAUCAAGUGACGCAAUGAACUGACAAAUUUGGCUGUUUUUCAUCACUGUUUUAACCGAGAAACAAGCACAGUUGUAGUCUGUAGCACAUUUUCUCUCAUCUUACAAAAUGAAUUUGAAAACAGUUUCUAGUGAUUUUUAGCUUUUUGAAUCUAUUUUUCAACACCAUAAACCACGCUAAUUUUGGAUGGGUGUAACCUUAGUUAUGACUUGAUUUAUAAACUAUGUCGAGUGUUCUAAAGUUGGAAUUUUGUGAACCAGGUUUAAAAAACCAGCUUUCAUAAAACUGUUGUAUCUUGGUGUAGAAAAAUCCAAAUUGAGUUCUGUUUAAUGCAUUUGAAAAUAGAGCUGAAGUUCUUUCAGGUGUAUAAAUUUCAAUGGCUGGUUCGAUUCCUAUGAAUUUUUCCAAAUUUUCAAAAUUCACUGAAAUUCAUGACUGUUUUGCCCUGUUCUUACUGAAGCAGUGAUUUGGAGCAAAGAUUUGACUGAUUUCUGAUUUGAAUCUGAAAAAAGUGUUUUAUAGAGAGUUUUAGCUAAUUAAAUCUAUUUUCCAAUGGUAUAAUAUUUGAAAAUUUUGGACUUAUGGACCUCAAGUUAUAAUUUUUCAAAAAAGUUGGCAAAACUUAAUUUCCCUAUAAAGUGACAAAACUUCAAAGUGACUUGUAAGCAUUUUCUAGGUAUCAAACCUAACUUUCUUGGUUAUUUGCACCUUAUUUCAUAUUUGGGAAAUGGAUUUCAUCCCCUAGUCUUAUGCCCUUGGUUUCCACAAAAAUGAACCAUAAAUUGGAGCAUUUAGCUAGAGUAAUUCUUGAGGAACUGCACUAAUUUUACAUUCGAAAUUUAGAACUUUUAACUUCAAUAUUUGCUAUGAAAAUAAGUAGCAUUUUGAUGGAUUUUGACUCCAUAAGUUUAGAAAACGUGAACACUCCUUUAUAUUCUAAAACUUAGGUACAGGAUUAGAAAUUUUAAGAUAUGAAAACCAUUUUUCCUUUUUUCGAUUUUCGUCCCAAAAAUUAAGUGUGAUACUUUCUUUUGGAAUCAAGAUUUCUUACCAUGACUUGACUCGAAAACGACUUUUGAAUUCUCCUUGAGUGUUAUUUCAAUUAUUAGGAGAGAAAAUCUCUUUUAAUUCGACUUGAACGUGUGGCUUUUGAGUGUGGGUAACAAAAGAAUAUUUUCUUAUUAGCCUUGGUCGAAUACCUAGAUAAUCGUGAUUGUACCUGUCUCAGGUAGUCACGUGGAUGCCGAGGAGCUUGUCUCAUCUCUUGCUUUUGCUCUUGCUUUGCCCUUGAAUUUUGGUGAGUGUCAAGUGCAUGUUUCAUAUACUAUGAUUGAAAUAAUAUUUGUACAAGUGUUAUGUGAAAUUGUUAUGAUUUGUGAACUUGCCGAAGCGAAAGUGUAUUUUAUUGCCCUUGUUCUCUCUUUCUUGCAUACUCACUACUUUUAUAUGGCGUGACUGGCACUUGUACUCAAACAUGCUUGUAACUCGUGAGUAAUGAGCGGCAGCAUGUUCAACACUCUAUUCAGGUGGGAGGUGCCUCUCAUACCGACUCAGUAUUAUGACCGAUUUUAAGUUGAUUGGAGCGUUGUCUUAUCGACUACUCGAGCUUGUGGAGACGCUUAAACCCAUUGGCUAACCUCGUAACUCAAGCCGGUAAGGACUUGGUCAAGAAGUUUGGUGAACUAUGAAAAAUUAAAAAAUUUGAUCUUUUGAGAUCUUGCUUGGCAUACUCGAGUAGUAUUGUCAUCUUGUGCUUGUUUAUUUUCGGAUCCGAGAAGGUGUUAUAAUGGAUGGAGGAAGUAAGUGGCACUCUACGGACAUGUUGCUACUUGAGUUGACGGAGGGUCAACCAAAGAUGGUUUGAACCGGUCCAAACGUGGAAAUAACUCCUGAGAGCUCCUGUAUCCUUUUACAUGUGUUUUACCUCCUAUUUGUGCAUUUAAAUGAAAUUUCAUAUUGAUCAUUUUUAAGAGUGAUAUUUAAUUUAAUUUGUGCUACUUGCUUGACUUUCUUGACCUCACUGAGUAUUAGCUUGUUCCUUUAAGUUUGUUUUUCUUAACAGGUUUUGAAAGUGAAAGUGGGGGACUCUAGACUACUAUUUUUGGUUGAAACUAGUGAACCUUUUGUAGGUUAUUGGAGACAUUUGAAGUGUAAAUUUUGUUAUAUUUGGAAAUUUUGGAUUGUAAUUGUAAAUAGUAGUCCUAAAAGAAUUUGAAUUAUAUAUUUGCAGUAUUUCUUUAAUUUUAAGCCUAUGAUUGACUUGUGGAUCGCUAUUAAACUUGAAUGAGUGCGUGAGUCCUGACGAGAGUUAGGCAGACAUUACGCUGAUACCCUAGGGUUCGUCCUAGGGAGAUGUGGGGGCGUCAUAGUUGGUAUCGGAGCGCUAGGUUUGAAAUACCUGGAAUAAUGUUAGGAAUUUUUAGUCGUGAACUGUCGAUCAUAGAAAUUUGUGAUAAAUCUUAAGUUAAAUUUUUGAGUGGCACCAGUGAUUUUAAGGACCUAACCUUGAGCCUUGUAGGUUAUUUGUAGAAUAUGGACAGUGGCAAUGACGGUGAUAGGAUCGAGGAACCUCUUCCAGUGAUCCGAUAUUGUAUGGUUGGAGGCGGACGCCCCUUCGGUGGUCACCCUCCGAGCGGGUUAGGACGUGCCCGUACCAAGAUAGGUUCUCCUACCCUAACCACGUGGUGUUAGGGGUAGUUGAGGAGAGGAGACAGUUGACCCAUGAUCUCAGGGUAACACGAGCUGAGAGAGAGGAGAUGAGGGCCACUAUGGAGGCCCAGACUGUCAGGAUUCAGGAGUUGAAGGCUAGGAUUCCUGAGGAGCGUCAGAGGGCUAACACCUCCCAUGCUCAAUUUCAGACGACCGAUGGGCACCUCAUUCGGAUUAUCGAGGAGGUAGGGAACUGUGUGGAUGGCAUUAUGGCGGAGUGUACGACCAUGGUCGAUCGCAUAGAGGAGGCCAUGGGUGGAGGUGGACCAGGGGAUGUUGCCACUAGUGAUGAGGUGGAAAUGGACCCGUGGAGAAGGAUCCUUUUGAGGAUGUGGGAUCUACUAGUACAGUCCACUUAUACUAGUGACCUUUUGAUCUUUUGAGUUUUGCUAAGGAUUUAGAAAGGGUGAUCCUCACCUUGCGGCCUUUUGUAUCUUAUUGCAUGUACCCCUAUAUUUUGUGGCACUUGGAUGCCUCUGUCCUGUACUUGAUCUUAUUAACUUGUUUUGUGAACUCUUGACUUGUAGCAUGACUUUUAGUAUAUGUAAAGAAUUAUAUUUUAAUUUCAAGUAUUUUUGCAACUUGCAUAUGCUUUUAAAUUUCUAUGCUUAUUUUUUCUCUUUUAAUUAACAUUUAUACUUUUACUAAAUGCAUCAGCGAGGACGUGAACGAGGUCGUGGGCAUAGGUUUUAGCAACCCUACACUUUCGAGAGAGAUGAGAGAUCAGGGACUGGUCCGAACCAAAAUUCUAGGAUUGAGAGGAAUGAUCAAGUGGCUACGGCCCUUAAUCGCAUAACUGAUAUCCUUGAGCGUCUAGUUAGGGUUGUAAAUCCUGGUUUCAUGAUGGGUAUAGAUAUAAAGUGUGAUUUCUUAUCUUUUGACUUGAAAGUUAAGACUCCUACGGGGAAUUGGUGCUUAAUUGCUAACAAGGUAUAUAGAAAUGGUGAGAUUUGGGUUGGUGAGAGGAAAUUGUUGGCAGACUUAGUGAGUCUAGCAAUUAAGGGAUAUGAUGUGAUAUUUGAGAUGGAUUGAUUAACUCAAUACCAUACUCAAUUAGAUUGUAAGAUGAAAUUAAUAGAAUUGCGUAUUCCGAGGGAAGCAAUUUUAAAGUUAGAUAUGAGGGGUAGACUAGCAUCGUCUACUCUAAUUUCAGGAAUUUGAAUUAGAAAAUUAUUGAGUACUGGGGUUAAAGGAUAUCUAGCCUUUCUUAUAAAUACACUUGGGAAUAAGGUGAAAUUGAAAAACGUGCCAGUAGUGAAGGAAUUUUUCAAUAUUUUCUCCGAAAAAUUAGAGACGCUACCUCCAAAGGGAGAAAUAGUGUUUAAGAGUAAUGUAACUCUAGGACAGCACCUAUCUCUAAGACGCCUUAUAGGAUGCCUCCAGUCGAAUUAAAAAAUUUAAAUUUGGAGUUGCAAGAUUUAUUAGAAAGAGACAUUAUUAGAGAAAGUGAUUCACCGUGGGGAGCUCCAGUACUCUAUGUUAAGAAGAAAGAUAGAAGUUUGAACCUAUGCAUAGACUACUGAGGCUUGAACGAUGUGAUAAUUAAGAACAAAUACUCUUUACCUCACAUAGAUGAGUUAUUUGAUCAACUGCAAGAGGCCGAGGUAUUUUUCAAGUUGGAUUUGAGGCAGAGCUAUUACCAGUGAGGAUCUUAGAAGCGAAUGUGUCUAAGACAGCUUUCAAUUCGAGAUAUGGACACUUUGAAUUUGCAAUUAUGCCUUUUGGAUUAACUAAUACGCCAGUAGCAUUUAUAGACUUGAGGCAUCGGGUCUUUAAGUCGUAUCUGGAUCAAUUUGUGGUGGUAUUCAUAGACGACAUAUUUGUGUACUCUAAGUCUCGAGAAGAUCAUGAAAGACACUUGAGGAUAGUCUUGCAAACCCUGAGAGAGCACCAACUUUUUGCUAAAUUCAAUAAGUACGAGUUUUGGUUGGAAGAAGUGUUUCACUAAGGCACUUGUAUUAGCAUUGCCAAACGAAGGAUAUAUGUUCUAUUCUUAUAUACGAAUUUUGACAGAAUUAGGAUGAACGUCUUGAUAGAGGAUAGUACCAGGCACUAGUGAGACUAAGAAGUUAUAAUUUCUUCUUGAACGAAUUUAAAAGUGAGUGUAUAAUGGAAAGUGAGUUAGGGCCCUGAACUUCUAUUUUAAGGAGUAUGAUUCCAUAUCUUGUUAUAUGUAUAAGCGAUGAUAGUAAUCUUUAUGGGAAGACCCCAAAAAUAGGAGUAAGUACUUGUGUUUAGAUUUCUUAUUUACCUCGACAGGAAAUAGUUAGGAUUUAUGUUUUUUGGGUGACCUGUAAGCAAAAGGAUGGAAAAGUUAUAUGGCUACAGUUUUCAAGUGUGAUUAGUUACUUAUUUCAAUCCUUUGAUUUUCUUGACAGGCUAUCAUUUGACCUUAAGAGAAUCGGUAAUAUAAUAAAUUUGGGAGAUAUGCAUAAGGAAAUAGACAUCCUUCGAAUGGAAGUAGAAUUUCAAAAGAAAUUGGCUGACUACUGGGAAGAACGAUGGAAACAGGAAUAUGCGGAGAAAAUUGAGCUACUACACAAGAACAUGAAAUUGGAAAAGAAAUACAAAGAGAUCUCAGAAGAGGUGCAGAAUAAGUUUGAAUUGGUGCAUUUACCUAGUCAAGUAGCACCUCAAGACCUUCCUAGUAAUCAAGUUAAAAGGGAUGAAGGAAAUUCCCAUGAUACUAAAAGGAAACGUAAAGCAAUUAGAGAAGAUAGUAUGUAGUUAGUGUACUGUGUUUGAUUUCAAGAUCCAGUAGAAGUAGUAACCAAAUUUCGUAGUUAUCGUUUUCACUUUUCAUUAGGUCUUUAAGCUUAUAUUACCCUGCACAUUUUGACAUCUUUGUUAAACUUCCUUAACAUAUUAUAUUAGCAUUUAUGUAGUAAGAUUUUUCCUCUAAAUAAGUUGUGGUAGUACUACGAGUAAGAGAAGACUAUUUGAGAAUUGGAGGAAAAUCCUGUAGCAUCAAAUUUAUACGAGCAAAGGUGAGAAUUUUGAGAACGAAAUUCUUUUAAGGGGGGAGGAUGUGAGGACCCAAAUUUUAUUUAUUUAUAUUUUAUUUUAUUGGGUUAUUUAUUUAAUUAUCUAUUUGUUUGUUCCAAUUAAUUUAUUUCAUUCAUUUUAAUUGUAUCCAUAUGGUACAUUGCCUCAUUUUAUAUUUUUAACAUGUUUUCUCUUAAAGUUAAUUUUUCAAUGGCAUGAUUAGUGAAAAUUAGUGAAUACACGUUUUUCGAGAUAAUAAUUGGUUUAAAAGUACAGUGGUCUUGGAGAAUUAAGGAUGAUCAAUUGUAGACUAAGAAAAACUAAUUGAGAGAUUAGAAGUGAGUGAGUUGCAUUAAUCUCAAUUACGAGCACUAAUAGGCCACUAUUAAUUUGUUGACUUUUUGCACCAAAGUAACAUUAUGUCCCAUCUUUCUUUCAUCAAAUCAUUUCACCAAAAAUCACUCAAAAACCUCUCUCUUCUCCCUUCCUCUUGGCCAGCCACUCCCUUCUCCCUUUAGCCAAAAAUUUUAGCUCCAUCUUCUUCAUUUUUGCUCACCAAAACUUGCUCCAACCUAGUUCAUUCUCUUGGAUCAUCAUCAAGCUUAGUAGAGGACUUGAAGGAGGAGAGAUUCUUGGUGGUUUAGAGCUUGAUUCCUUAUGGUUUUGCCUACUACUCUUGGAGGAAAUGUAACUCUCAAAUCUCUCAUUUUUCUUCCAUCUUAUGGUUAGUUUUUAGUUAGUGUGUAACUAGUUAAGCUUAGGUUGUUGAUGGGCUCCAUGAACCUUGACUUUAGGUAGAUGUCUUGAGGAAGAUUCUUAGGUAGUGGUCUUGAGAAUUUCUUGUUUGCUUGGUUGUUAAUUUAGUGAUUUAUAGUUUGGUUUUGAUAUGAAGAUUUGGAAAGAAAAUUUGAAGAGAAAGGGGUACAAGGCUGUCCGAUUUUUGUUGGUUCAUUUCCCUUGUUUUAAUUCCGAAUUUUGUGGUUAUAUUGAUACCAAAAUACUUGCUACAUGUUGGGUUAUGUGUGUGUAAAUUAUCUCCCAAAAAGCAUUUCAUUUGGAUGAGUUAAAGUUAGGUUAAAGGGAGGAAAAUAAACCUGAAACAAGUGUCUUCUAGAGAUUUGACUGAUUUCUGAUUUGAAUCUGGAAAAAGUGUCUUCUAAAGAGUUUUAGUUCAUUGAGUCUAUUUUCCAAUGGUAUAAGAUUUGAAAAUUUUGGACUUAUAGAACUCAAGUUAUAAUUUUUCAAUGAAGGUUGCUGGCACUAAAUUUUUCCUUGUAAAGUGACAAAACUUCAAAGUGACUUGUAAGUAUUUUCUAGGUUUCAAACCUAACUUUCUUGAUUAUUUGCACCUCAUUUCAUACUUGAAAAAUGGAUUUCACCCCCUAGUCUUAUGCCAUUGGUUUUCACGAAAGUGAACCAUAAAUUGGAGCGUUUAGCUAGAGUAAUUCUUGAGGAAUUGCACUAGUUUUAUAUUCAAAAGUUGGAACUUCUAAUUUCAAUAUUUCCUAUGAAAAUAAGUAGCAUUUUGAUGAAUUUUGACUCCAUAAGUUUAGAAAACGUGAACGCUCCUUUAUAUUCUACAACUUCAGUAUAGGAUUAGAAGUUUUAACAUAUGAAAACCAUUUUUCUUUUUCUCGAAUUUUGUCCCAAGAAUUAAGGUUGGUACUUUCUUUUGGAACCGAGAUUUCUUAUCAUGACUUGACUCGAAAAUGACUUUUGAUUUCUCCUUGAGUGUUAUUUCAAUGAUUAGGAGAGAAAGUCUCUUUUAACUCGACUUGAACAUGGAGCUUUUGAGUGUGGGUAACAAGAGGAUAUUUUCGUAUUGGUCUUGGUCGAAUACCUAGGUAAUCGUGAUUGUACAUGUCUCAGGUGGUCACGUGGACGCCGAGGAGCUUGUCUGACCUCUUGCUUUUGCUCUUACUUUGUCCCUGACUUUUGGUGAGUGUCAAGUGCAUGUUUCAUGUACUAUAACUGAAAUGAUUUUUGUACAAGUGCUAUGUGAAAUUGUUAUGAUUUGUGAACUUGCUGAGUCGAGGGUGUACUUUAUUGUUCUUGUCCUUUCCUUCUUGAAUACUCACUAUUUGUUCAUGAAUUUGCAUAACUUGCACUUGUGCUCGAAUAUGCUUGUAACUCGUGAGUAUUGAGCGGUAGCAUGUACCAUACCCUAUUCAGGUGGGAGAUGCCUCUUAUACCGAUUCAGUACUAUAAUCAAUUUUAAGUCGAUUAGAGCGUUGUCUUAUUGACCACUCAUGCUUGUGGGGACGCCCAAACCAUUGGCUAACCUCGUAACUCGAGUCGGCAAGGAUUUGGUGGAGAAGUUUGGUGAACCAUGGGAAAUUAAAAAACUUGAUCUUUUGAGAUCUUGCUUGGCAUACUCGAGUAGUAUUGCCAUCUUGUACUUGUUUGGUUCCGGAUUCGAGAGGGUGUUAUGAUGGAUGGAGAAAGUAAGUGGAGCUCUACGGACAUGUUGCUACUUGAGUAAAGAUGGCUUGAACCGGUCGAGAUGUGGAAAUAGUGUGACAUCCCCACUUCUUCUUAGGGCAAAUCUAAGGAUAUCCGCGAAACGUCUGCCUAACUCUCGCCAGCACUCGAUACAAGUAAAAUUUAAACUUAACGAUACACCACCAAUAAUAAAAGCCAAAAUAAAGAAAAGUCUCUUCCUUACAUAAAUAGUCAAAUCUCACAUCAUGAAGUUUUCAAAAGUACAUCAAAUCUCCAAAAUAUACAACCACUAUAAAUCGACUAGGCAAUUACAUCCCAAGAUUUCCAAUCAAAAGUUAUCAAGUCGAUUUCUCCAAAAUCUUUUCAAUCCGAGCUCCUGUCAAGGAAAACAAACUAAUGGGGUGAGCGAACGCUCAGUGAGGCCAAGAAAAUCAUGCAAACACAUAGUUCAAGUAACAAUAACACUUAUACGAAAGAUAAAGCUAAAAAGUUCAUGUAAUUCAGAAUAAAUAAUAAAACACAAUCAAUAAGGAUACAGGAGCUCUCAAGAGUUAGAUUCCACUUGCUAUGUCGAGACUCGAUCCAAUACCUCUACGUGAUAACUCUCCGUCAAUCGAGUAUGUAUUAAGUCCAUAGAAUUCUACUUAUCAUCAAGUUUCCGUCCACCGUUACACCCCCUAACCGGGCACGAACGUCGAUUAGAAGAGGCAAUACUACUCGAAUAUUCCAAACAAGAUCUCUCAAAAUAGAUCAUGUUUUAAAAUCUAUCUCAUGGUUCACCAAACUUCUCGACCAAAUCCAUGCCGGCUCGAGUCACAAGGUUAGCCUAUGAGUUUGGACGUCCCUCACAAUUAUAAGUAUAAGUCGAUGAGAUUUACUCCAAUUGACAUCGAUUCAACACAAAUAUAAUUAUAAAUCGAUGAGAUUCACUCCAAUCGACAUUUAGUCAAACACAAGUAUAAUUUUAUAAGUCGAUGAGAUUCACUCCAAUCGACAUCGAUUCAACACAAAUAUAAUUUUCACUUCACAUAAUUCAAUUAUAAAUUCACUUAAAAGAGAACGAGUAUGAUAAAGUACACGCUUGUCUCGACAAUUUCAAAGUACUCAAUUAAUAAGGAACAAUUCAGCAUAUAGCAACAAUUCAUGCACUUGACACUCACCAAUUCAAAAUAAGUGAGUAAAUAAGCCCUUUAGUGUUCCGCUCCAAGGUUUCCGUCAAUAUCCUCUUAAGUGCCUGAAAAAAUAGUGAUCAAUUAUCACUCACAUAUACUUACAAUCACUUAACAUACAAGGAAGGAAAUGUAUUUGCUUAAACUUAGAACAAUGUCUCAAAAGAGUUUCACUCUAUUGAAAUUCGAGAUUCAAAAGUGAGAAUUUAAAGUCUCAAGUGAGACUUGAAUCAUCCAUGAAAUCAAGUUUAAAAUGAUCUAUCAAUAUCGAAAGGAAAUGAAAAGUUCUUAAAAACUCAUUUCCUACGAAAUCGGAAAUUUUUCGCUUUACGCGACUAUACUUAAAAAAUCAGAUUUUGAGUUUGGUACGUCCAAAAAUGAAAAACUUUACAUUAUUUGAAACUAGAUUAAAAGUACUAAAACUUCGCUAAAGACACUUUUCCAAGAUUCCAAAAAGAUAGCAUUCAUAUUUCAGCUCAAAGUUGCUGAUUCAUGAAGACAAGACAGAACCAGCCUUGGUUUUCAACGAUGUUUGAAAAUUCAGUAAAAUUCACAGAAAAUGAACUAGCUUCUAAAAUUUAUAAUACAAUAAGAGUUCCAAAUCAAGUUUCAAACACAACAAGCAGAACUAAAUUCAGAAUUUUGAGCAACAGGAUAUAACAAUUUAAAGUCAACUGGUUUUGGCAACCUGUUCAGAAGAUUUUCCAGUUUUAAAGAGCAAUCUUUGGGGCAUUAUUUGGCUAUCGAAAUAGUAUUGAAAUUAUGCCAAAUUUGGUACACUUAAACUUUCAUAUGUGGACUACCUCUCUAUAAAAUAUAGGCAAUAACUCCCACGAGAAGGCAGUUAACAAAAUGACCAAAGUUUGUGAAAUUUCUCAAAGCUAAUCUGCCAACCCUAUCACUCUUUCUUUUUCAAAAGUUUUGUCCAACGAAAUCAACUCCAAUUCGCACCAUAUUUUAAACCAAGAUUCCAAAAACAUUUAAUGAGCAAUUGAUGGAUAAAUGAUACUAAAAUUUUCAAAAUAUAACAUUCCAAAGCAAACUUGACAUUUCGGUCAGCAGGGAAGGGAAAAUUUUUCAGUUUUGAUCUUUGUUGUAGUUUCAAAAUCAAACCAUAUAUAACUCUAUACAAAUCCAAAUUGAGAAUAGUUUAUGGCAUUGGGAACUAGGUUCAAAAUACUACAAUUCAUCAGAAGGCAUCAUUUUGAAAAUCUUUUUACAAGUGGAACAAAAUCGAGCCACAAGAUGCAGCUUCCUAGUUUGAUUCGGAAACAUAGGCAAAGCAGGACAGUCCACUUUGCCGACUCAGCACAGUUUGCUCAAAAUGAACUAGUAGGUGUUUUUUAUACCAUUGGAAAGCUCUGAAUGUCUAGUUUUGAAUGCCACUGACAGCACUCAAUUUUGAAUUUUGCACAAAAAGUUAUGUUCGGACAAAGAACCACUAUCCAGUUACUCUACUAGCAAUUUUCAGAUCUGAAACUUUUCCCAAAACUCAAGUUUUGUGCAACCAUUCGACAUGAUUUUUGAAAGACACUUUCUACACACAAAAUAAAACAUAUAUCCAUCAAUUUAACAAUCAGCCAACCAUCAAAAUUUCGAAACUAAAACAGAACAACAUGACCAGAAUUUCGGCCAGCUUCCUUUCGCAACUUUCCUUCGAUUUCUCUCCACUUUCUAACCAUAAUCAUCUUAUUCAUCACAUAAACAACCAUAAUCAAACAAUCAAGCCUCAAGUCAGCUACCUAGAGGCCUCAUCAAGAUAGCUAGCCUAUGAUUUAAAGUGAGAUAAAUGGUUCCUCAAGUCCGCUAGCCUAUAAACAUGAUUAGGGUUUUAAACCCAUGAAAACCAACCGCUAAACUUUGAAGAAAUGGAAAGAUUAAAGAGAUGAAGUGAUUACCCUUUAAACCCUAGAUGAAGACCAGAUUUUCCACCAAUAAUCACCAAGCAACACCUCAAGCUUUCAGCCUUUCUUCUUGUUGGAGCAAAAACCCAAGAAAUUGUGAGUUAAAUGGAAUGAAUCAAGCAAACUUGGAGCAAGAAGUUGAAGUUCCUUUCUUCCCUUUUCUUUCUUCUUGGUCGGCCAAAUAAAGGAGAGAGAGAGUGAGGGUUUUGUGGUUUAGUUGCUUGGAGGGGAAGAAUGAAAAAGGUAGCCAUAAAGUGUGCACAAAAGUCAACCCUCAACAGUGCGAAAUAAUGUCGUGCACUACCACUUACUCUCUUGUUUGAUACACUCAUGCACUAAUCCUCCAAUGUAAUUCCUUUAAUACUGUAAUUAUUCACACUUACUAGUCUAGUAUUAAAUUCUCCAAUCUCCAAUUAGUCACGCGGUGCGACCUUCGAGAAACUUUCGACGCGCACGCGGUAAAAGUUUAAUUUCACUCACUCACGUCUAAUCCUUCAAUUAACUUUUCUUAAUAUACUAUUAAUCAUUCUUAAUUCUCUAAGAUUAUUGCAAUCUCUGACCGAAUAUCGUCUCGAAAAAUGUGUAUUCGCUAUUCCUUACCAAAUGAGUUGCAGAAAAUUAAUUUUGCUAAUGGAACAUUUUAAAAAUAUAAGUGAGACCUUGUUCCAUGAAAAUAGAUUUAAAAUGUUUGAAAUAAAUUAUUCGGAGAAAAGGGGUGAAUGACUAAUUAAAUAAGCUAGUAAAAUAAGAAAAUUUUUGGGUCCUCACAAAUAGCUCUUGAGAGUUCCUGUACCCUUUUACGUGUGUUUUACUUUCUAUUUGUGCACUUAAAUGAAAUUUCAUAUUGAUCGUUUCUAACUGUGAUAUUUGAUUUAAUUUGUGCUACUUGCUUGUUUGUUUGACUUUCUUGAACUCACUGAGCGUUAACUCAUCCCUUUAAGUUUGUUUUCCUUAAUAGGUUUUGGAAGUGAAAGUGGAGGACUCUAGACUAGCGACUUUUGGUUGAAGCUAGUGAACCUUUUGUAGGUUAUUGGAGACAUUUGAAGUGUAAAUUUUGUUAUAAUUGGGGAUUUUGGAUUGUAAUUGUAAAUAGUAGCCCUAGAAGAAUUUGGAUUGUAUAUUUGUAGUAUUUUUUUAAUCCUAAAUCUAUGAUUGACUUGUGGAUCGCUAUUAAACUUGAAUGAGUGCAUAAGUUAUGACGAGAGUUGGAUAGGCAUCCCACUGAAACCCUAGAGUUCGUCCUAGGGAGAUGUGGAGGCGUGUCACACAUUUGAAAGCUAACUCAAGAACUACAAUUUUUAUGUUUCGUGAAAAGGCUAAUUUGGCUUUUAUCAUUGAAAAAAUUCCAGUUGAACUUGGUAAAAAAAUAGAGUAAUAUUGUAAAUUGAGCAAAAUAGUGUAAACCUGCUGCAACUUGCAAGAGCAAGUUGUAGACAUUUCACACAAGUUUUUGGACCAAUUUUUCUACAAGAGAAAACUACUAAAUCUAGCAAGAUUUGUCUUGGAAAAGUUAAAGACAACUUUACGACUGCAUUAUGAGCAUAUUUUUUCCUUCAAAUACAUCUAUAAAUACCCCUUGUAUCGCAUUAAUUAGAAAAGGAGAGAAGGUUAGAGAGAACUAAAUAGUUGUAGCUUAGAAUGCCACACACCAAGCCCGCACCUUGCCUGGAAUGCAACUGCCGCCGUACCCCAAAGAGAAUAAUUGUGCAAGAUACAAGACCUCGAUAAUCAUUACAUCUUAUUUGCGGAAGCAAUAGAAAAUCUGGUGUGAAACUUUUUUCUAUUAAUACAUAAAUAAAAAAUAAAAUAAUUAAGUAAUCAUUCUAUUGAACCAUAUAUGCUCAUUAUUAACAUAACGGAUCCAAAUAUAACAUUUAUUCAAUCACUAUUUGAUUAUUCUACUAGCAAUCCUUGUCACCAUUAGUCUCAACAAACUUGUAUACGUACUCAUCCUCUGCAUAAAAUGUUAAAAUAUUGGGAUGACCAUCAAGUUACUCAGUGAGUGAAACAUACCGCUCUUGUUGGACCGAGUAUGUUACAUAUAUAUAUAUAUAUAUAUAUAUAUAUAUAUAUAUAUAUAUGAAUAUACAAUUAUACAUUUUAAAAAGUUAUUCACAUAAACACACAAUUUCAUGAAAAGUAAACAUUCCUUGCAUAUUAGUAUCAGAUAUAAACAUUGAUUAAACAGUUAACGGCUCUUAAUAGUUACACGCCUUCAUUGGCACUGAGUACUCAGUCUAGUGAUUGACCCCACUAGAACGGGUAGUCAAAGGGACCUCCAGAGUACCUUUUGAUCAACAUUGCACUUUACUUUACAUUACUUUACUUUGACAUUGGCAAAACUAUAGCCCUUACCGAUUAUGUGAUGACCAUUAGAGUCGUUACAUUAACUUUACACUUAAUCAAGUAAAAUCAAAUAAUUUUGUAUAAGCAUGAAUGUAACGACCCCACCUCUCCCAAGGGUAUAUCCUAAGAUAUCAAUGGACCGCCUGCCCAACUCUGGUCAAAACUUUUUAACAAACCACAAUAUCAAACUCAAUAUCCCACCUUAUGACAAGAUACGCCAAAUACAACGAAUACAUACAAUUGUCUGUCAAAACAAUUUAAAAUACAAAAGAGAGUUUAAGCUUACAAAUUAACAUUCAAAUAAUACAGUACUCUAAUCACUUAGUCUAACUAAAACAAAAGCUAAAUGCUAAUUUACCGAAUCAUGAACCAACCUUAGUAAGGAAAACAAAAGGAAAUGUAUGAGAUUGUGCCCAGUGAGAUCUAAGAAAGACAUGCAAUUUAAGAAAGCAAUUAUUUCACAUAUAUAAGUCGACAAAAAAUAUAAACAAGAGGUAUCAUAUAAGCACAUCAUUAAAAUCGAUAUGUCAAUCAUGAAGGAUACUGAGCACUGGCAACCACUCGAUCAAUCAGUAAUUCAAGUAGUUGACACUCCGUCAACUUUUAUGUCCAUGUAGAAUUGCCACUUCACACCACUCCGUCUACUUUUCACUCCUUACCGGGCCCGCACACUAACAAAAUUUCAAAGAUUGGUAUUACUCAAGUAUAUCCAGUAUAGCAUGGAUCCAACAUAUAUAUACUACCCAAGGUUCGCUAAUCGAGUCGACCAAACCCUUGCCGGCUCAACCUCGAAUAACUAGCCAAUGGGCUUUAGGACCCUCAUAUAUCAAUAAUAUCAUAUCACAUUCACUUAUAGCAAUAACACAGUAGGGUUGAGUGUGAUAAAGUACACACUCGUCCAUUCAUCAAUAAGUUCAAAAAAUGACAAUUCAUAGUCAUAUCAUUUUUCUCGAGCUCAUUGACAUAUCAAGCAUAUAUAUAGUGCUACCACGCACUUAGAACACUUACCAAAUAGCACUUAAACGUCCACAGAAGGAUCGCCUACACAUUCAGAUUGCAACCUUGACAGACAAAUACAACAUAUAAGUGAACAUUUAGUGUUCACCAAAUCAAUUCACUUAAACACGAAAACAUUGUUUUCAAAUUAGUCAACUUUAGUGUUCUAGACACUUCAGCCCAUUCAGGCUUUCAAAUCGACAAUUUAGGUAAAAAUAAAACUUUCCAUUAGGGUAAAAACAUUUCAAAAGUUUGGACAAGGCUUUCCACUCCUACAAGUUUUCUAGCAAGCAAAUCAUAGCAAAAGUCCACUUUUUCAAUUUCUUACAUUCGUAGUUUUUGUCCCAAAAUCAUCCCACAAACAAGGAUCAAAGUUUAAUAAGGUUUCUUGAACUAAACAAACCAAAACUUCAUGAAAACAAGGAUCCAAAGUCAAAUCAGUCCAUAAAAUUGUCAACCACUAAACUUUAGAGAAAAUCUUACUUUCCUUCCCUUUAACUUCAAAAUUUUGAUCCAAAAUCAUUAUACAUACCAAGAUCAAAGUCCAAUAGAACCUUUUGAACUAAAUUUCACCCAAAACAGUUUUUAAAAUAGAAAAUUAAAACUGGAGUUUUAGCUUGCAAAUUCGGCCAGCUUAGACCAUUUUUUUUUUCAGCUUUUGCUACUAUACUUUUUCCAACAAGAUAACCUACAUCACCACUUCAUUUUCUUACAAAUUUUUCAACAUACAUAGAGUCAAGUAGCAUCAACUUUCUUAAAAAUUUUCCAGCACAAGUGUACAAACAAGCCACAAAUUCAAGGGAGGUAAAGCUGAAAAUUUGUCCAUGAUAAUUGGCCAUCUAAACAGAAAUUUCAGCAUAUAUAUACUCCAAUUUUCACCAACAAUUCACCAUAAAUCAUACUCAAAUUUUCAAGAGCUUCAUCAAUCAUUAACCCUAGGAUCUCAAGAGUCAAGAUUCUACCAAAUUCUAGCAAAAUAUAUCAAGAUCUAAGUAUACCAAGAUCAUUAAAGUAUCUAGUACCAAAUUUUCAUAAAACUUUCAAAUCCAUCAUAGGUUUUUCACAAAUAUCAUAAAUCUACCAAGAUCUAGUCCAAAAUUACUUGAAAAGCAAAAGAAUGAAAUAGAUGAGCCACUUACCUCUUCAAAGCUCCAAACUCUAGCAAAAUUAACCCAAAAAGAUGGCAAGAUCCACUCCUAGGAGUCUUUUUCUCUCAAAAAUUUUCCAAAAGUUCAAGUAGAUUAGUGAAAGGGAAGUUUGGAUCUUCAACAAUUUCAAGAAGAGUGAAGUUUCUCUCUCUCUCUCUCUCUCUCUCUCUCUCUCUCUCUCCCUCUCUCUAAUUUUUGGCCAACAAGAGGAGAAAAAUGAAGGAAUUUUGGUUGCUUUUGAGCUAAUAUACUAGCCACAAGAAAGGUUUUUAAGUCCAUUAUAAAUAGUGUCCGAAUAGUGUCUUCCACUUAAGUUUCUUGCUAUCAACUUUUAGCUUUUCUAACCUUCUUUUAAAUCCCAAAAUAUUUCUUAACUUCACUAAUAUCUCAACUUAUAUUCUUCUAGAAUUUUGGCCAAAUUCACUAAUAAGUCAUGAAAUCAACAAUUUUGAAGAAAUUAAUCGCUCGAAAAUUAAAAAUAAGCAAGCAAGAGAAACUCAUUUAUCACUUAACAAGUAAAUCACUAAAUGAAUGCUAAUUUUAUACAAAUAUAAUUUAAAUAGAAAUGCAAAUAGUUGGGAAGUGGAAAAAAUAAUUUUUCUAGGUCAUCACAUUCUCUUCCCCUUAAAAGAAUUUCAUUCUCGAAAUUUUUACCCGGUCUAGCGAAUAGAUCUGGACAGUUCUUUCGCAUUUCCUCCUCCAUCUCCCAAUUGGUUCUUCUAUUCCAUGGUUUCUCCAUAGGACUUUCACCAAACAGAUUUUCUUCCUUCAUAACUCUUUCACUUCCCUAUUCAAAAGUUGUACUGGUUGUUCCUUAUAAGUUAAUGAUUCGUCAAUCUCUAAAUCUUCAAGUUGGAAUAUAUGAGUUAGAUCUGGAUGCUACUUCUUAAGUAGAGAGACAUGAAAAAUAUCAUGGAUUCUAGAAAGACUUAAAGGUAACUCCAAACGAUAUGCAACACUUCCCACUCUAAAUCUUCAAGUUGUAAAAUCUUAAACUGUUCCACAUACCUCGGCUUGAGUUUCUUCCUUCCUUUUUUCUGUCAUGAUACUAGAUUUCAAUGGUAUAAUCUUAAGGAAAACCCUAUCCCCAACUUCAAACUCUACAUCUUUUUUCUGAUUAUCUGCAUAGCUUUUUUGCUGACUCUGAGCUGCUUGAGUCAUUGAACGUAUAAUUUUCACUUUCUCAUAAGCAUCUUCAAUCCAUGGUAAUGUUGUUGGAUCCAUAAUUUUUCUUUUUCCUACUUCUUUCCAAUAAAUUGAGGAAUGGUAUUUCCUCCCAUAAAAAGCCUCAUAAGGAGCCAUUUGAAUAAUCGAGUGAUAGCUAUUAUUAUAGGCAAACUCUACCAAGAUUAGAUAUUGUCCCAAACUUUCUCCAAAAUCCAAAACGCAAGUCCUCAACAUAUCUUCAAGGGUCUGAAUAGUCCUUUUCGAUUGUCCAUCGGUCUAAGAGUGGUAAGUAGUGCUAAAUUUAAACUUAGUUCCCAAAAAUUCUUGUACCUUUUGCCAGAACUGAGACACAAAUCUAGGAUCUCUAUAUGACACUAUACUUACUGGCACCCCAUGUAACCUUACAAUCUCAUCCAAGUUGACUUUGGCUAAUUUCUCCAAAGGAUAUUUCAUGUUAAUCUGCAAGAAAUAAGUAGUCUUAGUUAAACGAUCGACUAUCACCCAAAUUGUAUCAUAACCUUUCUGAGUCCUCGGUUAACCCAACAUGAAAUCUAUGGUAAUAUGCUCCCAUUUCCACUUAGGUACUUCUAACGGCUACAGUAAUCCUGAGAGUUUUUGAUAUUUUGCUUUCACCUGUUGACAAAUAAUGUAGGUCUGAACGAACUGUGCUAUUUCCUUCUUCAUAUUAUCCCACCAAUACAAUUGCUCCGAGUCUCUAUACAUUUUAUUACUUACAGGAUGUAUUGAAUACUUUGAGCGGUGAGCAUCUUCUAAAAUUUUUCUUUUUAUUCCAUCAUCGCUUGGCACCACUACUCGAUUUCUAAACCUUAAAACUCCAUCGGAUCCCAAGCAAAAUUCUGGAAGUUCUCCUCUUUGCACUUUCUCACAUCACUUAUAAACCACAGGGUCUCCCUUUUGAGCUUCCUUAAUGCGUUCCAACAAAGUGGAUCUCACAACUAUAUUCCUACAAAUCACCUUUUGAUGCUUAAUUUGAGGAUUUCAUUCACUAAUCCUUUCUAAUUUGCCAUUCCUUACACAUAAUCCCGGCUAUCUAAACUUUUAGAUUUAAUGCAUCUACUACUACAUAUAACCUUUUCCGAGUGAUAAUUAAUAAUACAAUCAUAGUCUUCCAAAAAUUCCAUCCAUCGACGUUGCCUCAAAUUCAACUUUUUUUUCAAAAAACAAAUACUUAAGACUUUUAUGGUCUGUAUAUAUCUCAAAAGUCACCCCAUAUAAAUAAUGUCUCCACUACUUGAGGGCGAAAAUUACCACGGCUAACUCCAAAUCAUAACUCGGAUAAUUUUGCUCGUGAGGUUUUCAUUUUCUAGAGGCAUAAACUAUUACUUUUCCUUUUUGCAUCAAUACAUCUCCUAACCCUUCUUCCGAUGCAUUUGUAUACACUGUGAAACCCUCUUUCCCACUUGGCAAAGUCAAAAUCGGUGCACUAGUCAACUGCUUCUUCAAUUCAUGAAAACUAGCCUUACACUUGGUACCCCAGAAAAAUUUAGUAUUUUUCUUGGUUAACUCAGACAAUGGCCUGGCAAUCUUGAAAAAAAUCUGGAAUAAAUCGACGGUAGUAACCUGUUAAACCCAAGAAACUACGAAUCUCGGUGAAAUUUUCUGAUUGCUUCCACUUAGAUACCGUAUUUACCUUCGUUGGGUCCACAGUUAUUCCAUCUUUAGAAAUUACAUGCCCAAGGAAGGAUAUUUCAUCCAACCAAAACUCGCACUUGCUAAACUUAGCAUACAACUGAUGUUUCCCUAGAAUUUGCAGUACUAUCCUCAAAUGGUAUUCAUGAUCUUCCUUUGUCUUCGAGUAUAUCAAAUAAUUAUCAAUAACGAUCACUACAAACUGAUCCAGAUAAGAUUUAAAAAUUCGAUGUAUUAGAUCCAUAAAAGUUACUGGGACAUUAGUCAAUUCAAAAGGCAUCACUAAAAAUUCGAAAUGCCCGUAUCUAGAAUUAAAAAUAGUUUUAGGUACAUUCUCUUCUUUAAUUCUUAGUUGAUAGUAUCCUUGUUUAAGAUCCAAUUUAGAAAAUACCGCAACUCCUUGUAAUUGAUCAAACCAUUCAUCCAUGUAACAUAAAGGAUGUUUAUUCUUAAUAGUAAUAUCAUUCAACCCUCGAUAAUCAAUGCACAGUCUCAAACUCUCAUCUUUUUUCUUAACAAAUGAAAUUGGAACUCCUCAAGGCAAAUCACUCUCACUAUAAAUCUUUAUUCCAGUAAUUCUUGUAAUUAUAACUUCAAUUCUUUCAAGUCAACUGGUGUCAUCCUAUAAGGAGUUUUAGAAAUAUGUGCAGUCCUUGGCAACAAGUCGAUUUUAAACUCCACAUCUCUCUCAGGUGGUAACAAGACCAACUCCUUAGGAAAAAAAUCGAAAAAAUCUUUCAAUAUUGAUACAUCUUCCAACUUCACUUAUUCCCCUGGGGUAUUAAUUAGGAAGGUUAGGUACUCUCGAUCUCCUUUACUUAGCAAUUUUUUAGCUAGAAUCCCUGAAAUAAGAGUUGACGAGGCCAACUUCCUCCACGUCCAGCCUUAGUAUUGCUUUCCUCGGAAUGCACAAUUUCACAGCUUUCAUCUUACAAUCCAACCGAACAUGAUAUUGAACUAGCCAAUCCAUCCCCAAAAUGACAUCAUAUCCCCUAAUCAGUAAACUUAUUAGGUCAGCCAACAACUUAGACUCCUUAACUCAAAUCUCACAAUUUCUGUACACUAAAUUAGAAGUUAAGCAUUGAUCCCCCAUGGGUGUUCUAACUUCCAAAUUAUAAGGCACUAUAGCAGGUUUUACAUCUACCCCACUCAUAAAAUCAAGUUUCACAAAUGAAUGAGUCACACCAGGGUCUAUUAAAAUCGUAACUAAGUGGAAUACACGGAUUGCACCUUCUAUAACUUCAGUCGAGUCAGGGAUUUGUUGAUGAUCCAAGGCAUAAACCCUAUCUGGCACUUUAGGUCUACCCCCUCCUAAACUCGCUGGCUUAGUAAUAGCUUAUCUGAUUAUUGGGUGUUACUUCCUUCUGAAAACAUGAGGGGGCAACUAGAGAUCUGAUGCUCGGCAUUUUCACAAUGAAAGCACCUUUUUCCUUUCUUCCAACAAUUGCUCUCAACGUGACCCGAUUUUUCACAAUAACCAUAGGGUGCAUGAGAGGUUACUUUCUGGCUUCCUUGUGAGGUAUUCUUUGACUGUCUCGGACCACCUUGGCCUCUUCUCGCUGGAGCCACUCUAAGUGGCUCUAACAUUUUAAUUCUACCGGUCUCUCUGCCAAUUUCAGGAGGUGGCAUGCUCUUACUGGUUUGCCCUAAUGUGUCACUCGGUAUAUUCUUUUUUCUCGCUUGAAAGGUUUUGACUUGAAGCCUUGCACUUUCGAUCCUAUGAGCCUUUUCUAAUGCCUCGACAAAGGUAUUAAUCUGAACUGCUACUAGAGCCUCCUGGAUCUUCACAUUUAGCUCUUGUACAAAUCUCCUACCCUUUUCCGUUCAGUUACGACCAAUUCCGGAGAAAAUUUUGAAAGUCUAGUAAAUUGAGUCUCAUAUUCUAUCACACUUAAUUUGCUUUGCCGAAGUCUUAUAAAGUCAUCAUCUCUUUUCUCUUGAAUCAAAGGAGAAAGGUACUUUUCGUUAAACUCUCUCACGAAAUUUGUCCAAGUCCAUGGGGUCCGAUUUCUCUCCCACUUAAUUCUCACAACAUUUCACCAAGAUUGAGAUAUUCCCUCAAAUUGGAAAAUGACGAAAGAGACUUGCCACUCUUUAGUGUAAUUUAGGACAUUAAAGAUAUCGAUCAACCUUUCGAGGCAACUCUUAGCUAUCUCAGGGUCAAGCUCUCUCAAGAACUUAGGUGAAAAAAAUUUUUAAAAUCAUUUUAAAGCUCUAUCUACUCCUUCCUCAAAACCCUCAGGUUGAAUCAUGGGUUCUUAACCCUGUCUAUCUACUAUCCUCUCCAAGAGGUUAGUCAUUCAAUUGAUGGCCUUAGACACUUGGUCACCUCCUUCAGCCUUUGGCCCCCGAUUUUGAUCAACUGCAGAUCCUUGAUCACUCCUUUGCUCUUGGGGUUGUUUAUGUCCCCGACCACAACCUCGACCUCGACCAUCCAUGGUUUUAAUGCAAGUCUAAAUAUGCAUAAACAAAAUUUAACUACAUGUACAAACUAUAACACCAAUUAAAAGUAAAAUAAACAUUUCAUUCACGAUAACAAGUCAUAGACAUGUACAUUAGACCAAAAAAGUUCAUAAAAUUUUUCAAAUUAAGAGAGAUAGGCCAGAAUACACAAAAUACAGCAUCCAAACUAAUCAAGAUCACAAAAAUAUCAAAAGAAACCCUAUCUAAUGACUAUCUCCUAUACACAAAAAGGAAAGACUUUCAAAAUGCGCUAUCCUAGUCCACAACAGAGCCAACAGAUUCUCUCUCAUGAGUAGAACUAUCCUAACCCUCCACAGGUACAUUAGCGCCAAUCAUCCCCUGAAGGAGCUCAGUCCUUGAUCUCUCUGACCACCCUAGUGAGGCAGCCAUUAACUACCUGCAGCUGCUCUUUAAAAGCAUUCGUUCUCUUCUACUCCAUCAGUAUAUCCUCCCGGAGCUCUUGAAUCCUAUCAGCCUGCAUCCUCAUGAUGCCUCUCAUCCUCUGAAUCUCAGUUUGAACCCUACAGUUGCUCUAGCUAAUCUGCUCCUCUCAUCAUCUACAGUUAGGACUACUCGGUCAGGAUACGAGUAGAUCCUCCAACAAUCGCAGGGCCGAAUCCGAUGCCCAGGUCCCUAAUGCCGGAGAGGUCCCCUAGGUCUCUCUCGCUAAGCAAUGACUCGACGUGGUCUCGCUGGAUCCUCAUUACCGUUAUUCCCUCUUUCCAUGUCCUACAUGACAAUAGAAGAAGAAACUUAGACUUACCUAUCAAGUUUAAACGCUAACACUUAAAAGUCAAUACUUAAACAAUUCUCAACUUAAUAAGUCAUUCUAGCACUCCUAUUACUUCAUAUCUAUAGGAUUCCCUCUUCUGCCCAAAUUACUCCGAAACCUAGGCUCUAAUAUGUCAAUCAUGAAGGAUACUGAGCAAUGGCAAACACUCGAUCAAUCAGUAAUUCAAGUAGUUUACACUCCGUCAACAUUCAUGUCUAUGUAGAAGCGUCACUUCACACCACUCCGCCCACCUUUCACCCCCUAACCAGGCCGCACACUAACAAAAUUUCAGAGAUUGGUAUUACUCGAGUAUAUCCAAUACAGUAUGGAUCCAACACAUAUACACUACUCAAGGUUCGCUAAUCGAGUUGACCAAACUAUUGCUGGCUUAAUCUCAAAUAACUAGCCAUUGAGCUUUGGAACCCCCAUAUAUCAAUAAUAUCAUAUCACAUUCACUUAUAACAAUAACAAUUCAGUAGGAUCGAAUGCGAUAAAAUACACACUCGUCCAUUCAUCAAUAAGUUCAAAAAAUGACAAUUCAUAGUCAUAUCAUUUUUCUUGAGCUCAUUGACAUAUCAAGCAUAUAUAUAGUGCUACCACGCACUUAGAACACUUACCAAAUAGCACUUAAACGUCCACAGAAGGAUCGCCUGCAUGUUCAGAUUGCAACCCUGACUGACAAAUACAACAUAUAAGUGAACCUUUAGUGUUCAUCAAAUCAAUUCACUUAAACACGAAAACUUUGUUUUCAAAUUAGUCAACUUUAGUGUCCUAGACACUUCAACCCAUUCAGAAUUUCAAAUCGACAAUUCAGGUAAAAACACAACUUUCCAUUUGGGCAAAAGCAGUCCAAUAGUUUGGACAAGACUUUCCACUCCUACAAGUUUUCUAGCAAGCAAAUCAUAGCAAAAGUCUAUUUUUUUAAUUUCUUACAUUCGUAGUUUUUGUUCCAAAGUCAUCUCACAAACAAGGAUUGAAGUUUAAUAAGGUUUCUUGAACUAAACCAACCAAAACUUCAUGAAAACAAGGAUCCAAAGUCAAAUCAGUCCAUAAAAUUGUCAACCACUAAAUUUUGGAGGAAAUCUUACUUUCCUCCCCUUUAACUUCAAAAUUUUGAUCCAAAAUCAUUAUACAUACCAAAAUCAAAGUUGAGUAGAACCUUUUGAGCUAAAUUUCACCCAAAACAGUUUUUAAAAUAGAAAAUUAAAAUUGGAGUUUUAACUUGCAAAUUCGGCUAGCUUAGGCCAUUUUUUUUGUAGCUUUUGCUACUUUAAAUUUUCCAGCAAGAUAACCCACAUCACCACUUCAUUUUCUUACAAAUUUUCAACAUACUUCAACCAACAUACAUAGAGUCAAGUAGCAUCAAUUUUCCUAAAAACUUUUUAGCACAACUGUACAAACAAGCCACAAAUUCAAGGGAGAUAAAGCUGAAAAUUUGUCCAUGAUAAUUGGCCAUCUAAACAGAAAUUUCAGCAUAUAUAUACUCCAAUUUUCACCAAUAAUUCACCAUAAAUCAUACUCAAAUCCUCAAGAGUUUCAUCAAUCAUUAACCCUAGGAUCUCAAGAGACAAGAAUCCACCAAAUUUUAACAAAAUAUAUCCAGAUCUAAGUAUACCAAGAUCAAUAAAGCAUUUAGGACCAAAUUUUAGUAAAACUUUCAAAUCCAUCAUAGAUUUUUCACAAAUACCAUAAAUCUACCAAGAUCUAGUCCAAAAUUGCUUGAAAAGCAAAAGAAUGAAGUAGAUUAGCCACUUACCUCUUCAAAGCUCCAAACUCUAGCAAAAUUAACCCAAGAAGAUGGCAAGAUGCACUCCUAGGAGUCCUUUUCUCUCAAGAUCUUCCAAAAGUUCAAGUAGAUUAGUGAAAGGGAAGCUUGGAUCUUCAACAAUUUCAAGAAGAGUGAAGCUCUCUCUCUCUCCCUCUCCCUCUCUCUAAUUUUUGGCCAACAAGAGGAGAAAAGUGAAAGAAUUUUGGUUGCUUUUGAGCUAAUAUACUAGCCACAAGAAAGGUUUUUAAGUCAACUAUAAAUAGUGUCCGAAUAGUGUCUUCCACUUAAAUUUCUUGCUAUUAACCUUUAGCUUUUCUAAUAUUCUUUUAACUCCCAAAAUUUUUCUUAAAUUCACUAAUAUCUCAACUUAUAUUCUUCUAGAAUUUUGGCCAAAUUCACUAAUAAGUCACGAAAUCAACAAUUUUCAAGAAAUUAAUCGUUCGACAGUUAAAAUAAGCAAGCAAGAAAAACUCAUUUAUCACUUAACAAGUAAAUCACUAAAUGAUUGCAAAUUUUAUAGAAAUAUAAUUUAAAUAGAAAUGCAAAUAAUUAAGAAGUGAGAAAAAUAAUUUUUUUUGGUCAUUACAAUGAACAUCUCAUAUACAUUAGAUUUCAUAACAAGAAGCAUUAAGGUUCAAUGCAUAUAACCAUACAAGGUCCAUUUUCAUAUAGAGAAAGUAACGCUUUGCUAAACAUUGCCAAAAAGAUUUUAGAAAGUACAAAGGGGUAAAUCCCACUCACCUUGAUUAGCUUGGAAGACUGUCCUACUAGGGUUUUUGAUCUUUGCCUUCUAUCCCUAGAGAGAUAACAUGUAAGUCUAUUACUUUACACAUAUUGACUGUUCGUCACUUAUUUCUUUAAUAUAUCCCCUAGAGAUGUUUAACUCUAGGACACCUAACAUUUCUAAACGAGUAAAGUUUCUGUAUCUAAUAUUUCCUUUUUAAAUAAGUUUCCUAUUUUAGAAAGUUCCUUUCUUGGAAAGUUGCUAUUUUUGGUAAGUGUAAACAACUUUGGAAGGAAUCCUAGUUUAGGUCAAUAUUAUUGGAAAAAUCAAUCAUUAAGGAAAGUUUAGUUAAUUUAGUUAAUUCUUUAUUUUAGAGAGGUCAUGAAUUAACUUAGGAAAGUCCAUAACUUUGGAAGUCAUUUAUUUUAGGAAAAAAGUUCUUAAAAUGUCAAUGACAAUUUCAAUUGUUGUAUCCUAGUAGUAACUUUAGUACAUCAAAGUUUUAAAAUUUAACCUUAAAGCUAAAUGAGGCAGUUGCAAGAAAUACAUAAAUUACAACACUAGACUAUUGAGUACUAUUACUAUUAAUGUUGUUAAUAAAAACUCAUAGUCAGUUGGUGUUAUCAUCUUAGUAGUCUUCUCCUUUUAGAUAGAAAUUUAUGCUUUCAAGCAUUAAGGUUCACUUUUCCUUAAGAUACUAUCACUGUCAUUUAGCUACGGAUAAUUAAUAAUGGUUAUAAGAUAAUCUUGGAACUGUUAUGAUAACAAAAGUAACAUUAGGGCGUUAAGGGCUAAAAAUUCAGUCUUACACUUGAAUAUUCUAGAUGUGACGGUACUAAAAUAAUUUGCAAGGUAUUGGUCAGGGACCACUGAUUGUACCAGAUUUGCAUAACUUUUAAAAGUCUAAAACACAAAGACUAAGAACCAGAUUUGAAUCAUACUUGUCAUAUCAAAUGUAAACUAAUUGCAUUACUAUGUGAACAAUAGUCUAAACAAAAAGAAACCUUAGUAAGGCAUUGAAGCUACUACGCUUAUACUAAACAUAAUCCAUAAUGACUCCAAAUCCAUGUAAUGACAUGUGCAUGGUAAUAAGAAAACUAAUAUGCAUAGGAUUUGACUACUUAUAUGUGAGUUGCAUUCUUAAUCGAUUCUCGAGCCAACAUGAUCUUUUGAAGGGUAAGUACUAUUGUUAGAUCAAUCAAGGCACAUUCAAAUGGAUUGAUUAUAACACGAACCUUUAGGAGUUACUUGACAAAUUCUAAUAGAACUUAAUCAACAAUUUUUAGAGUUUUAAGAUCUAGUUAAUUCUACUAAAAUUCAUAAACUAAAGUAGGUAUAAUAAAUCUUAAAAUCUAGACUGGCUUUUCAAAACAAUAAAGAAUAAAAAUCUUAGAGUUUUACUUGUAUUGCAGUCACGAGUUGUUCAAAGUUCCUUCUCCUCCCUCUUUUCCUCUUCCAAAAGAUUGCUCAACUUUUCCCUCAAACCCACCUUUGUAUUUGUCAGUUUUCCAGAGAAAGGAAAAGAUGAUUUAAUUUUUUUGAAUAGGGUAUGUAUAAGCCUCAGAUAAGUAGUGUUGUGUCAAGACUCAAUUAAAAAGUUAAUGUCCUAAUUAUUAGUUGAUAAUAUUUUCUAAAUGGAUUGAUUGAGAUUUGAUUUAUAAUUAGACAUAAAUGCUAUUAAUUGUAUUCUAAAUCUUACCAUAGGAAAUAUCCUAAUUAGUAAUGAAAAUAGGCUUGAUUAGUGGUUGAAUAGUAAUUACAUAUUAAUGAUACUAAAUGUAAUUGGAAACCUUACCAUAAAAAAUAAAGAAAAGAACUCACUAUAUUUAUUGAUCUUAUUACUAAUGUUUAGUAGUAUGACUAGAUUCCUUUGCCUAAGUAAUAUGGUAAAGGCAUGAUUUUAGGAUAUUACAUUCUACUCUCCUUAAAAUAAGUUUUGUUCUCGAAACUGACAUACCUUGUGUAAACAAUUGCUAAUACUUUGCUCUCAUUUCUUCUUUCAACUCCCAUGUUGCUUCUCUCUCUGUAUGGUUUGUUCAUUGGAUUUUGACAUACGGAAUCGCCCUUCACUUAAGCACCUGAUCCUUUUGAUUAACUAUUUUUACUGGAUGCUCUCCGUAGGAUGUGUUUUCCUUCACCUCUAGUGGUUGAGCCUCCAGUACAUUACUUGGAUCAGAGACAUACUUCCUCAAUUGGGACACGUGAAAGACAUUAUGGAUUUUCAAUAGAGCAUGUGGCAGUGUCAAACGAUACAUCAAAUUUCCUACUCUUUCAAGUCUCUCAAAUGGUCCUAUGUAUCUGGGUCUUAACUUUCCACUCUUUCCAAACCUCAUAAUACCUUCGAAGGGAAAAUUUUUAAAUAUACCUUAUCCCCUUGAUUAAACUCUAGCGGUCUCCUUUUAGUGUCUAUCCAUUUUUUAUUAUGAUCCUGAGCCGUCUUUAAUUUGUCUUUGAUGAUUCUAACCUUCUCUAAAGUCUUCUCAAUCAAAUCUGGUCCAGAAAUUAAUUCCUCUUCGACUCUAUCCCAAUAUAAUGGGGAUCUACACUUCCUUCUAUAUAAUGCUUUAAAUGGGGUCAUUCCAAUUCCACAAUGGUAGCUAUUAUUGUAGGAGAAUUCCAUUAGCUUAACCAUUCCAUCCCAACUUCCUUUAAAUUCGAGUGCACAUGCCCCCAGCAUAUCCUCCAAAGUUUAAAUUGUUCGUUCAGAUUGCUCAUCCAUUUGUGGAUGGAAAGCAACUCAAUCUAAGAUCUGUUCCCAUCAUUCUUUGGUAUGUAGACCAAAAUCUUGAUGUAAAUUUAGGAUCUCUAUCAAACACAAUACUUAUCAGCACUUCAUAUAAACAAAUUGUGUCUGAAAUGUACAUCUUCACUAAUUUUUCCAUGGAAAUUCUAUUUACAAUGGGUAGAAAAUGUGCACUUUUGCUCAAAUGGUCCACAAUGACCCAAAGGAUAUCAUGGCCUCCUUUGGUCCUUGGUAGUGCUACCACAAAAUCCAUUGUGAUAUGCUCCCAUUUCCAUUGUGGGAUCACCAAUGGCUGCCAUAAUCCAGCAGGUUUUUGAUGUUCAGCUUUAAUCUGUUGGCAUACUAAGCAUCUCGCAACAUAUGUAGCAAUUUUCCUUUUCAUCCCAUUCCACUAGUAUGUCUGUUUUAGGUCUCGAUACAUUUUAGUUCCUCCUGAAUGUAUAGAAAAUUUUGUACCGUGGGCCUCCUUUAAAAUUUUCUACUUUUUUUCUUCAUUCUUAGGUGCAUAUAACCUUCCCUUCAUCCAUAGGCUACCAUCAAUUUUUGCUUGAAAUUUCCCGGAUGUUUCAACCUUAAGUUUCUCCUUCAGGAUCUACCCUUUGUGCGUAUUUAAUUCUGUUAACCAAAGUUGGUGCUAACACCAAUGCAACUAAAACUCCAUCAGUAGAAUCUAUCACAUCUAACUUCAAAUCUGCCAUUUACUUUCUCAAAUUAGGGGUGCUAGCGGUAGUUGUUUUUCUACUGACAUCGGCUACUCAAUUUGCCUUUCCAGGAUGGUAGCUAAAUGGUCAAAUCAUAAUCCUUUAUCAAUUCUAGCCACCUUAAUUGCCUCCAACUCCUUCUAAGUAAAUAAAUAUUUCAAACUCUUGUGAUCAGUGAACACCUCACAUAGUUGCCUCUAUAGUUUUAGUACAAAAACAACUGCAGCUAAUUCUAAAUCAUGAGUCGGGUGAUUUUAUUCAUACGGUUUCGAUUGCUGAGAAGCAUAAGCACUCACUCGACCAUUUUGCAUUAACACACAAACUAACCCAUGCUUGAAUGCAUCAUCAUAAACCACAAAAUCAUCCAAGUCAGAUGGCAAUGUCAAUACAAGAGCUGAGUCCAAUUUUUGUUUCAACUUUUGAAAACUUGCCUCACAUUCAGGUGACCAUACAAACUUAUCUCACUUGUGAGUUAACUUGCUUAAAGGCACGGCUAUUGAUGAAAAUCCUUCAACAAAUUUUAGAUACUAUCCCAUAAAUCCUAGAAAACUCUUUACUUCUAUCACAUUAGUUAGCCUUGGCCAAUCCACAAUAGCUUUUAUCUUCUUAGGAUCUACUGCCACACCUUGAUUUGAUAUUACAUGUCUUAGAAAGGUUACACUCCUUAGCCAAAAUUCGCAUUUGCUAAAUUUUUCGUAUAACUUUUCCUUCCUUAAUAUCCCUAGUACUUCUCUAAGAUGCUCAGCAUGUGCUUCCUCAGUUGGAGAAUAUAGUAAGAUGUUAUCUAUGAACAUCACAACAAAAAUAUUUAAUUGGGAUCUAAAUAACCAAUUCAUUAAAUCCAUAAAUGCAGCAGGUGCAUUGAUUAAUCCAAAUGGCAUACUAAGAAUUCAUAAUGCCUGUACCUUGUCCUAAAUGCACUCUUAGGAAUACCCCCUUCUUUGAUUUUCAAUUCAUGAUAUCCAGACCUCAAAUCAAUUUUAGAAAAUACCUUAGCACCUUCCAAUUGAUCAAAUAAAUCGUCAAUUUUUGGAAGUGGGUACUUAUUCUUGAUUGUGAUUUUAUUUAAUUCUCAAUAAUCUAUACAGAGUCUCACACUCUCAUCCUUCUUUUUAACAAAAAGUGUGACGGCCCCACCUUCCCCUAAGGCAAACCAAAGGGUUCGGCGGACCGCCUGCCCAACUCUCGCCACGACUCAUUCACUCACUCAUAGUUCAAGCAAAAUAACAUACAUCCAUAGAAAAUGAAUAACACAUCCACUUCAACUUAAUAUAUACAUUGAUGCUCAAAUCCAGAUACAAAGUUUCUACACACCAAAAAACUUCAAAGUAUUUACAUUUCGAGUACAAUCAACCCUAGUCGGGUACUAGCGAGAGUACAAUUACAAAAUUCAAAACAAUUAGACUACGCUAGUCUGUGCAAGUCACAAGCCUCGCUCGUACCUCCUGUAAGGAAAACAAAUGGCGUGGAAUGAGCUAAAAGUCCAGUGAGGUUCCAAAUAACAAAUUGACCAUUUUUAAAAGUACGAAUAUCAACAUGGCGAAUUAAUGAGCAUCAAAAGUUCAGAAAAGUAAACAAUAACACUUCAAAUAGCAAAUCUCAAAGUGAGCGAGUGUAAAAGUUUUUCAGAAGAAAUAAUAAUCCAGUAAGCAAUAAUCAUUCCAAAGUAUAAGGAUACGGAGGGCUCUCAGGAGACAAAUUCCCAUUGCAUCACCAGGAGCUUGAUCACGUAAUAGUUGACACUCCGUCAACUUUCAAGUAAAGAAACCAAUCCAGUAGAACACCACUUACACUACUCUUUAUCCACCACUCAAACCCCCUAUUGGGCCCAAAAUCCUCAAUAAACACUGGUGGUAAUACUCGAGUAUACCGAUUAGUUGAGAAGAUAUCACUCCACUCGACAAAACAAAAGACACAGGGUUCGUUACCUAAUCGAUCAAGUCCUUGCCGGCUCGACUCGAGUAACUCGCCACAAGGUUUCUGGAAUUCCAGGAAGUGCGCACCAUAUACACAAAUAUAUCACAUCCAUUGCAACAAUAAACAAGUGUAUCUCAUAGUGCGAUAAAGUACACUCUUGCCCGAACAAACAAAUGACAUAUUAUUAAAUCACAUUGGUCAAGUAUUGAAAACAAGUAUCCAGUUCAAUCAGGUAUUUGGAAGCACUCACCAAAAGUAGUGCCUCUAGUGAUCAUGUCUGGGUUGUACUCCGGGUUUGGAAUCCAAAUCUGCGAUAAAACUUUGUUUAAGAACUUUAAAAAUCGACUAAGGUUCGAAACUUAGACGUUUCGUUCAAUAAGAAUCAAGAAAUGGAAAUUCACUUGGAGAAUAUUCGUGAAACACUCGCUCACUUUUCAAACUAUAUAACUUUGUAACAUUUAUACUUGGAAAUGCCAUUUGAGUCGAAAGUACAAGGAAAACGUAUUCUUAGUAGUCAUGAUUGUAUUUCUCAAGGGUACAAGUUCGGCCAAAUCCUCACUGAUAUACCUCGAUAAAAGAAGACGCAAAUAUCCUAGAUAGUUCAAGUGGUAAUCGCUCUUAACCCUUACUCAAGUUGCAAGUAUGUCUACCUAACCCUUGAGCGUAAAUUUGGGCAGCACGCCCUUUGUAUUUUCCUAAUUUUCCAGCCAUUUAUGGCUUCAUUCUUUUCCUCAAUCAAACCCAAAGUUGCACACAAAAUAAUCUUAUUUCAAUAGCCGUUCAAUAGACUCAAAGUCAUACAAGUACAAAAUCAAGCUAGGAACAUGUGCGGAAAUGAAGUUUAGCAAAAGACAGAUUUGACAUUGUUUGGCGUAACGGACACAACCGAAGCUAUGCUUAUCGGAUUGGGAUGAAAUUUAUACCAUUUCAAAACUAAGACAAAGGGCUACAAUGUUGAUGAGAUCACUUAGUCCAAAUUCUAGUGUAACCCAGUCAAAUUCCCAAUUCACAGAACCAAAUUCCAACUAACAGGCCAGUUAACCGCACUACCUUCAAAUGGCCAUAUCUCAAGCUACCAAAGUCCGUUUAAGACGUUCUUGGAGGCGUUGAAAAGCUAAGACAUAGUACUAAAACUUUCAUGUUUUGACCAAAAGCUAUUUCAGUAUGUAUCAAGGUGAACAAAUGCAACCAACUUAGUGUACUGUCAAAACUGUCCACUAACUUUACUCCUAUGGCGGUCAGGGUAUUUUCAUCUUUUCAUAGGCUACGUUGCUCCGAUUGGGCUGAAAUUUUGUAGAAAACCAUAAAAUAUCAUUCUCUACAACCUUCAUGUUUUGUGCUAAGCCUAAUUCAGCCUCUAACAUAAUGAACUGGAACCGGGCAGAACUGAAGCUACAAUUUCCAGAAAUCUGGAAUUUUGUUAUAUUCAAGCUAUAAUUCACAUUUUUACCUUAAAACUACCACUACUAUCUCCUUUACAAGAUUAUAUACCAUAUAUAUACAUCAUAUAACACCUCCCCCACAAGAAAUAUAAGUGAAUCAAUCACAACCCUAACUCAAAAUUCAUUACUCCAAUCAUCAAAACCAUUUGAAACAAGCAUCACAAGCACAAUUCUAAACUUAAUACCCAACUUAAUCAUGAGUAAUGGAGAAAGAAAGGUUGAUCAGCCAUUAUACCUCAAGACAAGAGCUUGCAAGAGUGAUCCCCCACUUCUCCUUGAAAUUUUUGAUUCCUUAAGCUUCCCAAGCUCCCAAACUAGUGAUUAAUCGGUUUAGAUUUCUUAUUUUCUCACUUAAGUGGAUCAAACUCAAGAUGGAUUGUGGUUUCUUUCUCUUGGUUUUUCUUCCUCUCUCUCUUGGCUGGUGUACUAAAAAUGAGGGGUAAAUUGAGUAGUUUUUAGUGAUAAAGAUGGUGGAAAUUAAUUAGUUAACAAACCAUUAGAUGGUCGCCACUUGUUGCUUUAAGAUUAACCUUCAAAUUUUGUCCUUUUUCCUUGUUUUUUGGUCAAAUAUUUCGGCCAAGCUUAGCUGAAAAAUGGGGUGAUAUUUUGCACUCAUAUCAAUGGUAUUGUAUGGUAGGAAAGUGGUGGUCAAGUGGUGUGUUCAAUCGAUAGUGAACGGUACCCGUCGGUUCUAGCCGUUUUUCCUUAAAUCGCGUAUACUAGGGUUUUAACUUAUAAUUUACUAACUUAUUAUUAUCAUCUCUAAUCCCAUACUUAAUAUCAUCUAAAACUCACUUUUAACUAUCAAAUUUGAUUCACAAUUCGCACUGGAUAGUCACACUACGGAUAGACGUAAAAACCCUAAUUCGCGCUAACUUGAAAACGAAAAGUGAAACCCUACUUUCUAGGUUCAUUUGCACUUAUUGUGGGGUGAUUGAGUAGUAGGGCUAUUAUAAAGUAAUAAUUUCCAAAUAAAAGGGCAUUUUUAAGAAAAAAUAUAAAGAAUUUUUUGGACUCUCACAAAAAGCACAGGUGCUCCGCAGGGUGCGUACUUGGCUGAAUAAAUUUCAUAUCAAGUAAUUCUUGAAAUUGGUCUUUUAACUCUUUUAAUUCUGUUGGGGCCAUUCGAUAAGGUGGCUUAGAAAUGGGUACUGCUUCAGAUGCUAAAUUGAUCUCAAACACCAUUUCCCUAUUAGGGGUAUCCCAGGUAGUUCAUUAGGGAAAACAUCUGAAAACUCUUUAACUACUAGUAUAUUUUCUAAGGAAAUACCAUUCUCUUUAGUGUCUACCACAUAGGCAAGAUAACUUUCUACACGAUUUCUUAAUGCCCUAGAUGGUUGUAAUGCAGUCAAUAAUAACUGCUCGUGUAUUUUCUUCUUUUUUUUCUAAAUUCCCUUGAAAAGAAACUUAUCUUUAGUAAGAUGAUUAAAAAUCACUUUUUUUUCUCCUACAAUGAAUCUGUGCAUGGUUUCUCACUAACCAAUCCAUUCCUAAAAUGACAUUAAAGUCACUCAUGUUGAUUUCAACUAGAUUAGCUUGUAAUAUUCUACCCUCAAUUUCAGUCAAACAAUUGUUAUAUUUUAGGUCAGACACACGAUAUGGGUUAUCUAACCAUUCAUGUUGCACGUUCAAGGUCUUAGUAAACUUUCUAACCACAAAAGAAUGGGUAACACCACAAUCAAAGAGCACGUAGGCAGGCGUAGAGUUUACAAGAAGUAUACCUAUGACUACGUCAUUAGAUUCUUCUACCUCAAAGUCAGUCAUCACAUGUACCCUUGCAUUGAUUCUUGGCCUAUUUUUAGGGGGGUUAGUAGACUUAUCACCUUCUUUCUUAGGAUUUAGACAAUCCUUCACUCAAUAACCCAUCUGUCCACACCCAAAAUAGGCACCAAUUUUCAGACGCCAUUCUCCCAAAUGCAUCCUAUGUCAAGUUGGGUAUUCCUUCUUAGUAGGAACUUUUCCUUUAGAUUGAGAUGUAACCAUCCGUGAAGGGGUAUUCAGGUUUCUCCUUACCAACUUAAAAACUCUGCUUGGUCUCUUUGGACCGACCAUACUACCUUCACUCUCAAGUCGAGGCCUUUCACCUCUUUCUUCCGCUUGAAAUCUUUUGAUAUCUGCCUCAAUUCUUACACUUGUAUUGAACAGUGUAUCAUAGUCAGAGAUCAUAGUGUUUGACAGCUUUGAUUGAAUUUUGCUUGACAAUCCCCUUGUGAAUUUUAACAUUUUUAACUGUUCAUUUGUGAUAAUAGAAGGGACAAUCCUUCCCAAAGUGCAAAACUUAUUUGCAAACUUGACAACUGGCAUGCCUGGUGUUUGCUUCAGUGAUUCAAUUACCUCCAUUUUCUGAAGACAGACAACAGGUGGAAAAAAUAGUUAAGGAAAGCUUCCUUAAAUUUCUCCCAAUUCAUUGGCCGUGCAAUGGUAGGUUUAACAACUGACCACCAUUUCUCUGCAUCUUCAACUAAAAAGGGUGUAAUUAUCUCAUGUUUCACUUCAUCUGGAACUUGCAAUAACUUAAAGUUAGUCUCAACCUCUCCCAACUAUUUCUCUGCUUUAUCUGGAUUCAGAGAACCAUCAAAGGUUGGGACUUGCACUUUCUUCAUUCUGUCGUAGUGUACAUGAAUACCAAUCUAUCUUUGUGCAUUUGCCUGUACCGCUUGGGCUUGCAACUGCACAUGGCCUUGGAUAGCUUAUGCCACAAUAGUUAAUGCUAUGAUAAAUUCUGAUGGCAAUAUCAUUACAUGUCCAUUGUCACCUUGACCAUUCACAGUUUGAUUGUUGUUUCCAUUGCCGCCUUGACUAUUUGUAUUCUAGUUCUUACUACUCUUACCUUAACCAUUACUCCUAGUUUGUACCAUUUUCCUAAAAUGACAAAAUCUAUCAACUCAUCUAUGUUGUGCCAAAGAUCUAUAUACAUUGAACAACCUAAGUUCAAGUCAUAAAGUUGUUGUCAUUUUUUUGCCUCAAAAUGUAAAGCAGGAGAAGAGUUAUCUAGUGCAAGCAACUAAUGAAUGUAAUAAUCAAUGGUAAGCAUGAAUUUCGUCAAUUAUUCAAUCAAAAGAUAAACAAGCAGAUAUCAAAAGUAGAAUAUUAAUAAUAAUGAUAAUAAUAAUGUUGCCAAUAAAAUUGUCAAACAUUAGGGAAUAACACCUAACUUAUUACAACUUAUUAUAGAGAUUUUAUUUCAAAUAAGCGAAAUCAUAUUACUUUCCUAUCGUAUCAAGGUAUUAAGGAUCUACUAUAUCCUCAACACCUAAAUCUUCUUCAUCUGCUUGAGCAUCCCCAAGAGCAUUGUCAUUGCCUAUUUCCUCCUCUAUGGGCUUCUCUUGCUCUUCCUCCACUAAGGAUCCUCUUCUUCUUCAUCCAUUCAUAACAUUUUCAUUCUCAUUGUUGGCAAUGAUAGGGGCAUUCUCACCCUCAUUAUUACCUUCAACAUUUGUCCAAAAGUUUUCGAACUCGAGGACUGGUGCAAAUGUAGUUAUGAUAGUGCGAAACUCAUUUAUCUUUUACUCAUACUUGGCCUUUAGAUCAUGGUAGGCCAUCCCUCGCUUAUAGGUAUAACCAUUCAUUUCCUCCACCGCAUUCUCCCAUUAAUUUGGCUUCAGUCCUCCAAGUUUCAAUAUCUAUUUUUAGAUGGAUAUUUUCAUACUUCAAAUUAUUGACUUCCAAGUCCAAAGCAAUAUUUCUAUUCCUCAAUCAAACUGUAUUAGUCACUAGCUUCUAAACAUCACACCUUAAAAAUGCUUUCUCCUUCUCUACCUCAGUAUUAGAAACCAGAAAUUUGGUAAUUUCCUUAUGCAAGGCAGCUUCCCUUAAUUCCUGUCCUUGAGUCUCAUUAGUUUUCUCCUUGAGCUCCCUUUUUAAACUCUCAAUCAUCUCUCUGGCAGCCACCUCAACCUGUAUUGCAUUUUUCAUCCAAUCUUCAAUUAAAUCACUGGACUCCUUCUUUGACUUCUCAGGUUCCUAAACCCUAUUUUGCAACAUCUUAUUUUAUGCCUAACACAGCAUCCAAUUGCCUUUACCAGACAAUUGCACUCCUCCCUCAACAUGAUAGAAAACAUGUCCAGUCAUAACCCACACGAUCAAAAUGUUCUCGUUAGUAGAAAUUUUAAAUUAAAGCAAAUUUAAAUCUCCCAAAAACAAAUUAGGAAUCACAUAUCUUAGUAUCUAGAAUCUAUUCCUAUAAGAUCUAGACCUUGCUUAGAUACCACUAAACUUGUCACGUCCUAAGCCCGCACCUUGCUCGGAAUGCGACAAUCGCCAUACCCCAAAGAGUAUAAUUUUCCAAGAUACAAGGCCUCAAUAAGCAUUACAUUUUAUUUGCAGAAACAAUAGAAAAUCUAGUGCGGAACUUAUUUCUAUUAAUACAUAAUAAAAAAUAAAAUGAUUAAGUAAUCAUUCUAUUGAGCCAUAUAUGCUCAUUAUUAACAUAACGAAUCCAAAUAUGACAUUUGUCGCGCCCCACUUUUUGAGAUGUGAAAGUAGUGUGUGGGAUAUGUAUGUGAACGUGUGUGAAAGUGAAAAUAAAAGGCCGUGGGAUUGUGAAAUGCGACGGUUUGGCCAAACAAAGAGUUUUAGAUAGAAAAGGAGUCGCCACUUGGUAUAGAGUUAGGGUGUACCAAGUCACCCAAAAAGUGAUGUUUUUUUGAAAGAAAAGUAAACAAACCCUUUUUAAAGAAUUUUUUAGGUCUACGUAACCAAAAAAAGGGAUCGGGGGUCACAUUUGAUAAGGGAGAAGGUAAAGGCAAAGCCUAAGGCACUCCCUUACUCUAGCCAAAGCUAGUUGCGUGACUUAGUCCUUCUUUUCCUAAUUCUUCUACCCAAAAUAUGUGUUGCAUGUUGGAUGUGACUAAUGGAUAUGAAAAAAAAAAUGCAAUCCUAAAUCUAAAAUGUCUCUUAUGAGGUUUUUUGGUCCCAAUCACAUGAGUUGUAAUAGCCAAUAAGGAAAACUCUCAUAGAGGUCAUGGGUAAUGCAAAUGAAGACCCAAAUAUGAGUGCAAGUGUGAAAAUGUAAGAAGAAUGCAAAAUAAAAUAAAAAUACAAAUACAAAUGUAAGUGCAAGUGUGCAAAUGUAAGAAAAGUGCAUGUGUGCCAAUUGAGAAAAUAAAGGUGUUUGUGUGCAAGUGGAUGAAAAUAUAGUAUAAUAGUAGUAAAUGCAUAUAAGUGCAACUGAGUGCAAUUUGUGAGGUAGAAAAUAAAUAAGUGAUAGGGAAAAAAGAAAAAUGUGCAAACAUGGCAUAUGGAUUGAGAAAAAUAUAAGUAGUGAGAGAAUGUGGAUAAAGAAUGUGAGGAAGUGAUAUGAUAAAAAUGAGAGUGUAUGAACCUAGAGGAAUGCAUCAAGUCGGGUACGGGAAUGACUCCUAACUUCACGAUUUUAAUUUUCCCUUUAAUUAAAAGGAAGAACUAGCGUGCUAAGGCUAUUUUGUAGCCACACUCGCUCGUUUCCCUUACCGAAAGGGGACUUUCAAGUAAAUGUACCCUAUAACUAGCAUGAGGAUGCAAAAACCUAAGAUGAAGGGGAAAGGAUUGGAGAAUCUUGCCAAAUGCUAGAAAACUAAGAAAAAAGGUAUGAAAUGUAGUGAGACAUGCAAGUAUGUACCAACGAGAGGGGACGGCCUAUUGGAUCUAGCAUUGGACUAGCCCUUUUCUAAAAUUCUCUCACAAGCAUUGGACUUGCGAGAGCUCGAGGGGAAAGACCAUGGCCAGCGUUGGACUAGCCACGGUGACGCAUUCAUCUAUCACAUUCAUCUAUAACUAUAGAAAGCAAGUAGACAUGCCAAUCACCUAUAAACACGUAGCACAUAACACUUAGCAUGCUCGACUAAAUGCAAGAGCCUAAUAAAGCAAAUUAACAUGUAGCAACAGAAGCAAGCAAUCAAGCUAAUGAACCUAUUACAUUUGCUAACUAAAACAAAUGGGAAAGAGGAAAAAUGAAUAAAAAUGCUCUCCAAGCCCUAUCUAUUACAAGCCAAGAGGUGUACACGUACCGCAUAAAAGAAUAACUUAAUAAAAGCAAAAGUAAAAGAAAUAAAUGAAGGGAAUUAAGGAAAGGCAAGGAAAGCAAAGUAGACAUGCAAUUCUCACUUAGCACGUUGGAUCACACAGAGGAGAGACAAAAAAGGAUAAAAGAAGUUAUACCUCCCCGUUUGUGAUGUUAGUAAAGUAAACAAGACUUAACUUGGACUAGAGUCACCAAAGAAAGAGCUAACUUGGGCUAAAACCAUCAAAGUAAGGGAUUAAUGCACCACUUUAAAGAUAAGUAGAAUAAAAGGCAAAAAGGAAAUUCAGAACACCUUAGAAACUUCAAAAGGGGUACUAACAAACCACCAAAUUCUUCUCUAAUUGCGACUUAAAUGUAGUCAAAAGAUGCUUAAUCUCAAAGGAAGUAGAUUAUUGACCAAACUUCUAAGAUAGAAGAACUUCUAAGGACCCAAUUGCAAACAUUAAUCAAUCAUUCGAGUCCAAUCGAAACAUUUAAGAACUUCACAGGUCCCAAAAUAAUAAAAGGCCAAAUAACGGUUCAAAUUGCAAUCAACUUAGGACUUAAUUGCAAGAGAUUGGAAUGUAAUUGGGUCUUUGUAGCAUUACUAGAGACUAAAGGGAGCAAAGUAUAAUUUUUUGGAACAUUUCCACACAACUUCAUGCAAUUUACGUGAAUGAUAGGCUUCUGCAAUUCCAUUUCCCAUACAACACAAUUUCUGCAACUCUUUGGCAACUUUCAACCAUGCAAGUCAUUUGCACAAACAAAAAAAGGAAUAUGGCGUUUUAACAAGAAAACCAUCUCGACAAUCCGACAUGAUGGAGCAAAAAUCAAAAGAGUUGAAGUUACUCCUGAAAAUUCAACAACCAAAGAAAGGAAAAACUGCUACAUCAAGCCAUGGGUUCGGACUUAUUGCAGCAGAUUUUUAUGCCCACAUAUCAGCCAUUUACAAGCUAGAAGCUAAGCAAGAGUACCAUCUAGCAUUCGAAUGGCCCUCAAAUGAAAAUUCAAACAGACACAUUCGGUAAGACUACUGUAAUUAACGUGUGGUAAUUUCUGAUGCAACUCAACGUUAUGUGCAAGGCAAAACUAGACGCAACUUUCUGCAACAAAUUGCUGUAUUUUCACUUUUCGGAUACAUAUUUCCGACCCAACAUGCAAGCAUUUGAUCCAAAUUUUUCAACCAACAUCACAACUUCAAACCAAACCACAACAAGAUAACUUCAAACUCCAAACAAGCAAGAAACAGUAAAGGAACUGAUGCAAAAAUUCUGGACAAAACAUUCAUGUAAAAUGGUUUGGCAGCCUGAAAUUCACUCUUUCGGUAGGCAUUCGAACAUGAUUCCGGCAUUUCAGCCCCAAAAAAUGCAAACCCAACACGCCUUAUCUAAUUCCUCUUUCCAACAUAAGGUCAACCAGCAAACUGGAUGGCCGAAACUUUGGUGAGCAAGUGCAGGUAAGAAAACAGCAAAGAGAAUGCGAAAGCUUUUUGUUCUGCUGCAAAUUUUGCAGCUUCAACUCAUUGUCAUUUAACAUCCCCAAGCAUAAUCAUCUAACCCCCAUAAACUGAUUGAAACAGCCAGGCAUAAAAUGCAGCAAAAGAAAAAAGUGGAAACUUGCUGCCAAUCAUGGAGAAACCAUCGCAGUCAAACAAAAUGAGCAUUUCAAGCAAGCCGAAACUUAGGCACAAAAGCCUUUAGACAUUUAGCUAAAUGUGUUCGUGUGUGGAAAAUGCCAAGAAAACAAGAAAAAUCAGGAGGCGCAGCAAUGAUACAAGAGGAUGAAACGGGGUUUGACGUAUCAACUAAACAACAAAUCUCAGAUUUCAAUCAAGUUAAAGCUUUAGCAACAACUCCAGAAUAAAACUCCAACGUCCGAACAAGCCCAAAACAAAUUCGAUUGGAAUGGAUCUUCACCAUCUAUGCGACAUUACAAGAGGACAGGCUAUGUAAAUGUCUUUUCUUUUCUAAGAUAGGAUCUUGCUACUAAACUACAGCCUAGGGACGAAAUGUAAUCAACGCCAAACAAGUUUCAGACCCUAACAUACCCAUCAUACACAAUAACAGUAAGAAGGUCGCACCUUUGAGCUAUAACCAUAAACCUACAUCGCAACUCUUGACCACAUUCACUUGACUCGAGAUCCAGCAUAGUUUCCAUGAUUUAUUGAUAAAAAUUAUCUAUAGGAAAGGGAAAAGAACCUUACCGUGCUAUUUUCCGAUGGGGUUUUAGCAGCGACAAGAAAACUUGAGUAGCAGUCCCCUUCCUUCUUUUUGGUUUGACCAGAAAUCUCCAGGCUCUCGCCCCAGCCGUGACUCCUUCUUGGUUCUCCUGUUGAGUCGCCCUUUUCUUCCUUCCAAAGCUCUCGGUCUCUCCCUCACGUUCUUUCCUUUCCCAGUUUUUCUUUUCUCUCCUGUCAGUCACCCUCAAAACCCCCUGCUCUUUCAGCCGUCACCCCUUUUUUAUUUAUCCGUUCUUUUCCAAAACCCUUAAUCCGACGCUGCUCCACAUCUCACCUCUUUCCUCUUUCAUUUCCACCAUCCACCUAUCCUCUUCUAGAAUUCUCUAGGGCCUGAGGUGUCCUAGACACCUGGACAUUCAUCGCUUAAAUUGCCCUCAAGGGCCUUGCGGCAACUCUUCUUUGCAAGUUGCGGACGAACGCAGCUUGCAUGUAAUAAAUUUUUAUUAUUAUUAUUAUUUUUUUUAUAAACAAUAAAUUUGCAUAAAAAUAAAAUUUAAUAGAGAUAAGGCAUAUUUUUUAGACCAUUUUCCGGCAACUCUUAACACUAAAAAAAAACCUUAAAAUAUAAGUAAACGGCUAAAUGAUCAAAAAUGAAUAUAAAAAAAUAAUAAUAGUCUAAAAUGCUAUAAAAUGCUAAAAGGUGCCUUAAAACAAAAAAAAAUAGAUAAUAGUUAUUACUAAAACAAAAAUGAAUAAGUUAAAAAUUUUGUGUCUAUAGUUUGUCCCUCUUUGUCUGAGUUUUGAAAAUAUUUGAGACAAAAAAGUAGACACCAAAUACUUACCUGUGUUAUUUGGCCGCAAAAUGAUUCCAACGAACAGGAAUUUAAAACGGGACUGACCCGAACAGAAAUUUAAAACGGGACUGACCCGAACAAGAAAUUUAAAAUGGGACUGACCCGAACAGGAAUUUAAAACGGGACUGACCCGAACAGAAAUUUAAAACGGGACUGACUCGAACAAGAAAUUUAAAACGGGACUGACCCGAACAAGAAAUUUAAAACGGGACUGAUUCGAACAGGAAUUUAAAAUGGCACUGACCCGAACAGGAAUUUAAAACGGGGCUGACCCGAACAGGAAUUUAAAACGGGACUAAGGAGGAAAAACAACGCCUCUACCAUCAGCUUCAACCAUCAUUGAAAGGCAGUUCCACGGCAAGUCACUUGCUGCGAUUUCCUUCUUGGUUUUCAGCUAAGGUCCAAGUUAAUUCCUUUGUUUUUUUUACUUACUUGUUUGAUUUGUUUCUUUGAUCUUUCAUGUCUUGAUGGUUGUUUUUUGGGAUGGGUUUCAUGUAGAUUUUCUCUGUUCCUAGGUCCUUGUUUUGACCCCCCAACCAUAAAUUUCCAUUGCUGCGUAUUAGUCAUGUGUUUAUGUGGGUUCUAUAUAGUCAGAUGAACAUUGGGCUGACUUGGGUUUAGGGUAGCAGUGUGGGUUUGCCUAUGGUGGGGAUAUACGAUGAAUCUGUUUUUGGUUGAUUUGUGAAGCCGCAGAAAUUUUUUCAGCUUUGCUUGUUUUUAUUCUGAUUUUUCUUGGUGCCUAAACCCAAAGGCUUUAUGUUGAAGAGUGAGCAGGGUAUUUGGUACGCCGUUUGUUUGUUUUCAAGCUGUGUUUGGCUGGGAUUUGCGCACGAAAGUCUGAUGAAACAAGCAACAAGCUCAAGCUAGCUUCUGGUUUGUUACAACAAUUAGACAAAAACUGAAUUUUCUUUGGGUAACUGAAUUUCUGGUGUGGAUUGUUUGCUCCUUUGAGCCUGUUUGCUGUGUCAUUGAUGCUGUGUAUAUGCUAGUUGCAAUUUAAAUCAGCAAGGUGUGGUGCCACAGUGGGUUACAACAUGGCAAAGCCCUUUGUUGCGGUAAUAUAGGUAGACUUGGUUUUGUAGAUGUUUGAAACUUCAAUGCUCCAAUUUUAUUUUUCUUUUGCUGAUUUCAUCCCAGCUCCUCGUUUGACUCCUGAGGGUAAACAAUGACAUUUGGUUGAUGUUAACAACAUGGUUUUGAAGUCAUAGCAUUCAUGUUUGGUUUGGUUUGAAGUUGUUCCACAUCAAUACAUUUCGGUUAGAAUGGAAAACCGUAGCAAGCAUGGUUGGUCUUCCAUUGCAGAAAUGUUUUCACUAUCCCUUCGUUGAUUGCUUUCGUAUCUUGCUCCAGAUUUUCUGUUUACAAACACUAGGUGGGUUGGUUGAUGUUUUGUUGAUGUUUCAGUUGGAAAUGAGAUGUCGUAUAAUGCAGAAGGAAAGAAAUUUUCUGAAGGUUGCGAUUGUUAUUGCAGAAAUUCUCUUCAUGUUGCUUUGCAUGAGUUGCAAGAAACAAUUUGCUAAAAUUGCACUUUGACCCCUCCCAAGUCUCCUUUUGUUGCAUUGUGGCCCAAAUACAUUCCAAUCUCUUGCAAUUAGCUCCUAGAAUAGUUGCAAUUAGAUCCAUUGCUUGGCUUUUUCUUUGCUAUUUGACCUUUGAAGUUACCAAAAGGUGUCAAUUGGGUUUGAAUGGUUGAUUAAUGUUUGCAAUUGGAUUCUAAAAAUGCAAGUUGAACCACUCUUUGACCUUUUCUUUACUCUGGGUCCCUUGAAGUUCCUAAAAUGUUUAAAUUGGAUUUGAGUGCUUGGUUAAUUGUUGCUCUUGGGUUCUUAGUCAUUUUUUUUUCUAGAAAUUUGAUCGAUGAUUCAUUUUUCUUGGAAAUUAUGCAUUAUUUGAUUUCAUUUAAAUUGCAAUUAGGAGAGAUUUGGUGACUUUGUUAUACUUUACUAUUUGAGGUACCGUGACCUUUUUAUUGUUUUGAAGCCAAUUUUCUUUCAUUUGGACACCAUUCAAAAGGGGCGGUAUAAUUUCUUUUAUCCCUUUUUAUGUCUCUCCUAUGUGAUCCAAUGUGCUAAGUGAGAUUUGCAUGUUUAAUUUGCUUUCCUUGCCUUUCUUUAGUUCCUUUACUUUAUUUACUCUUGCUUUUUAGUAAGUUAUUCUUUUAAUGGGGUAUAUGUACACCUCUUAGCUUGUAAUAGAUAGGGCUUGGAGGAGCUGUGACGACCCCACCUCCCCCUAAGGCAUACCAAAGGGUUCGGCAGACCGCCUGCCCAGCUCUCGCCAGGACUCACUCACUAUCUCAAUCGAGUCAUGUACACACAUCUAUGAACCAUAAAUAACAUUCCCAAUUCAAGCUUAUAAUUUACAUUGAUAGAAAUCGAGGUACAAAGUCUCAAUCACCAAACUAGAUCAAAACGAAUACAAUCCAAAUACAACAUGUUCCAUCCGAGGAAUAGCGUGAGUACAAGUCAAAAAUCAAACAACUAGUCUAUGCUAGACUUUACAUAUCUCACACCUCGCUCGUACCCCUGAAAGGAAAACAAAUGGAGUGGAAUGAGCUAAAAGCCCAGUGAGGUUCCAAAUAGCAAAUUGACCAUUAUUUAUAAGUACGAGUUUUCGAUAUAGCAAAGUAACGAGCAUAAAGUGUUCAUAAAUAUGAACAGUAACACGUCAAGUAGCCAUCUUAAAAUGAGCGAAUGUAGAAAAUUUUUCAAAAGAAACAAUAAUCCAAUAAACAAUAAUCACCCAAAGUAUAAGGAUACGGAUGACUCUCAGGAGCCAAAUUCCCAUUACAUUACCAGAAGCUUGAUCCCGUAGUAGUUGACACUCCGUCAACUUUCAAGUAAGUAACCAAUCCAGUAGAAGACCACUUAAACGACUCUCCGUCCACCGUUCAACCCCCAGCUGGGCCCAAAAUCCUCAAGAACACGGGUGGUAAUACUCGAGUAUACCGAUUAGUCGAGGAGAUAUCACUCCACUCGACAAUACAAGAGACCCAGGGUUCGUUACCCAAUCGACCAAGCCCUUGCCGGCUCGACUAGAGUAACUCGCCACAGGGUUUCUGGAAUUCCAGGAAGUGCGCGCAUCAUAAACAAGUAUAUCAAGUCAAUUGCAACAAUAAACAAGUAUAUCACGUAAGGGCAAGUGCGAUAAAGUACACUCUUGCCCUUACAAUUCACGUAUAUAACAUGUAAUCAGAUUGGUCACGUAUCAAGUUCAAGUAUCAAGUUCAAUUCGGUAUUUGAAAGCACUCACCCAAAAGAUAUAGUGCUACUGGUCACUUUCAGGUUAUACUCCGAGUUCGGAGUCCAAAUCUGCGAUAAAACUCAAUUUGAGAACUUUGAAACAUGACUAGAGUUCGAAACUUAGACGUUUCGUUCAAUAAGAAUCAAGAAAUUGAAAUUCACUUGGAGAAUACUCGCGAGAUACUCGAUCACUUUUUAAAUGAUAAAACUUUGUAACAUUUAUACUUGAAAUGGUCAUGCGAGUCGAAAGUACAAGGGAAAACGUACUUUGAGCAAUCAUUAUUUCAUUUCUCAAGGGUACAAGUUCGGCCAAGUCCUUACUUAUAUACCUCGAACAAGAAGACUCAAGUACCCUAGAUGGUUCAAGUACUAUUCAUAUCAACUCGACCCAAGUCGCAAGUGUAUUUAUAUAGUCUCGAGCGUAAAUUUGGCCAGCAUGCCCUUUGUGUUUACCUAAUUUUCCAGCCAUUUAGGCUUCAUUAUUUUUCCUCAACCAAAACCCAACAUCACAUGUAUCAGCAAUUCAUGUCAAGAGCCGUUCCAUAGGCUUACAAGAUCAUAAGAACAAGAAUUACAAUAAUAGCAAGUGCAGAAAUACAAUCUAUCACAAGACAGAUUUGACGUAUGAAUGCGAAAAUAACAUAUCCGAGGCUACGUUUAUCGGAUUGAGGCGUAACCUAUGCCGUUUCGAAGCUAAGACUCAGGGCUACAAUGUUCAUGAAGAUCACUUAGUCCAUUUUCUAAUGCAACUUAGUCAAAUCCUCAAAUUACCGAACCAAAAUCCAAUUCGUCGGCUAUUUAUCCACACUGCACUGGAAUGGACAUAACUCAGUGUACAAAAGUCCAAUUCAGGUGUUCUUAGAGGCGUUUGAAAGCUAAGUCAUAAUACUACAACUUUCACGUUUUGGUCCAGAGCUAAAUCAGAAUGGAUCCUGGUCAAAAAUCGUGAUAAACUGGACUCAACUGCUGAAACGGACUGCUGGGAAAUACUUAGAACAGUAAGGGUAUUUUGGACAUUUCACGUCCUACGUUGCUCCGAUUGAGCUGAAAUUUUGUAGGCACCUAUAAAAUGCCAUUCUCUACAACUUUUAUUCUUUGACCUAAGGCCAAAACAGCCUCUAACAUACAGAUAAAAAUUCGGACAGAAUGUUGAGCCAGACCUCCAAGUCGUGCGUGAUAUAGAGAUUGCCAUUAUUGAAUUCCAAAAUAGUGAUAUCCAAAGGGUCAAAUAGUUUUAUUUUUGGCCAUCUGAAAGAAUUAACGAAUGUGGGAUAAUAAGCAAACAAACAUACAACAAACAAAUGAAUAAGCAAUAUGACAAACGAAUAAACAAAACAACAUGACAAGAACCACUUGUGCAUUUUCAUAAAACUUUUGAUUGAAAGCGAAAACAAAAAGAAAGCAAGCGGAAACAAUAUUUACAUGUGCAAAUUUUAGUUAAAGAUAAAGAUGCUUUCAUUAGCUAUUUACAGAUGCAGAAGUAUUUUCAUGAAUUCGCAUGAAUGACAAACCCCUUUAGUUUUACCGAAACUCCUUCUGAAUGGGCAGAAACUUGGCUGUCCAAUUGGAAAUUGAUUCUUCAGGGAUGUCGGGAAACUCGGCUUCAUCUGGGAAACUGUCUUCAAAUGUUGCCCCAACGAACAAUUGGGUCAAACUAGUUUCGAUUUUGUCAACUGGGUUAAUCUCUGACGUGAUCACCUCGGUUGGUCGUGGAAAAAUAUAAUGCAGUGGUGGAAUAUCAAAGGCCAUUUGCCUGCCUUCUUUCUCUGAUUUCUUGCGUUCAUUCAUUUCUUUGAUGUCUUUAGCGGUUUGUCGGAAACCCAAACCGAAUGAAUCCUUUUUCUCCAUAAUUUCCAUUGGUUUCAGAAUUCCUUGUAGAUCACGUCCCAGCCCUUUUGUCAAACUCAUAUCCUCCGCGGAUCAUUUCUUUAGCCAUCAUGACACUGGCCUUUGACAGAGCUCAUUCCUCUUUUGUAAUCCAACUUACGGAGACGAUAUCAGCUGUGCUAUGAGGGGUCACUGUGGCGUUUCGGCUACCAUCUUCUUCGGACCCAGAAUCAGCAAUUACGAGCCAAUCCUCCUUGGCAAAGAUAGUUAUCAAUUUGUCAUUUACUAUGAAUUUCAACAAUUAAUGCAAUGAAGAAGGCACAACCCCGGACUUAUGAAUCCACGGCCUUCCAAGCAAAAUAUUGUAAAUACUAGGAAAGUGCGCAACUUGGCAGGCUAUUUGAAACUGUGCGGGCCCCAUCUCGACUACUAAAUCCACUUCUCCUAUAGGUUCUCUUUGUGCUCCAUCAAAACCUCUAACUAUGGUCCCUGAAGGCCUUAGCUUGAUAUCUUGCAACCCUAGCUUUUCCAAGGUACUCCAAGGACAGAUAUUAAGCGCAGAUCCAUUGUCAAUCAACACCUUUGGCAACAUUUUUCCGUUGCACCUCACAGCUAUGUACAGAGCUUUGUUAUGUCCAAUGCUUUCUGCCGGUAAUUCAUCUUCAGAGAAAGUGAUUUAUUUUGUAAAUAACAUACUCCCAACUAUAUGUGUGAAAUUAACAACCGAAAUGUCCUUAGGAAUUUGAGUUUUAGUCAACACUUCGAGCAACGCAUCCCUAUGCAUAUCCGAAGAAAAAAGCAGAUCCAACAUGGAUAUUUGGGCGGGCGACUUGCUUAGCUUCUCGACUACAUUAUAUUCGCUUCUUUGGAGCUUUUUAAGAAAAUCCAAGGCUUUCUUCUUAGUAAUUGUUGGUUUAGCGGGCAGCUCGGGGUUAUUUGUUUGAAUCGGAACGGUAGCUCCAAACGGACUUGCAAUUCUCCCUGAUCUAGUGACUACUGACACCUCUUCUUUAGCAACUGACUUUUUUCCAAUUUGUAUGACAGGUUCAUCGUAGUUCCAUGGCACUCGCUGCAAACUUAGAACAGGAUCCUGCUCUGGGAAUUCGAUGACCACUGGCUCCAAAGCCUCGCUCUCAGCUGGAGUGAAAUCCAAAAUAAAAGGCCCUUUAUCUUUCUUAAACGGCACCUCUAUUACAAAUGGUUGGUCUGUGACCCCAAACACCUCAGCUUCCCUUGCCAAUUUUUGGACUUGCUCCUCAUACUCUGCGUGGUCCAGAAUGACCCCAAUGGUAUUAGUAUGUUCCGGCAAGGGAUUCCUAUUUAUAUUCGGCCAUUGUGCUUCCCUUUUCCUGAUUACAAUCUCUCCAGAUUCAAUCAUAUCUUGAAUUCUAUGCUUAAGAGCCUUGCAAUCAACAGUUGAAUGUCCGGGUGCCCCUGAAUGGUAAGCACAGACGGCUUGUGGGUUAUACCCAACGAAUAUGCCAUAUGGAUAGGUCGGAGGGGCUACCAUACCAAUUUUUCCGGCGGCCUUCAACUGGUCAUACAAUUGGUCUGGAGGCCUGCCUAAAUCGGUAAAUGUACGGCUACGGGCUUGGUUGGAAGGUUCAGGAGGUUGAGGAUGGCUAUAAACAGGUCUAUUUGGGGGAGAAAAUCUUGGGUUAUAUGGAGGGCGAGGUCGGUUUUGGAGUGGAUUUAGUUGAGAAAUUUGAAAAGGAGCUAAAGGUGGGUUAGGAUAGCUUGGGCGAGGUCGAGGGUGGUGGAUAUUGGUAGUAUAUACAUGGUGCGGGUUUGAAUAAUAAGGGUAAUGUGGUUGGUAGGUUAGAUUGUGUUGGUAUCGGGAUUUGGGUGAAGGGUUCUGGUUCCAGAUAAAUGUUGCAUCCCCCUCUUUCUUUUUAAACUGCGGCUUCUUUCCACUGCUCCCUUGCCCUUGCAAAGCUUCUACUUGUGAUUUUAAGGCAGAGACGUUAACAAUUUUUCCGGAUCUCACAAAAUCAUCAUAUUUUUCGAGUUUAUUCACAAUCGCAGCAAAUGAACAUCCGAUCAUACGGAAGAUUUCUUCAAAGUGUGGAGGAUCAUGCGCCUUUAUGAAAGUGCGAACAAUUUCAUCUUCGGUCAUCGGAGGCUCAACCUUGGCAGCUAUCUUUCUCCAUCUUUUGGUGUAUGUCUUAUGAUCUUCAGAUGGUCGCCUCUUUGUGCCUUUCAAAGUAGUUCUGGUCGGUGCUAGCUCGCAGUUAUAUUCGUAUUGUCUGAUGAAGGCGUUGGAUAGAUCAAGCCAAGUCUUCACCUCCUCUGACUUUAAGUUGGAAUACCAAUCGAGGGCGUCUCCUUCUAGACUCUCUGGAAAUAACCUUAAUGGCAAGUUUUCGUCAUCCACUGGUCUGCCCAACUUGUUGGCAAAUAAACUCAAGUGUGUCUUAGGGUUGCCUGUACCAUCAUAUUUAUUGAACUUCGGGGUCUUGAACCUUACGGGCAGCUGUACAUUUGGAAACAGGCACAGAUCAUCGUAGUCUAACACCCCUUGUUUGCUUAAACCUUGGUUUUUCCUGAUGAACUCAUCGAAACGAUCCAACCGCUUAAGUAGCUUCAUAUCCAUCGGGGCAGACGACUCUCCCACUUCUGGCUUGGUUUGAACAGUGUGCUGUGGCAAAACAGGUUCUGCGGUAGUCUGAUAAAAAGCUUGUGGAUCCAGAGGCAUGUUUGGACCACCUUGAGGCUGAAAUCCUUGCCCAUAUGGAGGAUAGAACGGAGGAUUUUGAGUAUAAGUAUACUGCGAGUUGAAAACUCCCUCAAAAGUGGUUUGAAUUGGAGGAAUGACAAAUGGUUCGAAUUCCGGACCUAUAAGUGAAUUAAGAACUUUGAAAUGGAAAGUUUCUCAUAAAAUGUGGAAGAGUUCAAUCUUUCUUUACAACCUCGCCAAUGGUCUUAGUAACCAUGUUUACAAAAUCCCUAUGUUUCAGGAGACUUGUACUUUGUGACUCUCUAGAGCUCCCUAAACUGAGCUUACGAGCUCCUUCCCUAAUCCUAUCAAGGGCGUCUAUGGUUUCCUCUAGUUUCUCAUUCUUCUUCUUCUCCCUCCUCAACUGCACUUGGGUAUCUUCUAAAACUCUGUUGGCCAUUAUAAUCUGGGCUUGAGAUUCCUCUAAUUCUUUCCUUAGCUUCUCCAUUUGUUCUUCGGGCCUGGCUGAUGCUGAUUGUUGCCUUGCCCUAUCAUGUUUCACCUUUUAUUUGAUCCAUUCAUUGUACCCAGGCAUAACUGCAGGUGCCAUCUUGUUUACCAAUUCCAACUGUAAAUUCUCAAGACCUUGCAAAUUUCCCCAAGCCUCUAAGACCAUACUUGGACUCUUGGUCACCGUACCCAAUCUGAGAUCUUCAACCCCUUGUACCAUAGGAAUGCUUUGCGGGUAUCCAAACUGUCUCAUAACCCUUUGUGGAAUAUAGGCGACUAGACCAUUAACUCCAGCUAGAGGGAUGAAGUCAUGUUGAGUGGUCCUAAAAGUUGGGUCUCUAACCCUGGUCCAAUCUAGAACCCACUGCACUUUUUCUGGUGUCAAAUUGUUGAACUCCUCAAUAAACUGGCUUGACGACAUCACACGGUAGUAGCGGCUGACUCUCUCUCAAUGUGAAUCAAUCCAAUUCUCAACUAAGAGACAAGAACCCAAAGGGUUAAGUGAUCUGUUCGCCAAAUGUUCCACGAUCCACAUUUGAAGUAUUAAAUUUGAAGUAUAGAAGAAACCCCCUUUCUUUUGGCAAUUGGUAAGGGCUGAGAAGAUGUCCGCUAUGACAAUGGGUAUCAAAGUUGGUGUCGUUCCACGAAUUCCUAAAAAAAGACUUUGAAUCAUAUUGAUUGUUGCAAAUGUCACCUUUCCAUGUCUUUGAGGGAAUAGCAAUAAGUUGAUCAAAACCAAACCAAAAGCUUGCACACGCUUCUCUUCCCAUUGCCCCCUUGUUAUAAAGAAAUCGAUCUGAUGGUGCUCAAAAGACUUCUUUUCCCCAAACCGGUCAUAUAAAAACCUCAAUGGACAAGAUCUAGCGUCGGGGUGUUGGUCUAAGCUAUUGUUCCUCAAUCCCAAAAAUCUGCAAAACUGCUCUCUCGUUCCCCCGCUCGGGUAUAUCAUAGGACUGCCUUUUCCCGGUACUUGCAACAAUCUCUCUAACUCUUCUAAGGUUGGGGUGAGUUUGCACAUUCCAAACCGGAAAACUGAGGCAUCCGGAUCCCAAUAAUUGAUCAAUGCUUGGAUAGCAGACAAGUUGGGUAUUAUGUCGACAAGGCUUGGUAGAUGCCCCACAUAUUGGAAUAGCCCUCCAAUCUCAUAAGAUAGGUUAUUCUUCCACCAAUUCAGCUCUCGGGGGACUUGGUUGAGCAUUCGACACUGCGUCAUCUGGAUGGGGAAUUCACUUAGAUACCGUUACCUUGGGAUUUUACCCCUUAGGUUAUUUUGCAAAAAGGGUAAACGUGCAGAUCCCAAAAAUAUGGUUAAAUACCCAUGGGAUUAUAGAGUUGGCUUAUCCCUAACAUGGAAUUGCCUAAAUGGCAUUCUUUCUAAGGUUUAAUGCAUGAUGCCAUUUAUUAAGGCAAUGUAAAUAUGUGACAAAUAUGGCCUAAAGGACAUAAAUAAUGCAUCGGGGGAAAAAGGUCUAAAAAUGAAAUCUACUUAUUGAAAAUUAAGUGUAAUAAAUGAAAUUUAAACAUGUCAGUUAUCUAGUGGGUAAGUCACUAAAAGAGAGUCAAAGAGGCCUCUUAUUGCUAAGGCACAUGAAUGCAAGCAAAAAAAAUAACGAAAUGGUUAGUGCAAUUGAUAGUACACAUAACAUAUUGGGAACAAUUAAGAAAAGAAAUACAAUAAAAGCAUAUAAAAGGGGUGGAACCCCUUCCCUCGUGCCUAAUGUGCUUAAAAAGGGUGAGGUUGACUCUAACUUAGGAAAACUCUAACAUGGAUGCAUGAGGCUGGGGCUCACUAAUGUAACUAGACUCGAUAAGGUUUAAAAAGGUCCCCAAGCAUUCAGACCUAAGGGAAUGGGUCAUCAAUCCCAAGACCCUCGGUCGGUGGCUCGAGCGAUCCCCUAGGUACUGCUAUGGGCGCAAAGCACACCAUCCACAUACCUAGAGAAACCAUUCCUAGUCCUACAAGGCGGUGUGGGAAAGAGCCCACGAAAAUAAAAUAAAAUGGGAUAACAGUAAAUAAACGUGCACGUAUGAAGUGUUCCCUAUUUUGAGGGAAAGGGUUGAGACCCAACGCGAGGCUCUAAAGGUGACACCCCCCCAAAUGCAAUGCAGAGUGCGAGAUAAAACAAGUAAAACAUAUAUCCAAGCAACCAAUCAUACAUACGUGAGUGAGGGAGUAGUUUGAUACGCGCGCGAGGCAAAAGGUCCAAAAAUGGAAAAUGCAACCCUAAUAUCCAAAUGCUACGCAUAACAAGGAUAGAAAACGGAAAAGAAUAGCUAAAUCAAAUGUUUGGACCCACUUAUGAGGUCCCCAGUGGAGUCGCCAAGCUGUCGCGCCCCACUUUUUGAGGUGUGAAAGUAGUGUGUGGGAUAUGUAUGUGAACAUGUGUGAAAGUGAAAAUAAAAGGCCGUGGGAUUGUGAAAUGCGCCGGUUUGGCCAAACAAAGGGUUUUAGAUAGAAAAGGAGUCGCCGGUUGGUAUAGAGUUAUGGUGUACCAAGUCACCCAAGAAGUGAUUUUUUUUUUAAAGAAAAGUAAACAAACCUUUUUUAAAGAAUUUUUUAGGUUUACGUAACCAAAAAAAGGGAUCGGGGGUCACAUUUGAUAAGGGAGAAGGCAAAGGCAAAGCCUAAGGCACUCCUUUACCCUAGCCAAAGCUAGUUGCGUGACUUAGUCCUUCUUUUCCUAAUUCUUCUACCCAAAAUAUGUUUUGCAUGUUGGAUGUGACUAAUGGAUAUGAAAAAAAAUGCAAUCCUAAAUCUAAAAUGUCUCAUAUGAGGCUUUUUGGUCCCAAUCACAUGAGUUGUGAUGGCCAAUAAGGAAAACUCUCAUAGAGGUCACGGGUAAUGCAAAUGAAGACCCAAAUAUGAGUGCAAGUGUGAAAAUGUAAGAAGAAUGUAAAAUAAAAUAAAAAUACAAAUACAAAUGUAAGUGCAAAUGUGCAAAUGUAAGAAAAGUGCAUGUGUGCCAAUUGAGAAAAUAAAGGUGUUUGUGUACAAGUGGAUGAAAAUAUGGUAUAAUAGUAGUAAAUGCAUAUAAGUGCAACUGGGUGCAAUUUGUGAGGUAGAAAAUAAAUAAGUGAUAGGGAAAGAAGAAAAAUGUGCAAACAUGGCAUGUGGAUUGAGAAAAAAUAUAAGUAGUGAGAGAAUGUGGAUAAAGAAGAUGAGGAAGUGAUAUGAUAAAAAUGAGAGUGUAUGAACCUAGAGGAAUGCAUCAAGUCGGGUACGGGAAUGACUCCUAACUUCACGAUUUUAAUUUUUCCUUUAAUUAGAAGGAAAAACUAGCGUGCUAAGGCUAUUUUGUAGCCAUACUCGCUCGUUUCCCUUACCGAAAGGGGACUUUCAAGCAAAUGUACCCUAUAACUAGCAUGAGGAUGCAAAAACCUAAGAUGAAGGGGAAAGGAUUGGAGAAGCAUGCCAAAUGCUAGAAAACAAAGAAAAAGGUAUGAAAUGUAGUGAGACAUGCAAGUAUGUACCAACGAGAGGGGACGGCCUAUUGGGUCUAGCAUUGGACUAGCCCUUUUCUAAAAUUCUCUCACAAGCAUUGGACUUGCGAGAGCUCGAGGGAAAAGACCAUGGCCAGCGUUGGACUAGCCACGGUGACGCAUUCAUCCAUCACAUUCAUCUAUGACUAUAGAAAGCAAGUAGACAUGCCAAUCACCUAUAAACACGUAGCACAUAACACUUAGCAUGUUCGACUAAAUGCAAGAGCCUAAUAAAGCAAAUUAACACGUAGCAACAAAAACAAGCAAUCAAGCUAAUGAACCUAUUACAUUUGCUAACUAAAACAAAUGGGGAAGAGGAAAAAUGAAUAAAAAUGCUCUCCAAGCCCUAUCUAUUACAAGCCAAGAGGUGUACACAUACAGCAUAAAAGAAUAACUUAAUAAAAGCAAAAGUAAAAGAAAUAAAUUAAGGGAAUUAAGGAAAGGCAAGGAAAGCAAAGUAGACAUGCAAUUCUCACUUAGCACGUUGGAUCACACAGAGGAGAGACAAAAAAGGAUAAAAGAAAUUAUACCUCCCCGUUUGUGAUGUUAGUAAAGUGAACAAGACUUAACUUGCGCUAGAGUCACCAAAGAAAGAGAUAACUUGGGCUAAAACCAUCAAAGUAAGAGAUUAAUGCACCACUUUAAUGAUAAGUAGAAUAAAAGGAAAAAAGAAAAUUCAGAACACCUUAGAAACUUCGAAAGGGGUACUAACAAACCACCAAAUUCUUCCCUAAUUGCGACUUAAAUGUAGUCAAAAGAUGCUUAAUCUCAAAGAAGGUAGAUUAUUGACCAAACUUCUAAGAUAGAAGAACUUCUAAGGACCCAAUUGCAAACAUUAAUCAAUUAUUCGAGUCCAAUCGAAACAUUUAAGAACUUCACAGGUCCCAAAAAUAAUAAAAGACCAAAUAACGGUUCAAAUUGCAAUCAACUUAGGACUUAAUUGCAAGAGAUUGGAAUGUAAUUGGGUCUUUGUAGCAUUACUAGAGACUAAAGGGAGCAAAGUAUAAUUUUUUGGAACAUUUCCAUGCAACUUCAUGCAAUUUACGUGAAUGAUAGGCUUCUGCAAUUCCAUUUCCCAUACAACACAAUUUCUGUAACUCUUUGGCAACUUUCAACCAUGCAAGUCAUUUGCACAAACAAAAAAGGAAUAUGGUGUUUUAACAAGAAAACCAUCUCGACAAUCCGACAUGAUGGAGCAAGAAUCAAAAGAGUUCAAGUUACUCCAAAAAAUUCAACAACCAAAGAAAGGAAAAGCUGCUACAACAAGCCAUGGGUUCGGACUUAUUGCAGCAGAUUUUUAUGCCCACAUAUCAGCCAUUUACAAUCUAGAAGCUAAGCAAGAAUACCAUCUAGCAUUCGAAUGGCGCUCAAAUGAAAAUUCAAACAGACACAUUCAGUAAGACUACUGUAAUUAACGUGUGGUAAUUUCUGAUGCAACUCAACGUUAUGUGCAAGGCAAAACUAGACGCAACUUUCUGCAACAAAUUGCUGUAUUUUCACUUUUCGGAUACAUAUUUCCGACCCAACAUGCAAGCAUUUGAUCCAAAUUUUUCAACCAACAUCACAACUUCAAACCAAACCACAACACCAUAACUUCAAACUCCAAACAAGCAAGAAACAGUAAAGGAACUGAUGCAAAAAUUCUGGACAAAACAUUCAUGUAAAAUGGUUUGGCAGCCUGAAAUUCACUCUUUCGAUAAGCAUUCGAGCAUGAUUCCGGCAUUUCAGCCCCAAAAAAUGCAAACCCAACACCCCUUAUCUAAUUCCUCUUUCCAACAUAAGGUCAACCAGCAAACUGGAUGGCCGAAACUUUGGUGAGCAAGUGCAAGUAAGAAAACAGCAAAGAGAAUGCGAAAGCCUUUUGUUCUGCUGCAAAUUUUGCAGUUUCAACUCAUUGUCAUUUAACAUCCCCAAGCAUAAUCAUCUAACCCCCAUAAACUGAUUGAAACAGCUAGGCAUAAAAUGCAGCAAAAGAAAACAGUGGAAACUUGCUGCCAAUCAUGGAGAAACCAUCGCAGUCAAACAAAAUGAGCAUUUCAAGCAAGCCGAAACUUAGGCACAAAAGCCUUUAGACAUUUAGCUAAAUGUGUUUGUGUGUGGAAAAUGCCAAGAAAACAAGAAAAAUCAAGAGGCACAGCAAUGAUACAAGAGGAUGAAACGGGGUUUGACGUAUCCACUAAACAACAAAUCUCAGAUUUCAAUCAAGUUAAAGCUUUAGCAACAACUCCAGAAUAAAACUCCAAUGUCCGAACAAGCCCAAAACAAAUUCGAUUGGAAUGGAUCUUCACCAUCUAUGUGACAUUACAAGAGGACAGGCUAUGUAAAUGUCUUUUCUUUUCUAAGAUAGGAUCUUGCUACUAAACUACAGCCUAGGGAUGAAAUGUAAUCAACGCCAAACAAGUUUCAGACCCUAACAUACCCAUCAUACACAAUAACAGUAAGAAGGUCGCACCUUUGAGCUAUAACCAUGAACCUACAUCGCAACUCUUGACCACAUUCACUUGACUCGAGAUCCAGGAUAGUUUCCAUGAUUUAUUGAUAAAAAUUAUCUAUAGGAAAGGGCAAAGAACCUUGCCGUGCUGUUUUCCGAUGGGGUUUUAGCAGCGACAAGAAUACUUGAGUAGCAGUCCCCUUCCUUCUUUUUGGUUUGACCAGAAAUCUCCAGGCUCUCGCCCCAGCCAUGACUCCUUCUUGGUUCUCCUAUUGAGUCGCCCUUUUCUUCCUUCCAAAGCUCUCGGUCUCUCCCUCACGUUCUUUCCUUUCCCAGUUUUUCUUUUCUCUCCUGUCACUCACUCUCAAAACCCCUGCUCUUUCAGCCGUCACCCCUUUUUUUUAUUUAUCCGUUCUUUUCCAAAACCCUUCAUCCGACGCUGCUCCACAUCUCACCUCUUUCCUCUUUCAUUUCCACCCUCCACCUAUCCUCUUCUAGAAUUCUCUAGGGCCUGAGGUGUCCUAGACACCUGGCCAUUCAUCGCUUAAAUUGCCCUCAAGGGCCUUGCUGCAACUCUUCUUUGCAAGCUGCGGACGAACGCAACUUGCAUGUAAUAAAUUUUUAUUAUUUUUUUUCUCUUUUUUUUUAAUAAACAAUAAACUUGCAUAAAAAUGAAAUUUAACAGAGAUAAGGCAUAUUUUUUAGACCAUUUUUCGGCAACUCUUAACACUAAAAAAAACCUUAAAAUAUAAGUAAACGGCUAAAUGAUCAAAAAUGAAUAUAAAAAAAUAAUAAUAGUCUAAAAUGCUAGAAAAUGCUAAAAUGUGCCUUAAAACAAACAAAAAAAUAGAUAAUAGUUAUUUCUAAAACAAAAAUGAAUAACUUAAAAAUUUGGUGUCUACAAGCACCAGUUGUACGCUAAAUUUAGUAAGUGCGAGUAUUGGCUAGAGAAGGUUUCUUUCCUGGGGCACAUGAUUUCAAAGGAAGGAAUUGCUAUAGAUCUGGCCAAGGUAGAGGCAGUGACUGAGUGGAAGAGACCCGACAAUCCUACUGAAAUUCGGAAUUUUCUAGGGUUGGCAGGUUAUUACCAGCGAUUUAUUAAAGAUUUUUCGAAACUUGCCAGCCCUUUAACUGAUCUGACAAAGAAGGAUGGUCGGUUUCUGUGGAGUCAUAAGUGUAAAAAUAGUUUUCAAGAGUUGAAGUGGAGAUUAACCAUGGCCCCUAUUCUGCCUUACCUAACGGUAAGGACAGUUUUACUGUUUACACCGACGCCUCUAGGGAAGGUUUGGGGUGUGUAUUGAUGCAACACCAGAAUGUGAUAGCCCAUGCUUCUAGAAAACUGAAAACUCAUGAACAAAACUAUCCCACUCAUGACUUAGAGCUGGCCGCAGUUGUCUUUGCUCUAAAAAAGUAGAGACACUAUUUGUACGGGGUGACCUUUGAGGUCUACUCCGAUCAUAAGAGCGUUAAAUAUUUCUUUUCCCAUAAGGAGUUGAACAUGAGACAACGCCGGUGGAUGGAAUUUUUAGAAGAUUAUGAUUGUACUAUUAACUACCAUCCGGGUAAGGCUAAUGUUGUAGCUGAUGCCCUAAGUCGAAAGGCUCAAAUUUCUGGGUUAAUGGUGAAAGAGUGGGAAAUGUUGGGAACCGUUGGGGAGUGGAAUCCAAAAUUUAAACAUAAGAAAAUAACUUUUGGGAAUAUCUGUGUGACAUCCACACUAUUGGGUCGAAUUAAAAAGACUCAAACGGAGGAUUUGAUGGUUCAGAAAUGGGUGGAAAAUGUGAAGAAAUGAGCAAUUUUCGAUUUUAAUUUGAGUCUUGAGGGGAUUUUAAGGUUUCGGAAUCGAAUAGUGGUACCUAAUGAUGAAAAUCUAAGAAGGGAGAUUUAGGAGUAAGCUCAUCGAUCCAGAUAUACAAUCCAUCCGAGUAGUAACAAAAUGUAUCAGGAUUUAGGGCAAAUUAUCCAAUUGGCCCUUUAACUCUUUGUCUAGGUAAAAUUAAGCCCCUCAUCUAUUUUUUUCUGACUUUAAGCCCUUGAACUUGUAAAACUGGUAAACCGUGGCCCUUUUAGCCAGUUUCUCCGGUUUUGCAACCGGAGGACCAAUUCACACGAAUGCAACUGUGCUUCUUCAAAGGGCAUUUUUGUCUGCAUAUUCUAAACAAAAAGCGCACAACUCCUCCCUCCAUCCAUUUUCCUAACCCAACCCUACCCAACUGCUAGUCGAAACUUCACAGCAACAAUGGGAAGCAACAAUGGAGUGGCAAGAGAAAAGGUUUCCUACAUUUUCCUUACCCAUUUUCAUCUUCCCUUAAGGAUCUUUGCGGAGGGAGAAGAGCAAGAGAGAAUCAGCAGUGUCGGCUUUGGGUAUCAUCGACAUUGAAGCAACAAGGAGUGGCAAAUCAGGCCGGAAAAUCAUCGACAUUGAAGCAAGAGAGAAGUCUGAAAGGAAAAAAAAAGGGGGAGAAGGUAAAAGCUUUGUGAAGGGAAGGAAAAAAUGCGCAAAUAUCGCGGCCCUCUGCUUCCUACUUGUCGAUGCGGUAAAGUCACGAAGAUGAUUACUUCUUGGACUGAUAGAAAUCUAGGAAGAAGGUACAUCGUUUGCUCAGAAGAAAUUGGUGACUGCGGGUAUUGGAAUUGGAUUGACGACGAGAUGUGCCGUCGUUCUAUUGAGGUGAUACCAGGCCUUCUAAGGAGGAUCAAUGCAACAGAAAAGCAAAAAGACAAAUUUGAAACUGCAGCUGCGAGAUCCGAGGCAAAAGCUGCCAAGUUGAAGGCAAAAUUGAGAGAAACAGAGAAGCAGCUGCGGUGGCAGAAAUGGUUGAACAAGUUGCUUGUAAGGGUUUUUGUGGUAAGUUGGUUGGUUGCUGUAAUAAUGGUGCUUACAGAGAAAAAAAUUGCAGGUGGAGUCUCUCUUGGGAUGCUCCAAAUUGGGAAUAAAUGUAAUGGGAUUAUGCAAAUUGAAGAGGAUACAUGAAGGGCUGUGUGUAAGUGUAACAUAUUGCCAUCGGUACUGUCAGUUUUGAGAACCAUGGAUGGAGCAAAUGGAUCUAUGGUGUAUGAUGCAGAUGGUUAGGGAGAAGUAUAUUGUAUUGUUUAGCUUAAACAAGUCUUUGUUGUACCCACAGAUUAGUGUGAAAGUAUGGUUGAACCCAAUCAAUGCUAACUGUAAUUUUCGGUAAGUAAUGUGAUGAGAAUUAUUUAUCCCAAUUUGCAUGUCAUGGGCUUUGUUGGAUUUAUUUGAUUUAUCUAGUCAACAAAAUCUGCUAUACCAAACCAUACAAAUAUAAGAUAGCAACUGCAUAACAUUAGAAUAUAAUUAGCAAAAGGAAAUUACAAUGGUGUUUGCCUGUAAAUACAGUCAACAAUCACUUUCAUAGGAAACAUACAAAUACACAAAAAGCAGUGACCUGUGUCCAUCUAACUAGAUACCAAGCACAGGCACAUGCUUUGAUUCCCCACAAAAGCCUAUUCAAAAAAAUAUCAUUUAUAGUUUCAACAUUCUAGUUACAUCCAUUUACAGUCAACAAAAUCACACAAAAAUAUUUGUAGGUCCAACAAUACUUCAAGAACUUGUUUCAGAUGGACCCUUUCCCCUUCCCCUUCCCCUGCCUCUUCCUCUUCCUCCACCUCUUCCCUGCCAGUUUCCAACAUUGAAAGGUGGAUCUUUACCCAAAUAAGCAUAGUUGAGAUUAAUAUAACCUUUGUCUGCUUCUGUCAGUGGCCUUUUUGAUGUACUUCUCUUGUUCCUAUGAACUGCUGGCCUUGAGGUGGAUUGUUGGGACUGAGGUUCAUGUGUUGGCUGCUGUUGAGAAGGCUGGGACUGAGGUUGAUGUGUUGGUGGCUGCUGAGAAGGCUAGGACUGAUUUCUUUGUCCCUGAUUCUUGCUUACCUGCAAAUUAAAGAAAGCAUUUCAGAUCACAAAAAAAGGUCACAAACAGGCUGAAAGUUAUAAUGAAGUGCAAACAUACACGUUGUCUUUUUGUUGGUGCUUCGUGCUGCUGCUGUUGAGAAGGUUGUCCAGUAGGUGCUGGUUCUUGAGAAGGUUGCUGUUCAGUAGAUGACUUAGGAGGAUUCUUGCAAGUUUUAGCAUUAUGUCCAAUCCCUCCACACUUUCUACAGUGGAUUACAACCCUCUUUCGUAACCUUUUGCCAUGAUCUUUUCCUUCUGUAACAUCUCUCUUUCUAGCUUUCUUUGGCCUACCAGGUUGAGUGACACUUGCUGGUGGAUCCAACUCCAGCAUGUCUGACUGUGGCCACUGAAUAUCUCCAUUAAUAGGCUGCAACACAUUAUCAUAGAUGGUAAAAAAUACCUCCCUAUGAUAGCAAUUAGCCAACAUUUUGUAGGGAUCCUUUUUAGCUCUAUGUAGAGCAGCAAUUGCAUGGGAACAUGGAAUGCCACUCAAGGCCCACAAAUUACAGGUGCACUCAUUUUUGUCAAGGUCAACAGCAAAUUGGGCUCCCCGUGGCCCUUUUGCUUGAUAACCUGAGCUUGAAUUCCAUGUUAUUUCCCAUUAUGCUGCACGUUUGACCCUUUCUUCCACAAUUUGUCUAAUGAGUGGUCCACCAUCUAACUUGUAUUUUUCCAUUGCUGCCCUUCUCUUUUGGAUCCUUUCCAUGAGGUAUUCCCUAAUAGCCUCCAUCAUAGAAAUAAUAGGCUGGUCCCUAGCCUCUAAAAUAUGGGCAUUAAAUGAUUCACAGAGGUUAUUAACCAACAUAUCACACUGUGUAUGUUUGGAAAAAAAGGCCUUACAUCAAUGUCGAGGGUGUGGUCCCUUCUUCACCCAUGCAUGUGCUUCUUGGUCAUAGGCUUCAAGGUCAUCCAAGGCUUGGUUGAAAUGUUCAACUGUUGUGGUGCUUGCUAUAUGCCACAAUCGAUCCUUUAAACCUAAUCCUGGAUGUUUCUUCUUGAAAUUCCUAUACAUGUGUUGAACACAGUAUCUGUGUUCAGAAUUUGGUAGAACCUCUGCGAGUGCUCUGUCUAGUCCCUACAAAAAAUAUCACAACAGGUAUAAGUUAGAUAUCUAAGCCAAGAGGUUAGUUUGAGGGCAACAAGUAUGCUAUAUUAAAAAGUUCAGGGGCUUGUUUUUACCUACACUAAAAGUUCAGGGGCUUAAAAUCUGCUAUAAAAAGUUCAGGGGCUUGUUUUUACCAUAGAAUAAAAGUUUUAGAUCUCUCAUUAAGCUUUUACCUUCUGCUGGUCGGACAUGAAAGUAUAAUGUCCCUGGUUCUGUAUUUCCAGGUCGCCACUCAAGAGGGUUAGGAACCAUCUCCAUUGCUCCGUGGCCUCUUUUUCAACAGCUGCCCACUAAAUCUAUCAUUUUCUUCCUCUACUUGUGAUUCAGAUUCAUCAUCUAUGUUUUCACCCUCUGCUUCAUGUUCACCUUGCUGUUCACCACCAUAGUCAGCUUCAUGUUCACCUUCGUGUUCACCACCACCAUAGUCAGCUUCAUGAACACCCUCUUCUGUCCCAACAUUACUAGCUGCAUGAGUGCUUUUUGCUGUUUUUGCACCCCCUACCUUUUCAACCGUAUCUACACCUUCUACUGGCCUAACAUUACUAUCCCUUUGACUAUUUUUUGCUCUUUUUUCACCCCCUACAUUCCCAACCAUACAAUCCCUUCUACUACUCUUCCCAGUACCUGCAUAUCUAGUUAUGCAUUCUUCCUCAUCUACUUCCUCUAUGACAACUCCAGUUUUCUUUUUCCCCUUGUCUGGUGACUCUAUUAUUACAGCAUUUUUCAGUUCUUCAAUUUCUGGGUCUGUCAGAUGAUGGCAAUACACUUCCAUCACCUUGAAUUUAUAUGCCCAGUCACAGAAUGUCCUAACAUGGGUAUCAGUAGACAAUUCUCUCAAACCAGUCCUUAUAUCUGCAACUGGUUCAAGGUAAUAGUAUAAAAUGGUUGCAUUACGAUGACCAACUUUUCCAACCAUUUUAUUCAACUCAUGCAUUGACAUACGUUCAGCAUCACACAUAUCUAUGUAGGCCACUUUUCCAUUCUCAUAACUGACAUAAUUUUCCCAAUUUAUUCUUCCCCCAUGGUGUAAUCUUAUGCUAAAUAUUUCACAUUCUGGAUCUGCAUAUCAAUAUGAAUAUAUUGUUUCAAUACAAAUUGGGCUACAACAAAUGCAGAUAAAUAUACUAUUCAAAUUCAAAUAUAUUAAUUAAAAUUUCAAUUUCUUUUUCACAUGCUUUUUAUCAAGGGGAAACCCUAAUGUAAUGCUUAAAUCGAAGUUAAACAAUAAAAAAGUUCCAACUUUUAAUGAAAUGCUAAUUAUUCGUCAAUCCCUACACUUUUUGAACAUCUAAACAACAAACUUUGGUGCCCACCACCAUACCCCUACAUCUAGGACCACUGGCACGUCACUUUCAAUAACCCCCACCACCAAAAUUUUACUCUUUUCACCCAUCUGACCACUAAAUAUGCUACCUAUUUCACAUUUAAAGAUUCGAAUGAAUAUACAUACCAUAAGCGAGGACAGGAUCAAAGUAUUCAUUUUCUGGCCUGAUUUGCCACCCCUCCAUUGUUGCUUCAAUGUCGAUGAUACCCAAACCCGACAAGUAGGAAUUAACUCUCUUGCUCUUCUCCCUCUGCAAAGAUCCUCAAGAGAAGAUGAAAAUGGGUAAGGCUGUUGCUGUGAAGUUUCGACUAGCAGUUGGGUUGGGUUACGAAAAUGGAGGGAGGAGUUGUGCGCUUUUUGUUUAGAAUAUGCGGACAAAAAUGCCCUUUGAAGAAGUACAGUUGCAUUCGUGUGAAUUGGUCCUCCGGUUGCAAAACCGGAGAAACUGGCUAAAAGGGCCACGGUUUAUCAGUUUUACAAGUUCAAGGGCUUAAAGUCAGAAAAAAUUAGAUGAGGGGCUUAAUUUUACCUAGACAAAGAGUUAAAGGGCCAAUUGGAUAAUUUGCCCCAGGAUUUACGACGAUUGUACUGGUGGGACAAGAUGAAAAGGGAUAUAGCUCAAUAUGUACAAACUUGUCUAGUAUGCCAGCAAGUUAAGGCCGAACACCAAAAACCUUAUGGACUACUACAGCCUCUGGAGAUACCCGAAUGGAAAUGGGAACAUAUCACUAUGGACUUCGUUUCUGGACUACCUAGAACCCAAAAAGGACAUGAUGCUGUUUGGGUAAUCGUUGAUCGGUUGACCAAGUCGGCUCAUUUCUUACCAGUGAAUAUGAAGUAUUCCAUGGAUAAGUUAGCUCGAGUGUAUUUGGAGGAGAUUGUGAGAUUGCAUGGUGUGCCCGUGAGUAUAGUUUCCGACCGAGACCCUCGUUUCGUGUCCAGAUUUUAGCAAAAGUUUCAGGAGACUUUUGGGACGAAGCUGAAUUUAAGCACCACUUAUCAUCCUCAGAUGGAUGGACAGUCGGAGCGGACGAUUCAGACCCUUGAGGAUAUGUUACGAACUUGUAUUCUAGAGUUCGGGGUAGUUGGGAUCAACAUAUGAUGUUAGUGGAGUUCGCCUACAAUAACAGUUACCAUUCAUCGAUCCAAAUGGCAUCGUAUGAAGCUCUUUACUGGCGAAAGUGCCAUUCACCGAUAUACUGGGAUGAAAUAGGAGAAAAGAAGAUCCUAGACUCUACUAUUAUUCCUUGGAUAGAGGAUGCCCAAGAAAAGAUCAAGUUAAUCCGUCAGAGACUCCAGACAGCUCAAAGUCGCCAGAAGAGCUAUGCAGAUAACCGAAGAAAAGAUCUAGAAUUUGAAGUUGGAGACCAUGUUUUCCUUAAGAUUACCCCGUUGCGGAGUGUUACUGCUGGCAGAGGAAAAAAGCUCCAACCUAGAUUCGUAGGACCUUUUUCGAUUCUUCAGCGAGUCGGGAAAGUAGCGUACAAACUUGAGUUGCCGCCAAACGUGUCACGGAUUCACGAUGUAUUUCAUGUAUCAAUGCUCAAAAAGUACUACCCCGAUCCAACUCACAUUGUGCAACCGGAGGAGAUUGAAAUUGACGAAGCCCUUACCUACGAGGAAAGACCUGUGCGAGUACUUGAUAGAAAAGUUAAGGAGCUGAAGAAUAAACAAAUUCCACUGGUGAAGAUUCUGUGGAAGAACCACGGAGUCGAAGAAGCGACCUGGGAGAUGGAGGAGGAGAUGAGAAAGAAAUACCCUGGAUUGUUUAAUGACUCAGGUGAGAAAUUUCAAGGACGAAAUUCUUUAAGGGGGAGAAAGUGUGAGACCCCGAAAAUUUUCUUAUUUUCUAGGCAUUUAUUUUAGGCUUUUGGGCUUAAUUUUAGUGUUUUCCUUAAUAUGUACAUUUUCUGGGGAUUUUAUGAGAAAAUAUGAAUUUUAAAUCACUUUCCUGAAAUAAGUUAUUUUCUGUGGUAAUAGGGGGUACAGUGGAUGUGGGACCCACUAGUGCGAUUGGUACAGUAAAUGUGGUUUGGGAGAAAUUUUAUAUAUGGAGAUUUUAUUACCUUGUAUUAUGAGCUAAUUAGAGGUUAGCUAAUUUAAUUAAGCAUUACAAGACAAGGACGUGGGAUAAGCUUGAAAGGGGCACAUGUUGCAUUUCUAUUGAAAGUUGGACUUUUGACCAUUUUCUUUACCUUUCCUUAUAAUCAAUUUUGACCCAAAAAUCCCCUCAUUUUCUCCUCCUCUUGGCCAACCAUCAUAGAGAGAAAAAGAGAGAAAACUUCCAACCUUGGUUCUUCAUUUCUUGCUAAAAUCUUGGAAUCUAACCAUUCAUCUCCCAAAUUUCUCCAUAAAACCUACUUGCUAGGUAGAAUUGAAGUGCUUGGUGGUUUUGUUUGGAGGGAAAGACUCUCUUCUACCUUGUAUCUUGUGUUUGAAAGGUGAGUGGUUAAGGAAUUGCUCUUUGUUGGUUAUGAUGUGAAAUUAGUAGGUGUUAGUAGUUAAAGAUGCAAUUUUAUGGAGUAUUUCAUGAAUUAUGGUUGAGUUGUCUAAUUUUUCUAUUUCUUGGGAAUUUUUCUGUUUUAUAUAGUUGCUUAUAGUUAGCUGAGGUAUGAGAGCCUUAUAUUGAAGAGUUUAGAGCCUUUAUGUGUUAAUGGACGUUGAUUGCGGAAAAUUUCCGCUUUUGUAAGAAAAUUUCAGUUUUAGGGUUUUAUAUUUGGGGCUUUUCUAUGGUUUGCCUUGAGCCUAUGUUUGAUUGACUUUUGAGGGUAAUAAGACCCUAAUGAGGUGAGUGGAUUGACCUAUAAGCUAUGUAGGUGUGUGUGUGAUAACUUGGAUGAUGAAUGAUAGGUUGGAAAUGUGAAAAUCCAAGGGGAAAUGCUGUCCAAGGUUAUAGAGAAUUGGUAAUCUUGAGUUGGGAAUGAUUUUGGAUCGAAUUGAAGAGGGUUUGGGAUUACUCAUACCUAACACCACUGUCACUUCGUUUUACUUUUGAGUGAUAGCAUACUAGUGGAUCAUUAUAACGAUUUGACCCGUAAUCGAGUCUCAAACAUGCUUUUCUUGCUUGUUUAGGUCCUACCGGUGAUCCGGGGCCUACGUCCGACGCGAACGUGUGAAUUGCUUGAUUUCUUCGGGGAGUGUAUCAUUAUAUGGUCUUUUAUACUUGUUAUGUGACUUGAAUGACUUGAAUGGGACGAGAGUGUACUUUAUCGCUCUCGAUCUCUUAUUUGUAUUACUGUUACUGUUUGACUGUGAAAUUGUAUAUGUGCCUGAUUGGAAGUCUGCUAGGGCUACACUCGAUUAUUACUGGGAAAUCUGAGCUCAUUCCCUUAGGUCGUUAUUCGAGUCGAGCCGGCAAGGGCUUUGGCGAAUCGAUAACGAACCUUGGGGUCACUGUGAGUUGAGUGGAGUGUUAACUCCUGGACCAUAUGGUAUACUCGAGUAUUACCUUUCGUAACUGUGAGGUGUCCGGGCAUGGUAAGGGGGUGAACGGUGGAAGGAAAUGGUGUAAAGAGGAGUCUACGGUCUUGUUUUCUCUUCAACAGUUGACGGAGUGUCAACGAGUAUGAUCAAGUACGGCAAUUGGAAAACGGCUCUUGAGGGCCGACCGUAUCCUUUUAUAUGUGGUUGUUAUGAUGAAAGCAUUUGUGUGUUUGUUGGCCAUGCAUAGUGUACUUGUGAGUUUUGGUACCUCACGAGCGUAAGCUCACCCCCGUUGUUUUGUUUUCCUUACAGGGACACUUUCGAAACCAAGUUUUUGAGAAAACGAGUUGUGCUAGUUAGGCAUUUUGUUCUUUUGAAUAGCUCCUUGAUUGUUUAGGAAACCCUUGAUAUAUUCGAAUUCAAGUAUACUUUUGAGUGUAUGUUGUAAAUACGGGAUCAAUAAUUGUACUUCCUCAUAUGUAUAUGAUAUGGAUAUGUUAUGGCAUGUAUACAUUAAGUUGAGGAUUAACUGCUUUACGUGUUUGACUUGAUUUGAGACGAGUACCGAAUUUGAGCGAGGAAGGAAAAAUUUUAGCGAGGUUACUGUUCACCAAAUCCGGCGAAGAAUCCGGCCAAAUUUUGGCCAGAUACAAGGCCGGAUAUGCAGGGGAGGAAAAAAAAUUUUGGGUUUUGGCCUCUGGCCGGAGCAAUCCGGCCAGUUUCCGGCCGGAUUGGCAGGGGAUUUCGAACCCUUGUGGAGUUGGCCACUGCCUCAUAUCUGGCCAAGAAUCCGGCCGGAUAGUGACGUUGCCGUUAUUGUUCAUCCACGGCAAACUUUCAUUUUUCAUUUUCUUAACCGUUUUAAGUGCUUGAGUGCUGUACAUUCAUACGUAGUGAUAUUUAUUGGAGAGGAAUGACUUCAUACGUGUUGAUCGUUCGCUUUUUUGAAUUUUUCCCCUCGAACAAAAAGGGGUGUUUUGUACGUUUUGGAUCCGUAGUCCUGGUGAGAGUUGGGCAGGCGGUCCGUCGAACCCUUUGGUUCGUCUUAGGGAGAGAUGGGGCUGUCACACUUGAACUCAUUACUUAUCUGCUGUACUUAAAAAAAACACUUUCUCUCUUAAAAACAUUUUCUAGAAUAUAUACUUAUUUAAACGCAAUUCUUAAAUCAAAACUUUGAUGAAAAUUUUGAAACAUCCUUCAAUUAUAUGUUAUUUCACUGUAUACACUCUUUAAUACCCAUGCAUUGAGUCGCAUGAUUAAUCUUCUUAAAUGUAUUUGAGGAAUUUGAAAUAUGUAUUAAUGACGGUGGCAAAAACAUUGCCUGAAGUUUCUUACUAAGAAAACUUAGUUUCGAACCAUGAAGAAAGGUUUGUAUCUUUUAACUCUAAUUUUGAAAUUGUGAAUCGUAUUUUGCCACAUACAUAUCCGAAAUACAUUUAAAAAAACCCUCAUUUUUUUCUUGCAUAUUAUGAUUGACUUGAUUUGAACAAAAAUUUGAGUGGUCAUUUGGGACCAAAGAAAUCCAGUUAUUUCUAAAAUUGUUAAUUUUGGAGAUCGAAUGCCAGUAAAUGAUUUUUUAAAAAAUUGAGUCGAAGAUUUUGGUAAAGUUAGUUUUCUAUUGGAAAUAUAUCUUCCUAUUCGAAUUUCGAGCCACCAGAUGGAAUCAUUUAACUAGACCUUUAAUUGACCCUGGAGUUGACUAUUUUUGUGAAAAUCCUAUUUUCGUGAGUGGUAUAAGUAAAGUGUGAUUGCUGCCCUAUAGUUUGGAGAAUAGGAGUCUUAUGAAGAAAUCAGAGCUUAAUUGUUAGUGCAAAUUAUAGAAGCUGUGAAUUUUGAUAAAUCUAGUGGACCUGGCAAAUAAGGGGUACGAUAUUAUCGUAAGUGUGAAUUUCGAGAACGAAAUUCUUUUAAGGAGGGGAGGUUGUGAGGACCCGAAAAUUUUCUUAUUUUAUUUUAUUUUACUGGCUUAAUUAAUUAUUUAAUUCAACUAUUUAAAAUUCAUUUAUAUGGAAAAACAUCUCUCUUAUGUUUUUAAAGCGUUUUGUUAGAAAAGUUACUUUUCGAAAACUCAUUUAGUUCGGAACAACAAAUACACAUUUUUUGAGACUAUAUUUGAAUUAAGGAUGUAUUAAUUUUGGAAAAGUAAUAAUGAUCAAUAGUGAAUACUCGUUUUCGAGACAAUGAUCGAUUUGGGAAGAGUUUGGAAAAUUGGAGGCUUAUACACCAGUCUUAAAAAUAGGUAUUUUUAUGUUUAAGUACUCAAGUAUUAGUUAGUAGUACUAUCGUUAUAAAAAUUUCUUAGAGGUUUCACCGAAGCGCGUAUAAAUCAAAAAUUCGCGUAUAUCGAGUCGUAGCGGUUAAUUGGAGAAUUAAGAAAUUUAUUCUAGACUAUUAAGAGUGAAUAAUAAUAGUAUGAAUACAAGUGCAUUGGAGGUUUAGUGCACUAGUGAAACAAAUCUGAGAGGAAACGAGCACGAAACGCGCGCGUACGCGCACUAGUCUUAGUUGACUUUUGGAGUAUUCUUAGCCACACAUUCUUAAGCUUCCUCAAGAAGCUUUUGCAGCUGCAACAACCUUUCUUUUCUCCUCUACCUGCCGUGCAUCACCCCAAGGAAGAAGACAACCAAAUUUGUUCUUCAACAACUCCCUCAUUUCUCACCCGAAUCACUCCAAAAUUGAACUACAACUUGCAAACAACUUGGAGAUUCACUUAAGCUAGGAAGAAAGCUUCAUUUCCACGGUUUUCUUGGGUAUCAAAGUGACCACAAAUUUCUGAUCUUGAUCAUCUAAGGAGGUAAUGACGAUGAACCCCUUGAAUUUUAGUUUAUAGAAGUUAUAUUACACUUGUGAACUCAUAUAUCCAUGUGGGUAGCUUUAUUUAUGUUGGAUUUUGGUGUGUGGGCUCUAUGAACUCCCACAAUGACUUGAGGACUGAUUUUAUGGGUUUUGAUAUGAUUAAUAUUGGUUUAGUGCUUAAAUUAGUGGAUGUAAGUUGUAUUGUGUAGACACCAAAUUUUUGGUGUUUUACUAUUUAUUUAUUUACUAUUCGUUUUUUAUUUGUUCUAUUUUUAUUUGUCACAAUUAUUUUUAUUUACUUUUAGUUUUAGUUAUUUUAGCCAUUUUAGCGUAGAAUUUCUCAAAGAAAAAAAGAAAAGCGUUCAAAAAAAUAUGUUUUAGUUGUUUUAGAUUUAGUUUCAUUAUUUAAAAAUGAAAAUGAAAAAAAAUGAAAAAAUGAAAAAUGAAAAAAAAGGAAAAAGAAGAAAAGAAAAAAAAGGAAAAUCUUCGCUUUUUAUUUUUUUUAUCUUUUGGUUAUUAAUUUUGUACAUUUUAUUUAAAUUUAAGUUUGUUUGAAUUAUUAUUAUUUUUAUUGUGAUUUAAAUUAAGUGAUUUAAAAAUUAAAAAAAAAAGCCGCGCAUGCAUGCGGCGUAUAAAAACAUUUGCAGAAAAUAUGGCAAGGGUAUGAUCGGAUGGCUGGAUGAUAGAGUAGAAAAAACCUUUCAUCCUCACCAUUGGGGUGAGGGUUGAGAGUUGGAGGUUCCAUAUAAAAGGAAAAACACAGCCGAAGGAGAGGACAGAGGAAUGAUGGCCGAAAGAUGUGAGAACCCUCAUUUUUAAAACACAAUUUCCUCAAAUUAAUUGCCUUAUUCUAGGAUUUAAAUCAUAUAUUAUAUGCCAUUACAUUUGCUUUUCUAGGUUGUCGCGCCCCAUUUUUUGAUAAAUAAAUAAAUGGUUUGAAAAUGUAUUUUUUGUGAUUGGAAAAUGAAUUUUGAUUUAAAAGAAAAGUGGGUCUAAAUGGGGGUUUGAGAAUGCGACGAUUUGACCCAAAAUUAUAGUUUAAAAGGGGUUUUUUGAAAUAAAAAAUUGGAGUCGCCACUUGGUAAUGAGUUAAGGUGUACCAAGUCACCAAAAAAUGAAUUUUUAAAGGAAAAAUAGGAAAAAGUAGUAAGAAACCCCUUUUAAACGACUCCUAAUCCACGUAAACCAAAGAAAAAGGUUCGGGAGUCACAUUUGACAAAGGGAAAGGCAAGGAUAAAAUCCAAGGCACCCCUUUGACCUAGCCAAGGCUAGUUGCAUGAUUUAAUCAAAGAUUUUCUUGUUUUAACCAAAGAAUUUAUUACAUUUGGAUGCACUACAUGAAUGCAACCCUAGACCUAGGGGGAUUGGGAGAAAUUUCCCUUCAAAGGUUGAGUGGUGCCAAUCACAUUGAUUGUGAAGCCCAAUAACGAUCCUUUGAAGAAGUCACGAAUAAUGCGAGUGGGAUGCAAAUGAAUGGAAUGCAUGUAUGCAAUAUGAGGACAUGGGUUUGAAAAAGUAAUAAAAGACAAGAAUGUGAAAGUAAAAAUGUGCACGUGAGUGGGCAAGGUACGGUAUGUGAAAUGAUAAUAUGAAGUGCAUGUGUGCAAACGAUGAUAAAAGUGUUCGGGUGCAAGUGAAGAAGCAUAAAGGUGCAUGUGUGCAAAAAGUGUUUGUGUGUAAGUGAAAGGAAAAGUAAAAGUGUGAUGAUAGAGUGGAUUCAGAAUGCAUGAGCCUAGGGAAUUUAUGCAUAUUGGGCACGGGGAGACCUAAAUCGUGACUCAAUUUGCCCUUUUAUAGAGGGAAUACAAGCGUGCUAAGGCUUAGAAAAAGCCACACUCGUCUAUAUCCCAUAUUUAAGGGGACACUCAAGCAAAAUGAACCCUAUAGCUAGUAUGGGAUGCAAAACCUAAAAUGAGAGGAAAAGGGGUUCGAGGAUCAUGCCAAAUGAUAAAACUUAAGGAAAAUGCGUGAUAUGUGGUGAACAAGCAAAUGAUGUACUAACGACGGAAAAUCCCUAAGGGUCUAGCGUUGGACUAGCCCAUUCUAUGAAUUCCGACUAGCGUUGGACUAGUGGAAACGAUAAAAGAAGCCACAACUAGCGUUGGACUAGUGUGGUGACGUACAUUCAGCCAUUCCAUUCAUCCACACUAUGGAAAGCAAGUAGACAUACUAAAUACUCAUAAACACGUAGCACGUAACAUUUAGCAUGCUCGGCUAGAUGCAAGGACCUAAUAAAGCGAUUAAACACUUAACACGUAGGCAUGCAAUCAACUAAUGAACCUAUUACAUUCACUAACUAAAACAAAAAGGGGAAGGGGAAAAUGGACCAAAUUGCUCGCCACAGCCCUAUCUAUUACAAGCCAAGAGGUGUACACAUACCCCAUUAAAAGAAUAACUUAAUGAAAACAAAAAGUAAAUGACAUAAGUAAAAGGCAUUAAAAAAAAACUAGGAAAGCAAAGUAGACAUGCAAUUCACUUAGCACGUUGAGUCACAUAAAAGAAACAAAAAAGAUAAAAGGAAUUAUACCGCUCCCUUUUGUAGUGUUAAAUGGACGAGACUUAAACUGGGCCAAGUCACCAACUAACGGGAUAACAUGUGCUAAAACCAUUCAAAGCAAAGGAUUAACGCACCAAUUUAGUUAUAAGAUAUAAACAAAACAAUUGGAAUCCACCAAAUCAUUAAAUUUUCCCCCAAUUGCAACUUAAUGAAGUAAAAAGCUAAUUAAAGACCAAGCAAAGACAUGAUCAUCCAACCUCCAAGCAUAACGUCCACUAAAGACCCAAAUGCAAGCACUACUCAAAUCAUUUGAACCUAAUUGAAGCAUUUAAAAACUCAAAGGUCCCCAAGUAAAAAUAAAGUCCAAGCAAACAUCAUAUCUCAAGAAUCCAAGAGUGAAUGAAGGUCCAUGAAUGGUUUAAACUUGCAUUUCUAGGACCCAAUAACGACCACUAAUCAAUCACAAUCAACGUCAAAAUGAAUCAUCAAAGAGCUUCAAAGGUCCCCAAAAUAAUAAAGAUCAAUUAAUGAUUCACAUGCAAACACCUUAGGACCUAAUUGCAAGAACAUGGAAUGUAAUUGGGCCAUAAUGCAUUGCUGCAAAAAUCUCAGGGACCCAAUUGAUUAGUUUUCUCAAUUUUGGGGUCAUAGUAGAACAAGGGGAGACUUGGGGGGUUAAAGUGCAAAUUUUAGAAAAUGAUUUCAUGCAAUCUUCAUGCAAAUGACGUGAGAAACACAUUCUGCAGCAGAAAUUUCAGCACAACUACGAAGCUUUCGACAACCGAGAAUGAAUCAAGUAUUUGCCAACCAAAACUCAAAGCUUUAAACUAGGAAACAAUUACAACACUAUCAUACUCCAAACAAACAACAAGCAUAGAAGGAAAUCAUGCAAAUUCUAGGAAACUUUAGUACAAGUUCAUGAAGAAACUUUCGGCAAAUUUCUGUUGCAAAAAAUGCAGCUAGAACCCAUAUAGAUUUCUCACGAAAAGAAACCAACUAACCCAUUAUUUGUCAACCAAAAACAUAUAAAUCUACAAAUCACCACUCUUAGCAUAACCCAAGUACAAGAUUAACAGAAAAUUAGGAGGCUAAAGCUUGUGAGUGUUUGCGGAAAAGAAAAGAAAACAAAACGGGUUGCGGCAGCCUCUGCUUUGCUGCAAAUUUUGCAGCCAACCCAUUCAUGCCUUCCUUAAUCAGUUCAAAGGUAUUCAUGCAAAGUAACGCAAGUCUGGACAUUUCCUAAACUGAACAGACAUAGCCCUGGUAGGCCAAAAACAAACAGCGGCAAAAAAAGGAGGAAAAUGCAGUCUGGCCGAAUUGAUAAGAUACAGCAGAAUUUAUGCUAUUGAUACUCUCGGCAAUGUCAUGGAAUUUUUCUUUUCCUUAACCGGCUUCAUGCAAUCUCCUUAUCCAGAUUUGAUUCAUUCAUACCAAACAUUCCAAGAAAGUUCUAAUUGGUUCUCUAGUUAGCCACGAAGUGCAAGGAUUGGGGGCAAGAGAGAGGAAAGGUGAAACAUGACCGCUACAAAAAAAAAAUUUUCAGCAGCCUGCCGAAGCUUUUGGGAGCUUCAGCAACCUUAUGCGGCAUACUUAGUUUCAAAGAUAAAUUUUUGACAUCAACCAAAGGUUGCCCAUGGCAUUGAACUCACGUAGAGACAACAAGCAAACAGGCCAAAUGCAGCAAAACAAAGGAAAAUAAACCCACCUGCCUGAACUACUACGAAAGAUUCAAUCUUGUGGCAGCAAACUCUUAAUCUUAAGGACCCAAGAACAAAAAGCCAUACUCACAAAAGGAAACUCAACAUCAGUCAUGAAAGCACCAAACAACAUCAGGCUUCUCACAGUUCCACCACUAAUCGAAACUAUCUACAAAGCAAAGGAAAAAUAAAACCUUACAGUCGCGUUGCUGGCCAAACUCUCGGCAAUAACGGUGGUGAUGAGUCUCUUCUCCGUGGUUUUCCUUUCUUAGCCCGCAGCCUCUAUCUCUCUCUCUUCAUUGUUCCCACCGUAAGUCACUUUUCCCAGCCGUGGCUACAAACCCUUUUCCUCAGAAUCGCACUCCUUUCUCUGGUCUUCCUUUUCCAUUUUUUUCAAAUUUCGGUCGUCACUCCCUCAAUCUUUUUCUCUUUGCGGCUGUCCAGACCUCUCUAUCUCUCUCUCUCUCCUUUUUGCCAAAACCUAACUCUCCUGAUUCCUCCCCCUUUUCUUUGCUCAGCCCCCCUCAAAACUUCCAGCCGUCCCCCUCUAUCCCACACUCUCGGUUUCUCCUUAGCCGUUCCUAGCUGUUUUUUUUUUUUGUGUUUUCCUUUUGCCGUCAAACUCUCUCCGUUGCGGCUACUCUUUCUCUUUCUAUUUAUAUGGGAGCCCCCCUCCUAAACCCUUAACAACUUCCUCUGUAUUUGCAGCUAAGGAGCUGCCUCAAAGUUCCUUUGCAAGCUGCAAAAAUGCAGCUUGCAUGCACGCAGCUCUUUUUUUUUUUUUUAACUAAAUAAAUACAGAAUAUAAAUAAUAAUAAUAAUAACAAAAUGACAAAACCAUGUAAUAAUAAUGAAAACAAAUAAAUAAAAUAAAAACAACAAAAAUGUCCAUUUUUCAAAUUUUCUUCAUUUUUCCCUUUUUUUUCUUUUUCCUUUUCUUUUCUCAAAAUAACUUAAUAAAUAUAACUAAAGUGCCAAAAGAUUGAAUUUGAACAUAUUUUUGUGACCAAUUUUCCCUUUUUCUCUUUUUUCAUGAUUUUUCCAUUGUUUUCUUUUUCUUUUGAGAAAUUCCAUCCUAAAAGCUUAAAAAUAAAAUAAUGACAUGAAAACUAAAAAAAAAACUAAAAACUAAAAAUGAAUAAAACAAACAUGACAAAAACAAAAAACUAAGAAAUAAAGAGUAAAUGAACUUGAGCUAAAAUUUGGUGUCUACAGUUUGGCCCUCUUUGUCUGAGUUUUGAAAAAACUUGAGACAAAGAAAUGGACACCAAAUACUUACCUGUGUUAUUCGGCUGCGAAUCACUCAAACGAUGGGGACUGACCCCUGACAGGAAAUUUUAAAAUCGGGACUGACCCGAGACAGGAUUUAAACGGGAUAGACCCAGACAAAAAAUGUAAAAUUGGGGUAGACCCACGGGAUAGACCUGGACAGAAAUUUAAAUGGGAUAGACCCAGACAAAAAAUGUAAAUGGGAUAGACCCGGAUAGAAAUUUAAAUGGGAUAGUCCCAGUCCUACCGAGGUAAGCGGUCAGCGGGAUAAAACCCGGUCCUGCCAAAGUAAGCGGUCAGCGGGAUAAAACCCAGUCCUGCCGAGGCAAGCGGUCAGCGGGAUAAAACCCGGUCCUGCCGUCCAAUUGGUCAAGAAAUUAAGUGUGAUUGUCAAAAGGGGAAGAUAGAAGAGAGCGCGGCGGGCGCUGAGAUAUCGCCAACAAGAAUUCAAUGUGAUUUUUCAAAAAACAAGAAAUUGAAUUUGAUUUUUCCAGAAAUCCUGAUUGAGAGAAUCUUGUCAAAAUAAUUUGCCCCAGUCUCCCCCAAUUUGUGCAACCGAUCAAUUGAUUUGUAUUAUGGUUGCUCCUCCUUGAGACCUUGAUUCGUAAGAUUCUUGCUUCACGAAAUCCCAAAAAUUUGCCCCAGUAUGGUGAAUUUUCUGCAAUUUUGGGUCCAUAGUUGAUGUUGUUGCACCUUUUGAUCAGAUUUGCUUGCAAUAUUUUUGAUCGGCCUUUGUUCACCGGAGGACUUUUCCGACACCGAUUCCAGUGCGAGGUGUGACUACUUUCAUUUGUGCAUGCAAUUUUCCUGCAAAAGAGAAAAACAAAGAAAUUGCCACCACCAUUUGAUCCGUUUUCCUUUGAGAAUCGUGUAAACAUGAGUCUUUCGACGCUUUUAUCAACUUUUGCUGCGGCAGCCGAUUGAGUUGGAUUUCUCACCCUAAGACUCUUCCGAUUUUCAAACUGACCAGGUAUGUGCUUUGCCCUAUUAUGAAGUUUGUGUAGCUGGCUUGGCUGAAUUUCAACUAUUUCCAAAAGAUGACUGAAUCCAAGCAUACUUUUGCAAUAAACCACGGGGAUUGUCAUUCACCACAAUUCAAUGAUAAAGAAUGAGGUAUGCAAGAAAAUUCACAUGUCAUGUAAAAAUGAAUAUGUACAAGAAUGCACACCUAACCAUUUGUGCUUAAAUUCUACAAAAAAUGCCAUGAAUGCAAGUAAUUUGGAAAAAAUGAGUUUCCUAAGAAUGUAUUUACAAAAGAAUAUUUUUUACAAAAUGACACGGCUUUUGCCAACAGAUGUCAUAUUCAAAUCUCUGGAUAUCUUAGCUCCGGAAUUCAAUGUUGUCAGAGGUAUGACAAAAAUGAGAAGAAAUCCAAAUGGACCAAACCACCACUUGUUCUUCUUUGUGCUUGCUCAUUGCAGAAACUUACCUUGGCGCCCAUUCGGGUUUUCACCAAGGUUGCCCCCCACCCUUUUGUUGGUUUUUCUUUUCUCUUUCUUCUUCUUUUUUUCUUUUUUCUUUUUCUCUUGAGGUGCCCUUGUGGGUUUUUCACCUAAUGAAAUAAUGGAAGAGCUCAACCAUAGUCGACUCAGGAAUGUAAGUUGAAGAUUGCUGGCAUCAGUAAAAAUGCGCUUCCCUUAUAGACUUAACGAAGGCAUUAUGGACAUCACGUGCCAGUUGAUUAGCAAAAUCCCUAAUAGAAAUGCAGCAAGUGACGAAAGCCAGGACUUUUGGGCUUUUGUAAUGAGGUUAGGUGGGGUGUUUUUCAAGAAAAGUUGAGGCUUGAAAGCAGGUCUGAUGAAAGGUGUGAAAUAAACUGAGAUUGCAUCAUUUUGAAAUUAUCUCUAAUUUUUGAACGAAACCGAGGAAAACUUGCCCCAGCUUGAUUGAAUUUUCCUUUCUUUGUACUUUUCAUUGCAUUUUCUCUUCUUUUUUUUUUCUUUUUUCUUUGCAUUGCAUUUUUCUUCAAAAACUAAAUUUGCCCCAGUGUGGGGUUCUUUCUUCCUGAUCAUUUUUCAAAAUGAAUUUGCCCCAGUGUGGGGUUCUUUCUUUUCCCAUAUCUCUUUCGAAGAUACAUUUGCCCCAGUGUGGGGUUUUCUUUCCUUUCUGAUCAUUUUUCAAAAUGAAUUCGCCCCAGUGUGGGGUUUGCAAUUCUCAAGGGCUGCCAAACGAAAAUUAUUGUUCUGAUAGCUCAAAGGGGAUGACUAGGGAUGAAAUGUUUUGAUUGAAAAGGAAGAUGGCCUGACUUUUGCCUCGCCCCUUGCAUGAUUUCCUAAAAGAAACUUUGCAUAAUCAAAUAAAGAACAUCUUACACAUGUCCAAGUUGAUAGGUUAAGGGAAUGUCUGUCCUUCUAUCUCUCCUUUGAACACCCAAUAAACUUUGUCAAUUUGAAGCAAAUUUGCCUUCGACUUCGUCUUUCAUCGCUUUAGCACUUUGUUUCCUUUUCAGAAGAUCGGUGGCGGAUCCUUUUGUUAUGAACAUAGGUCAUGCGUUUUGACAACGUUGGUCAUGGCACAUAGCAUUCAACUGCUUUUCAUCAAUCAGAAUCAAUCGUUAAUGACACUGCUUUAACAAAUCAGCUUCCAACCCGGCCGAAAAGGGAUUUUCUCAAAUGAAAGGAUUUUUCCAUGAAGGGAUUUCGCAAAUGAAGGGAUUUCAAUGAAGGGAUUUCGCAAAUGAAGGGAUAUUUUCAAUGAAGGGAUUUUUAAUGAUUUUUCUCAAUGAAAGUUUUCUCAAUGAAGGAUUUCUCAAUGAAGGCAUUCUCAAUGAAGGAAUUUCUCAAUGAAGGCUUUCCCAACGAAGGAAUUUCUCAAUGAGGGCUUUUUAAUGGAGGAAUUUUCAAUGAAGGGCUUUAUCAAAUUCCAGAACAGUGAUAUUCAAAGAGUCAAAUAACUUCACCUUUGGCCAUUUCAAAGAAUUAACAAAAACCAGAACAAUAAACAAAUAAUCAAAUUGUGCAUUUCAUGAAACUCCAAAUCAAAGCGGAAACAAAACAAAACUCAAUUGCAAAAGACGCUUUCAUUAAGCUAUGCACAUAUGCAAGAAAAAGUUUUCAUGAAUUUUAGCAAAUGACAACCCCUAGACUUAUCAAAAUUCCCUUCGAGAGGGAAGAUAGUCAGCCAUCCAAAUUGUGCAGAGCUCUUUCAAGACCUUCAAAUUUCGUCAUUGGAGGUGGAUGCCUCAAAGGUGUCCUUGUGUUUAGGAAAAGGAUUUGUUUUUAUAUUUGGUCCUUGUUCUUCCCUCCCUUUCAAAAUUAUGUCUCCGGCCUCAAUCAUGUCUUGGAUUUUGUGUUUAAGUACCCAACAAUUGGUGGUAGAAUGCCCAGGAGCUCCAGAAUGAUAAGCACAAAAAGAUUGAGGAUUAUAACCAGGGGGAACUCCUUUAGUAUAGACUUUAGGAGGUAUUGUACCAAUUUUCCCCGCAGCCUUGAGCUGCUCAUAUAGUUGAUCGAGGGGCCGACCUAGAUUGGUAAAAGUUCUAUAUCGGGUCGGGUCUCGGGUGCCAGCGGUCUGUUGAUAGUUGUAGUUAUGGUUGACGGGUAAGAUUGGUCUUGGAUGAUAAGGAGAGCAAUGUCUAGUUUGAAAGUUAUGUGGGGAGAUAUAAAAUGGUGUUGUGGGUGUGUUUGGGUAAUUUGGUCGAGAUCGAGGAUGGUUACCAGUGGUAUGGUGCACAGGUUGAAAGUGUGAUUGGUACGGGUAACGGGGUGAAUAGGUGGAGUUCUGUCGGUAUCUCGGUUGGGGAGCAGGGUCUCGAUUCGAGACAAAUGAAGCCUCCUCUUCUCUCUUUUUGAAUGGGGAUUUCUUGUUACCGCUGCCUUGAUUUUGCAUCGCUUCCAAUUGCGAUUUCAGAGCCGACACGUUAAUAAUCUUUCCUGCCCUUAUAAACUCAUCAUAUUCUUCUAAUUUAUUAACGAUCUCGGCAAAGGAACACCCAGUCAUUCGACAAAUUUCUUCAAAGUAUGGCGGAUCAUGUGCCUUAAUGAAGGUGCGUAUGAUUUCAUCCUCAGUCAUUGGUGGCUCGACUUUUGCAGCUACUUUCCUCCACCUCUUAGCAUAAGUCUUGUGAUCCUCGGAGGGUUUCCUCUUUGUUCCUUCCAACGUGGUUCGUGUUGGAGCCAGCUCGCAAUUAUACUCGUACUGCUUUACAAAAGCGCUGGACAAGUCAAGCCAGGUCUUCACUUCUUCGGGCUUCAGCUUGGAAUACCAGUCGAGUGCAUCCCCCUCGAGACUUUCUGGGAAUAGCCUCAAAGGCAGAUUUUCAUCAUCUGUUGGCCUACCCAACUUGUUGGCGAACAAUCGGAGGUGUGUCUUGGGAUUGCCUGUCCCAUCAUAUUUGUUGAACUUCGGGGUCUUGAACCCUUCAGGCAAUUGCACAUUCAGGAAAAGGCAAAGUUCAUCGUAAUCCAGGACUCCUUGCUUGUUCAACCCCUGACUCUUCCUUAUAAACUCAUCAAAACGGUCGAGGCGUUUGAGCAGUUUUAUAUCAACGGGAGCAGAACAUCCUCCUAUCUCCGGCUUGUUUUGAAUGGUAUGGUCUGGCAAGAAAGGCUCAGCAGUAGCGUGGUUAAAAGUGUGUGACUCAGGUGGUAUAUUUGAGGUGAUGUGAGGUUGUGGGCCUUGCAUGUAAGUAGGGAAAAAUGAAGGAUCAGGAGGGUAAGUGUAUGGCAAAUGUAUAGUGGGAUAUGUGAAAGUUCCUUCGGGUGGAAUAGGUAAAGAUGGAAUAACAGUGACUUGAGUUGAAGGGAUGACGAAUGGCUCUUGCUCAGCCUGCUUGACGGGUAUAGGUUCGGGUUGAACUCCGCUGCUGAUUAGCUCGUCAAUCAAUUUCCUUUGGGCCGCCAUCUCAGUGGUCAUCUUGUCGAACUUAGUGAGCAUCUCAGUCAACUGAACCCCCAAACUCGCGGUCUCGGGCUGAGCGGUAGUAGCAGGCCUAUCUGAUAAUUCCAGUUGUGAACUCAUGUUUACACGACUCCUCUGGGCUCGACUACGGGAUCGCGUUAUGAUGGGGCUUCGACGAGAAGCUAUGUUUAAAUAUUACCUGAGAAUUUUGAAAGGAAUUGCCUUUAGAUUUAACCCUUGCCUAAUUGUUACAAUAAAAAUAAAGAAAAGAAAAAGAAAAAGGCAAGAGUUAGUCGAUAUCCAGGAAAUUCGGAUGCAUGUCCUACGGGGGAACCCUUUUUGUGCCAAGGGUAGGCCUAGCAUGAAAAUGCAAUCCUCUGAGGUAGGCACUAUACCGUACCUGAUGGAUCUGAUCAACUCAUUGAGUGAAAAAUAAUUUUGAAAAAUUUAGUCAAUUGGAGAGACGAGAGACAUUUAUCAAAAUGAGGUCAACGUCCGAAUGGAUUGAUCACUUUUGAUCGAUACAAGAUUUUGCAAAAACGCACGGGUUUGACCUUGACGAACUUCCUAUCAAAGAGAUUGGAAUUCGUUGAUAAAAUUUCUCAGUGAAUUACGGGUCAAAACCCUAAUUGAUCAAAUGGUUGGAUGCAAUGGAUGUUUUUCUCAAAAUCGACUAGGUUUUCCAUUUUGAAAUUGACAUUGAAACCCUGAUUGGUCAAAUGGGUUGAAUGAAAUUGACCAUUUAUUUAAAAUCGACCAGAUUACCCUAAAAAGAGAAACUAGUCAAAUGAAUUGAGUGGAACUCAAAAUGGACCAAAUCAUCCUAAAAAAGGAACUUGAUCAAAUGGAAUUGAGAAUUUUAUUCAAAAAUGAAAUUGGUCAAAUGACUUGAAUGAAAUCGAAAAUUUAUUCAAAAUUGACCAGAUCGCCCUAAAAAGGGUAAACUGGUCCAAUGAAUCGGAUGAACUUGAUGAUUUAUCGAAAAUCGACAAAAAUGCCCUAACUAAUCAAAUGAAUUGAAUGAAAUUGGUGAUUUAUUCAAAAGUCGGCCGAAUGACCCUAAAAAGGGUAAAUUGGUCAAAUGAAUUGAUGAUUUAUUCAAAAUCGACCAGGUGACCCUGAAAAGGGUAAAUUGGUCAAAUGACCAUAAAAAGGGUAAAUUGGUCAAAUGAAUUGACGAUUUAUUCAAAAUCGACCAGGUGACCCGGAAAAGGGUAAAUUGGUCAAAUGAAUUGACGAUUUAUUCAAAAUCGACCAGGUGACCCGGAAAAGAGUAAAUUUGUCAAAUGACCCUAAAAAGGGUAAAUUGGUCAAAGGAAUGAUUUAUUCAAAAUUGAUUGACAAAAAGGAUUGAUUGAAUCAUCUGGCCAUUGGUGGUUUCAAAAAAUUAGUCUAUGAGCCUUCUAAAAUCACGAUUUGGCCUCAAUUUAUUAAUCGUCUCAAUAGGGAGGAAUUACUUGUGAAUUUCUUCAAAUUAAUGUCCUUUUACGCAAAGGAUUUUUACCAACUUUGAUAAAAUGGCCAAAAAAGUGAUUAUUAGACGCUCAUAUUCCAAAAAUCGCUCUUAUGAAGACAAUCGGAUCCUACCUUACCUUGUGCACUACCCCUUUGGAUGGUACAAAAAAUGUAAACGUGCAAAUCUCCUUGGAUUAAGUAUCCGAGACACAAGGCGGCUUAUUCCUUAACACGGGAUCCCCUAUGUGGCAUUCCCUUUCUAGGGUUAUGCAUGAUGCCAUUUAUUAAAGCGGUGUAAAUAUGCAAUUCGAAAUGAAACGUGACCUAAGGAACCUUUUAUUUGCCAGGAUAGGCCUAGAAUGGUAUGGCAUUAUUAAUUUAUGAACAAAAUGUACCACAAUUUUCAAACGUGCAAUAGCCUAUCUACAAGGGUAGGUCCUAAAAGGAGGUCAUGGCAGACCUCUUAUUUCCUAACGUUUGUGAAUGCAAAAGAUAAGAAACAAGGAAACGUUAGUUCAACACAUAAUCACAUAACACGUUGGACAAUUACAUGAUACAAAAACAACAGAGAAAUAAGGAAAGAGGGUGGGAUCCCUCCCCUCGUGCAUGGUGUCCCUAGUUCAGGAUAAGGCCGACUCUACCCUAGGCAAUUCUAUCAUGGAUGCAUGAGGUUAGGGCUCACUAAUGUAUCUAGACUCGAUAGGUCAUAGGUCCCCGAGCCUUCAGACUUGGAAACCAAGGGUCAUCACUCCCAAGGUUCCUUGUCGGUGGCUCGAGCGAUUCCCCAGACGUUGCUACGCACACGUCGUGUUACGACUACCCGUCUGGGCGAAUCUAAAAAGAAUCCUCAACCUUCGACUAAAAACUAAUAGGUCAUCAACCUAAAGUUUAAAGCGGAAGAUCGAGUGAUCCCUCGGAUCAUGCUACGCACACGUCGUGAUACGAUCACAUGUCCAAGUGGGUCGCCUAAAAUCCUAAUAGGGUGGAGUGGCGUGACAAACCACUAAAAGAAAAAUAAAUGAGGGGUAAAAAUAAUUAAAGCGUAUGCGCGUAUGCUAGUGCUCGUUUGGAGGGGAGGGAUCAAGAACCAACGCGAGGCUCUAAGGUGACACACCCCCCCAAAUGCAAUGCGAGCGCGAGGUAAGCAAGUAAACAUACAUCCAAUCAACCAAUCAUACAUUCGUGAGCGAGAGAGUAGUUGGAUACGCGUGAAAUGCAAAAAUCCUAAUAAAAGGAAAAAAUGCAAUCCUAAACACCCAAAUGUGAUAUAUGAAAAGGUUAAAAGAAGAAAAAGAUUGAUUAAAUCAAAUUUGCUCGGACUCUCGAAUAUCCCCAGUGGAGUCGCCAACUGUCGCGCCCCAUUUUUUGAUAAAUAAAUAAAUGGUUUGAAAAUGUAUUUUUUGUGAUUGGAAAAUGAAUUUUGAUUUAAAAGAAAAGUGGGUCUAAAUGGGGGUUUGAGAAUGCGACGAUUUGACCCAAAAUUAUAGUUUAAAAGGGGUUUUUUGAAAUAAAAAAUUGGAGUCGCCACUUGGUAAUGAGUUAAGGUGUACCAAGUCACCAAAAAAUGAAUUUUUAAAGGAAAAAUAGGAAAAAGUAGUAAGAAACCCCUUUUAAACGACUCCUAAUCCACGUAAACCAAAGAAAAAGGUUCGGGAGUCACAUUUGACAAAGGGGAAGGCAGGGAUAAAAUCCAAGGCACCCCUUUGACCUAGCCAAGGCUAGUUGCAUGAUUUAAUCAAAGAUUUUCUUGUUUUAACCAAAGAAUUUAUUACAUUUGGAUGCACUACAUGAAUGCAACCCUAGACCUAGGGGGAUUGGGAGAAAUUUCCCUUCAAAGGUUGAGUGGUGCCAAUCACAUUGAUUGUGAAGCCCAAUAACGAUCCUUUGAAGAAGUCACGAAUAAUGCGAGUGGGAUGCAAAUGAAUGGAAUGCAUGUAUGCAAUAUGAGGACAUGGGUUUGAAAAAGUAAUAAAAGACAAGAAUGUGUAAGUAAAAAUGUGCACGUGAGUGGGCAAGGUACCGUAUGUGAAAUGAUAAUAUGAAGUGCAUGUGUGCAAACGAUGAUAAAAGUGUUCGGGUGCAAGUGAAGAAGCAUAAAUGUGCAUGUGUGCAAAAAGUGUUUGUGUGUAAGUGAAAGGAAAAGUAAAAGUGUGAUGAUAGAGUGGAUUCAGAAUGCAUGAGCCUAGGGAAUUUAUGCAUAUUGGGCACGGGGAGACCUAAAUCGUGACUCAAUUUGCCCUUUUAUAGAGGGAAUACAAGCGUGCUAAGGUUUAGAAAAAGCCACACUCGUCUAUAUCCCAUAUUUAAGGGGACACUCAAGCAAAAUGAACCCUAUAGCUAGUAUGGGAUGCAAAACCUAAAAUGAGAGGAAAAGGGGUUCGAGGAUCAUGCCAAAUGAUAAAACUUAAGGAAAAUGCGUGAUAUGUGGUGAACAAGCAAAUGAUGUACUAACGACGGAAAAUCCCUAAGGGUCUAGCGUUGGACUAGCCCAUUCUAUGAAUUCCGACUAGCAUUGGACUAGUGGAAACGAUAAAAGAAGCCACAACUAGCGUUGGACUAGUGUGGUGACGUACAUUCAGCCAUUCCAUUCAUCCACACUAUGGAAAGCAAGUAGACAUACUAAAUACUCAUAAACACGUAGCACGUAACAUUUAGCAUGCUCGGCUAGAUGCAAGGACCUAAUAAAGCGAUUAAACACUUAACACGUAGGCAUGCAAUCAACUAAUGAACCUAUUACAUUCACUAACUAAAACAAAAAGGGGAAGGGGAAAAUGGACCAAAUUGCUCGCCACAGCCCUAUCUAUUACAAGCCAAGAGGUGUACACAUACCCCAUUAAAAGAAUAACUUAAUGAAAACAAAAAGUAAAUGACAUAAGUAAAAGGCAUUAAAAAAAAACUAGGAAAGCAAAGUAGACAUGCAAUUCACUUAGCACGUUGAGUCACAUAAAAGAAACAAAAAAGAUAAAAGGAAUUAUACCGCUCCCUUUUGUAGUGUUAAAUGGACGAGACUUAAACUGGGCCAAGUCACCAACUAACGGGAUAACAUGUGCUAAAACCAUUCAAAGCAAAGGAUUAACGCACCAAUUUAGUUAUAAGAUAUAAACAAAACAAUUGGAAUCCACCAAAUCAUUAAAUUUUCCCCCAAUUGCAACUUAAUGAAGUAAAAAGCUAAUUAAAGACCAAGCAAAGACAUGAUCAUCCAACCUCCAAGCAUAACGUCCACUAAAGACCCAAAUGCAAGCACUACUCAAAUCAUUUGAACCUAAUUGAAGCAUUUAAAAACUCAAAGGUCCCCAAGUAAAAAUAAAGUCCAAGCAAACAUCAUAUCUCAAGAAUCCAAGAGUGAAUGAAGGUCCAUGAAUGGUUUAAACUUGCAUUUCUAGGACCCAAUAACGACCACUAAUCAAUCACAAUCAACGUCAAAAUGAAUCAUCAAAGAGCUUCAAAGGUCCCCAAAAUAAUAAAGAUCAAUUAAUGAUUCACAUGCAAACACCUUAGGACCUAAUUGCAAGAACAUGGAAUGUAAUUGGGCCAUAAUGCAUUGCUGCAAAAAUCUCAGGGACCCAAUUGAUUAGUUUUCUCAAUUUUGGGGUCAUAGUAGAACAAGGGGAGACUUGGGGGGUUAAAGUGCAAAUUUUAGAAAAUGAUUUCAUGCAAUCUUCAUGCAAAUGACGUGAGAAACACAUUCUGCAGCAGAAAUUUCAGCACAACUACGAAGCUUUCGACAACCGAGAAUGAAUCAAGUAUUUGCCAACCAAAACUCAAAGCUUUAAACUAGGAAACAAUUACAACACUAUCAUACUCCAAACAAACAACAAGCAUAGAAGGAAAUCAUGCAAAUUCUAGGAAACUUUAGUACAAGUUCAUGAAGAAACUUUCGGCAAAUUUCUAUUGCAAAAAAUGCAGUUAGAACCCAUAUAGAUUUAUCACGAAAAGAAACCAACUAACCCAUUAUUUGUCAACCAAAAACAUAUAAAUCUACAAAUCACCACUCUUAGCAUAACCCAAGUACAAGAUUAACAGCAAAUUAGGAGGCUAAAGCUUGUGAGUGUUUGCGGAAAAGAAAAUAAAACAAAACGGGUUGCGGCAGCCUCUGCUUUGCUGCAAAUUUUGCAGCCAACCCAUUCAUGCCUUCCUUAAUCAGUUCAAAGGUAUUCAUGCAAAGUAACGCAAGUCUGGACAUUUCCUAAACUGAACAGACAUAGCCCUGGUAGGCCAAAAACAAACAGCGGCAAAAAAAGGAGGAAAAUGCAGUCUGGCCGAAUUGAUAAGAUACAGCAGAAUUUAUGCUAUUGAUACUCUCGGCAAUGUCAUGGAAUUUUUCUUUUCCUUAACCGGCUUCAUGCAAUCUCCUUAUCCAGAUUUGAUUCAUUCAUACCAAACAUUCCAAGAAAGUUCUAAUUGGUUCUCUAGUUAGCCACGAAGUGCAAGGAUUGGGGGCAAGAGAGAGGAAAGGUGAAACAUGACCGCUACAAAAAAAAAAAUUUUCAGCAGCCUGCCGAAGCUUUUGGGAGCUUCAGCAACCUUAUGCGGCAUACUUAGUUUCAAAGAUAAAUUUUUGACAUCAACCAAAGGUUGCCCAUGGCAUUGAACUCACGUAGAGACAACAAGCAAACAGGCCAAAUGCAGCAAAACAAAGGAAAAUAAACCCACCUGCCUGAACUACUACGAAAGAUUCAAUCUUGUGGCAGCAAACUCUUAAUCUUAAGGACCCAAGAACAAAAAGCCAUACUCACAAAAGGAAACUCAACAUCCGUCAUGAAAGCACCAAACAACAUCAGGCUUCUCACAGUUCCACCACUAAUCGAAACUAUCUACAAAGCAAAGGAAAAAUAAAACCUUACAGUCGCGUUGCUGGCCAAACUCUCGGCAAUAACGGUGGUGAUGAGUCUCUUCUCCGUGGUUUUCCUUUCUUAGCCCGCAGCCUCUAUCUCUCUCUCUUCAUUGUUCCCACCGUAAGUCACUUUUCCCAGCCGUGGCUACAAACCCUUUUCCUCAGAAUCGCACUCCUUUCUCUGGUCUUCCUUUUCCAUUUUUUUCAAAUUUCGGUCGUCACUCCCUCAAUCUUUUUCUCUUUGCGGCUGUCCAGACCUCUCUAUCUCUCUCUCUCUCCUUUUUGCCAAAACCUAACUCUCCUGAUUCCUCCCCCUUUUCUUUGCUCAGCCCCCCUCAAAACUUCCAGCCGUCCCCCUCUAUCCCACACUCUCGGUUUCUCCUUAGCCGUUCCUAGCUGUUUUUUUUUUUUGUGUUUUCCUUUUGCCGUCAAACUCUCUCCGUUGCGGCUACUCUUUCUCUUUCUAUUUAUAUGGGAGCCCCCCUCCUAAACCCUUAACAACUUCCUCUGUAUUUGCAGCUAAGGAGCUGCCUCAAAGUUCCUUUGCAAGCUGCAAAAAUGCAGCUUGCAUGCACGCAGCUCUUUUUUUUUUUUUUAACUAAAUAAAUACAGAAUAUAAAUAAUAAUAAUAAUAACAAAAUGAAAAAACCAUGUAAUAAUAAUGAAAACAAAUAAAUAAAAUAAAAACAACAAAAAUGUCCAUUUUUCAAAUUUUCUUCAUUUUUCCCUUUUUUUUCUUUUUCCUUUUCUUUUCUCAAAAUAACUUAAUAAAAAUAACUAAAGUGCCAAAAGAUUGAAUUUGAACGUAUUUUUGUGACCAAUUUUCCCUUUUUCUCUUUUUUCAUGAUUUUUCCAUUGUUUUCUUUUUCUUUUGAGAAAUUCCAUCCUAAAAGCUUAAAAAUAAAAUAAUGACAUGAAAACUAAAAAAAAAACUAAAAACUAAAAAUGAAUAAAACAAACAUGACAAAAACAAAAAACUAAGAAAUAAAGAGUAAAUGAACUUGAGCUAAAAUUUGGUGUCUACAUAGGUGUUACAAUAAUUUUCAUGCAUUACACUUCAUUCCUUUUACUUGUAGUAAAGCAUUUUUUUUAGAGUUAAUUUUAAAUAUACACCACUUACAUUUUACCAAGUGUCUUUAUAUUAGUGGUAGAAAUCUUACAUGUAGGAUUAUAGGUGCUAAAAUAUGAUUGGUGCACUUGGAAAGAUUAGUUAGGAGUGUUAAAGUAUUAUUGGUGCACUUGGAAAGGUUAGUUAGAGGUGUUAAAAUAUUAUUGGUGCAUUUGGAAAGAUUAGUUAGAGGUGUUAAAGAAUGAUUGGUGCAUUUGGAAAGGUUAAGACACCAUUAGUCAAAGAUUAAGAAAGAAUUGGACAAGUAAGUGGACAUGUGGCUAAACUUUAGCCAAGUAUCUUAUUGGAACCAAGAUUAGAAGACUAUAUAAACUAGCCAAAGCCUUCUUUUUUUCUUGAGUGCUGGCCGAAAUUCUGGUUCAAGAGAGAGAGAAAAAGUGAGCCACAUAAUCUUGUUUUCUUACUUUAGCAAACCAAGAACAACAAUCAAGAGAGAAAAAUCUGAAUUAGUGAGAAAGUUCCUACAACUCCAAGUGUUUGAUCCAAGCUUGAAGACUUACUUUGGUAAAGUGAUUUUGGUGGUGCAAGCUCACUAUAAGAGAGGUAUAUGUCCUUUAAAUCUUGGUUUUUGAUGAUAGAACAUGCACUUGAAUUGUUAAUAGCAAAGAUAUAAGUUGUUUGGUUGAGAUGUUGAGUUAGUUUCUUGAAGUAAACAAGUAGUAGCUAGGUUUCUUAGUAUGUAUACCAAGUGUUUGAUGAAAUGUUUGAUUCUUAUUCAUGUUUGUUUAUGAGGUAUUAUUAUGUUUUAAACCUCUUUUGAGCUAGAACUACCACUUGAUAUGAUGAUUGAGUAGAAAACAUGUAAGGAUGAAGAUUGAACAAAUGUUGAAAAGGGUGGGCUGGUUGCUUUGUCUAGGCUGGCCGGUUCUUGUAGGAGGGAUUUUCCCUCAAUCUUGUUGUUAAAUUUUGUCCUCAUCAAGCCUAAUAAACUAGGUUAACUAUUGGUUAAGCCUAUGAGCAAGUUGGAAUGGAGUUGAAGCAAGUAAAGUGGUGAUUUUGAACCAUUAGUAGACUGUUUUAGGACUCUUGUAGUUAUGGGAUCAUUAUGGCUACCUUAAAUCAUGUUGUAUGUUAUAUUGUAAACUCCAUUGAUUCUAAGUGACUUGAAUCCUUGUAUAUGAUCACUUGAGGAGUGAAUUGGGUGAAUUUGAAUCAAAACUAAUGAAGUUAGCCCUAAAACUAGAGUAGUUUGGUAUAGGAUUAAUGUUGAUCCAGGGUUGGAUAAACAGCCACCUUGUCUGAAUUACUGUUGUUGAUAGGAGACGAACCACGGUGUGAGCUUGGUACCGUUGGAAAGCCCUUCGAGUCUAGUUUCCAACGCCACUAACGGCACCUAAUUUUGACUUUUCUACAGUGAGUUAUGACCGUUUUCCUAAGACUGCCAGGGCAUGACUGUGCAACCCGAGAAGAAAUCCUUAAGCAUAAUUGGAACUUUUCUUUUGCCAAACUUUCAUGCACCCACUAAACUUGUUUUCUCAUUAACUUUUACCAUGGAUUGGGCCUUGUUUGCAUGAUGGAUUAAGUAGCUUAGACUACUCACUUGGUCUCUUAUUGAGCCUAACCUAGUGGGACAUGAAUCUAAGUGUUAACGAUUUCACUCGUUGCCCUAGGUUUGGGAAACGAAGGUGACCAUAACUAAGACGUUUGAUAUCGCUCACUACUUUUGAUUGACAGGUGAGUGUUCCACUACCUGCUACCUGCUUAUGUGAAAUACCUGAAUAUUUGAUUUACGACUGUUUGAGCCAAACCCUAAUUUGAUAAAAGUGGAGGCGAGCGUGUACUUUAUCGCACUCGUCCUCCUUUAUUUCCACUGAGACCUUGUAUAUUGUUAUUGUGAAGUGUGAAUUCUCUAUAUGUGACUGUGCUUGAGUUGUUUUGGUGAUAUCCCAUCAACUACUACUACUGUUUGGGUGCCCAACCUCAUAGGUGAGUCGGUUCUAUCGAGCCGGCCAGGGCUUGGUCGAGAAGGCCGAUAAACCUUGAGGACUGUUUACUGUUCACUGAAACCGGUAUACUCGAGUAUUACCUAACUACUGUUUAUGAAGUGCGGGCCCGGUGGGGGGUUGAUUGGUGGACGGAGGCAGGUAAAAGUGGUGUUCUACGGACUUAAUAUUCUGUGUAUACAAGUGUUGACGGAGUGUCAACGAAGACAUUUAUGAUCAAGCUCAAGGGGAUUUUGGCUUUUGAAAGCCACCCGUAUCCUUGAUUUGAAUUGUGGUUAAUUGUUAUUGUAUCAUAUGGUAUUUAUUUGAAUUAUUCUAUGCCUUAAUUUGGCUAUGUGUUUUCUUGCUUUACUUGGAACCUCACUGAGCUUUAGCUCACCCCACUCCCUUUGUUUUCCUUAACAGAUCGGGGAUGGACUAACGGUCAAGAGCUUUCUUAGCUUUGUUUUGCUUGAACUUGUAACUUUUGUUAAGAUGACUUUACUUUUACUUUUGUAAGCUUGAAUCUAUAAGUUGACUUAUGUCAUGUAAUUCGUAGUAUGGAAUGGUAAGUGUGACUCUUAGCUUGCCGUAUUAAGUUUUGAAAGUUGAUUGAUAGUUAUGUGUUAUUAGGGUCGUAUGAUUUAAUUUGAAGCUAUUUUUCCCAGUUAUUUUGAGUUGCUAGUUCUUUGAUCGACUGAGUCCCGGCGAGAGCUGGACAGGCAGUCCGCUGAUGCCCUAGGGUUAGCUCUAGGGAGAGGUGGGGCUGUCACAGUUGGUAUCAGAGCCUAGGUUUGAAUUAGCCUGGGCGAAUUAGAAAUUUCCGACUUAAGGAUUCUAUUUUAUUAAUUCCCUUAAAAGUACUAAAGUCUAUCUACACUUUUAUGUAGGAUGGACGGACCUAGCGGCCAUAGUAAUAGUCCUGUUGGUGAGAAGCCCCAAGGAGCCCUUCCCGUGAUUAAGUAUCAAAUCCGGCCUGGAGGAUCUAGAGUUUAUUGGAGCCCGUCAAACCGCUAUAGGCGUUGCGAGUGCCAUCAUAUUUAUGGCUACCCUAAUGAAGUGGUAUUGGCGGUAGUAAAAGAGCGUAAGGAGCUUGCCAGGGAUAAUGCUAGGCUUGAAGCCGAAGUGAAGCAACUAAAGAAAGCCAAUACGAUGCAAGCCGAGCAGAUUAAAGAGCUCGAGUAUGAUAAUGUUGAGGGCCAAGAGAGGAUUGACGACCUUUGCGCACAGUUGGAGGAAACUCAAGAACGCAUGGUGACUAGGACAAUGAAGGUGAGGACUAGGGCGGAGUCCAUUCUGAAUGUUUGUGACGACCUUCUAGGAGAAGCAAGCGAAGAGGCUUCUUAUAUGGAUAUUGGUUCAGAAGAUGAACCUACUGAGGGUGGGGGGUCAGCUAGUCCCGCCACUGACUAGGUCUUCACCAUUAGGCUAGGAUAGUGGAUGAUUUUGACAUUGUACAUAGACAGGUUAGGGGAUGUGGUGACCUGGUGGUUGUAUAGCUCCUUUUGACUACUUGUGUUAGGUUUUGCUUGAUAUGACUAUAUCUGUACUUUUGAGGGCUUGUACUUUCUAUUGUGGUCUCGUUAUCUUGUAAAUGACUACUAUGAGCCUUUUAAUGUAUUAUACUUUGACUGUUGACCUUGAUCUUUGAAUGUUGACUGUUGACUGUUGACUGUUGAUCGUUGACUUUUGACAUUUGACUUUGUUCCGUCAUUAAUUUUAACUGCGGUGCAUUUCACUUGCUUAUCGUGAUUCCAAUCUUGAUUUCUUAUUUGACUUUUCAUUAUACGUAAUCAUCUUUCGUAUAUCAUAUUCGCUCACUCGGUUAGUUGUCAUACUUGGGCACUAGGCCACUGAGUAAUUAUGGAGACGAGACAAAGACGUACUCGGGGCCGUGGACGAGAACCCAGGCAAGUCCAAGAUCAAGGGGAGGAACAAGGUUCGGUGGCGAAUCAAAACCAGGAACCCCGAGGUGAUGGAAGGGACCAAGUAGCAACCGCUAUUAAUCGAAUGACUGAUUUGUUGGCCCGCUUGGUUGACCAGCAGGGUCAAGUACCUAGUAACCCACAAAGGGACCCCGAAGUAGGCAAGGAUAGGGCCCUGGAGCGGUUUCAAAAGUUUGCUCCUCCAAAAUUUCUUGGAGGACCUGAACCUGAAGUUGCCAAAAAUUGGUUCGAGCGAAUGGAGGAUAUAUUCGCCGCGUUGCAUUACUCUGAAGAGAGGCAAGUUACCUUCGCCGUUUUCCAGCUGGAAGGUGCGGCCCGUUCCUGGUGGAACGUGGUAAGGGCCAAGUGGGAAAGGGAGCAAACCCCACGUACCUGGUUAAACUUCACGAGGGAAUUCAAUGAGAAAUUCCUUCCACCCUUAAUUCAGGAGAAAAGGGAGGAUGAGUUCAUUAAACUGCGCCAAGGCACUUCAAGUGUGGCAGAGUAUGAAACGCAGUUCACCCGACUUUCCAAGUUUGCCCCAGAAUUGGUAGUAAGUGAACAAAAGCGUAUAAGGCGGUUUAUACAAGGAUUGAAUGUAGAAAUUCAAAAGGAUUUAGCUGCCGCUCAAAUUGACACCUUUAAGGAUGCGCUUGAAAAGGCUCAACGUGUGGAGCAGGCCCGAUCUCAAGUUCGGACCUUUCAGGCUAAGAGGCGUGGGGCAUCUACCAGUACUCCUGGCCGAAGUGAUCAGAAUGUGCCACCUCCGAAGUUUGGAAGGGGUACGAGUGGAGCCCGAAUUGCGGGGACACCAAGAGGUGGAGCUUCAUCUAGAGGAGCUCAAGGGGGAAGGGGACAGGGACAACCGAGAACUGUCUCCCUAGGAGUUCCCGCACCCACCACACGUGUAAGCUGUGGAUAUUGUGGUAAGCCAAAUCAUACCGAAGACAAUUGCUGGAAAAAGUAGAAAAAGUGCCUUGUUUGUGGAAGUUCUGAACACCAGAUUGCCACUUGCCCUGUUAAGAAUCGUGACGGGAACGGGGGUACCCAGUCGGAAAAGUCAAAUCCUAAGCAACCUACAGCCAGUACUAGUCGACCCAAAACCUCUGCUAGGGUUUUUGCUUUGGACCACCGGCGAGUUCCGGAUUCCUCGGAAGUAGUGGAAGGUACGAUCCCUAUAUUCCACCGCUUAGCUAAACUUUUGAUUGACCCUGGGGCAACCCAUUCUUUUGUAAAUCCUGCCUUUAUGUGUGGUAUUGUUGUGAACCCUGUUAAGUUGCCAUAUGAUUUAGAAGUUAAAACACCUACUGGGGAUCAAAGCCUAAUUACCAAUAUGGUCUAUAGAAAUUACGAGAUUUGGGUAGGAGAACGGAAGUUAGUGGGUGACUUAAUAAGUUUAGACCUUAAGGGGUACGAUGUAAUUAUAGCCAUGGAUUUGUUGGCCCGUUAUAACGCCCAAUUGAACUGUAAAACAAAGGUGGUGGAAUUCUCGAUACCCGGAGAGGCAACUUUAAGGUUGGAUGUGAGAGGUAGGUUAGCCUCGUCUGCACUUGUUUCGGAAAUCCGAGCCAGAAAGUUGUUAAGUAAGGGGGCGCAAGGCUACUUAGCCUUCUUAAUUAAUACUCCUAGAGAUAAAGUGAAGCUGGAGGAUGUUUUAGUAGUGAAUGAAUUUCCUGAUGUCUUUCCCGAUGAGUUGAAAUUGAUGCCACCAGAAAGGGAAAUAGAAUUUAAGAUCGAUUUAGUACCUGGAACUGCUCCCAUUGCAAAAACGCCAUACCGAAUGGCCCCCGCCGAAUUUAAGGAGUUGAAACUGCAGUUGCAAGAUCUGUUAGAGCGAGGGUUUGUUCGAGAAAGUGAGUCACCGUGGGGAGCACCGGUAUUAUUUGUUAAGAAAAAGGAUGGUAGUUUAAGACUGUGCAUUGACUAUUGUGGCUUAAACGAUGUUACGGUGAAAAAUAAAUAUCCCUUGCCACACAUUGAAGAAUUGUUUGACCAACUACAAGGAGCAGUAGUUUUCUCUAAGUUGAACUUGAGGCAAGGUUACUACCAGUUACGAAUUAGGCAAGAGGAUAUACCGAAGACUGCCUUUAAUUCCAGAUAUGGUCAUUUUGAGUUCGCAGUGAUGCCCUUUGGUUUAACAAAUGCCCCUGCUGCAUUUAUGGAUUUAAUGCAUCGAGUCUUUAAACCCUACUUGGAUCAAUUUGUUGUAGUAUUUAUCGAUGAUAUUUUGGAAUAUUCCAAGACUCGAGAGGAACAUGAACGGCAUUUGAGGAUAGUUUUGCAGACUUUAAGGGAACAUCAGUUAUUUGCCAAGUUUAGCAAAUGCGAGUUUUGGUUGGAGCAAGUUUCUUUUCUAGGACAUAUAAUAUCUAAAGAUGGAAUUUCUGUGGAUCCAGUAAAGGUGGAAGCUGUAGCUGAGUGGAAGCACCCGGAAACCCCGACUGAGGUCCGUAGUUUUCUAGGUUUAGCCGGGUAUUACCAUCGGUUUAUCAAAGACUUCUCCAAGUUAGCCGGUCCUUUAACCGACUUGACCAAGAAGCAUGGUCAAUUUGUCUGGAAUUCUAAGUGUGAAUCUAGUUUUCGGGAGUUGAAGAAACGGUUAACGUUAGCACCUGUUUUAGCUUUACCAAAUGGGAGAGAUAGUUUUAUUGUAUAUACGGAUGCCUCAAGGGAAGGUUUGGGAUGUGUUCUAAUGCAAAAUGGGAGUGUAAUUGCCUAUGCCUCUAGGAAGUUAAAACCCCAUGAGCGAAAUUACCCCACUCAUGAUUUAGAAUUGGCCGCUGUAGUUUUUGCAUUAAAGAAGUGGAGGCAUUACUUGUAUGGAGUGACUUUUGAGGUGUAUACCGACCAUAAGAGUUUGAAAUACCUAUUCUCUCAGAAGGAGUUAAACUUGAGACAGCGUCGGUGGGUGGAAUUUCUUGAGGAUUAUGACUGUACAAUUAACUAUCACCCAGGCAAGGCUAAUGUUGUAGUGGACGCUUUAAGCCGACAAGUGCAAAUAGCUGGAUUGAUGGCUAAGGAAUGGAAUUUGCUGGAGGAAGUGAGUGAAUGGAACCCGCGAUUAGACCGACAGAGGGUAAUUUUCUGCAAUAUUACAGUAAGAUCUGAAUUGUUGGACCGCAUUAAAGAAGCUCAAAGGAAUGACGGGAUGGUGCAAAAGUGGAUAGGAGAAGUACAAAAAAAGGAGUUACAAGACUUUAACAUAAGCUCUGAAGGUAUCUUGAAAUUUCAAGAUCGAAUAGUGGUACCACAAGAUGAGGUGAUAAAAAGGGAUAUUUUGGAAGAGGCACAUCGGUCCAAGUAUACAGUACAUCCUGGAAGUAACAAAAUGUACCAAGAUUUGAAAAGGUUAUAUUGGUGGGAUAAGAUAAAGAAAGAAAUUGCUCAGUUUGUCCAAAAAUGUUUGGUGUGCCAACAAGUGAAAGUUGAGCAUCAAAAGCCUUCAGGUCUUCUGCAACCUCUGGAGAUCCCUGGGUGGAAAUGGGAACAUAUUACUAUGGAUUUUGUAUCGGGAUUACCCCGUACCCAGAAAGGUCACGACACCGUUUGGGUAAUAGUAGACAGGUUGACCAAGUCUGCUCAUUUCUUACCCAUAAAUAUGAAAUAUUCUAUGGAGAAAUUGGCCCAACUUUACAUGGAUGAGAUAGUGAGGUUACAUGGGAUCCCUGUAAGCAUUGUGUCUGAUAGAGACCCACGAUUUGUGUCUCGUUUUUGGCAACAAUUACAAGGAACUUUAGGGACCAAGCUGAAUUUUAGUACUACCUAUCAUCCCCAAACUGAUGGACAAUCGGAGAGGACCAUUCAAACACUUGAAAAUAUGUUGAGGACCUGUAUUCUAGAUUUUGGUGGAAGUUGGGGACAAUACAUGGCUCUGGUUGAAUUUGCAUACAAUAAUAGUUACCAUUCUUCAAUACAAAUGGCACCGUAUGAAGCUCUCUAUGGAAGAAAGUGCCGAUCACCAAUAUUUUGGGAUGAAGUAGGAGAGAGAAGAGUUUUAGACCCAGUUGCAGUACCAUGGAUCGAGAAUGCGUAUGAGAAAGUGAAAGUGAUACGUCAGAGGCUUCAGACAGCGCAAAGUCGACAAAAGAGCUACGCUGAUAAUCGACGAAAGGACUUGGAGUUUGAGGUUGGGGACAAGGUAUUCUUGAAGGUUACGCCACUUCAAAGUCUCACGGCAGGAAAAGGAAAGAAGCUCCAUCCAAGAUACGUAGGACCCUUCAAAAUCCUUCAACGAGUUGGAAACGUGGCAUAUCGAUUGGAGUUACCAACAAGUCUAUCCAGGGUUCAUGAUGUAUUUCACGUGUCCAUGUUGAAAAAGUACCAUCCAGAUCCCACUCAUAUACUGAAACCAGAGGAAAUUGACAUUGAUGAAUCUCUAACCUACGAGGAAAGACCAGUGCAAAUCUUAGAUCGAAAAGUGAAGGAAUUGAGGACUAAGCAAAUACCCUUGGUAAAGGUCUUGUGGAGAAACCAUGAGGUGGAGGAAGCUACUUGGGAAGUGGAAGAGGACAUUCGCACCAAAUACCCUAAGCUAUUCAAUGAUGAAGGUGAGAAUUUCGAGGACGAAAUUCUUUAAGGGGGAGAGAGGGUGAGAACCCUCAUUUUUAAAACACAAUUUCCUCAAAUUAAUUGCCUUAUUCUAGGAUUUAAAUCAUAUAUUAUAUGCCAUUACAUUUGCUUUUCUAGGUGUUACAAUAAUUUUCAUGCAUUACACUUCAUUCCUUUUACUUGUAGUAAAGCAUUUUUUUUUAGAGUUAAUUUUAAAUAUACACCACUUACAUUUUACCAAGUGUCUUUAUAUUAGUGGUAGAAAUCUUACAUGUAGGAUUAUAGGUGCUAAAAUAUGAUUGGUGCACUUGGAAAGAUUAGUUAGGAGUGUUAAAGUAUUAUUGGUGCACUUGGAAAGGUUAGUUAGAGGUGUUAAAAUAUUAUUGGUGCAUUUGGAAAGAUUAGUUAGAGGUGUUAAAGAAUGAUUGGUGCAUUUGGAAAGGUUAAGACACCAUUAGUCAAAGAUUAAGAAGGAAUUGGACAAGUAAGUGGACAUGUGGCAAAAUCCUAGCCAAGUAUCUUGUUGGAACCAAGAUUAGAAGAUUAUUUAAACUAGCUAAAGCUUUUUUUUUUCUCUUAGUGUUGGCCGAAUUUCUGGCUUCAAGAGAGAGAGAGAGUGAGCUAUAUAAUCUUGUUUUCUUACCAUAGCAAAUCAAGAACAACAAUCAAAAGAGAAAGAUUUGAGUUAGUAAGAGAGUUUCUCUAACUUUAAGUGCUUUAUUCAAACUUGGAGACUUAUUUUGGUGGAUUGAUUUUGGUGGUUCAAGCUCACCACAAGAGAGGUACAUGUUCUUUAACUCUUGGUUUUUGAUGAUAGAACAUGCACUUGAAUUGUUAAUAGCAAAGAUAUAAGUUGUUUGGUUGAGAUGUUGAGUUAGUUUCUUGAAGUAAACAAGUAGUAGCUAGGUUUCUUAGUAUGUAUACCAAGUGUUUGAUGAAAUGUUUGAUUCUUAUUCAUGUUUGUUUAUGAGGUAUUAUUAUGUUUUAAACCUCUUUUGAGCUAGAACUACCACUUGAUAUGAUGAUUGAGUAGAAAACAUGUAAGGAUGAAGAUUGAACAAAUGUUGAAAAGGGUGGGCUGGUUGCUUUGUCUAGGCUGGCCGGUUCUUGUAGGAGGGAUUUUCCCUCAAUCUUGUUGUUAAAUUUUGUCCUCAUCAAGCCUAAUAAACUAGGUUAACUAUUGGUUAAGCCUAUGAGCAAGUUGGAAUGGAGUUGAAGCAAGUAAAGUGGUGAUUUUGAACCAUUAGUAGACUGUUUUAGGAUUCUUGUAGUUAUGGGAUCAUUAUGGCUACCUUAAAUCAUGUUGUAUGUUAUAUUGUAAACUCCAUUGAUUCUAAGUGACUUGAAUCCUUGUAUAUGAUCACUUGAGGAGUGAAUUGGGUGAAUUUGAAUCAAAACUAAUGAAGUUAGCCCUAAAACUAGAGUAGUUUGGUAUAGGAUUAAUGUUGAUCCAGGGUUGGAUAAACAGCCACCUUGUCUGAAUUACUUUUGUUGAUAGGAGACGAACCACGGUGUGAGAUUGGUACCGUUGGAAAGCCCUUCGAGUCAAGUUUCCAACGCCACUGACAGCACCUAAUUUUGACUUUUCUACAGUGAGUUAUGACCGUUUUCCUAAGACUGCCAGGGCAUGACUGUGCAACCCGAGAAGAAAUCCUUAAGCAUAAUUGGAACUUUUCUUUUGCCAAACUUUCAUGCACCUACUAAACUUGUUUUCUCAUUAACUUUUACCAUGGAUUGGGCCUUGUUUGCAUGAUGGAUUAAGUAGCUUAGACUACUCACUUGGUCUCUUAUUGAGCCUAACCUAGUGGGACAUGAAUCUAAGUGUUAACGAUUUCACUCGUUGCCCUAGGUUUGGGAAACGAAGGUGACCAUAACUAAGACGUUUGAUAUCGCUCGCUACUUUUGAUUGACAGGUG